rnacentral:lncRNA from 1 species
CACCACGUCAACGUGGCUCGCUUGGUUGGAUUUUGUGCUGAUGGAUUUAUACGAGCUCUUGUUUACGAGUUCUUCCCCAACGGUUCCCUGCAGGAUUUCAUUUCAUCAGCAGAUAGUAAGAAUUCAUUUCUUGGUUGGGAUAAGCUGCAAGAUAUUGCCCUAGGCAUAGCCAAAGGAAUUGAAUAUCUUCACCAGGGAUGCGAUCUACGAAUCCUGCAUUUCGACAUCAAACCCCAUAAUGUUUUGCUAGACCAAAACUUCACUCCAAAAAUUUCUGAUUUUGGUUUGGCCAAGUUAUGUUCCAAGGAUCAAAGCUUGGUGUCCAUGACUACAGCUAGGGGGACCAUGGGCUACAUUGCACCUGAAGUGUUCUCCAGGAAUUUUGGAAAUGUGUCUUACAAGGCAGAUGUCUAUAGCUUUGGAAUGCUAUUGCUUGAGAUGGUAGGAGGAAGGAAAAAUAUUGGUUCAACCACGGAGAACACUACAAAUGAAAUUUACUAUCCACAGUGGAUUUAUAAUCUUCUAGAGGAAGGGGAUGACCUACGAAUCCAUACUGGGGAAGAAGAAGAUGGUAAAAUUCCAAGGAAACUUGCAAUUAUAGGGCUAUGGUGUAUCCAAUGGCACCCGUCAGAUCGUCCUUCCAUGGAAACAGCGGUUCAGAUAUUAGAAGGAGGAGGAGAAAGCUUGACAGUGCCGCCUAAUCCCUUCAUGCCUACGGGUCCUACAACUAGAAAUGCAAGACGCCUAGAGCUAGAAGCAAUUGCUGAAUUAGAGUAAAAUGUAAUAUGCAAAUGUAUAGUAACAUUCGCAUUGAAUGUGUAAUGAUUCAAACCUAUGGGAUAUUUUGAUAACUAUUUCGUUUUGGUACCAACCAAAAGAAGUUUGUUUCCACUCCUUGUUUAAGUAUUAGAUGCCAAUUAUUGUUUUUUUUUUUUAAUUUAUUUUUGGAUACAGUAGAAGCCUAGAAGGAAAUCGAGCACUAAACUUACCAAAUUCUAACUCAUUUCUACACACCAAGAGCUUGAUUUCGGUUCUUAUUUAUACUAUUUAAUCUCUAACCCGUGACAAUAAUUAGAGCACUAUCAUUUGUUGUGAGCUUCAACUGGUUAGCAUUUUGUAUGUUUUAAACUUUUGAUUAGAAUAUAUAUUUCAUUUAGACUUAUCUUGCCAUAAAGCAUGCCAUACCCUCUUAAGUUUUUCUCUUCGCGUUGAGUUUAUGAUAAGGAAACUUGUCAAACAAAGUGGAUUGAUUAGUAACUGAAGCUAAUUAUUCCGCUAAAUAUUAUUUAGAAUUUUAAUUAAAAAAACAAUAUGAAUAUUUUUGUUUGAUUUGAAAACUAUAAAAUAAAUAAAAAGAUUAAAUUGUUAAUUGUUAAAAAUGGAGAGGUGAUAAAUAUUGGUAGAGAUCGAAUUUGUACAAGAAUGUAUAAGCAUUAUUGCACUCUCCCACAACGAUAAAUCACAUUAAACAAAAAGUAGUAGUUUGAGGAUGGAAGAAACUUCAUGGAUACCGGGUAAUCAACACAAUAUUGGGUGGGGUGUAGAGGUGACGCGGAAGGAAUUGGCGAGCUGGUAGAAGGAAUGGGAUUUGGGGACGCAAGAGAUUGCGUGGAAGGUAGAGGCGGGCGUGAGGGUGACGUGAGGGCAAGGGAAGUAGCAGACCGUGUGGGCUGCUGCUGUGGUUGAUCCACGAGAUGGAUUGUGUGCCCUUCCAUCCUCAUACCCUUUUAUUUUGUGCGGUUACGAUUAAAUCACGUCAAAAUUUGUUUUUUAUCUUAUUAUUUUUAUAAAAAAAUUAAUAUAAAAUGUUAACGUUGCUUAAACUUGACAGCACAAAAUAAGAAUGCAUGAAGAAGGUAUAAAAAAGAGAGGACAGACAAUCCAUCUCCGUUGAUCAACUAGGCUGGCAGGAUAGCCUUUUUGACCAAAUUAUUAAGCGCAUAGAUUUUUUGACCAAGAAGGUAGCCAACAAAUAUGCAACAUAUUUCACGGGAAUCAAAUUUGUCAGUGGGAUGGACACUCAUAUUCUUCGUCAUUCAUUUUUGGUGUUGAAAAAUAUAAUAAAUUAUAUCAAUGUUCUCUUAAUUUUAAAUAAAUUGAAAAAAUAAUUUUUUAACUAAAUAUUCAUUAUUAUUAAUCCAUUAACUCAUCAAAAUAUGUAGCUAUAGUCAUUUUCAUCAGCUCUCUCAUAAUUAUGUCAAAAUGAGUUAUGUUGGAAUGAUCAUUGCCCCAAUUGGGUUAAAGAUAUGGACCAUUGCUCCCAUUGGGUUAAAGUUGAUUGACAAUUUCUCCAGUUGGAUUAAAAUUGAGGGACCCUUAAUAUAAUUUUUCUUAUUUGAUUUUUCAUAUUUGCCCCUUGAUUUAGCCUCCAAUUUACUUUAAAAAAUAAAAGUCUCCUACUUUAGUUGAAAGAUCAAUGCUACAAUUUACUUCAAAAAAUAAAAGCCUCCUACUUUAGUUGCUUUGGAAAAUCCUUUCAACCAUCCAAAACAUGGAUCUAUGGAGCCAAGAAGCAAGAGUUUAUCCAUAUUCAUGGAUACAAGAAGCUAUGAGCAGAGGAAUGAGCUUUAAGUGAUUAUCCUUGAGGAUCUACAAAAGUAUAAAGUCAACUCUUUUGUUUUGAAUUUGAGUUGAGUCUUUGACUAACAACUACUAGGCUCUAAAUUUUAUGAGUUAAAUUUUAUUUUUGAGUGCAUAUAAGCAUGAUAGAGCCUUUAAUUGUUAAUUACAUGUAUGAGUGUUGCUCAAAUGAACUUAGCUUAUCAAAAAUUUCCUUCAAGACCAACUUCUAUGGCACACGUAGUUUCUCGUGCCAAUCACAUGAACAUUAUGUAAAAAGAAUUUACAUGUUGCGUUGCAUGAUUGACAAUUAACGAUACAUAGUGUUAUAACCGUGUCAAUGUUAUGAAAGUUUUUAUGCAAAGUCACUUGAUAUGCCGCAACAAUUAGUAAACAAUAUUAGAAAGACCUAGAGGAACCCACAAUUAAUUCCAAUUCAUUAAGUAGCUCAUGUGCAAGCAAAGUAUGGGCUUCCCAUGGGCCGGAGCUAGAAUUUACCCAUAUUUGGUAGUUAUGUGGCAUUAUACGAGGAGCCUGCUCAGCGUUCAAUAUGUGCACCCGCAUGAUGUUGAGUGUAAUAACAAAUAUAAAUAAAAAAUAAGUAAAAUGCUAGAGAGAUUACAUGUUUAUAUUACAUUGUUGUACCAUAUUGUGAUAUGGAUGUGUACAUACCACGUUUUGUAAUGAGUUUAUCUCAUUAAAUGUUAGAUUGUUGGUUAUAUGUAUCACUCGUCACAUCAUAUGAUAUAUUAAUAUGGUAUAAAUAUGCAGUCUCUCCAACAUUACUCUACUAAAGAGUAAUAUUGCACUUACCAUAUUUGUACCAUCAAUUUAUAAAAGUAUGGCUCAUCAACACAUGUAUGUCAUAUCUCCGUUAAAAAGGUGAUACAUAUAUGGUAUGAAAAAUAUGAUAAGACUAGCAUUUACAAAAAAUAAAAUUUUAAAAGUUAAAUGAAAUGAACAAAACACAGGAAAUUUGAAAGGUACUGAACAAAAUCAAUCGCAUUCAAAUCAGUCCUGAAAGAAACGAAUUGUACUGGAGUAUACAGAAACCACCACAAAAAAGGAUUAGCAAUUCAAUGCCACGAAAAACAGGGGGAGAUCUUAAUCAACACAUAUGAGACGUACAAGUACAAUUCAUCUGUAAAGUACAAUCAUUUAUCAGAAACCCCAAAGACAGGAAAUAUACAUCUAAACUUGCUAAGUCCUUUAGUUCUUGGAAUCAUCUAAGAACUACUUAUUCGAGCAGAUGCUAUGCUUGCAUUACUAGAAUUUAUGGCUUGCCCUGUCAACUAUUGCUCGACAGAGAAGAUUUCGUCGGUUUCACCUUUUUUAACCGACAGAAUAUAAGUUUAGUAGGGAAAAAUUAGUCAACAAACUGGGUUGACUGAAUAGAUUUACAGGAUGGCUAGAGUUUGUAGAUUAAUACAUCAGUCGUCGGGCAAACAUUUGGAGCAAAGAUGGAAGUGUUUUAACUGACGAAUAAGCUAGUCGUAGUGUAGAUCUUCUUUACCAACGGACAGUUCACCGAAUAGUUCUUUGGAUAACAAUUCAUUCUCAAGGGGAACAUGUUGCUUCUUAGAUAAAUGGUUAGAGGCAAUUGUGAGAUCAUAAUUUUCUAGCGAAGGAAUAAAGCUGAUCCGAAUACAGUAAAGCCCUCAUCGAUUCUCUCUUUGUAACCAUCCACCAAAUGCCCUGAUAGGAUUUUUAGAACCUACACAAAUAAGGUUAAAAUCACACAAAAGACUUGCAAGAGUACAAUAAUGUUGUAGUAUAGAUACUCAUGCAAAGUCGUUCUCUACAAUGACUAUUUUAAUAAUUUAUGUAAAAACAAUUCAUAUUUAAUUACUUAAAAUUAAAAAUUGAGAAAGGAGAUUUUGAAUUUGGGUAAUAUUAAAAACGAAUUUUAAUUAAAAACUAAUAUUAAAUUCCCCAAAAUUAAUACGAUAAAAGAAAAGAGUUGUAAAUACCCAUUUAUAAAAGCACUAGGGUUCCACCAUCAUCUAGCAAUCCUAUGUAUUUUUACCAAUUACUUAUGAUCUACACAUGCCACUUUGAAUGUUAGGUUUUUCUAAUAUAUACUAGCAUUUGCCUACAUACUUUGUGUGUAUGAACACAUUUUUUUAGAAAAUGAGAAGGAGAGAGGGAGAGAGAGAACGUUGGGGGGGGGGGGAGGGAGUGGGAGGUUUUUGUUUUUGGUUUUUUUUUUUAAUUUAUUAUAUUGGAGGUAUUUUAACAUCACAUAUAGGUGAGGCUUCAAUAAAAAAAAGUAAAAUUUGGAUAUGUGAAAUUACAUUAUUGCCCAUCAUAUUUUUUGUGUGAUAGAAAAUUAAAUUGUCUUUUCACCAUCUUUUAGUUGACAAAGAAGGUUUCAUUAAUUAGUAGAGAUUCUACUUGAAACCUCCAACAUAAAAUGUAUAUCUAACAUGCAAUCUAUUCGGAUGUUCGGAUCAAAUAUGAACAUGACAGACUCAUUAUGUUUUAUGAAAAUCAUUUGAAAAACCAUGCAACCCUUAAGAUGUGGUGUUCAUCCUAAUUAAAAUUACAAUUAUUAACCACAAGAAGCCAACGUCAAUUUCAAGGAAUCUUUCGACCAAAAUUGCAUCAAAUUACUUUUCUAAAUAUCUUAAUGUGAUCAAGCAUUAAGACAAUUAGACAGUUUAAAACGGUAAUCAAUAAUUCAAAGCGUGCAUGCAAUCAAUCAUAAGCAAUUAAAUUAAAUAAAAAUUACAUAUUCAUGCUAAGGCUCAAGGCUUUGCCCUAGCAAACGGAUUAGUUACGCAUAUUCAUAAUUAAAAUCCUAGAAAAUAUUAUUAUUAUGAAGAAAAAGAAUGAAAACACUUUAAAAUAAAAAUCUGAAAGUCUUCAAGAACCCUAACCAAUUUCUCUAUGUCUCCAAAGUCACAUACAAGAGAAGAUAAAUAGACUAGGGCCGGCCAAAACCUUAAAUAUCCCCCUAAAACCAUCGCAUAAUCCUUAGAAAACAAAAUCUUUUAUUCCUACUAGGAAACUAAAUAAUAAUAAAAUAUCUUUUAAAAUAAAGUCCUAAUUAAGCUAGGAAAUCUACCAAGUAACUGUCCAGCCAUGUUUUACCCUCCAAUUUCCUCCAAAUUCAGCCCAUAAUAGCUUGUUUUGAAGAUCGGGAUGUUUUGAACACAUCUCCAAAAGGUCACGAACCCAUCAGAUGUCAUCUCGAGACCUACCGCUUAUGGGCGAAGGCACUUGCCAUCGCACCAAGUGCGACCUCUAAGAAGAAGAAGGAAGAAGAAAAAAAAAAAAACCCAACCCAGUUUGUCCCCCCCUCAACAAACCCAGAAACAACAACAACAACAACAACAAAGCCUUUUCCCACUAAGUGGGGUCGGCUAUAUGAAUCCUAGAACGCCAUUGCGCUCGGUUUUGUGUCAUGUCCUCCGUUAGAUCCAAGUACUCUAAGCCUUUUCUUAGAGUCUCUUCCAAAGUUUUCCUAGGUCUUCCUCUACCCCUUCGGCCCUGAACCUCUGUCCCGUAGUCACAUCUUCGAACCGGAGCGUCAGUCGGCCUUCUUUGCACAUGUCCAAAUCACCGGAACCGAUUUUCUCUCAUCUUUCCUUCAAUUUCGGCUACUCCUACUUUACCUCGGAUAUCCUCAUUCUCAAUCUUAUCCUUUCUCGUGUGCCCACACAUCCCACGAAGCAUCCUCAUCUCCGCUACACCCAUUUUGUGUACGUGUUGAUGUUUCACCGCCCAACAUUCUGUGCCAUACAACAUCGCUGGCCUUAUUGCCGUCCUAUAAAAUUUUCCCUUGAGCUUCAGUGGCCUACGACGGUCACACAACACGCCGGAUGCACUAUUACACUUCAUCCAUCCAGCUCGUAUUCUAUAAUUGAGAUCUCCAUCUAGUUCUCCGUUCUCUUGCAAGAUAGAUCCUAGGUAACGAAAACGGUCGCUUUUUGUGAUCUUCGCUAGAUUGCUCCGGUCAUUAGUGUGGAUAAGUAUAUAAAUGGAUAGAGAUAGGAAAGCAAACACAAGAUGUACGUGGUUCACCCAGAUUGGCUACGUCCACGGAAUAGAAGAGUUCUCAUUAAUUGUGAAGGGUUUACACAAGUACAUAGGUUUAAGCUCUCCUUUAGUGAGUACAAGUGAAUGAUUUAGUACAAAUGAUAUUAGAGUACAAAUGACAUUAGGAAAUAUUGUGGGAGAAUGAUCUCGUAAUCACGAAACUUCUAAGUAUCGGAGUGUGGUAUCAUCUUGACUUGCCUUAUCUGUCUCAUAGGUAGAUGUGGCAGCUUCUCUGGAAGUACUCUUCCUCCAUCCAGGGGUGGUAUCUUUAAUUGGUGGAGAUGCACAAGGUAAUGUAUCAAUUUCACUUGAAGCUUACUUGUAGUUUCAAGCUUGGUCAAGCGCGAUACAAACCAUGUAGUAGGACUCCCCCAAGUCGCCGAGCUAGGGGAUCUGCUGAAAGAGGUGACAGACAAGGUAAGCAAUCAGAGCUCCAGCUGAUUGUUCACCUUCUCCCCAUCUUGCAGCAGCAUGAAGGAUACAACAACAACAACAAAGCCUUUUCCCACUAAGUGGGGUCGGCUAUAUGAAUCCUAGAACGCCAUUGCGCUCGGUUUUGUGUCAUGUCCUCCGUUAGAUCCAAGUACUCUAAGUCUUUUCUUAGAGUCUCUUCCAAAGUUUUCCUAGGUCUUUCUCUACCCCUUCGGCCCUGAACCUCUGUCCCGUAGUCACAUCUUCGAACCGGAGCGUCAUUCGGCCUUCUUUGCACAUGUCCAAAUCACCGGAGCCGAUUUUCUCUCAUCUUUCCUACAAUUUCGGCUACUCCUACUUUACCUCGGAUAUCCUCAUUCCCAAUCUUAUCCUUUCUCGUGUGCCCACACAUCCCACGAAGCAUCCUCAUCUCCGCUACACCCAUUUUGUGUACGUGUUGAUGCUUCACCGCCCAACAUUCUGUGCCAUACAACAUCGCUGGCCUUAUUGCCGUCCUAUAAAAUUUUCCCUUGAGCUUCAGUGGCCUACGACGGUCACACAACACGCCGGAUGCAUUCUUACACUUCAUCCAUCCAGCUCGUAUUCUAUGGUUGAGAUCUCCAUCUAAUUCUCCGUUCUCUUGCAAGAUAGAUCCUAGGUAGCGAAAACGGUCGCUUUUUGUGAUCUUCGCUAGAUUGCUCCGGUCAUUAGUGUGGAUAAGUAUAUAAAUGGAUAGAGAUAGGAAAGCAAACACAAGAUGUACGUGGUUCACCCAGAUUGGCUACGUCCACGGAAUAGAAGAGUUCUCAUUAAUUGUGAAGGGUUUACACAAGUACAUAGGUUCAAGCUCUCCUUUAGUGAGUACAAGUGAAUGAUUUAGUACAAAUGACAUUAGGAAAUAUUGUGGGCUUUUUAAGAUGGCCUCCCGUGCUUUUUAAAGAAUGAUCUCGUAAUCACGAAACUUCUAAGUAUCGGAGUGUGGUGUCGUCUUGACUUGCCUUAUCUGUCUCAUAGGUAGAUGUGGCAUCUUCUCUGGAAGUACUCUUCCUCCAUCCAGGGGUGGUAUCUUUAACUGGUGGAGAUGCACAAGGUAAUGUAUCAAUUUCACUUGAAGCUUACUUGUAGUUUCAGGCUUGGUCAAGCGCGAUACAAACCAUGUAGUAGGAGUCCCCCAAGUCGCCGAGCUAGGGGGUCUGCUGAAAGAGGUGACAGACAAGGUAAGCAAUCAGAGCUCCGACUGAUUGUUCACCUUCUCCCCAUCUUGCAGCAGCAUGAAGGAUAAAGAGAAGAAAAAUGAGAAGAGAUGAUAUGAGAUACUUUUGCUUUUGAAGAAGUAACUUUCCACAGGCUUAUUCUUGAACUGAGCUGGAGGGUUUUCUGGUUUCCUCCAGAGUAUAAGGCCGACUGAAGAAUUUGAGGGUCAAAACAAGUCCAUCAAAUCUAGAGUACGUUCCACCCUGCUGAUAUGGGAUACUUUUGCUUUUGACAGAGUAAUGGAUGUAUCGGCACGUGUGCUGUUACGCUUGUCUCCACAUGCUUCCUUGUAUCCUUCGCACUUGCCCUAUCUGUUCCUCAAGCAGAUGCGGAAUCUUCCCUGGAAACAUAAGAUGUUGAAGAUGAGUACUCGAGAGCAAUGCCAGGUAAGUAAUCAGGUAAGGGGUUCCAGGCAGUCAGUUCCUGGCUGGAAGCUUGAUUCCAAGUGCUGACUGAUUGCUCUCUUUCUCCUUGUCUUGCAGGUAAAAACAAGGCCAAAAGGAAAAGACAGGGAAAAAGCAUGAUAUGGGAUACUCUUGCUUUUAACCCUGAUGAUAUGAGAUAUUCUUGCUCUAGUAUAGCUUGUUUGCAGAGGUAUUAUCGGGGGGAAAGAAAGCUGAAUAUUUCGAAAGGCUUCGUUGGGAGUGCCCUCUCAGAUAUGAUGAAGGGUUGAGCAUUUUUGCAGGUCUGCCUGUCCGUUGGGGAUGGAGGUCGACAUAUAUAGGAGUCUCCCUAACAACAAGUAGUAAUGCUAUUCCUUUACCCUGCUUGGUCAUAGCACGGUAGUGGGAGCUGCCAGUUUCACAUGUUUUAACUCUGUCAGAGCACUUUGAAAAAGUGGUCUGUGGUAUCUGGCUCUCGAGAUUCGGAGAACGAUGCCUCUUCGAUUUUUGAGAAAGCAAUCAUGCUGGGGGUCUGGCUCUCGAGAUUCGGAGAGAGCAGUGUCUCUUCGAUUUUUGAGGAAGUAAUCAUGUUGGGAGUCUGGCUCUCGAGAUUCGGAGGGCGGUGCCUCUUCGAUUUUGGAGCAAGCAAUCUUGUUGGGAGUGUUGUCUCGAAUGUGAGUAAAGGUUGGGCAUGUUUGCUAGUCUACCUUGCCACGAAGCACAAAGGUUGACACACAGGGACUUUCCAAUUAUCCAGCAAUGGUACUGUUCCUUUACCCUCUCUUCGAUUUUGAGAAAGUAGUCAUGUUGGGAGUCUGGCUCUCGAGAUUCGGAGGACGGUGCCUCUUCGAUUUUGGAGCAAGCAAUCUUGUUGGGAGUGUUUUCUCGAAUGUGAGUAAAGGUUGGGCAUGUUUGCUAGUCUACCUUGCCACGAAGCACAGAGGUUGACACACAGGGACUUUCCAAUUAUAUCCAGCAGUGGUACUGUUCCUUUACCCUUGUGGGUAAUAAUAUGGUAGCUAGACCUUCAAAAUUUAUGUGUCUAAACUUUGUUAGUGCUGUUUCUUUGCUAUUCUUUUACCUUUCUUGGUCAGAGCGAUGUAGUGGGAGCUGCAAGCUUCACGUGCUCAACUUUGGCAGAGAACUUUGGCAAAGUUAUCUGUGGUACCCAUGAGCUAUUGUUGCGUGUGGGAAGUGGGUGAUUGAACAGUAAGAUUCAUGUGCUUUCUACUUCACCAGAAGUCUUCGACAGAAUGCCCAUAAUUUCUGCAAAGCUGAGUGUGCGUGUGACAGGUGCUGACAAGGCUAGAAAAGUAGGUGCCUCUUCGAUUUCUGAGAUCGGCCCUCGUGGUCUCUGAGCAGCCCAGCUUUUGAGAAAGCGAGCGCCUCUUCGAUUGAUUCGGAGAACGAUGCCUCAUCGAUUUUUGAGAAAGCAAUCAUGCUGGGGGUCUGGCUCUCGAAGAUUCGGGGAGCAGUGUCUCUUCGAUUUUUGAGAAAGUAAUCAUGUUGGGAGUCUGGCUCUCGAGAUUCGGAGGGCGGUGCCUCUUCGAUUUUGGAGCAAGCAAUCUUGUUGGGAGUGUUUUCUCGAAUGUGAGUAAAGGUUGGGCAUGUUUGCUAGUCUACCUUGCCACGAAGCACAGAGGUUGACACACAGGGACUUUCCAAUUAUCCAGCAAUGGUACUGUUCCUUUACCCUCUCUUCGAUUUUUAAGAAAGUAGUCAUGUUGGGAGUCUGGCUCUCGAGAUUCUGGCUUUUGGAGCAAGCAAUCUUAUUGGGAGUGUUUUCUCGAAUGUGAGUAAAGGUUGGGCAUGUUUGCUAGUCUACCUUGCCACGAAGCACAGAGGUUGACACACAGGGACUUUCCAAUUAUCCAGCAGUGGUACUGUUCCUUUACCCUUGUGGGUAAUAAUAUGGUAGCUAGACCUUCAAAAUUUAUGGGUCUAAACUUUGUUAGUGCUGUUUCUUUGCUAUUCUUUUACCCUUCUUGGUCAGAGCGAUGUAGUGGGAGCUGCAAGCUUCACGUGCUCAACUUUGGCAGAGAACUUUGGCAAAGUUAUCUGUGGUACCCAUGAGCUAUUGUUGCGUGUGGGAAGUGGGUGAUUGAACAGUAAGAUUCAUGUGUUUUCUACUUCCCCAGAAGUCUUCGACAGAAUGCCCAUAAUUUCCGCAAAGCUGAGUGUGCGUGUGACAGGUGCUGACAAGGCUGGAAAAGUAGGUGCCUCUUCGAUUUCUGAGAUCGGCCCUCGUGGUCUCUGGGGAGCCCAGCUUUUGAGAAAGCGAGCGCCUCUUCGAUUUCUGAGAUCGGCCUUCGUGGUCUUUGAGCAGCCCAACUUUUGAGAAAGCAAACGCCUCUUCGAUUUCUGAGAUCAACCCUCGUGAUCUCUAAGCAGCCCAGCUUUUGAGAAAGCAAACGCCUCUUCGAUUUCUGAGCAGGCGCCUCUUCGAUUUCUGAAGCUCCGUCGAGUGCAGAUUUUUAUAGGGGCUGGCAUUAAGUUCCAAAGCACACUUGAAUCUCCACCAGUAGAAGCUUCAUUCUUGCACUUCUAAGAUCUUGAUUUGUCCGACCUCUUCUCUCUUCAACACCUUUGAAAAUGUCUGGCCCCUCCGACCGUCGUUUUGACUUGAACCUUGUUGAAGAGGCAGCCCCGCCUUCUCCAGACAACAUAUGGCGCCCAUCCUUCGUCUCCCCUACUGGUCCUCUUACCGUUGGGGAUUCCGUGAUGAAGAAUGAUAUGACCGCUGCGGUGGUGGCCAGGAACCUUCUCACUCCCAAAGAUAACAGACUACUUUCCAAACGGUCUGAUGAGUUAGCUGUUAAGGAUUCGCUGGCUCUCAGUGUUCAGUGUGCAGGUUCUCUGUGUCUAAUAUGGCCCAACGCCUAUUUGCUCGAACCCGCCAAGUUGAAUCAUUGGCGGCUGAAGUGAUGAGUCUCAAACAGGAGAUUAGAGGGCUCAAGCAUGAGAAUAAACAGUUGCACCGGCUCGCACAUGACUAUGCUACAAACAUGAAGAGGAAGCUUGACCAGAUGAAGGAAACUGAUGGUCAGGUUUUACUUGAUCAUCAGAGAUUUGUGGGUUUGUUCCAAAGGCAUUUAUUGCCUUCGUCUUCUGGGGCUGUACCGCGUAAUGAAGCUCCAAAUGAUCAACCUCUGAUGCCUCCUCCUUCUAGGGUUCUGUCCAGUACUGAGGCUCCAAAUGAUCCCCCUCCGGUGCCUUCUCUUUCUGGGGCUCUACCGACUGCUGAGACUUCUCCUAAGCAACCUUUGUGAAGGCUCCCUCUUGUGUGUUUAUUUUGACUCAUGUAUAUGUACAUAUUUGUAGCUUAUCGGGGAUAUCAAUAAAUAAGCUUUCCUUCAUUUCAACGUAUUGUGUUAAAUACACCAAAGCCUUCUUCGCUAAGUUCUUUGAAUUUUCUUUUGUUGAAGCUUGUAUGUUGAAGCUUUCUGAGUGGAGCAUGUAGGUUGGGGUAGUGUUCCCUUAAUUUCCCGAGUGAGGAAAACUUCUCGGUUGGAGACUUGGAAAAUCCAAGUCACUGAGUGGGAUCGGCUAUAUGAAUCUUAGAACGCCAUUGUGCUCGAUCCUGUGUCAUGUCCUUCGUUAGAUCCAAGUACUCUAAGUCUUUUCUUAGAGUCUCUUCCAAAGUUUUCCUAGGUCUUCCUCUACCCCUUCGGCCCUGAACCUCUGUCCCAUAGUCGCAUCUUCUAAUCGGAGCGUCAGUAGGCCUUCUUUGCACAUGUCCAAACCACCGUAACCGAUUUUCUCUCAUCUUUCCUUCAAUUUCGGCUACUCCUACUUUACCCCGGAUAUCCUCAUUCCUAAUCUUAUCCUUUCUCGUGUGCCCACACAUCCAACGAAGCAUCCUCAUCUCCGCUACACCCAUUUUGUGUACGUGUUGAUGUUUCACCGCCCAACAUUCUGUGCCAUACAGCAUCGCCGGCCUUAUUGCCGUCCUAUAAAAUUUUCCCUUGAGCUUCAGUGGCAUACGGCGGUCACACAACACGCCGGAUGCACUCUUCCACUUCAUCCAUCCAGCUUGUAUUCUAUGGUUGAGAUCUCCAUCUAAUUCUCCGUUCUUUUGCAAGAUAGAUCCUAGGUAACGAAAACGGUCGCUCUUUGGUAUUUCUUGAUCUCCGAUCCUCACCCCUAACUCGUUUUGGCCUCCAUUUGCACUGAACUUGCACUCCAUAUAUUCUGUCUUUGAUCGGCUUAGGCGAAGACCUUUAGAUUCCAACACUUCUCUCCAAAGGUUAAGCUUUGCAUUUACCCCUUCCUGAGUUUCAUCUAUCAACACUAUAUCGUCUGCGAAAAGCAUACACCAAGGAAUAUCAUCUUGAAUAUGUCCUGUUAACUCAUCCAUUACCAACGCAAAAAGGUAAGGACUUAAGGAUGAGCCUUGAUGUAAUCCUACAGUUAUGGGAAAGCUUUCGGUUUGUCCUUCAUGAGUUCUUACGGCAGUCUUUGCUCCUUCAUACAUAUCCUUUAUAGCUUGGAUAUAUGCUACUCGUACUCCUUUCUUCUCUAAAAUCCUCCAAAGAAUGUCUCUUGGGACCCUAUCAUACGCUUUUUCCAAAUCUAUAAAGACCAUGUGUAAAUCCUUUUUCCCAUCUCUAUAUCUUUCCAUCAAUCUUCGUAAGAGAUAGAUUGCCUCCAUGGUUGAGCGCCCUGGCAUGAACCCGAAUUGGUUGUCCGAAACCCGUGUCUCUUGCCUCAAUCUAUGCUCAAUGACUCUCUCCCAGAGCUUCAUUGUAUGACUCAUUAGCUUAAUACCCCUAUAGUUCAUGCAAUUUUGUACGUCGCCCUUAUUCUUGUAGAUAGGCACCAAAGUGCUCGUUCGCCACUCAUUUGGCAUCUUCUUCGUUUUCAAAAUCCUAUUGAAAAGGUCAGUGAGCCAUGUUAUACCUGUCUCUCCCAAAAGUUUCCACACUUCGAUUGGUAUAUUCGUCUGGGCCUAUUGCUUUUUUAUGCUUCAUCUUCUUCAAAGCUACAACCACUUCUUCCUUCCGGAUUCGACGAUAAAAAGAGUAGUUUCUACACUCUUCUGAGUUACUCAACUCCCCUAAAGAAGCACUCAUUUCAUGUCCUUCAUUGAAAAGAUUAUGAAAAUAACCUCUCCAUCUGUCUUUAACCGCGUUCUCUCUGUAGCAAGAACCUUUCCAUCCUCAUCCUUGAUGCACCUCACUUGGUUUAGGUCCCUUGUCUUCUUUUCCCUUGCUCUAGAUAGUUUAUAGAUAUCCAACUCUCCUUCUUUGGUAUCUAGUCGUUUAUACAUAUCGUCGUAAGCCGCUAACUUAGCUUCUCUAACAGCUUUCUUCGCCUCUUGCUUCGCUUUUCUAUACCUUUCACCAUUUUCAUCGGUCCUCUCCUUGUAUAAGGCUUUACAACAUUCCUUCUUAGCCUUCACCUUUGUUUGUACCUCCUCAUUCCACCACCAAGAUUCAUUUUGGUGUGGGGCAAAGCCCUUGGACUCUCCUAAUACCUCUUUUGCUACUUUUCGGAUACAACUAGCCAUGGAAUCCCACAUUUGGCUAGCUUCCCCCUCUCUAUCCCACACACAUUGGGUGAUUACCUUCUCUUUGAAAAUGGCUUGUUUUUCUUCUUUUAGAUUCCACCAUCUAGUCCUUGGGCACUUCCAAGUCUUGUUCUUUUGUCUUACUCUUUUGAUAUGUACAUCCAUCACCAACAAGCGAUGUUGAUUAGCCACGCUCUCUCCUGGUAUAACUUUGCAAUCCUUACAAGUUAUACGAUCCCCUUUCCUCAUUAGAAGAAAAUCUAUUUGUGUUUUUGACGACCCACUCUUGUAGGUGAUCACAUGUUCUUCUCUCUUCUUAAAGAAGGUGUUGGCUAAGAAGAGAUCAUAUGCCAUUGCAAAAUCCAAGAUAGCUUCCCCAUCCUCGUUUCUCUCCCCAAAACCAUGGCCACCAUGAAAACCUCCAUAGUUGCCUGUCUCCCUGCCCACAUGUCCAUUUAAAUCUCCUCCUAUAAAUAACUUCUCCGUCUGAGCAAUUCCUUGCACCAAGUCUCCAAGAUCUUCCCAAAAUUUCUCCUUCGAACUCGUAUCCAACCCUACUUGAGGUGCGUACGCACUAAUCACAUUAAUAAGUUCUUGUCCUAUUACAAUCUUGAUUGCCAUGAUUCUAUCUCCUACCCUCUUGACAUCUACAACAUCUUGUACCAAGGUCUUGUCCACGAUGAUGCCAACACCGUUUCUCGUUCUAUUUGUGCCCGAAUACCAAAGUUUAAACCCUGAGUUUUCUAGAUCCUUUGCCUUACUACCAACCCACUUAGUUUCUUGUAGGCACAUAAUAUUUAUCCUUCUCCUCACCAUAACUUCCACUACUUCCAUAGAUUUUCCCGUUAAUGUUGCUGACAUAUUAAACUACACAACAUCUAUUGUAAUUUAUGUCUUAUUAGUAUCAUCACUUUUGUUCUUUAUUUCAAUGUCUAACAUAAUGAUCUGGUUUCAAUUUGCUACAGGCAUUAUUCCCAGACAAUAGCUAUGGUUUUGAUUGUAGCGGUGACUGAAAAAUUAUUCCGAAACUAACAUUUGAGGAAUUCAAGGUUUGUUAGUUAAUUUGUACAUCAGAAUACCAUGACAAACUUUGAAGUUGUAAUUGUUGACCUUACAACGUAUCUUUUGGUUUGGAGCAUUAGACUUAUAUGUGUUGCUUUCACUUGAAGGCUAACUCUUUAUUUUAGGCCUUGGAAUAUAACUAGGAAAUUGUGCCCGCACGUUGUUGCAGGAACGAAAAUAAAACUAUAGAACAUAUCAUGAAAAUCCAAAUGUACAUAAAUGUUGAGUAACACUAUUAACAUAAACAUAAUAAAGACUGCAUAUAAAAUGUAGUCAAUAUUUUUACAGGCCACUGUUUAUAGUUGUACAAUUUAGGCAAAAAACAUUAGGAAACAUUUUGACAUGGAUGUACAAAAGUGAUGAGUCUGAUAUUUCCCCCUGGUAGCUAUGUUAGGUGUUGAUCAGCAUCAGUUGUUCAUGUGCACAAAAAAUAGGGGUAUCAAUGUUAUGGUGGCCUAUUUACACGCAAAAAAUAUGGAGAAGCACUGAUGUUGUUUUAACAAAAGAUGAUCAGUCUCUUUUCUAUAGCAGCAAAAGUUUGUUCCUUCUGGCAAUAACUGCAAAUAAACGAUGUGCAGAUGGUAAAAAAAAUAUGUAAAUGCUAACUGAGCUGUAAUCAAGUGUGUGCAAAUAUGGUUACAUCAUAUAAAAAAUAGGAAUGGAGCAAAGUUACCUAGUUUUUUUUUUUUUUGGUAGAGGGUCUUUUUUCAUGCUUGUUGGAGAAGAUGCUUUUUUUUCAACAAUUUGAUUGGAACCUGACCAAAAUCCUAGACAUCUACUUCAGAGACUUCCUCUGUCUCACCGUACCAAAUAUAUUAAAGAGAUAGGAAAAAUAGAUUUAGAUCAGAUUGAAAAUAAAUUGAGAAUGAGAAAAAAAUGCUGUGAUGCAGAAUAUAACAUGUUUUUAGCCUCUGUAAAAAGGGCUCUCCUGAUGGAAUCUCUUUUCCUCUUGUGCGUUUCUCCGGUUUUUUCAGCUGGUGUAGUGGACGAUGAAACUGUUGUCGAAGACACUGCAAUUUCUUUCAUAAAAGACUGGUGUUGUUGGUUGGAUCAUUGUGUCCUCAGAAACAUUGUAGAUAAGGAGAUCAUUUGAAUUCAACAAAUUUCGUCGGCUUCCAAACCAAAGGUGAAAAUUUUUCCUUUGGCCUAUAAGUCUGAAAAACUCACUUGGUAAUUGCUUGUGAUCUGUUGAUCUUUGAUUGUAAACCAAAUCUUUGCAUGGCAUGCCAAAGACCUUUUCUCCUAAUUUGCCGAUAAUGAGAGCAUUGAUCUCAUUUGUUUCGUCUUCAAGGACCAAGAACACUUUGUACCUUCAUUCAAAUAGAAAAGCCAUUAAUUAUAGAGGAUACACAGUGUAAUAAGUCAAGAACUACAUUCUCAUAGAUUUUUCUAUGGUAUGGUUUAAUGUUAAUACUAAUCAUAUGAAAAAUAAAAGGAUAGGUAUGCAAAGUUUGAUUUCAAAUUUAAUUAAAUUUAUGGCUUGUAAGUUUGUUACGUGAUCAAUGAACUAUUAAUUGAAAAUAUGUAAUUAAAAACAGAAUAAAUGAUAAGUUUCAGUUUAAUAAGGAUAUGAGACAACGAUCAAUUGACAAACGCAAAAUAUAGUGUUUAACUCGUUACCAAGGAGUUGGCAUUUGAUUUAUAUGUUUUUGGCACAUCAGUUGACCAGUUGUUGGGUCCUUGUACAUUUGUUUGGCACAUGUAGGGCAAGCAGCAUACCACCAUUCAUAUGAUGUGUUAAACCGCUUAAUUGAUGCCUUGCACAAAAAUGUAUCAUCCUGUUAAAUAUCCAAAAAGAUGUUUAGAUAGUUAAUAAUCAUGAAAUAGAAAGCUUAUGUAAAAGAAGUAAAAAUAGAAAGCUUAUGUUUAGAUAGUUCAUAUGAUGUGUUAACUCGUCAAGUCCAAAACGCUGGACUCCAACCACAUGACCAAUAACAUCUACAAAUUUGAAAAAAAGAAAGAAAACCAAAACAUAAUUAGGUGAGGAGAAAAUGUUUCAUAAAACAUGUAUCAAUGCAUUGUAACACACAGCUAUAUAUACAUGCGUACAUAUUUAUUACCUGUUAGGAUAUCAGUCUUGUUCAGCCUGGAUACAAUCUAUUAUAAUCUUGCAAAAAAAAAUCUGCGACACAGAAUAGGCAGAAACACACUUGUUAACUUGUUAAAAACUGUUUUGGCAGUUAACACGAGAUGGGUGUCAUGCGGGACUACUUGACACUGGCCUCUUAUUUUGUUGGUACGAAAAUUCAUAAUCUCGUAGCAAGCACCUGCUUCAAUUUUUGGGACUAUUAUAUCAUAGUUCAUUUCGUCAGAAGACGCUUCUAUCGCUUGUUCCUUGAUAACCAAACAUUGAGAAGGGAAGAAAAAGAAAUUGUCAAAGAUAUCAUGAAUAGGUAAAUAACACUAAAUUUGAAACUUAAAAUAAUAUGAAAACAUUUGCAAAUUACCAACAUUAUAGACUAAGAUGAAUACUAAAUACUGAAAGCCAAGUUAUCAUUGUAAUUAACAGUUUAAAGGCAAUGGAUACCCAUAAAAUAAUUACAUGUCACAUAGACUUAACAUGAGAGUUGAUAUAUUUAAUACUUGAAAUAAUAUGAAAAUAAAUGUAAAUCACAAAUAUUAGAGAAUAAGAUGGAUAGUUAACGUCAAGAGUGAAUUUAUUAGUGUAAUUAACAAGUUAAAGACAAUGCAUAUGCACCCAAAAACAAAUUCUUAUCACAUAGAGACAGAAUGAUAACUAACAUGUAAUUUUCCGAUACAAAAUGAAAGAAUACAGAGAUUAGAAAUGAAUUGGAGAUUGUGUUUAUCCCAGAGAGUAAAAAUGUCAUGUGAUAUGUAUUAGAACAAAUACAAAAUUCACAUGUUAAGAGCUUAUCAAACAGUAUUAUUAAAGAUUAAUUACUGACCUUUUCAUCAACUAAUACACAGUGUAGACCUGCAUAUUUAUCAGUCAUGCCUGAAAAUCUUGGUAUCUAUAUUCUGCAGAUACGAACUUUAAUUUUUCCAAUUUUUUCAUAUGGGACCAAUCGAUCAAGAGGAGUUGGACCUCGACCUUCCAUGUUUAACUGCUGAAAUGAGAUUUAAGGUUUGUGAAUUGACAAAUAAUGCAGAAAGAAAUUUCAAAGAGGCUGAACAAUGAUGUAACAACUACACUUUCAAAACUAUAGACCUACAACAGUUUGUUUAAAAGCGUAACUGAUUAAAAGAAUGAGAUUGCCAAAAGAAAACACAGCACGACCACUGCUUAACUGAACCACAUUCUCAACACACAAACAUAAACGUAGUGAUCCUAUACAUCCAUCAUAUUCUUUUUCUCUGUUUCCAUAUCCCUGAUCCCAAUUCUUUAUCCCAUCCUUUCAGUGUUGUUUUUUGCUCACUCUCAAUGUCACGCCCCUAUCUCGACAUACGUCCAGGCUCGACACAUGACGUCACCAACUACUCGUAUCUCUAACAUAUCCCGCCACCAGGAUAUGCAAAACACAACUCGAGAACCAAUUGCGUAAUAAAUUUUUGUAUACUUUAUGGUUGCAUCUAACCUCUUCGUUAGACUGUCUACGUACCCUCAAUAGAGAUCAAGCCAUUCGUAGUUCAACUUCGCUAUAACUCGACAUAUAACACAAUCUAUUCAAGCCAAAAUGCAUAACAUUCCUCAAUCAAACAUUUGGACUUGACGAGCAUGAAUUAUUCGAUUCAAACUACAUAACAACCCGCAUGACAAUCAAGGUUUCUAUUUCAUCCAUCAUAUACAUCAUUAUGUUUCAACAUAAAAUCACUAUUCAUAUCAAGUAAUAUAUCAAAGAAUCAAUAAAGCACAAUAGUAUCCUCUAGUCGCAUUGAUCACUGAUCUAAUCAUUAUAAUAACAAUCAUAUUCAACAUCCUUCCACAAUCAUCUCAAGUAACCCAUUCCAUGAUAUCAAGGAUGCACGAUAUUAACAUUUAAUUAUGUUAAUCAGUCAAUCAGAUCACAUCUCAAUGCACAAAAUUAAUAAAGGACUUCUAUAUAAUUCCCCUGGAUUUCAAGUAAUAACUUGAUAAUUCAAAUUUAUAUUCACAAAAUUUAUUGUGGGUAAUUCUCAUUCACUCGAAUCCAAGGUACAAGUCUAACUUAUAGAAAUGAGCAAGAGUAGGGAUUCCAGACCACUCAACGGAAUCCAAAUCAAGAUACGAUUCCAGACCACUCAACGGAAUCCAACCACAUCGGCUUCCGGAUCACUUAACGGAACCAAAAUUAUCCAUCGGUUUCUUGCAUGUAAAAUUAGUGACAUCGAUGACAAUCUAUAAACAUCAAGUAUAGAAUUAUGCUUUAUGAAAUCAUAAUCAAGUCACUGACAACUUCGAAGGAGUCACCCAGACAUCCAACGACUUUUUUAAUUUAAAGCACAAGAUUCUCAAAAUCCAUCGUUCAUAUGUACAUUAAAAACUAGGGCUAGAUGGACGCAGUUCGGCCGAAGCCUACAUCUUUGAAGCUAUCUCAAUCCAAACUCAAUGAAACCCGAGGUGGAUACGACCCCGGACCAUCACUCAAAAAAAUCACGGAGUAGGAGGGAUUCCGGACCAUCUCUCAACGGAAUCCAAGUGGAUACGAUUUCGGACCAUCACUCAACAGAAUCGCGGAAGGCCAACAACCAUAUAUACAAUGACUCAAAGAAAUGAGACAAGCACAAGUUACUUAAUUUACAAAAGCUUAACCAAGGGAAAUAAGGCACAAAUACUAAAUUUAGAACGAAUCAACGAAGUGGAAGAUGAAACCAUAUCGAAUCAACAAAUCCCCAUCACCACAGUUUAACGGUCUACCACUAGUCCUCACAUUUCAUCACAACAGGCCAAUCAAACCAAUCAAACCAAUCAAACCAUAUUUCAAUAUAUAUACAUGUCAAAUCUCAUUUCAUAAACCUAAAUUAAUAAAGGACUUCUAUAUAAUUCUCUGCCUGGAUUUCAAGUAAUAACUUGAUAAUUCAAAUUUAUAUUCACAAGAUUUAUUGUGGGUAAUUCUCAUUCACUUGAAUCCAAGGUACAAGUCUAACUUAUGGAAAUGAGCAAGAGUAGGGAUUCCAUACCACUCAACGGAAUCCAACCACAUCGGGUUCCGGAUCACUUAACGGAACCAAAAUAAUUUAUCGGUUUCUUGCAUGUAAAAUUAGUGACAUCGAUCACAAUCUAUAAACAUCAAGUAUAGAAUCAUGCUUUAUGAAAUCAUAAUCAAGUUACUGACAACUUGGAAGGAGUCACUCAGAUAUCCAACGACUUUUUUAAUUCAAAGCAUAAGAUUCUCAAAAUCCAUCGUUCAUAUGUACAUUAAAAACUAGGGCUAGAUGGACGCAGUUCGGCCGAAGCCUACAUCUUUGAAGCUAUCUCAAUCCAAACUCAAUGAAACCCGAGGUGGAUACGACCCCGGACCAUCACUCAAAGAAAUCACAGAGGAGGAGGGAUUCCGGAACAUCUCUCAACGGAAUCCAAGUGGAUACGAUUUCGGACCAUCACUCAACAGAAUCGCGGAAGGCCAACAACCAUAUAUACAAUGACUCAAAGAAAUGAGACAAGCACAAGUUACUUAAUUUACAAAAGCUUAACCAAGGGAAAUAAGGCACAAAUACUAAAUUUAGAACGAAUCAACAAAGCAGAAGAUGAAACCAUAUCGAAUCAACAAAUCCCUAUCACCACAGUUUAACGGUCUACCACUAGUCCUCACAUUUCAUCACAACAUGCCAAUCAAACCAUAUUUCAAUAUAUAUACAUGUCAAAUCUCAUUUCAUAAACUUAAAUCAAUGGCUAAGCAUUAAAAAAAAUUAUUCAAUAGAAAACAUAUUUAUAAACCCAAGUCAUAUCCACAUAGGAUAACAAUUACGAAAAUAAGGUAAUCACCAAUAUCACAUAUAUUAAAGUCACUCACCUGAGGUCCACACUAACGCACUCUAGCAUGGAAUUCAAGGCAUCAAGCUCUAUUACCGCCAAAAACAAAGCACAAGUCCACAUUUAGAUUUCUCUCGAUAAAUUCACAUGCCCAAAACUCUCAUAAGUCUCCCACAACGACAUUUAAUGAGAAUCAAACCGUCGAUCAAAGGUAUGGUCCAUGAUCUUACAUCAUUUGCUCCGUAAGAUCCAACCACUAGAUUUUCACUAGUAAGUUCCUAAGGCCCAACAACUGAUAAAUAUGGUGCUCACAAAAUUGUACAACGAUCCAACGAUCAGAUUGUCAUCAAUCACAUAAACAAGUGGUGGUCCAAUUUGAUCGCCAUACCAAACAAUUGAAUUUCGGGAAACCAAGCUAGACAUAGGUUCAUAGGGUCACUAGAAGGUAUUUGGUACUUGACAACACUCGUGGACAAUCUCACGCACCGCCACACGCGAUGGUAGCCAUGGUGAAGGAUUUGAAAACCCAAUUUUUCAACCUUAACCACAAAGGCUCAAAUUUACGUGGUAAUUAGAGUAAAAAUCCAAUUUCAUCAUGGAAAACCGGGUUUCUAGGGUUCUACACACCCAACUCUAAAACGAAUACGAAAGCACCAACUUGAAGAUUAUGAAGAGUAUACUUCACUCGAAGGAAAUGGUUGACGGAAUCACCGGAAAAAUGAUAAAACCGCCGGAAACCCACAGAACUUUGCUGUCUCUAACUGGAAAAAUAGAUAAGAAAAUGGGAAAUCUAACACUACAGAGAUGUAGGGCUCGUCAAGAGCUUUAAUGAACACCAAGAUCACCCAAAACGGAGAUCGGAUGAAGGAGAUAUGAGCGGAUCAAGUUUGCGGGUUAACGGGUCUAAUUCGCCCCAAAACGGGUUUUUCCUUCUUUUCUCUCGCCACCUUCCCGUGGCUUUCUUUUCCUCUCCUCUUUUUAGCCACUCCCGUGGCCUUUUCCUUCUCUUUUCAUUUUUUUUUAAUUUUUAAUUUUUAAUUUUUUUAGCAACAACUUCAAACGUCCGUAACUAUACCGUUAUAAUCUGGACUUGCAAACGGUUUUCGCCUAUGCGUUCGUAAUCUCGAUAUCUAUUCAACAAUAUAAAUUGUGACCUCGAAUGGUCUGCGGAUUUUAAAUAAUUAAUUUUCCAAAAAAUAAUAUAAAAUUUCUAUAAUACCACUAUGUAGAUUAUACUAAUGAAAUCCAGUAUCUAGAUUUCACACUCAAUCCCAUUUUCUUCCAAGUCUGAUAAAACCCACAUGCAUAAACGGGCUACAAAUCUGCCAAACCCAAAACAAAACCUAACUAAAAAUCUGAGAGAUUAAAACUUUCGCUCAAAAAAACAGUCUAUCUCUCCGAUAAAACAGAAAUAUCCCAAAAUAGGAAUGCUUGGUAAUAAAAUAAUGAAGCAACAAAUGGCAUGAAAUAAUCAAAAAACAACCCUACAAAUUCAAAUAACCGAAACAAAUAAUCAUAUGGCCAAUUCAGUUCGAAAAAAAAAAAACAUCGCACAAAAAACUAAUACCUGACAAAGAACCCAAUUGGGGAUACUGGAAAUUGCAACUACACGAUCCUCCAAUUGACGAUCAGACAGCCGUUCAACCACUGCAAAAACAACCAUAAAAAAACACAAAGUCAUAGCCUAUCAAGAGUGUAAGUAAAAAAAAUGAACAAAUCGAUAUUUCCUGUCCCGAAUUAAAAACUGGAAAGCGAAAACAAAGGCGCUGAAAAACAAAAGCUGAAAAUCAAUUGCACAACAGCAGAAACCAACAAGAAAAACGAAAGACAGAAACGAUAACAAAAAGCAUAAGCAAAACGAAAGAAACGGCAAACAAAGCUAACCAAGCAAAUUUGAAACGAAGAAAAAUGCACAACCAGCUUAAACCACGGCAAAAAUAAGAGAGAGAAGAGACAAAGCCACGGCCAAUUCGAUGAUCGACACGUGGCCAUAAGUGGAAAAGGCAAAGCCGAGCAACACGCCGGGGGGGGGGGGGGGAAGAUAACAAACGGUCGCGGUGAUAAGGCAAUCAGAAGGUAACGUAAAAAAAAUUAGGAUUUAAAUUUUUGUGGUAGAUUUCGUUAGCAAAUUUAAUCCAAAAUUAUUUUUUUUUUGUUACUUGUCUGUUAAAUACAGGGAUAAAAAUGUAUUUUAACUAGUACGCAUUCUUCUUCCUCCCUCUGCGUUUCAUCUAUUUAUAUCUUAAAACAACCCCUACCAGAAAACCACAGAAAAUAAACCAUGAUCAUUAAUCUCUCAUCUUCUCCAUCAUCCUCUUCUUUCUCUCUCAUCAAGUUAUCUAAUUCCAAAUCACUCAUCUCUGAUUUUCCAUCAAAACCUAAAACCCACCACCCAAAACCUCUAUCUUCUUCCAUUUGCUGCUCAUUUUCUUCACUAGACCUUGGUUUUCACUGCAAGGAUCGAUUUUUCAUUGAAAAUGGUAGGUGCCCACAUGGGAAAAGGUUCAAGUUUAGGACUUGUGCGAUUCCUGGCUUCGACUCUGGCAACCUCAGUUGGUUUUGGAGGCGGCUGCUGUGUUAACGGCCAUAAUUGUUGUCCAUGAGAGCGGUCACUUCGUUGCAGCUUAUCUCCAAGGCAUCCAUGUAAGCAAAUGGAAGAAGAUGGAGGUUUUGGGUGGUGGGUUUUGGGUUUUGGGUUUUGGGUUUUGAUGGAAAAUCAGAGAUGGGUGAUUUGGAAUUGGAUAACUUGAUGAGAGAGAGAGAAUAGGAGCGUGGAGAAGCUGAGAGAUUAAUGAUCAUGGUUUAUUUUCUGUGGUUUUUUUGGUAGGGGUUGUUUUAAGAUAUAAACAGAUGAAAUGCAAAGGGAGGAAGAAGAAGGAGUACACGUUAAAAUACAUUUUUAUCCUUGUAUUUAACAGACAAGUAACGGAAAAAUCAAUUUUGGAUCAAAUUUGCUAACGGACUCUAUCACAAGGGUUUAAAUCCUAAUUUUUUUUACCACAAGGGCUAUCUUCCGAUUACCUUAUCACCACGAGGACUGUUUAUCCGAUUAGGCCAAAAUAUAAAGGAAAGGGGCAAAAUGACAUUUCAUAUAGCAUCUUCAAAAUGCCAAAAAAGUGAGCGUUAGAUCAGGGGCAAAAUCGGGUGGGCACUGUUAGUGAACAAUGGUUUUCCCACAGGGUUUUAGUAUAGAUAAUAAUUUCUUGGAGAAUCAACAUUGUUGACAAUUUUUUGAGCAAUAUUAUCCCCAAAUUUUCUUUGCAUGUUACCCUCAACGUAGACAUCAUAUAACCAUCCUUGAACUUCUGAACCAAAAAUUUGAGUUUUAUGAUUAUAACUAAACGUCUAUAAACACAUGAUACAGAUUGAGACAAAUGUCAAAUUUAAAAUGGCAUUAAUCAGGACAGCUGCAAACUCUGAUUUGUAGGCUUUGAAAUGGAGAAGUUACUUCUUGCUUCACUUUAGCAUCAUAGUUCAGCUUCUAAGUUCAGUUCUCAACUAUGAGGUUUCUCAGUUACCUCUUUCUUGUAAUAAAACAUUAGGUAAAUUAUACAAAACUACCUCAACUAUUGAGUAAUUAACAGCUUCAUACCUCGUCUUUAAAAAGUUUCAAUGUCAUACCUCAUCUACGAACUUGUUACAAUUUCAUACAUUCCGUAAGUUGUCUGUUAAUUCUUCUGUUAAAAUGCUGACGUGGCAAGUGACGGGAUCCAUUUUCUAUUAAAAAAUAAUAAAUAUUAAAAAAAAAAGACCCAAACCCAGAUCCCCAUCCCCCCUUCCCAUCUGUCCCCCCUCCUCCUUCUCCUCAUCCUCCUCCGCACCCACCUCACACCCACCCUCUUCCCUUCUCUACACACUCCACUCCUUAAAUCCACACCCAUUCCCCCAUUCAAAACCCCCAGUUCGUCUUCUCCCUCACCCGAGCCCAACCUGCAACUAGACUUGGCAGUUUUUGACACGACACGAAAACGACACGAAAAUAACGGGUUUCGGGUCAACACGAUAACUUAUCGGGUCACUAUCGGGUGACCCGUUAAGAACCCGUUAACGGGUUCUUAACAGGUAUACACGCGGGUAACACGUGGGUAACCCGUUUCGACCCGUUAAGAAAAGAAUUAUUUUAAUAAUUUUAAGGUUUAAUUACUAAAAGAUUUAUUAUAAAAUACAAUAGUCAUAUUAAUAUAUACAAUAUAUUCUAUAUUAAAUAUAUAGUUUUGUAUUAUUGUUCUAUAUAAAUUAUAAAAAAAUUAAAAAAAAGUUUUAGUCAUUAUUUAUUUUUAUUAUGAGAGUUCCUUAUUAUCAUUACUAGGAUAAAUUUUACAUAACAUAUUCUUGUCCAAAAUUAAAAUAUACUGGUAUAGUAUUUGUAUAUGCAAGAACUAAGAAGACAUACAUACAAGUAUGAAAAAUGUGAAAAAAUAUAUAAACACUCGUGAUUUAUCAUUAUUCCUCCACGAAUAAAUAAUUGUUACACUUAUAUUAUCGUUUAGAUUUUUUAAAUCCUUCAAACCCUCAUGAAUAAUGUUUUUUAUUUGAGGGAAAAAUUAAUAAAAUUAAUAAUAAUUAUUGUAGAAGUGUAAAAAUGUAAAAAUAUAUAUAUAAAAUCACUCAUAUAUAAAAAAAUGUAAAUGCUUUAAAUAAAAGAUCAAAUUUAUUCAUUACAUUCUUAUAGGGUCGAGGAGUGUAUCUGUAAAAAAAUCAUCAAAAUCAGAGAUAAAAUAACCGUUAAAUUAUGAUUUUUCGUUUAUAACCGCCGAAAACUUUUAUUCCAUUACGUAAUCUCUAAAUGUUUGUUUUUUACGAUUUUUUACAUAUGCGAUCUCGGAAUGUGUACAAAUAAGUUUGACGGUUGGAUCGUUGAAAAAAGUUUCAUAUAAUGCAUAUUGCGUCAAAACGGUAGAUUAAGCAAACACUUAGAGUUAAUAUUAUACUUCUAUUAAGUAUAAAAUAAGUUUUUGUGGUAUCCACUAGUGUAAAUACUUUAAAUUAAAGAUCUAAUUUAUUCAUUACAUUCUUAUAGGGUCGAGGAGUGUAUCUGUAAAAAAUAAUCAAAAUCGGAGCUAAAAUAACCGUUAAAUUGUGAUUUUUCGUUUAUAACCGUCGAAAACUUUUGUUCCGUUACUUAAUCUCUGAAUGUUUGUUUUUUAUGAUUUUUAACGUAUGCGAUCUCGGAAUGUGUACAAAUAAGUUUGACGGUUGGAUCGUUGAAAAAAGUUUUGAAGAAUGCAUAUUGCGUCAAAACAGUACAUUAAACAAACACUUAGAGUUAAUAUUAUACUUCUAUUAAGUAUAAAAUAAGUUUUUGUGGUAUCCACUAGUGUAAAUACUUUAAAUUAAAGAUCAAAUUUAUUCAUUACAUUCUUAUAGGGUCGAGGAGUGUAUUUGUAAAAAAUCAUCAAAAUCAGAGAUAAAAUAACCGUUAAAUUGUGAUUUUUUCGUUUAUAACCGUCGAAAACUUUUGUUCCAUUACGUAAUCUCUGAAUGUUUGUUUUUUACGAUUUUUUACGUAUGCGAUCUUGGAACGUGUACAAAUAAUUUUGACGGUUGGAUCGUUGAGAAAAGCUUCGUAGAAUGCAUAUUGCAUCAAAACGGUAGAUUAAACAAACACUUAGAGUUAAUAUUAUACUUUUAUUCAGUAUAAAAUAAGUUUUUGUGGUAUCCACUAGUGUAAAUACUUUAAAUUAAAGAUCAAAUUUAUUCAUUACAUUCUUAUAGUGUCGAGGAGUGUAUCUGUAAAAAAUCAUCAAAAUCAGAGAUAAAAUAACCGUUAAAUUGUGAUUUUUCGUUUAUAACCGCCGAAAACUUUUGUUCCAUUACGUAAUCUCUGAAUGUUUGUUUUUUACGAUUUUUUACGUAUGCAAUCUCCGAAUGUGUACAAAUAAGUUUGACGGUUGGAUCGUUGAAAAAAGUUUCGUAGAAUGCAUAUUGCGUCAAAAUGGUAGAUUAAACAAACAUUUAGAGUUAAUAUUAUACUUCUAUUAAGCAUAAAAUAAGUUUUUGUGGUAUCCACUAGUGUAAAUACUUUAAAUUAAAGAUUAAAUUUAUUCAUUACAUUCUUAUAGGGUCGAGGAGUGUAUCUGUAAAAAAAUCAUCAAAAUCGGAGCUAAAAUAACCGUUAAAUUGUGAUUUUUCGUUUAUAACCGUCGAAAACUUUUGUUCCGUUACGUAAUCCCUGAAUGUUUGUUUUUUAUGAUUUUUUACGUAUGCGAUCUUGGAAUGUGUACAAAUAAGUUUGACGGUUGGAUCGUUGAAAAAAGUUUUGUAGAAUGCAUAUUGCGUCAAAACAGUACAUUAAACAAACACUCAGAGUUAAUAUUAUACUACUAUUAAGUAUAAAAUAAGUUUUUGUGGUAUCUACUAGUGUAAAUACUUUAAAUUAAAGAUCAAAUUUAUUCAUUACAUUCUUAUAGGGUUGAGGAGUGUAUCUGUAAAAAAUCAUCAAAAUCAGAGAUAAAAUAACCGUUAAAUUGUGAUUUUUCGUUUAUAACCGCCGAAAACUUUUGUUCAGUUACGUAAUCUCUGAAUGUUUGUUUUUUACGAGUUUUUACGUAUGCAAUCUCGGAAUGUGUACAAAUAAGUUUGACGGUUGGAUCGUUGAAAAAAGUUUUGUAGAAUGCAUAUUGCGUCAAAACGGUAAAUUAAACAAACAUUUAGAGUUAAUAUUAUACUUCUAUUAAGUAUAAAAUAAGUUUUUGUGUUAUCCACUAGUGUAAAUACUUUAAAUUAAAGAUCAAAUUUAUUCAUUACAUUCUUAUAGGGUCGAGGAGUGUAUCUGUAAAAAAUCAUCAAAAUCGGAGCUAAAAUAACCGUUAAAUUGUGAUUUUUCGUUUAUAACCGUCGAAAACUUUUGUUCCGUUACAUAAGCUCUGAAUGUUUUUUUUUAUGAUUUUUACGAAUGCGAUCUUGGAAUGUGUACAAAUAAGUUUGACGGUUUGAUCGUUGAAAAAAGUUUUGUAGAAUGCAUAUUGCGUCAAAACGGUAGAUUAAACAAACACUUAGAGUUAAUAUUAUACUUCUAUUAAGUAUAAAAUAAGUUUUUGUGGUAUCCACUAGUGUAAAUACUUUAAAUUAAAGAUCAAAUUUAUUCAUUACAUUCUUAUAGGGUCGAGGAGUAUAUCUGUAAAAAAUCAUCAAAAUCAGAGAUAAAAUAACCGUUAAAUUGUGAUUUUUCGUUUAUAACCACCGAAAACUUUUGUUCAGUUACGUAAUCUCUGAAUGUUUGUUUUUUACGAUUUUUAACGUAUGCAAUCUCGGAAUGUGUACAAAUAAGUUUGACGGUUGGAUCGUUGAAAAAAGUUUCGUAGAAUGCAUAUUGCGUCAAAACGGUAGAUUAAACAAACAUUUAGAGUUAAUAUUAUACUUCUAUUAAGUAUAAAAUAAGUUUUUUGUGGUAUCCACUAGUGUAAAUACUUUAAAUUAAAGAUCAAAUUUAUUCAUUACAUUCUUAUAGGGUCGAGGAGUGUAUCUGUAAAAAAUCAUCAAAAUCGGAGCUAAAAUAACCGUUAAAUUGUGAUUUUUCGUUUAUAACCGUCAAAAACUUUUGUUCCGUUACGUAAUCUCUGAAUGUUUUUUUUUAUGAUUUUUUACGUAUGCGAUCUUGGAAUGUGUACAAAUAAGUUUGACGGUUGGAUCGUUGAAAAAAGUUUUGAAGAAUGCAUAUUGUGUCAAAACAGUACAUUAAACAAACACUUAGAGUUAAUAUUAUACUUCUAUUAAGUAUAAAAUAAGUUUUUGUGGUAUCCAAUAGUGUAAAUACUUUAAAUUAAAGAUCAAAUUCAUUCAUUACAUUCUUAUAGGGUCGAGGAGUGUAUCUGUAAAAAAGCAUCAAAAUCAGAGCUAAAAUAACCGUUAAAUUGUGAUUUUUCGUUUAUAACCGUCGAAAACUUUUGUUCAGUUACGUAAUCUCUGAAUGUUUGUUUUUUAUGAUUUUUUACGUAUGCGAUCUUGGAAUGUGUACAAAUAAGUUUGACGGUUGGAUCGUUGAAAAAAGUUUUGUAGAAUGCAUAUUGCGUCAAAACAGUACAUUAAACAAACACUUAGAGUUAAUAUUAUACUUCUAUUAAGUAUAAAAUAAGUUUUUGUGGUAUCCAUUAGUGUAAAUACUUUAAAUUAAAGAUCAAAUUUAUUCAUUACAUUCUUAUAGGGUCGAGGAGUGUAUCUGUAAAAAAUCAUCAAAAUCAGAGAUAAAAUAACCGUUAAAUUGUGAUUUUUCGUUUAUAACCGUCGAAAACUUUUGUUCCAUUACGUAAUCUCUGAAUGUUUUUUUUUUACGAUUUUUUACGUAUGCGAUCUUGGAACGUGUACAAAUAAUUUUGACGGUUGGAUCGUUGAAAAAAGUUUUUGGACCGCCAGCAAUAGAUAAUUUUGUAGUAGUGAAACCUUAAAUUUAUUUAACCGUUAAUUGUUAUUUACACUUUAUUCUUCUGACUGAAUUUCAUUUUUAAAAUUUUAUUUUUUGAAAACAUGAUCAUCUGGUGGAUGUAAGAAGAUGAUAUCACGUUUCGAUAUUUACGAUUAACUGAAAUAUGAGUCAAUGUCAUAUAAUUUGUAGAAACUUUAUAAACAUCAAGCAAUAUUUUCACUAACCGUAGAACUCUAAAUAUAAUAUCAACGAUUCAACGAUCCAAACCGUUCAUCUACCGGCACCCUCUAAUAGAUCAUGUUUUCAAAAAAGAAAAUCUAAAAAAACGAAAUUUGAUGAGAACAAUGAAGCAUAAAUGUAAACAACAAUCAACGGUUAAAUUUUGAUCUAUGAUUUAUAUGAUUAUAGUGGCGAAUUUCGAAGUUAAGCUCUUCAUGAAAGUUAUAAAGCUUGUCAUUACGAGUGUUUAUAUAUUUUUUUACACUUCUACAUUAAUUAAAAAACUAUUAAAGACUUUAGGUAAGCGAAAAUAUACUUAAAACAAAAUUGCGUUUUUAUGUUUUGGAUGUGAUAAUAUGGAAUGUAUAUACUUAUUUAGUAUUAUGUUUUUCAUUUGAUUAUUUAUUGGUUUAAAAUAUAUUUUCCUUAACGGGUAACGGGUCGGGUCAUAUUACCUGUUAAUAUUAUUGGGUUGAUUUCGGGUCAGGUCAUUUUACCCGUUUAUUUUAACGGGUGUUACAUGACACGACCCGUUAAGAUAUCGGGUAUGACACGAAAACGACACGAACACGGAAAACACGACACGAAUGCCAAGUCUACCUGCAACCCAGAAGAGAAAAUAAAAAAAAAGCUCAGAUCCCUUCUUGCCCGAGUCUCGACCCCCUUCCCUGCACCCACCCUCUCGAGGAAGAUGAAGAUGAUUUUUUUUUCUUUUCUGGGUUGCAAGUUGGGCUCCGGUGAGAAGGGGGAGAGGUUAGUGAAGCAGCAGGAGGAGGAGGAGGAGAAUGAGCACCAUGGGAGGGAGGAGGAGAUGGAGGAAGAGAAGGCGCUAGGGGGGGUUUAGGUUUGGAAAAGGGGGGACGAAUGGGUUUUGCCAGGGGAGUGGGGGUGGGGGGAUGAGGAUCUGGGUUUGGGUUUCUAAUUUUUUUAAAAAUAUUUUUUAAUAGAAAAUGGGUCCCGUCACUUGCCACAUCAGCAUUUUAACGGAGUAAUUGACAAACAACUGACAAAUGGUAUGAAAUUGUAACAAAUUCGUAGAUGAGGUAUGACAUUGAAAUUUUUUAAAGAAGAAGUAUGAAACUGUUAAUGACCUAAUAGUUGAGGUAGUUCUGUGUAAUUUACCCUAAAACAUUUGACCAGUACUUGUCAGGAUAUCCAAUUAAUUAGGUCAAUUUUUGUCAGCGGUAAUAAUUUGUUUUUGCAGUUUUAUAUGUGUCUCUGUCUCCAAAUAUGAUGAUCUCUUAAUUUGCUUCUAUAGUUUUUGUAAUAUGAUGAUCUCUUAAUUUGCUUUUGCAUAUCUUCUUUGCUUCCUCUGCUAGCUCUAUAUCCAAAUAAUUAUUCCUUAUUUCCUAUUUUUACAAGAAGCAAAUCAUUGAAUACACAUGGAAAAUUAAAAGGGUUUUAGUUUUUGGAUUAGUUUAAAAUUUUUGUUGUUAUUGGUUGUAUUGCUUUAAAAUAUUUGAUGGGUAGUUUGAAAUGGAGAACUUAGUUGAUUGAGUAUUAACUUUUAUUAAAUUAAGACUCUAAGGCUCUAAUCUAAUUUUCAUGCUCAACAUCUCCUCUAUCUUUCUACAAUUGGUAAAACUUUUGUAUUAUUAUUCCAAUUUUGGUUACUGGGUUUUGGAAUUUUCCAUUUUUUUUCUGGGUAAUCAAUAUUGUAUAUAUGCAUGACAAGUAUAAACAAUAUUUUAGGGCAAAUUUAGUUGUUUAAUUUUUGAAUUAGAAGUUUUUGGUUUAUCUAUAUUACGUGAAAUAAAAAAAAAUUAUAAAGCUUUCGUUUUCAUGUCUUAAAGCUUUAAGCUUUACUUGAAAAACGAACUUAAUUUUGGGCUCAAAUUAUUGAAUUUCUUUGUUCUAUGCGUUUGAAUUUCAUUAAAUUUUUGUUAACGUUUGGUUAAAAUCUUCAUUACUGUAAUAUGAUCGAAUUUGCGAUUUAAUUUUUAAUUUUUUUUUGUGACAAUGAGAUUAUGGUAGGAUUUCGUUUAGAUUCCUCGGCCCAAGGAGAGUCUCUGCUUUUGAUAAGAUUGGGGUUGAUGCUAUCUCUGUCACAGCCCGUCCCGGAGAUAUGUAUUAUUUUAUUCUCGAUAAUGUGAAAGGACGGUUUUAUCCUUAGACAUUGAAAUUGUAGUGUAUGUGUGUGACAUAUUUUGGUUCUUGGAUGUCAUGUUCUUGGUUGGUUGGUGACCACGUGGGACACACACACACACAAACCUCAUUCUCUCUCUUCUCUCCCGUGCUUUCUCUCUCAGACUCACUAUCUCUCCUCAUUCUUCGUACGGUCGAGCACCAAACUCACCCAUUCACGCACAGAUCGAGAUCGUGCUUGGUUGUAUUGUCUUCAUCUCCUCACCAUGAGCUCAUCCAUACCAGUUUCAGGUAUGAAAACCUUCGAAAACCUCGUGAACCAAGAAUCUCCAAUUUGAACAUUGUUCAUGCUAACGUAAAAACAUGUGUUUUUGGAAAUUCUAAGCUCACAUGGAGCUUUGGAAGGCCCUCUACAGGCUCGGAGAAGUUCGUUUGGUGGUUUUGGACGUCGGAAUCGAGAAGUCGAAGCUUGGCUGGUUUUUCUCGAAUUUUCCCAGCAAGAUCCCGUGGUUUUUGAGGCUUGAAAGAGGUAUAAACUUGUUCUAUUCUCCAUGCACUUCAUUUUGGUAUAAAGAUCGUGAAAAAUGGUGCAAAAAUGGCCGAGAUAUCAUAGUUUAAAAAUUUCUCAGUUUUCCGGCGCCAACGACGGUUGCCAGAGUUCAGAGGUAGGAGACGACGGAAUAUUCCGACGUAGUCAGUUAGUUUGGACGGAUUCCGUUAGGACUUAACGGAAUAUUCCCCAGUAUAUACUUGAUGGUGUUAACUGACGCCGUCAGUAUGCUUGUCACCUGGCCACGCGUGGGGGUGCGUAGGGCCGUGCCCUUGCUUGCGCGUGGUGGCGCGUGGGUGAUCGAAAUUUUUUUCUAAAAAUAUUGGGACGUGACGUUGUUUAGAUCACGUUGGUAUAUUCAAAUACCAAAUUUGAGCAGUGUAUGAGAAGUUAUUAGCUAGUUUUGUGUAUGUGCUUUAAAUAACGUUUUUAUAGUUAAUUCGCAUAUAGAUGAGACUUGUCCCGAUGACGAGCGUGUUCAAGGGCGACUCAGGGGCUACGACCCUUCGACAUACUAGUGAGUGAGAUUUUGGUUUUCAGUAUAUAUUUAUAUACUUGAUAUUUUCCCAUAAAUAUGUGUUUAAAUGAAAGUAUGCCUUAAAUGUCAUGCAUAUGAAUUUAUAUAUCGUAUAUGAAUUGGUAUAUGAUGCACUAUAUAUAAUUGUGGUGUUGUGGACACUCAGGUAAGCUCAGGUGAAUUAUGGUUGGUUAUGUGAAUUAUCGAUGAUGUGAUAUGUGAUUGAAUAACGUUGAGCUCAUAAAACUGCACCUAGGGUGAUUGUGAUUUAGCCAGAGAUAUGGCACAUGCCUGUUUAUAAUGUCACCUCCCGCACCAUAUGCUCAUUUUGGAUCCAAUUUACGUGCACAGUCUUAUCGUACAGAUCUUAUUUAUGGUUUCGACUUGUAGGUGACUAGCGAUUUAUCACCCAACUAUUAUGUGAGAGUAGUAUUGAGCAUAAAUAUAUUACACCCAGUAUUGUCGUAUAGACCUUUUCAUUUGGUUCCAACUCUUGUGCAGUAUAGUGCCGUAUAAGUCAUUGUAGUGAUUCCGGCUAGAUUGACUUUUGAGCUAUGAAUUCAGCCGUACAGACUACCACAGGGUUCCGGCAUAUAUGUUACAUUUCUAUGAAAUUAUUCUUACAUGAAUUGCUUACUAUGUUAUAUCUUGGCAUGGCAUACAUAUGAAUAUGAUUAUGUGAAGCAUGAUUUGAAUUGAUAUAUUUACAUAUAUAUUUAUGUAUAUGCUUAUAUCUUGAUUAUGGGAAAAAUUAUACAUGUUUUACAGCGAGGGGUUAGAUAUGUUGAUAAAUAAAAUGAUUUUGUAAAACAUUUGUUUUUGCCCACUCAUGUUUUCUAUUUUGCGCCUCUCCAUGUUUUAGGUAAGUUUUCAGUUGCUGGGUGCGAGGACUUCGGCGGUUCUAACCUAUCAAAAUAAUUGUAGAACAUCUUAUGGUACUGUAUAAUUAGUACUUGUCCUACUGGACUGCACCUAGACUUUCUAUGCUUUGAUUAGGAGUAUUUACUUUUGUAUUUUACUUCUAACACUUCCUGUUUAAUAAUGCACUCCAGUAGUUUCAGUUUUAAUUAUUCGUAUAUUUCUUAUCUUAAUUGCUUUCGCAUUGUGCACAUGGCUACGUCACCCCCACGUGACGACCAAUAUGCCUUGAUCUCGAUCGGGGUGUGUCAAUAUCAUGAAACAAAACCCAGGUCUAAAUAUUUGAUAAUUUAUAAUUUCAAGAAAGCCAAUAAGCCUACUGUGGACGCCGCAGCGGCCUAGCGCCGUUUUCCAAAAUCCUCUCUUACUUGGGUAAACAAUUAAGACUUUUGGUUCAGUUUUUAUUAUGCCCAAUUUUGUAUUUAAACCUUAAAAAAAUUUAAACUAAUUUGGGGUUACUGAAAUAGGCAUGCUUGAUGAGUGUUGCAGAGCUGCCAUCCCUGAAUCAGAAGAUGUUCAGAAGGAAGAAAAAGAAGAAGAAGAAAGUCGUGGAAUAUCAAAAGCUUUUAGCUUGUGAAUGUAUGCUUUUCCCAACUCACCUUUUGCUUUUGUUGCACUGAAUUGGUAGAUUGGCUUCAAAAACAUAUAUAUGUGAUUUUUCGUGUAACUAUUUUGUUUAUACCAUAUUUAGGGCCUCGUACUUAGACCUCGUAUAAAUACUCGGGGGACUCAAAUGUAAUUAUGCAAUAAGGAAAGGGGCAAAUAUGUAAUAAGUGAGGAAUAUAAUACAAUCAGUGUGUACGUAGCCCAAACCUUGGGAAGAAAAGGUGUCGGCGACACUCUCAAGAAGCCUCGCGAACGCAAGCUUUACUACCCUGCUCUCAAGCUCUCGGAAGCUAUGGAUAGAAGAGGAAUGAACAACACAGUCGGUGAUCAGGCAAUACAUCUUGUUCUUGUUGCUAAAGUCUGGCAUAUUCCUACUGCAGAAAGUUAUUUCAUUGAUCUUCUUGAAUCAGCGAAGACCCAUCUUUGUUACGGGGCCCUGCUCAACUGUGGCCGCCAAAGCAUCAUCUUCCCCACCAUUUCCCAUCUCUAGUACUACCACCUCAUCCAGACGAUUCCCCACUCAUCCACUGCUUUUGUCGGCAAAAGCAGAAAGGGAAACAAAGAACUUGAGUGCCAUCUGCACUCUGCAAAGUAAAAGUAAAAGUUAAAAAAAAAGGGAAGUAAUGAUGGUGCCAGUCAGAUGCACCGAAAGCACUUACAGCUAUGAAUGUCAAUACCAAGAAUGACUGCUGGGUCCGGUCAAUGAUGAAAGUACAAAUACAUCCUCCUAGCGCUAGUCAGGUACUACUUCCAGAUGGGAGACGAUUGGCCUAUCAAGAACAAGGAGUCCCAUCAAAUAACACUCGAUUUUUGUGGUGAUGGCAUUAUGAGCGUGACCCAUUGAGCAGAGGGUCAGAUUUAUUUUUUGAAUGAUGUAAAUUAUUUUUCUUAUCUUUCGGAGACAUCUGUAUACACCCCGUCAGAGGGUAAUAAAAUAAAAAUAAAAAAAGGCAAGCCCAAAAUAAUAGGCUACAAGCCCAAAGUAAUGGGCUGCAAUGUCAUGUGGAGGGCAAACGCCCAUAUGCCCAAAAAUGUCAAACCCUCUAUUAUCACCAACCAGGUGAUCAAAAGUACGCCCAGUACUUCAAAAUUAUUCGGCAACCCACCGCUAUUACCACCAACCCGGUGAUGAAAUGUACAACCCGUACUCUAAUAUCCUUUGGCACCUGGCCACUCAUACUACCAACCAGGUGAAGAAGGAACUUAUCUUCAUGAGCAUGAGCACUACUCAUGUCAAUCAUACAUAAACAUUCAUGAGUAUCACUUAUAUCAAUCAUACAUAAACAUUCAUAAGCAUCACUCAUGUCAACAUUCAUGAGCAUCACUCAUGACAACAUCCAUGAGCAUCACUCAUGUCAAUCAACAUAAACAUUCAUGAGCAUCACUCAUGUCAAUCAGCUUCAAAAGCUUCAUUUACAGAACUCUAGCUUCAAAGCUUCACUUGCAAAGCUUCACCUACAAAGCUUCAGUGCGGGGUAUACAAAUACCGUCUCCGAACAACCGCCACUUCGGCCCAUACAUGGAUUCAAUUUGAAGUCUUCAGCCAACAGACUCUAUUGACCGAAGACUUGGGGGACUACACUAUACACCAUAUAUGGGGCCUCAACUGGGCCUCAUGAAAAAUAUACACCAUAUAUUGGGCCUCAACUGGGCCUCAUGAAAAAUACUCGAGGGACUUAGCCCAUUACUUAUGUAUGAAUGGGCGAGCCCUUAUUCUAUAAAAGGGACUCAUUCACCAUCAUUAGAGAGUAUUGCCGCCAGCUGAGCAACCGCCUCGCCGCGAGCAUCAACUCUAGCACAUUAUUCAUGUAUUGAGGAGCGAGCCCUUAUUCUAUAAAAAGGACUCUCUCACAUUCGUUAGAGAACAUCGCCGUCAGCUGAGCAACCACCUCGCCACGAGUAUCACUCAUAACCCAUUAUUCAUGUACUGAGGAGCGAUCCUUUAUUUUAUAAAAGGGACUCCCUCACCAUCAUUAGAGAGCAUCAACUCUAGCCCAUCAUCUAUGUAUUGAGGAGUGAGCCCUUAUUCUAUAAAAGGGACUCCAUCACCUUCAAACGCCACAAGCCGAGCCAACCAAGGCAACAUAAGCCACAAGCCGAGCAGUCUCGUAGCAUGUGCUACUUCUGGUUGAGCAUCAUUUCAGAUUGAGCACCGCCUUACAUCGAACAUCAGUUCAAGACAACAUCUAAUUACUUCGGCCCACACAUGGACUGAAUUUCAAGUCUCCAGCCAAAAGACUCUCUUGACUGAAGACUUGGGGGACUACUGUUUAUACCAUAUUUAGGGCCUCGUACUUAGACCUCGUAUAAAUACUCGGGGGACUCAAAUGUAAUUAUGCAAUAAGGGAAGGGGCAAAUAUGUAAUAAGUGAAGAGUCAUUAUUCUAUAAAAGGACUCCUCAUCCUCACAAUUAGGGGGAGGCUCAUUCUCACCCUCAGAUGCCAUUUCUGAAGCCUCUCUCACCCUCUCUUAGAGCUCUCUCUCUCUCCCUCACUUCUCAGAGAAAUAUAAUACAAUCAGUGUGGACGUAGCCCAAACCUUGGGGUGAACCACGAUAACCCUUGUGUCAUUUACAUUUUAUGCAGAUUCACGGUCGGAUUUACGUUGUUCCAAGACAUCCAGUUUUGUGCAUCAACAUAUUUCUUUACAUAAUUACCAAUUGAAGCUGAUUUGAGAUCGUGUAACAUUUCCUUGCCCAACCAAAGAUCGCUGUCGCUCAGAGCUGCAUUUCAUGAAACAAGUUUAUCUCCUGCCAAUUUUGUGUACCCACUUUUUAUUCAUGAGGGUUGGUGCUUGCUUGCAAGGCAAGUUGGUGCUAUUAAGUUUUGCGGUUUUACAAUCUGUUCAUGCUUAAACCUCUUUCAAUUUUUCAAUUCUAUGUAAACCUUGCAGGUCAGGACGGCACCCCUAUCUAGGCAAUGUCAGGAUGUCUAGGCUUGGGUGGAGACGUGGACUUAUGGAAGAGGUGAAGUAGCUUAGCUCUAUCUCAUUAGCUCUUAUCUGUUCUAUUAAUGCUAAGAUCAAUGGUAAAAAGUUAUAUUGAUUUUAUAAUCAAAGAUACAUAUAUUAUAAAAACAGAGGGUAUAUCAUUAAUUUCUUGAUGUAAACAACUUCCUAAGUUGGCUCCAUCAUCUUUCUCCUCACUUUCGAUCGGGUACCGCCUCUACUUACCGCGUUUUGUCGUGGAUCUUUGGGAGGGUGUGUAGAGCUUUAGCUCGGGUGUCUGCACCACCACCUUUGUUGGCCCUUGCUGGUCACUCCCGUUGUUGCUCGCCCUUGUUAGCGAUGUUGCCUGUGGGUUCUUUCUACUUGCAUGCUUGUUUGUUCUCUUGGGGGCUAUUCCAGUGCUGGUUUUGGGAUGAUGAUGUGACCUCUGUCCUCACCACUUCUGGGUUUCUUGAUGGUUUAAUCUUAAGUAAUCGUGGCGGGUGGCCGAUUGGGAUGUGGUUCUGUCGGCGAUGGGUUCUGUGUGGUUUGGUUGUUUGUCUUGGGCUCCAAGGUUGGUCUUGGGCCUUUGUUUUCUGUGUGUUGUGGCCCUUUUUCUUUUGUUGUGUUCAUAUGGUUUUGGGCCUUUGUUGUACUUCUCUAGUUGGUAAUGAAUUUUAUCCUUUGUCCCAAAAAAAAAAAAAACAAUGAUAAUUUGAAGAACCAUUUAAAGUAUUUUGGUAAUUAGCAUACUUAAGCUUAAAUGUGAUAUAUCUGUUUAGUAUUUUUUUGGAUAAAUUACACUUUCAUACCUCAGGUUUGGGGUCUAUUUCAAUUCAUUACAAUAUCUUUAAAACAUUUCACUUUCAUACCUUAAGUACUAUUUUAUUUCAAAAUAAUACAUCCGUUACAUUUUCCAUCCAUUAAUCUGUUAAAUGCUGACGUGGCUGCCACAUAUAUGCCACGUGGCUGCCAAAUGUCUGCCACGUGGCAAAUAAAAUAAUUUUUUAAUUUUUUUUUAAAAACCUGAAUUUUCUCAACAAAAAAAAAUUGAAACACACAUCUGCAAGAAGAAGAAGAAGAGGGAGGAAGAAAGAAAAAGAAAAAAAAAACUGUCCCUCAUCCCCCAGCGACCCAGAAGAAGAAGAAGAAAAAGAAGGAGGAAGAAAAAAAAGAAAAAGAAACCCACAUCUGCAAGAAGAAGAAGAAGAAGAAGAAGAAGAGGGAGGAAGAAAGAAAAAGAAAAAAAAUGUCCCUCCUCCCCCCAACGACCCAGAAGAGGAAGGAAAAAAAAAAAUAGAAACGCACAUCUGCAAGAAGAAGAAGAGGGAGGAAGAAAGAAAAAGAAAAAGAAAUGUCCCUCCUCCCCCUAGCGACCCAGAAAAGGAAGAAAAAAAAAUAGAAACCCACAUCUGCAAGAAGAAGAAGAAGAAGAAGAAGAAGAAGAAGAAGAGGGAGGAAGGGAGCUGGGUCGGGGUGGGGGGAGGGUCGCUGGGCUGGGGGGGACGGAGGGAGGGUCGCUGGGCAGGGGGGCCGGAAGGAGGAUCACUGGGCUGGAGGGAGGACGGGAGGAGGGUCACCGGGCGGGGGGAGGGUCGCCGGGGGGGGGUUCUUCUUUUUUCUUCUUCUGGUCACUGGGGGGAAGGACAAAUUUUUUUUUUCUUUUCCUCCUUCUGGUCGCUGGUUGCAGAUGUGGGUUUCAUUUAUUUAUUUAUUAUUUUUUUUGUUGAGAAAAUUCAGGUUUAAAAAAAAAGAAAAUUAAAUUUUUUUUGCCACGUGGCAGACAUUUGGCAGCCAUGUGGCACAAAUGUGGCAGCCACGUCAGCAUUUAACAGAUUAAUGGAUGGAAAAUCUAACAGAUGUAUUAUAUUGAAAUAAAAUAGUACUUAAGGUAUGAAAGUGAAAUGUUUUAAAGUUGUUGUAUGGGAUUGUAAUAAACCUUAAAAUCUGAGGGGCUACUGUGUAAUUUACCCUAUUUUUUUAUACAGUGAUAAUACUCAAGUAUAAUUUACAUCAUAUAUCUUUUGAAGUACAUAAAACUAUGAAGAAAAAUCCCUAAUUAAUCUGAUUAUGGGGAUUUUGUUUUAUAUCAAAAUAUUGCAGCAGAAGUCACACUUUGAAGAGUUCACGCUGCACAUAAAGAUGAUGAAAUGCUACAUGAGGUAUACUUUUGUUCUGCAAUAUGACCCUUUUUAUUUUAUUUUUAAGACAGAUAAGGUUGAAAAGAAAUUAUUUAGUAUUUUUGUAUCAGUUUUGAGUGCCUAUUUUGGCUUCCAUAUUUGGUCUGUACAUGUGAGGUAUAGAGUGUUCAAUAUGUAUUUGGUUUCUAUAUUGUUAAUGGAUCUAUAGCAAGUCCGCUUCCCUCAGUGUCCCUGGUAACAAAAUUUAUGGCGUGUCUUCGUUCUUUCAAUUAUUUGAAAGCUUCCCUGCUCUGCACUCUUGUACAAAGACUUAUGGUGUUUCAUCAGUUCCAUUUGGUGGUUGGGUGGGAAAUGAAAUUAAAACUCUGCAUUUCAAAUGGUCUAAACCAAAUUGUAUCAAAUGUGAAGCAAAGGGCAAGAGGUGUAGAUUGAAGAACAAUGGCACUAAGAGCGAAAUUGAACUUGUUGACAGGAGGAAACCAAGUAAGGAUAACGCGUCUAAAUCUUAUUUCGCAUUUAUUAUGCUCAUGAUGUUUUUAAUGAUGAUGAUCGGUAUAAUGUGCUACAUGCUGUGAUUUGUCUGCUUUCAUGUAAUUAGCGGCUUAUAUUUAUGGUAACGAUAUUGAUUAAUUUCGAGAAAUGACAUUCUAAUUUUCGCAACUGUCUUUUGCAGGCAAAACAAAGACGUUUGCAAGGGUGAGUUGUGUAUGACUGUUGUUUAGCUUUGUUUCAUCUCCAAAGGACAUUGGAGAAUAAAUGUUUACUCAUGGAUAGUAUCUAUCUAUUUGCAGGAGCAACCCUACGUUCAUUUGUUCUGUUACUGCUGGUCAUUGCAACAUAUCACGCCUAUAACGCUGAAAAAGAGAAUCGAAUGAAAAUUGAUAAGUUUUCGGCGGACUACAAAGAUCAUAAGCCAAGCAUAUAUUCCUAUGCAGAUAUUAAGAGGAUUACAAAUCAAUUCAAGUACAAUUGGGCCAAGGAGCAUACGAAGCUGUUUUUUUUUUUUUUUUUCUGAAUGCUUUGUUGCCAUGAAAGUACUUAACAUUUCCAAGGGCAACGGGGAAGAGCUUGUGAAUGAAGUGGGAACAAUGGGUCAUAUUCACAAUGUCAAUGUGGUUCGCUUGGUUGGUUUUUGUGCUGAUGGAUUUAGAUGAGCUCUGGUUUAUGAGUUCUUUCUCAAUGGUUGGCAUAAGUUGCAAGAUAUUGCUAUUAGCAUAGCCAAAGGAAUCAAGGAUGUGAUCUACAAAUCCUCCAUUUCGAUAUCAAACCACAUAAUGUUUUGCUCGACCAAAAAUUCCUGCCAAAAAUCUCUGAUUUUGUUCUGGCCAAGUUAUGUUCCAAGGAUCAAUCAAUGUCAAUGACUUAAGCGAGAGGGACCAUGAGAUACAUUGCACCUGAAGUGUUUUCCAGGAAUUUCAGAAAUUUGUCUUACAAGGCAGAUGUCUUGAAUGUUGCUGCUUGAGAUGGUAGGAGGAAAGAAGAAUGUUGGUUCAACCACAGACGACACGACAAAUGAAAUCUACUAUCCAAAAUGGAUUUAUAAUCUUCUAGAGGAAGGAAAUGAACAACGGAUCCAUAUUGAAGAAGAAUGUUAUGGUAAGAUUCCAAAGCAACUUGUAAUUUUAGGGCUCUGGUACAUCGAGUGACACUCGGUGGAUCAUCCUACCAUGAAAACGGUGGUGCGGAUGUAGGAGGAGGAGAAAACUUAAUGAUGCAAGCAACCCUAAAAGCCUCCUACAGUUAGAAGCAAUUGUUGAAUUAAAGUAACAUGUAUAUAUAUACGCACCAACACAAGUCAAUUCUGAGAUGAAUCCAAGCCAAACAAUUACAAACGGCAGUUAUUCACCAAAUCACUUUAAAGCAAAAAUUUAAUUAAUAAUACAUUACUGCACUUCCUUAACAAUUUGACUAUCACCUAGCUGACAAUGAACACGUUAGUUCCGCGUUAGAACAUAUUGGGUUCAAUUCAUUGUCUUGAAUAUCACCCGCAGUCACAGGCGCUUCUUGUGGGCAUAGAGAAGGCUUGAGAGGCAUCUGCAGACAUUCAACAUCUCCUCCAAGCAUUUCGACAACUUUGGACAUCGAAGGACGAUCACUUGGUUUCAUUUGAAUACACCAUAAGGCUGUUAUAACCAUCUUUCUUAUUACUUUCUUUUCCUCCUCAGUAAUAUUGUUCAUUUCCAAGUCAUUUCCCACAAUAUACUGAUCGUAUACCCACAACGGGAAGUAGAUUUGGCUUGAAUGCUCUACCAUUGCAUUCAAAUUCUUCCUUCUGCUUGCCAUUUCCAUCAACAACAUUCCAAAACUAUAGACAUCGGCCUUGUAUGAGACACCUCCAAUAUUUUUGUAGAACAACUCGGGAGCAAUAUAUCCCAUUGUACCCCGUGCUGCCGUCAAAGAGACAAUGCUAUUAUCUACAGGAUACAGUUUUGCAAGCCCAAAGUCAGAAAUCUUUGCUUUAAAGUUCUCAUCAAGAAGGAUGUUAUGAGGUUUGAUGUCGAAAUGUAGAAUUUGCAUUUCGCAACCUUGAUGUAGAUAUUCGAUCCCUUGAGCCACUCCAAGAGAAAUCUCGUACAUAGUCUUGAUAGUUAAAGGAAGACUUCCUUCUUUAGAAUAAAUGUAUUUAUCAAGAGAACCAUUAGGCAUGAAGUCAUAUACUAGAGCACGCUUUGAUCCCUCAACACAAUAUCCAACAAGUUGCACCACAUUGGCAUGGUGAAUCCUUCCGAUUGUAGCUAUUUCGCUAAUGAAAUCUUGGUCAUCAGCUUUGGGCUUGCCCAAAACUUUAACUGCUACAAAUCGGCCACUACGUAGCUUUCCUUUAAAUACAGAGCCAAAGCCACCUUUGCCCAACCUGUCCUUAAACUUGCGAGUCAUUUUCUUGAUGUCCGAGUAAGAGUACCUUAUAAGCAUGAAGUUGUUAUUGCAUUGCAGAAAAUCUUCUAUUGUGCCAUGCAUUGAUAAAUGUCUUCUGCGCCAUGUGUAGAUUAAAAAUGCAGUCACAACUAGAACUCCAAAAACAAAUCUGGCUAGGAAAAAUAACCCUGCAUGCAUUGACAAUAAUAUGUUAGAUCCACUGCGUAUUACUUUUUCUUCCCUUUCUUUCCAAAUUACUUUGUCCUUGAUAUAAUUAAAGAGAGAGAAUGGGAAAUCUACAUAUGCGGAUAAUACAAUCUCGUAUUAGUUCUUACCGAUGCAUAUGAGUAUAAACCAUCCACGUACUGCAACAAAAUUAAUUGACAAUGAGUUUGAAAAGUGCAUAAAGUGAAAAAUAAAAAAAUAAAAAAAAUCAAAGGGUGCCUUUAUUGACACCCAAAUUUUAGUUAGUUUCACUCAACUAAAAAAUUUUUGUCAUCAAACUUUUUAAUUUGCCGUCGAAAUUGAGUUCACCCAACCCACCAAGCAGCAAGCACCACUCACCAAAAAACACGAACAACACACACCCACAACUCACCAAUAGAAAGAGAAUGAACACACAGACCCACAAAGAGCUGGCAUCGACGCUGUUGAUGAGGGAGGGACCAGAGGAUGGUGUAGUUUCGUCGGGUGCGCGGUAGUGGUUUUGUCUGUUCAUUUUCUCUUUCUUUUGGUAUGUGGAGGCUGGUGUGGAUUUGGGCGAACUUGAAAAUGAGGGGAAACUAUGAAGUUUGACAAAAUGUUUUAGUUAGGUGAACUUAACUAAAAUUUGGGUGCUAAUGAAGGUACCCAAAAUCAAAAGACUUGAGCGUAUGGACUAAUUAAAUGAAGCUCUUACUGAUUUCUAUUUCUUCCAACUUGCCAGCUGCAAUAGAUACAUACCACGGAAAAGUGAGCAAAGACAUACAGUUACUAUGUUUAAGAAGUACAGAUAGAUCACACAAAAAUAAAAGAAUCUUUUGGAGAGAAACUUCUUACACAAUGAGAUGCGUCCAUGACCUACAGUGAAAAAUGUGACGAAGAAUACACAACAUUAGCAAUAGCUCAUCUAAUCUUCAGAAUUUAAAAAAUCAAGUUUGUCGAUCGAAAACUUGUAAAUAAAACAAAAGGAGAACCCCUUACGGAUUUGGUCCCAUUUAUAUUCGAUUAGGUCCCAAAGAUAUUCGAUUAGGUUCCAUAUAUAUUGAAAGAAACCUACAAGAACAAAGAAAGAACAAGACCACAUGCAUUAGCAUAACCAGUGUGAGGUGUAUAAGUCGUUAGAAAAUAAAUUUAAAAUUCUAGUUUUGUCAAUACAUUGAUUAAUAUAUAUAUGUAUUAUUUUUUCUAAAAAUUUAAUCGUCCCCCUCCAAACUCAUUUUUCUAGCCUCUAGCCCAUCAUAUAUAUAUUUAUCUGAAUAAAAUUCAAUGAUUAGGAUCCAACUGAGAAACUUACCAAAUUAAGUUUGUGUGUCCAUUUUUAUUUGUUUUAAUGGAUCAUGUGCAUUGAAUUUGGCAAGGUUUUGUAGCCAUGAAAUAUGGUUCUAGAUGGAGGAAUUAAUUUGGAUUUUUUUUUUAAUUUCGACAACAAAUUUCAAUUUGAAACAAUAUCUAUUGUUUAAUUUUAUGAAAAUAAUUUACCUACUAUGAAAAUUAAUUUUAUGAAAACAAUAUCUAUUGUUUAAUUUUAUACCUACAUGAUAAUUACAUGAAAAUAGUUAACCUAAUAUGAAAAUUAAUUUUUUGAAAACAAUAUAUAUUGUUUAAUUUUAUGAAGAUAAUUUACCUACUGUAUAAUUACGUGAAAAAAUUUACCUACUAAGAAAAUUAAUUUUUUGAAAACAAUAUAUAUUGUUUAAUUUUAUGAAGAUAAUUUACCUACUGUAUAAUUAUAUGAAAACUAAUGUGCCUACUUUUUUAAUUUGUAACAAAACCAAUUUACCUACUUUUUAUGGUAUUUAGUAUACAUAAAUGUAGAAUAUAUGUUCAUAUAUGGGGUUUAGGUGCCUUCCUAUAUAUGACCCUUGAUUUUACUUUAUUUACAGCACUGCAAUCAAAUGUGUGGCUGAGUUGGAGGGUAUUAUUAAAAGUUAGGAGGAUAAUUUUGUCCAAGGGCUGGGGGCGAAUUAGCAUACAGAGGGCGAUGGGAGCCAUGCCCAUUGCACAGAGAGAGAGAGGGACAGAAAAGGAGGGGAUGGGGGAUUUGAUGGAUGGUCACAGAGAGAGAUUGGGUGUGGGAUGUGAGGGGAGAUUACAGAGAGAUAAAUAAAAGGGAGGGAUCGGGGGAUUUGAGGGAUGGUCAGAGAGAAAUAGUGAGGGAGAGGAUGGGGGGCUGAUUUUCGGUUCCUCCUUCCAGAUUUGUUCCGUAAAACCUGUUGGGUACAAUUCAAUUUCCUCCCCCUUUCCCCUGAACGAAAAAUUCGAAACCUACAACUCAAAACUCACUCAUUUGACCCCCCUCCUUGGCUUUCCACCUUACUCAUCUCCUGGUGGUUCUUUCUCUCCAUACGAUUCGAUUUCGUUGAGUUCUUCGUUGCCCUCAUGAUUUCCCAAUUUGAUUUUUUGGGCGUCCUUAGUCGUCGUUUUUAUCUGGGUUUACUGCAUUGUUGCUUUUAGUUUCUGGAUUUUUAUUUUUUUUGGCGGUUUGAUGAAUCGUGGUUAAUAAUUUCACACCAUGGGAUUUUCGCACUUCUGAUGGAAUUGAGCGAGGGGAUUCGAGGUGGGGUUUUACUGAUAAUUUGUCUUCAUUCAAAUGAAUGGUUAAAAUUUAUGAGUAUUAACAAAUUUUGUAAAUUAUUCUUAUGCAUUUUAUUGAGGGAUAUGGGGAUCUAAUCGAUUUCUCUCUGUAGUGGGAUUGAAAUUGGGACUUUGUGGUACUCUCUCUCGCUCUUCCUCUCUCAUAUGUGUAUGAAGUGAGUUCUGAAUUGAGUUCUUUCAAGGGAACCCAUCAACGGUUUGCUUGCUGGGGGAAUUCGGAGACUACCAGUGUAUGAUUUAGUUAUCAUUUAUUUUUUUACUUAAAUUUAUCCAUAAAUAAUAUGUGGGUAAAUUUAUACUAAACAAUUGUGAUAAGCCAGCCAAUAUGCCAUACGACUUUGAAAGCAUUGAUUUUAUGUAUAGUUUGCAUUUUUGCAUUGUGAAUGUUGAAUUUUGUGUUUAAUUUGGAUUUUUGUGUUUGAAUUUGUAGCAUGAUCUUCCACUGCAGCAUCCAAAUUUUGCAUUUGUAAAUUGUCAAAGAAAAACGAAGUAUGAGGAAAUUAUAGGAGAUUGUGUCGGCUUUGGCCAUGAAGGGUAUCAGCAGUUUACCGCCCCCCCCCCAACACAGGUGAUUAAUCGUUUUUUAGUCUGUGUUCUAUAUGGAUGAGAAAGUGAUUGAAAAAUAUGAUUUUUUUUAUUUGUUGGUUGAUUUUGUAAGGACGAUGUAUUAAUUUUUUUUUUUGGGAGCAGCUUCUCCAUAAAUGGGGGUAAGGCUAGCCGACAUUCACCUCUCCCAGACCCUGCGUAAAGCGUGAGCCUUGUGCACUGGGUACGACCUUGUGUAUUGGGUAUUGUGUAGAACCAGCAAUGCAAGAGCAGGAUCUGAUCAGUCACGCCCGAAAAGGGGUUUGUUUCUCAAAUCACAUUCAUUAGUUAGAUUAUUAAUGUGCGUUGGAAGGCUCUUCAAUAUGAUUUUGUAAUUUCUCAUUUCCGGCAUUCUCUUUUUGGUUUUUGGAGUAUGUAUGUGAUUUGUACUUGAUUAUAGAAUAAAAAUUAAUAAAACACGAGAUGCAGCAAUUAAUUUGCAUCCUUAUGACAACACAUAUAUGAAAGUGCAUUCAAAUUCAAUAUGCGAAUGUGUGACAGGAUUUGCCUGCCUGCUGCUGCUGGUAUGCUUGCUGUUGUUUCUCGCGUUGUUAAUUUUUUGUGUGUGUUGAUUUGAUUAACAAUUCAAGCGUAUCUCUUUUCUUUUUUUUUUUUUUUUUUUUUUUGUGUUGGUUAGCAGCCAGUUUUAUUUAUUGGAUUUUUUAUUUGGAUUUAUGGCACUGAGGGUAUAGGUGAACAGUGAAGCGGUUUGUAUGGGCUCAUGUAACUUAAACAUGUAGUGAGAAGCGAGGAUUUUGUUUUAGUGUUUAUGAUAAUCUGAAGGAAUAUGUAGAUACUAUGAUUUGAGGUUGCUUUCUUAAACCAUGAUAAAGCAGUCCAAGUAAUUUUAACAACAACAACAACAACAACAACAACAACAAAGCCUUUUCCCACUAAGUGGGGUCGGCUAUAUGAAUCCUAGAACGCCAUUGCGCUCGGUUUUGUGCCAUGUCCUCCGUUAGAUCCAAGUACUCUAAGUCUUUUCUUAGAGUCUCUUCCAAAGUUUUCCUAGGUCUUCCUCUACCCCUUCGGCCCUGAACCUCUGUCCAGUAGUGACAUCUUCAAACCGGAGCGUCAGUAGGCCUUCUUUGCACAUGUCCAAAUCACCGGAACCGAUUUUCUCUCAUCUCUCCUUCAAUUUUGGCUACUCCUACUUUACCUCGGAUAUCCUCAUUCCCAAUCUUAUCCUUUCUCGUGUGCCCACACAUCCCACGAAGCAUCCUCAUCUCCGCCACACCCAUUUUUUGUACGUGUUGAUGGUUCACCGCCCAACAUUCUGUGCCAUACAACAUCGCUGGCCUUAUUGCCGUCCUAUAAAAUUUUCCCUUGAACUUCAGUGACCUAUGACGGUCACACAACACGCCGGAUGCACUCUUACACUUCAUCCAUCCAGCUUGUAUUCUAUGGUUGAGAUCUCCAUCUAAUUCUCCGUUCUCUUGCACGAUAGAUCUUAGGUAGCGAAAACGGUCGCUUUUUGUGAUCUUCGCUAGAUUGCUCUGGUCAUUAGUAUGGAUAAGUAUAUAAAUGGAUAGAGAUAGGAAAGCGAACACAAGAUGUACGUGGUUCACCCAGAUUGGCUACGUCCACGGAAUAGAGGAGUUCUCAUUAAUUGUGAAGGGUUUACACAAGUACAUAGGUUCAAGCUCUCCUUUAGUGAGUACAAGUGAAUGAUUUAGUACAAAAGACAUUAGGAAAUAUUGUGGGAGAAUGAUCUCGUAAUCACAAAACUUCUAAGUAUCGGAGUGUGGUAUCGUCUUGACGUGCCUUAUCUGUCUCAUAGGUAGAUGGGGCAUCUUCUCUAGAAGUACUCUUCCUCCAUCCAGGGGUGGUAUCUUUAACUGGUGGAGAUGCACAAGGUAAUGUAUCAAUUUCACUUGAAGCUUACUUGUAGUUUCAGGCUUGGUCAAGCGCGAUACAAACCAUGUAGUAGGAGUCCCCCAAGUCGCUGAGCUAGGGGAUCUGCUGAAAGAGGUGACAGGCAAGGUAAGCAAUCAUAGCUCCGGCUGAUUGUUCACAGUCUCCCUAUCUUGCAGGCAGCAUGAAGGAUAAAGAGAAGAAAAUGAGAAGAGAUGAUAUGGGAUACUUUUGCUUUUGAAGAAGUAACUUUCCACAGGCUUAUUCUUGAACUGAGCUGGAGGGUUUUCUGGUUUCCUCCAGAGUAUAAGGCCGACUGAAGAAUUUGAGGAUCAAAACAAGUCCAUCAAAUCUAGAGUACGUUCAACCCUGCUGAUAUGGGAUACUUUUGCUUUGACAGAGUAAUGGAUGUAUCGGCACGUGUGCUGUUACGCUUGUCUCCACAUGCUUCCUUGUAUCCUUUUCCCUUGCCCUAUCUGUUCCUCAGGUAGAUGCAGUAUCUUCCCUGGAAGCAUAAGAUGUUGAAGAUGACUACUCGAGAGCAAUAUCAGGUAAGUAAUCAGGUAAGGGGUUCCAGGCAGUCAGUUCCUGGCUGGAAGCUUGAUUCCAAGUACUGACUGAUUGCUCUCUUUCUCCUUGCCUUGCAGGUAAGAAUAAGGUCAAAGGAAAAGACAGGGAAGAAGCAUGAUAUGGGAUACUCUUGCUUUUAACCCUGAUGAUAUGAGAUAUUCUUGCUCUAGUAUAGCUUGUUUGCAGAGGGAUUAUCGGGGGGAAAGAAAGCUGAAUAUUUCGAAAGGCUUCGUUGGGAGUGCCCUCUUAGAUAUGAGGAAGGGUUGAGCAUUUUUGCAGGUCUGCCUGUCCGUUGAGGAUGGAGGUCGACAUAUAUAGGAGUCUCCUUAACAACAAGUAGUCAUGCUAUUCCUUUACCCUACUUGGUCAUAGCACGGUAGUGGGAGCUGUCAGCUUCACAUGUUUUAACGCUGUCAAAGCACUUUGAAAAAGUGGUUUGUGGUAUCUGGAAAGCUGAUGUUGCGUGUGAAGAUUACAAACAGCUUUAUCCAAGGGGAUCCGGCUCUUGUAGUUGGGAAAGUGUUGCCUCUUCGGUUUUCGAACAAGCAAUCCUAUCGGGUAUCUGGCUCUCGAGAUUCGGAGAACGAUGCCGCUUCGAUUUUUGAGAAAGCAAUCAUGCUGGGGGUCUGGCUCUUGAGAUUCGGAGAGCGAUGUCUCUUCGAUUUUUGAGAAAGUAAUCAAGUUGGGAGUCUGGCUCUCGAGAUUCGGAGGGCGGUGCCUCUUCGAUUUUGGAGCAAGCAAUUUUGUUGGGAGUGUUUUCUCGAAUGUGAGUAAAGGUUGGGCAUGUUUGCUAGUCUACCUUGCCACGAAGCACAGAGGUUGACACACAUGGACUUUCCAAUUAUCCAGCAAUGGUACUGUUCCUUUACCCUCUUCGAUUUUUGAGAAAGUAGUCAUGUUGGGAGUCUGGCUCUCGAGAUUCGGAGGACAGUGCCUCUUCGAUUUUGGAGCAAGCAAUCUUGUUGGGAGUGUUUUCUCGAAUGUGAUUAAAGGUUGGGCAUGUUUGCUAGUCUACCUUGCCACGAAGCACAGAGGUUGACACACAGGGACUUUCCAAUUAUCCAGCAGUGGUACUGUUCCUUUACCCUUGUGGGUAAUAAUAUGGUAGCUAGACCUUCAAAAUUUAUGUGUCUAAACUUUGUUAGUGUUGUUUCUUUGCUAUUCUUUUACUCUUCUUGGUCAAAGCGAUGUAGUGGGAGCUGCAAGCUUCACGUGUUCAACUUUGGCAGAGAACUUUGGCAAAGUUAUCUGUGGUACCCAUGAGCUACUGUUGCGUGUGGGAAGUGGGUGAUUGAACAGUAAGACUCAUGUGCUUUCUACUUCACCAGAAGUCUUCGACCGAAUGCCCAUAAUUUCCGCAAAGCUGAGUGUGCGUGUGACAGGUGCUGACAAGGCUGGAAAAGUAGGUGCCUCUUCGAUUUCUGAGAUCGGCCCUCGUGGUCUCUGAGCAGCCCAGUUUUUUGAGAAAGCAAGCGCCUCUUCGAUUUCUGAGAUCGGCUUUCGUGGUCUUUGCGCAGCCCAGCUUUUGAGAAAGCAAACGCCUCUUCGAUUUCUGAGAUCGACCCUCGUGGUAUCUGAGCAGCCUUGCUUUUGAGAAAGCAAACGCCUCUUCGAUUUCUGAGCAGGCGCCUCUUCGAUUUCUGAAGCUCCGUCGAGUGCAGAUUUUUAUAGGGGCUGGCAUUAAGUUCCAAAGCACACUUGAAUCUCCACCAGUAGAAGCUCCAUUCUUGAACUUCUAAGAUCUUGAUUUGUCCGACCUCUUUUCUCUUCAACACCUUUGAAAAUGUCUGGCCCCUCCGACCGUCGUUUUGACUUGAACCUUGUUGAAGAGGCAGCCCCGCCUUCUCCUGACAACAUAUGGCGUCCAUCAUUCGUCUCCCCUACUGGUCCUCUUACCGUUGGGGAUUCCGUGAUGAAGAAUGAUAUGACCGCUGCGGUGGUGGCCAGGAACCUUCUCACUCCCAAAGAUAACAGACUACUUUCCAAACGGUAUGAUGAGUUAGCUGUUAAGGAUUCUCUGGCUCUCAGUGUUCAGUGUGCAGGUUCUGUGUCUAAUAUGGCCCAACGCCUAUUUGCUCGAACCCGCCAAGUUGAAUCAUUGGCGGCUGAAGUGAUGAGUCUCAAACAGGAGAUUAGAGGGCUCAAGCAUGAGAAUAAACAGUUGCACCGGCUCGCACAUGACUAUGCUACAAACAUGAAGAGGAAACUUGACCAGAUGAAGGAAUCUGAUGGUCAGGUUUUACUUGAUCAUCAAAGAUUUGUGGGUUUAUUCCAAAGGCAUUUAUUGCCUUCGUCUUCUGGGGCUGUACCGCGUAAUGAAGCUCCAAAUGAUCAACCUCUGAUGCCUCCUCCUUCUAGGGUUCUGUCCAGUACUGAGGCUUCGAAUGAUCCCCCUCCGGUGCCUUCUCUUUCUGGGGCUCUACCGACUGCUGAGACUUCUCCUAAGCAACCUUUGUGAAGGCUCCGUCUUGUUUGUUUAUUUUGAGUUAUGUAUAUGUACAUAUAUGUAGCUUAUCGGGGAUAUCAAUAAAUAAGCUUUCCUUCAUUUCAACGUAUUGUGUUAAAUACACCAAAGCCUUCUUCGCUAAGUUCUUUGAAUUUUCUUUUGUUGAAGCUUUGUGAGUGGAGCAUGUAGGUUGAGGUAGUGUUCCCUUAAUUUCCUGAGUGAGGAAAACUUCUCGGUUGGAGACUUGGAAAAUCCAAGUCACUGAGUGGGAUCGGCUAUAUGAAUCUUAGAACGCCAUUGUGCUCGGUCCUGUGUCAUGUCCUUCGUUAGAUCCAAGUACUCUAAGUCUUUUCUUAGAGUCUCUUCCAAAGUUUUCCUAGGUCUUCCUCUACCCCUUCGGCCCUGAACCUCUGUCCCAUAGUCGCAUCUUCUAAUCGGAGCGUCAGUAGGCCUUCUUUGCACAUUCCAAACCACCGUAACCGAUUUUCUCUCAUCUUUCCUUCAAUUUCGGCUACUCCUACUUUACCCCGGAUAUCCUCAUUCCUAAUCUUAUCCUUUCUCGUGUGCCCACACAUCCAACGAAGCAUCCUCAUCUCCGCUACACCCAUUUUGUGUACGUGUUGAUGCUUCACCGCCCAACAUUAUGUGCCAUACAGCAUCGCCGACCUUAUUGCCGUCCUAUAAAAUUUUCCCUUGAGCUUCAGUGGCAUACGGCGGUCACACAACACGCCGGAUGCACUCUUCCACUUCAUCCAUCCAGCUUGUAUUCUAUGGUUGAGAUCUCCAUCUAAUUCUCCGUUCUUUUGCAAGAUAGAUCCUAGGUAACGAAAACGGUCGCUCUUUUGCAAGAUAGUCCAAGUAAUUUUAACAUAGAUAUAAUUUUUUAUGCAAUGCAUGAGUAUAUGAAAUGUUAAGACGAUAAUAUAUCAUGUGAUUUAAAAUUCAAAGAGAGACAAUGAACCAUGUUUGAUAUUUUGUUUGUCUUGUUUCGUUUAAAUUUGGGCGUUUUUCAGUUGGAUUCAUGGGUUUUGUUUAAGAUAUCAUUUUUGGUUUAGCCAACGCAAAAGUUUACAUCUUUUCUAUGUUGGAUUCAUGGGGUUUUCUUAAGCUUUCAAGUUUUCAGUUUUUGUCAAGAAAUUUAAUCUAGGUUUCAUUUAUUUUUCAAACUAGACACUUUUGUGAAGAUUUUCUUUAUAAUUCAGUAAAUGAUUGCUCCUUUACCUGUAAAUUUGACUUAUGUAAAUUUCCAGGUUGUUCAAAACCCGCAGGGAAGCGCGGGCAAUUUUUCUAGUUAAAUGUCUAAAAGAAACGUAUAAGAGAUUUGGUGGCAUGAUUUUGUAAAUGAACACAAAUUCAGGGACAUCUUUUAUCCAACAUGACAUCAUAUUUAAAAUUUGGGUUUUAUUUAGAAGUUAUAAUAUUUAUGUGGCCUUUUGUCUAGAGUUUAAGAGUUGCCAGGAUUGGAUGAAAAUUUGCUGAGUGUUGGACAAAUGAUGCAGCAUGGAUAUUUCCUUCUAUUUGGAUUGAUGAGGUUGCUCUAUUUGAAGAUAAGAUGCUGGAAAAUCAUGUGGUUACAGUACAAAUGACUGGGAAUAGAUGUUUCCCUCUCAUAAUGGAAGAUAAGAAAUUCAAUGUGUUGAAAGCUGCUUUGGAAGACGGUGCUUAAGAUUGGCACAUAAGACUUGGACAAUUGAAUUUUCAAAGCCUGUAGUUACCUGUUAGUCGGGAAAUGGUACUAUGAAUGCCAAAGUUGAAGCAAACACAAACAGUAUGUGAAGGUUGUGCGGUGGGAACGCAUCACAGAGAAGCCUGUAGCAGGGAGAUAAUGUGGAGAGCAAGUCAUCCACUAGAGUUGAUACACUCUGAUAUUUGUGCAGGUUACAACAUCGGGUGGAAACAAGUAUUGCUUGACUUUCAUAGAUGAUUGUACAAGAAGGUAUUGGUUGUAUCUUCUGAAGCACAAGUCUAAAGUGUUCACUGUGUUUAAACAUUUCAAAGCCAUGGUUAAGCUACAAUGUGGAUACCAGAUCAAAAGAUUGAGGAGUGACAACGGUGCAAUAUCUAUUUACUAGACAUCCUUUGGGAUUCUUCCAUAUUAGAACAAGGAUUCUAUUCUAAAAAGGCCCCCUCUCCCACGGUAUAAAUACACCCAUCUAGGGUUCAUCUACGGUAGCACAAUCUAAACACUUUGAAUUCUCUUGCCCACUGCUUGAGUCUAAAAUCAUUCAUUAACUUAACUAACCUCCCCCCCCCACCCCCCCCAACCAAAGGUUUGCUUACGAUUGUUUCACUAUUUUGCAGGUUGUUCCAGACUACAUGAAUUCGUGCUCGACCGCCUCUUACGGCUCCAAACUAAUUAAUAAGUUUAAGGGGGAUAUGAUGAAGAAGUAUGAGAUGACUGAUCUUGGCUUGCUUUAUCAUUUUCUUGGUAUGUGAAUAGUUCAAACAGAGCAAAAGUAUCUUUAUCAAUCAAAAGAAGUACACUCUUGCACUUUUAGACAAAUUUAGUUUUGAAGAUUGCAAGCCUCUCACUAUAACACUUGCAGUGAAUACGAAGUUGAAAGGAGAAGAUGGUGGUGCUCUUGUAGAUAAAGCUCUUUAUAGGUAGAUUGUUGGUAGUCUGUUAUAGUUGAUAGCUACAAGGCCUAACAUUGUGUUUGAUGCGAUCUUACUCUCAAAAUUCAUGCACAGUCCUUCAAAGAAACACUUUGGUAUUGCAAAAUGGGUGCUAAGAUACAUACAAGGAACCUUGGAUUAUGCCAUUGAAUAUUUGAAAUCCAAGGAAGCAAUAUUAUGCUAAUAGGCUAUUGUGGCUGUGAUUGGAGUAGGGAUGAAAAUGAUUUGAAAAGUACUCCUGGAUAUGCAUUUUCAUUUGGCAGUGGAAUCUGCUCAUGGGCUUCAUCGAAACAACACAGUGUAGUAUUGUCUACUGCAGGUGCUGAGUAUGUUAGUGCCUCUGAAGCUAUUACUCAAGAGAUUUGGCUUUGAUUUAUAAUGGAAGACUUUGCUGAAUUACAAACUUAGGCUACUUGAUUGCAUUGUGACAACACAUCUGCCAUUGUCAUGACAAAAACCAUGUGUUUCAUGAAAGAUCCAAGCACAUAAAUAGCAGGUAUCACUUCUUUAGAGAAUCACUACAAAACAAUAUCAUCAAUCUAUUGUAUUGCAGAUCAGAGGAACAAUUGGCAGACAUCUUCAUCACAGCAUUGUCAAAUAAUCUAUUCUUCUAUCUCAGAAACAUGCUAGGGAUCAAAUCAGCAACAAUCUUAGAAGUGAGUGUUAAUGAUUAAGCAUUGGUGUUGAUUCCUUAGACUGCAAGCUUAGAAGGUAUGGACUGCACAGAGAGAAGGAGGGGGAGAGAGCGCGGAGAGAGGAAGAUGACGGAAGGGUGGGUCUUUUGAACAGAGACCUUGCAGACAAAGGGUGAGGGAGGGAUGGGACUGAUCUUAACGAAAUUACAGGUUUGUUUUCAAUUUCUUAUUUACAUGUUUUCAUAUUCAAUGGCAAUUUGGUUUCUUUUAUUUCAAAUUUAACUUCGAAAAUGUCUUUUAAAUUUAGGUAUUUUGUCUUCAACUCUAUCGCUUCCAUGCUAAUUAAGGUAGAUUAAAAAGUAGGUUUUUUAUUCAAAAUGGUCCUUGAGAUUUGCAUCAUUCAUAAGUUUGGUUUUUAAGAUUUAAAAUCAAUAGAAGUAGUCCUUGAGAUUGUCCACCAUCCAUGAUUUUGGUUCUUCCGCUGAAGCUUUUGGCCGGAAGUUUGAGCAAUUUUCAAAGUUUCGUAACUCAAUCGUUUUUUAACCAAAUUCGACUCAUAAUAUAUCAAAAUAAAGAUAGGAAAGUGUAGAAUAAGAUUAUAUCUAUUUGGAAGCCCAAUUAUUGCCGAAGAUGGUCAGAAAAUAGCCUCAAAGUUGACUGGUCCGAGGGAAAACUGGAACCGGAAAUUCGCUGAAAACUGGGUAAACUUUAAACGUUCAUAACUUCUUCAAUACUCAACAAAAUCAAGUGAUUCAAAAACGAAAAUCAUACUUCUCAACGAGAAGAAGAGAAUGGUACCUUUUUCAACAGCUAACUUGCCGUGGUUUGGUCGGAAAACGGCUCGAAAGUGGCUGUUGAAAAACAAGUCAACAACUUUCAAGCCGUUUUCUGGCCAAACCACGGUGAUUUAGCUAUUGAAAAAGGGUACCAUUCUCUUCUUCUCGUCGUGAAAUAUGAUUUUUGUUUUUGAAUCGCUUAAUUUCGUUGAGUAUUGAAGAAGUUAUGAACGUUUAAAGUUUACCCAGUUUUCCCUCAGACCAGUCAAUAUUGAGGCUAUUUUCCGACCAUCUUCAGCAACCAUUGAGCUUCCAAAUAGAUAUAAUCUUAUUCUAUAUUUUCCUAUCUUCAUUUUGAUUUAUUACGGGUCGAAUUUGGUUAAGAAAUGAUUGAGUUACGAAGCUUUGAAAAUUAUCCAAACUUCCGGCCAAAAGCUUCAGCGGAAGGACCAAAAUCAUGGAUGGUGGACAAUCUCAAGGACUACUUCUAUUGAUUUUAAAUCUCAGGGACCAAACUUAUGAUGAUGCAAAUCUUAGGGAUCAUUUUAAAUAAAAAGCCUAAAAAGAAUUGCAACAGAAACAACUAAAAACCAAGUUGGCCUGCAGGGUUAUCUGUAUGUGUAUUAUAUUGAUAAUUCUAGGACUUAUCAUAUCAUGUUCCUAACUUGAUGCUGUGGGCAUCUUCUCCUAUUAAUAACAGUGGCACCUUAAUUUGAUCAACCAAAUUUGGUGAAGCACCAGACAAACAGAAACCCAUGCAUACAGAGCCAACUGCACUGAAGCAUGAAUUUAAAAAAAAUAAUGUACAUGAUUAUUAUUCCACUACUUAAUUUGUUCCAACUCACCACAAAUUUCUCUUCAUUAUGGUUGUUAGGACAAUAGAUUAGGUUGCAAGAUAAAUUUCCAAAGUUCUACUAGCUUAGGUUUUCAGAAAUCAAACAUGCAAAGUUUCUAUGCAUGUUUUGAAAUUGGUUUUAGGAAGUGGGCUUCCAAGUCUUAACAAUAAUGGACACUAUGAAAUCAGGGUAACCAAUUGGGGAUAACUAUAUACUUCAAAAACGCAUAUUUUACACACACACACACACAUUCUGUCAAGAAUCAGAUUUGAUUGGCACAGAUGAAGAUGAACAAUAAGAAUGAACAAUAAGAGGCUAGCUAGGAGCUGAGUAAAUUGAAUCGAUUACCAUGUUGUAAUUGGCCUAGCUACUCUCUAGUUAUUCUUCAAGGUUGUAUAUAAUAUAUCUACCUAUAUAAUCUCACCCUGUUUCCCCCUUUUGUCUCUCUGUGCACUCAGAAAACAAGCCACCCUAAUUCAAGUUCUCUAUCUUCAGAUCACCAGCAAUAACCUCAUCAAGGUCCUAGGAGGAAUCACGAGGAUUCACAGCCGAAUUGGUAUGUACUUAUGCUUUUGCAAAAAGCCCUUUUCUUGCCAUUUUUCUGUUUUAGAAUUGGGACCAAAAUGAUUAUGAGUGAUUUUGAAAAACACCGAGAAAAAAUGGCUAUCAAGCAAGCAGGCUGUGAGUAUUCAAAAUAUAAUUUUCAGUCAAAUAAAAUAUUGGCACCACAAGCUUUUAAGUAGGGAGGGAUGUUUGAUUAUAUAUUUAAAUUAAGCAAAGAAUCUUGCAUAAGAAAACGAUCCAAGUUGAAGUAAACCAAAUAUAUGGUGCAACAACUGUUAGUUUGGUCAGUCUUCAUCACACUAAUCAAAUGGGCCCGAGGGGUUGAUUUUCACAGUAACCACUUACUUUUUAGUAUGUUCCGGAGUAUUUUAGUGUUUAACUAUUUUUUACAUUUUUGAGGUUCGGAGUGAUUUUUAAAACGAGUCAUGAAUUUUAGUUUUCUAAUAUUACACUCUCUAUGCUUCAGAUUUUCCACAUUUUGACUUGGACUUCUUUUUUUCUUUGUUCUGUUUGAAGAACUUAGUACUUUUGAUUUCAGUAGCAAAAUAAUUUGAACAGGAUGAGAGAGAGAGAGAGAGAGAGAGAGAGAGAAAUAAAGCAUCUACUUGAUCUCUGUACUUUCUCUUAUUCUUAUGUGUGGUUAAGGUUGCAUAUCUGAAUUUUAACCUAUCAUCAUGUAAGUAUUAUAGUGUGUUUUAGAAGCGGGAGUGUGUGAAAUGUGUUGAUGCUGAUGAUGGUGUCGAAUUUGGGGACACUUCCCAGCUAGCAGAGCAAGUAACAGAGAGCUUUUUCCAACUCAAAUUUAAUGAUUCAAGCUGCUUAAGACUUGCAUAACAUUUCCAAGUUGUAGUCGAUGUGCCUGAGUUCUUGAGUACUUCAGUCUUCACUAAUGAAUGUAACACCAUUAAGACUUGGAAUGUCUUUGGGGGGUACGAAAUAACAUUGCUCAUUUCGUAUUUUAUGGGUUCGAAUUUUUUGUCGAGUACGUGAUUCUUGCAAAAGAGUUGUAAAUAUCGUUGUAAAUAUGUGUAAGUAGAGUUGUAAACCCUACCAUUGAACACUUAAUAUAGUUGUACAUAUAUAUAGAAAUUUUUACAUGCUUUGUACAGUUUUAAACACCCACAACAUCGUGCGGGCACACUUUCGCUAGUAUUUUAUUGUACUAGUGCACUCAAAUGUCUGUAGCUAAAUAUGUUAUUAUGAAUUAGUGGAACAUAAGAAAAUAUGGAAAAACAUAAGUGUACCAAAAAGUUCGUACUUAAACAUAGUAUACUAAAUUAGUGUACCGGUAUGUUCGUGCCUACCCUAAACUAGUAUACCGAAAUGUCCAUACCUAAACAUGUUAUUCUAAACUAGUGUACUAAGAUGUUUGUACCUAAAUACAUUGUAAUAAAUUAAUGGCACAUAAGAAAAUAUGCAAAAACAUAGGUGUGCCGAAAAGCCUCUACCAAAAUAUUUUCUUAUAUAAGAUAAUUACAAUAAAUUGGUGAUGCAAAAUGUCAACAAAUAAAAGCUAAUUCAUUUGAAUUCAAAUGAGUAUUAAAAUUUAAUUCAUAUCAGCAUAAAAUUAUAAAUAGAAAAAAAGAAAGACAUUGAAUGCAUAUGCUGCCAUUAAAUAGAGUUUAGGAACUAAAAUCAAUUUUUUAAUCUUGUGUGAGACAUUUUUCUAAAUUUUAUUUUAUUUAAGGAUUAAAAAUAUAGUUUUCUAUUACUUAUAUUUCUGACUACAUAUGGUUAUUACUUUAGUCGAGAGUUGACGCACCUGGAAUGGUGUCUGGAAAACAUGAUGACCCAUAAUUCCAGCCUUGGCAGCGUAUUCCAGGCCAGAAAUGAAGCUCAAAGCCAUACACGAGAGCAUUGUGUAUGUCUUUAUAAGAGACGUUGCUGUAGUCCUUAACGGAGUAGUCAAAGUGACCCAAAUUCAUCCAAGCCCUCCCCUCUGCACUGCAACCCUCAUCCAAUUCCCAUACUUCCAUGUACUCCCCGACCAUGACGUAGCUAUACGUUUUUGGUUGGCUCGAAGAAGUAGAACUUGUAUUAUUCAAGCAUGGAGCAGUGUCCACGUACAGAGAAGAAUUCAAUGGAUUCGAACAUUUCAAGUAAUAUAUAGAUGUUAAAUUCCCUCGUGAAUAAUGUUCAUAAUAAUUUAAAGUAUUGUGCGGAAAAUUUCGAGGCAUGGAAGAGCAAUUGGUGUUCACAAGGCCAGGAUCUAGAAGUCGGAUUGUUUUGUCGUUGUAGUUGAUUGCCUGGACGUAGUAUUUUCCGGACGAAGGUAGGUAUAGUACUGUAAUGUUGCUCUCACAGGACAGAGUAUACCUUACGUCGCCACAAUAUUUUGGAUCAUCGUUCAGUCGAAAAGGAUAGCUUAUGUUGUGGACAUGGCCGCAGGAUGAAGUACAGGACUUGGCACUGGUGUCGUCCUUAGCGUUACAAGUUCCACUGCAGAAGCUAAGAAGAAGAAAGGCUAAACUUAAGGUGAAGGACCUGCUUCCACUAAUUUCCAUUGGAGAGAGAGAGAGAGAGAGAGAGAGGUGUACUAGUUCACACCAAGUAGUCAUAUAAUAUAGGAGGGGUUAAGGCACCUUCCGUGAAAUUGCAGUUGAAAUAUCCUAGAGAAAAAUCGGUCGUCAAUGGUAUCCUAGAGAAAAGUCGGUCGAUGGUGUUUGAUACGGUCAGUCAACGGUGAAGACAGUUGUGAAACAAUAAUGCUCUCCCCCGCUCUCUUUAUUAUAUAUGUCUUUCAUUAAUGGAGGAUACUGCGUAAUUACUACGCAUAUAUCUCUGCUUAAUCACACAAAACAAAAAAUACCAUGCGCCUAUAGAAAAUUUGACUUUUUCCCUAAAAAUUAAUUUUCUUUCACCUCCAACCCAUCAUAUAUAUUCUAUAAGAUAAGAAUAACCCAUUGACUAGCUCCAAUUAAGCAAGUUUCUUAACUUGCUUGAUGACUCUGAUCAUGUGUAAUUUUGGGGAAUUGGAUGCUAUUUUGUCUCUACUUUAUUAGGCUUUUUCAAAUGGUUCUUUCACAUUUUUCAAAUGGUUUACAAUCUCUCUUCAUUUUUAUUUUUUGCAAGAAUGUAUUUAGUUUUGGUUUACAAUUUCACCUAGCCAACCAAAUGUCGUAAAUACACUUGUGACUCGUUCAUCACUGAUUCAUGAAAAUGUGUCCUACUAUAUAAGCAACAAAUUCAAAACCAGGUUGAAAACUUAUGUAUGUAACUAAGGACUCAUGAGAAUUGUAACCAUUGUACCUAAGUACCAUAUGUGCUCGAUAGCUUGAGGUGUUUGUCUGACUACGUAAGUACAUUGGAGGUUUGUUGGAUUGCUUGGGUUUUCACUUGAAACCAGUGGCUGGCCAAUAUGCAUCACUUUUCCACAUAACUUUUAUGCAAAAAUCUUUCCUUAAGUUUUUACAUCACAGUUCUUGACUAGCUUCAAUAGACAUAUUGUUGUCAUGCUUGCUUAGUUAUGAUCCUUCAAAGUUUCUAUGUUCUCAGUUUCCCCUUCAAAUCGAUAUGUUUUGUAACUUCUUCUUUUUUUCUUUCUUCAGUACUUUUAUAUACUGAGAGCGAUAAUUCCGCGACUUGGUGAGAUUGGAAUGAUAAAUUAUUAGUGAGCCUUCACUUUUUCUUGAACAAUAAUCACUUUAGGAUGAGUUACAUUACCAACUAGAGAGAUUGGUCUAGUCACAUCUCUUCAGAAUGUUGAAAUAAGUUUCAAGUUUAAUCCAUAGCUCAACCAAAAUAAAUAAGAUAUUGUUGAUUGCACAUUGAUUUAUAUGAGAAAAUAAAUAAACUACUAGUAAGGAAACUGUUGGCAAGUGUUGAAUUGUUCUGGUAUUUAAGGUCUUCUUUUUCAACCUGCUGUACUUCUAGUGUAAACUUUCCUUCUUUUUUAAUGUAGAUUAGCAUAGAAUAUCGCUUAUGAUUAGAAGAAGAAAAAAGAAAAAUAAAAAGGAAACUAUUGAAUUUUGUUCAAAGUCUAGGUCGUAGUUCUUCUCUAGAUUAGAAGAAGCAGUUUUUUUUUUUUUAAGCAUAGCAAUACCAAACUGGCCCCUAAACCAACAUAAGACAAGUGAAUAAAAAACUACCACAUUGAAUUCCUAAGUAGGUAGCAUUUUACACAUCGGAGAUGCUCUUAUACUAUCCUUUUUAUAAUUUUAUAUUAUUCUUGAGUGGCAUCACUCAUCUUUGGUGCAUCCAAUGGAACCCAGUGGAUCUAGAUCGUCCAUCCAUUAAAGUGGAGGUUCAGAUGUUGGAAGGAGAGAACUUAACCAUGCCUCCAAAUUCUUGUGCCUAUACAGGUCUUGCACGAACUAAUACAAGUCCGCCUGCAGUGCCGGUAUAUUAGACUUCCAUGACUAUCGUGGUCUUUGGGGUUAACUGAAGAAUUUCCGAGCGAAUGGAACCACAUGUAACACAGCUAAGCCUAAUUGAUAGCGAUUUUACCACUUUUAAAACAAAGGGUUAAACCAUAGAAAAUUCUUGCAAGAGACAAGUGUUUGUAGUAUAGAAUGGCUCAAGCAAGGUCGAUCUCCUCAGGGACUGAUAUAAACAAUUUACGAGUUUUUGUGUAUUUAACUUAUUUAACUCUAAAAAUUACACUAAUUUGACGAAACUAAAUAUUACUGGAUGUGACUUAAACAAUUAUCUAAAAUGGGAAUUGGUUUAUAGGAAUAAUGAUUCAACUAAACAAAACAAGUAAAUGAGAAAAUUCAAGAUAAAAUAAAUGAUUGAAGAAAAAUAGAUUGACAAUAUGCUAGAGUUCAACCUUUACCAACAACACUCAUACGUAGCUUUUCCAAUUGCUUAAAUAAUUGAAAACACACAUGCUUUGAAAGUUGGAUUUUCCUUGUGUAUGUUUUACUUGUGACAUUCAAGCUAAAACGCAUACCACUACAUGCAACUUAUCCAUGACAUUUGGAUUAAAUAUAAACAUGAGUGAUUCAUUAAUCUUGGUGAAAAUCCUUUUGUUAAACCAUGUAAUCCCUAAGAGCAUGAUAUUUACCUUAGGAGAGUACAAUCCUCAAUCACAAGAAGCACAACCAAUUUUAACGUGACAUUCGUUCAAAAUUGCAUCCGAUAACUUUUCUAAGCAUCCUAAUGGUGAUCAAGCAUCAAGGUACAUAGAUAGUUUAAUUCAGUGAUUGAAAAUAUCAAAGCAAGCAUGUAACAACACUUAAGCAAUUGAAAAAUAAAUCUACGUAUUCAUGUUGCCGCUCAUGGCCUCACUCUAGCAUAAUAAUUUAGUUACACAUAAUUAAUUUGAUACAUAAGAAAUUAUUCAUAAAAGAAAAUAAAUAACUAAGAAAGAAGACACCCGUUUCUUUUCUCCCGUCGCAAGUCUAUGUGAAAUUUUCCGUGUGCACUGCCUUCUCCUGCUCCUCCCUCUGUUUCCGUGCUCUGCCUGCACUCCUGCUUUGCUCCCUCUGUUUCCGCACCUCUCCUCUAUUCCCUGUGCUUCUGCUUCUGUCCUUCUGCUGCUCGCCAGUCCGAGUCAACUGCUUCUUAUUCUUUUAUUUUCUUUUCAGUCCUGCGCACUCCACUUCCUUCCCACUCUUCUCUGUUUUUUAUUUGUUUAUUUUUUUCUUUUCUUUCCACACCUCUUUGUCUGCCAGUCUGUCUUUUUUAUUUGUUUCUUUUUCUUUUCGUCACUGCCUCAAUGCUCUCUCCACUCUGUCAGAAUUCUUCCAUGCUGUUUUUCCACUUUGUUUCCUGCCAUCCUCUCUGCUCCUUUGUCCGUGUCUUCACUUUUCUUCCUUUUAAUUGAAAUUAAUCCUAAAACACAUUUAACUGCACAAUAACACAAGGUAAGGUAAAAUGUCAUAAUUAUAACACAAAAACAUCACAAAGACUUUAAAAAUAGAUGGUAUAAAUGUAUGAAAUAUAUGAAUGAUCACUAAUCGACAAUGAUUCAUACAGCGACAGAUGAGACGCGCAAAGCAGCUUCAAAGAAAGCACUAUACUGCUUUAGUUAUGUGCUAAGUUGCAUGCAUGGACGCUUCAAUACACUAGCGUGUGACGUAUCAGACACAAAAACAAACACAAAACUUCACAGACACUCUUGGACACUUGUCCAACACUCCACAUGGCAUAUCGUUGACUUUGACUGACUGACACUUUAGGGAUACACGUAGGACAUUGUUAAAAAAACACGCCAGUGGUAAUUGUAAAAUUAAAUUAAAAUUUUAGGGUAAAAUUGAAAUAUGAAAAAAUUGUCUUAGGGUAAUAUGAAAAACGGAUUUAGAGGUAAAUGUAAUGUUGUAUUUUGUUUGGAUGAAGAAAUUUAAUAAUACUAAGGAAUUUUAAAAUGAAAUUUUAUUUUCUAGAAUUUCUGAAUUUUCUUAUUUGGUUAACUUAAAAUGAACAAGAGAAUUUGAAUACGGAAUUUAUUUAUUUAUUUUUAAACUCUCACUCAUAGAAAUUUAAAAAUGACACAUAUUUACAUGAAAUUUAAAUUUGGGGAUUCGAGGUCUCAAAUUCCAAGUUUUUUUUUCUUGCAAAGAUUCUAAAUUUCUAUUUUUAUGAAUCGAAAAAAAAGAAAUUGGUUUGUGCCAAUUUAUAAAUUCUAACGUUUGUCAACUUAUAUUGUUGCCAUACUUGCUUAGUUAUGAUCUUUCAAAGUUUUGAGCUCUCAGUUUCCCAUUCAAAUCGAUAUGUUUUGUAACAUUCUUUUUUUUCUUUAGUACCUUUGCAUUUUAAGAGCUUUAAUUGCGCUACGUGAUGAGAUUGUAAUGGAAUUAUUAGUGAGAAUUUCUUGAACAAUAGUCACUUUAGGAUGACUAGUACAAAGAUGUCAAAGUGAAGUGGGCCCUUACCAUUGACCUGCUAGGGGCACAGCCAUCAUUAUUGACCCCGAAAAGUAUGCAUGCCAAUAAAAAAUAAUUUAGUCAAAUUCUUUCUUUUUUUCAAAUAAGUAACUCAAUUUCUAAUAAACUCGAAUUUGCUGACUAGUGGGUUCUUACCUAAAUUAUAUCUUGUUUUGUCUAUGACAUUUUGAACUCCAUAAGCAAAUUUAUUGUUUCAUCUAGUUAUAUAUCUUUACACAUUAGUCACUUAAAAGAGUGUUAUAACAUUAAUUACGUAAAUGAGUGUUGUACAAACAAAAACAAAAGAAUAUCUCUUAGAUUAUUGGUGCAAAUAUCAUAUAUCAUCACAUGAUUCACCCCAAAUGUUUCGUUUUCAAUGCCAAGAGUAAUGAUGAUUACAUGUGUGUCAUUGUUAGAGGCUACCAACAGAGAGCAUUUGUGUAGUGAUUUUGUAUGUUUGCACGAGAUUUGACUUCUCAACCAAACUUUGAGCACCGAAUAGGAUGCUGGUUCGAUUAUGUACUUUUUUAUGCCCUGAGAACUGAGAACUAUGAGUUUCUCUGUGUUCUGCUUGCCUAAAAGCAUACAUUAACAACCUUGGGAUCACCUAAAUUCUAUUAAUAUAGCAUGAUAUCAAUUUAUCAAUAAAAUUAUUAAUUUACAAAGAUUAUUUCUUUUCUUGUGCAUCCAAUGGAACCUAGUGAUCUAGAUCGUCCAUCCAGUAAAGUGGUGGUUCAGAUGUUGAAAGGAGAGAACUUAACCAUGCCUCCCAAUUCUUGUGCCUCCACAUGUCUUGCACGAAAGAAUAAAAGUCCUCCUGCAGUCCCGGUACAUUAGGCUUCCAUGACUUCCGUGGCCUUUGGGGUUAACUCAAGAAUUUCCAAGCGAAUGGAACCACAUAUGAGUAUGACACAGCUAAUCCUAAUCGAUAAUGAUUACUACAGCGACAGAUGAGCGCAAAACAACUUUAAAGAAAGCACUGUUACUAGUACUUUGUUAUGUGCUAAGUUGCACGUGUGAACACUUCAAUACACUAGCGUUUUACGUAUCAAACUCAAAAACAAACACAACACUUAGUCGACACUCUUGGACACGUGUCCAACACUCCACGUGCCGUGUCGUGGACUUUGACUGAAGGACACUUCUUGGGCACUUUUAAAAUUGAAUUAAAAUUUUAGGGUAAAAUUGAAAUAAGGAAAAAAUUAUUUUAGGUAUAAUAUGAAAAAUAGAUUUAGAGAUAAUGCUAGAGAUCGCAAAUUUCUCUCUUGACGUAGGAGGCAGAUUGUCUGCCCUCCUGUUUGGAUGCCCUUCCCAUCCUCUUCUAUUUGUGCAGUCACGGUUAAGCCACGUCAACAUUUUAUAUUCUUAUUGCUUUUUGUCUUAUUAUCUCUAUAAAAAAAUUAAUAUAAAAUGUUGACGUGGCUUAACCGUGACCGUACAAAAUGGGAGGGGAUGAGGAUGACACCCAAACAGAGGGCAGACAAUCUGCCUCCCUUGACGUAAUAACAUGAAAAUUAUUGAUGACUUAAGUGUACGUGAAGCAGCUCUAGUCAAUACUCAAUUGCAAUUUGGCCCAUUUUUCUAAAGCGUGUUUGAAGCCGAGUCAUUGUUGGAAAUCUGCAAGUUCAGUUUCAUAAUUUCAUGCACUUCUACAUGAUAAGUUUCAAAAUUUCUUGCACAUCUACAAGAUUAAUUUCAUAAUUUUUUGCACUUCUGCAAUAGCAGUGUCAAAAGUUUUAGAAUUCUGCAAGGUUAGUUUCAAAAUUCCUACAUUUCUACACAAAUUUCAAAAUUUAUGCAUCAAAAUAAAACUCAAAACCUCAAAUCGAGUACUUUCAAAAUACUAAAAUCAAAACCAAAGAUCAAAAGUUUCAAUCAUUGUCAAGAAAAAAUAAAAAAUAAAAGGUUAUAGAGGACGGUGUCAUUCCACACUACAAGUUUAUACAAGUAUUGUCCUUUACUAAAAGGCUAUUUGAGGACUGAGGAUUUAGGGUUUAAGGUUUCGAAUGUAGGAGGGCAGUAAUCACGGACAACUUCUUCGAAAGAAAGGAGCAAAGAUCUAACUUCAUCCAGCAAGUGCCUUUCCAUACUCAAAUCCUCCUCAUGACAGGAGUCAGUACGAAUUUCACCUAGCCAACCAAAUGUCGUAAAUAAACUUGUGACUCGUUCAUUCACUGAUUCAUGAGAAUGUUUCCUACUAUAUAAGCAGCAAAUUCAAAACCAGGUUGAAAACUAAAUUAUGAAACAAGGGGCAACUUUUAUCUUGAGAAACCAUUUGAAAACUUAUGUUCUGUCGUAUGCAAGAAGGUAUUUCCUUUUGUGUUUUAAUUCUGCACUUAUUUUUAUUUUUUCCACAUAAAUAUAAUGUGCCUACAUUAUUUUUCUAUGGAUUAAUUUACCUACUUUAAUUAUUUUAUAUACCUACGUUAUUUUUUCUUGAAUCUUUUCACACUCGACCAAACUUCUCUUGGAAUUUUAAUUAGAUGAAACAAUAUGAAUCUUGAACAAAGCAACGCAAAACGUAAUACUGAGAGAUUGAAUCAUUGAAGUGACGUGGAGCUGGGUACUCAACACUCAUAGGAAAUCAAUCCAAGAAUGAAAACUCUCUUAUCACUUUCUAUCCAAAAUUUUGGAAUUAUGUGUGUGUUCCAACGAUUAUCCGAAGGAUUAUUCUUCUUUUAUUAAAUUUAUAAGGAAAAUUAGCAUGGGGCAUAAAUGUUGAACUGUGAAAUCCCGUCUCCGGAAUUUCACCAUUCAUUAUGUAUCUCGCAAUUUAAAUUCGUAUUUCACGUUUAUGUUAUUUUUAUUACUUAAUUUUAAUUCCGCAAAUUUUGAGCUUAAAUCGAAUAGUUAUCGGGUUUGAAUUUUCGUAAUUAAUCUUUAAGACUCGUUGACCUUUCGAGGUCACAAGUAACGUUUUCGAAUAGAUCUCGAAACCACGAGCACAUAGGCGAAAGCCGUUUGGGAGUCCGGGUUUUAACGAUAUAGUUACAGACAUUUGAAGUUGUUACUAAAUUAUAGAUUUUAAAUUUAUUUUGAAACUCCCACCUUGUGGGAAAAGGACUAAUGAGAUAAGAGAGUGAGGGACCAAUUAGAAAUGGGAGAGAAAAGGAGAACGAAUCAGGAAGGAAGGGAAAAAGAAAAAAGAAAAAAAAAGGAGGGACUGGAUGCUGCCAGGUGGCAGCGGGAGAGAGAAGAAGAUGAGGUUGCGGGAGAGAAAAGGAAGGGAAGAGUGACCAAUGGAAGGAGAGAGUAAGGAGGGGAAGGAGAGACCCAAAAAUGGGUCAUUUUUCACCCGCGAACUACCAUUUUUGACCUGGCCAUAUCUUCUUCAUCCGACUUCCGUUUUGGGUAAUCUUGGUGUCCAUAGAAAGCUCUUGACGAGUCCUACAUCCCUGUAGUGUUAGAUGUCUAUUUUUCCUUUCCAUUUUUCUAGGUCGAAGCCACAAAGUGCCUAGGGUUUUCCUGCGAGUUUUCUCAUUUUACAGUGAUUCCGACAAUGAUUACCGUCGAUCAUCACUACCAAUAGACUCCUCUCAACCCCUGGACCAAGGCCCAAGCAUUGGAUGAGGCGUCGAAGUUCGUUUUGGCGAUGAAUCGAGGAACACCCAUUUCUAGGGUCUCCAACGUGUUUGGAUGAAAUUGAGACACUUCUCGGCCGAAUUGGACUUGGCCACAGGUAUGAAAAUUGAUCCCCACACUGAGAUAUACUUGCCUGUAAAUUUGGUAAUUUUUUGAAAUUGUUGAAUUUUUCGGCGAGUCGGGGCGGCCGACCGCCACCGGCAGCAGUGCGGGCGGCGGUGCUUCGGCCAGUGGGCCGACGAUGCCUUUCUAAGUUCAAUUAGAUGUGCUGGAUUUGUAUUUGAUAUUCGUAUGACGUGGUUUGAUCGUUUGAACCUAAUUUCAUUAUGAUACAUUACUUGAUCAAAAUAUGAAUUGACGAUCCGACCGUCGGAUCGUGAUGAAAUUUUAGUAUGUUGUUCUAGAGGAAUAAUGUGGAUUUUAGAAGAUUACGGAUCCAAAAUCCAUGUGUAGAUCUUCUGGAUCAAAUUACGUAGAGAUGUGGACCCCACCGUUGAUCUGAAGUUGACUUUUGGUCAAUAGGUAUUGAAUCAUUUAUUUUACUAAAAUUAGUAUUGCUAGAGACUCAAUGAGGCUUUGCGGACUUGUCUUGGUGAGUGACUUUAAUAUAUGUGAUAUGGUUUUUACCCUGUUUUCUUAUAAGUAUCCUUUGUGGAUAUGACUUGGUUUUGUAAAUGUGUUUUCUGUUAAAAUGUGAUUUUAUAAUUGGUCAUCGAUCUAUUUUUAUUAAAUGUGAUUUGAUUUAUGGAUUGGAAAUAUUUGUGAAAAGGUGAAUUGAAGUGCAUAUUGAAAUAUUUAUGAAUUGUGUUAUAAAUAUACAUUUGAAAUGUUGAGAAAUGCGAGGGCUAGUAGGGGACCGUUACCCUAGUGUCACGGGGUUAGGUGACACCGAGUCUGCACCAUGUAGCAGUGGUACAUGGAUGGUCUUACUUGGUUAAUCCGCAAUGGGGGACCAUAUUAUUUAUGGAUCGCACUUGGUUAAUCCGCGAUGGGCGAUCCUUAUGGCCAUGUAUACUUAGGAGUGAUAAUGCUUAGUUAAUUCACGAUGGGUGAUCACUGCCUAACAGUUUUAUAGGUGUGACUUUGCUUGGUUAAUCUGCGAUGGGCGAUCCUUAUGGCCAUACAUACUUAGGGGUGAUCAUGCUUGGUUAAUCCGCAAUGGGUGAUCACUACCUAGCAGAUUCAUGGGAGUGACUCUGCUUGGUUAAUCUGCGAUUGGGGGUGGGGGGGGGGGCGCGGGGAGGGUCACUACCUACAUGGUUACUCAGGGGGUGGCUCUGCUUGGUUAAUUUGCCAUGGGGGGCCACUUCUUGUUUGGUUACUUAUGUAGGCUUCGGCCGAACUGCGUCCCUCUAGCCCUAGUUUUUAAUGUACAUAUGAACAAUGGUUUUUGAGAAUCUUGGGGGUUUGAAUGGGAAAAGCCGUUGGAUGUCUGGGUGAGUCCUUCGGAGUUGUUGAGACUUAACUAUAUUUUCAUAUUUACAAACUUAUAUUUGAGGUUUAUAAACUGUGAUCGAUGGUCUUUUCUUUUAUUGAUUAUCACAUACUUGUAUUAUUGUCACUCACCUGAGCUCCGCAACUUAUCCAAGUUCCGUUUGGCCGGUGCACCAUUCUCAUGAUGGAGGCACUGAUUUUACAUAUGAUAGGUUUGGGUAGAUUAUGAGACACCACUUGAUAUUUUGGUUCCAUUGAGUGGUCUGGAAUCCUUGCUCUUGCUCAUUCCCAUAAGGUUAGUCUAGAACCCUAGAUUCGAGUGAAUGAGAAUUACCCACAAUAGAUGAUAGGAUUUUUACCACCUGCACAAAAGGGUUAAAAACACCUAAAAUACUUGCAAGAGAAACAAGGUUAUCGUAGUAUAAUUGGCUCAAGUAAGGUCGUUCUCAACAAGGACUAAUUUAAAUAGAUUGACGUGAAAUCAAUUCCCAACUAAUUAAUUAAAACAAAGUCUUUGAAAAAGGUGAUUUAACGGCCUAAAUUAAGAAAAACGAAUUUAAUUAAAAAGAUUACUUAAAAACCCCAACUGGAAGGAGGAAGAAACAAUUUUUACAAUUCAAAGUGAGAAAGUACUAGGGUUCUGCCGUCACCCUAACAAUCCUAUGUAACUCUUCUAAAUUACUUAUGAACCAUACAUGCAUAUCUUGAAGGUUAGGUUUUCCUAGAGUAUAUCCUACCUGAAACCUCCAACAUAGAACAUAUAUCUAACAUGCAACUCGUCUGUUGUGUUCAGAUCGAAUGUGAACAUGCAAGACUAAUUAAGUUUUAUGAAAACCCUUUUGAAAAAACCAUAUAACCCUUAAAACGUGUCGUCCAUCCUAAGAGGUUGCACAUAUUAACCACAAGAAGCCUUAGUCAAUUUUAGGGACAGCCCUCUACCAAAAUUGCAUCAAAUUACUUUUCUAAUUAUCCUAAUGGUCGCGAAUCACUAAGAAAAAUAGAUAGUUUAAAGCACAGUGAUUAACAAUCCAAAACUUGCAUGCAUGAAUUCAUAAGCAAAUUAAAAGAGACUACAUAUUCUUGCUAAGGAUCAUGGCCUCACCCUAGCAAAAUAAAAUUAGUUACGCAUAUUCAUAAUUAAAAUCAACAUAAUUGUAUUAAACUAGAAAAAGAAUGAAAACACCUUGUAGAAUAAAAUUUGAAAAUCUCUAAACUUUGUCCCAAAUCUUCUCUCCAAAAAAUUGCAUGCGUUCUCUCUCUAAAAAAAACCCCUAGGUCUGCCAAAAGGCUUAUUUAUACUACUCUAAAUAAAAUCCUCCUAAUAAAAGGUCUUAGAAUAAGACUAGGAAACUAAAUAAAUUGAAAUAAAUUAGGAAACCUAAUCCUAAAUUGGCUUGGUAAAUUUGCCCAAAAUUCUGCACAGCCACGUUCUGGACCCAAAUCAGCUCCAAAACUAGCCCAAAAUUUAUGAACUUAAACUUUGACUAUUCUGAACACUUCUCCAGAAGGUCACGAACCCAUCUGAAGUCAUCUUAGGCUCCAAAAACACAGUUUAAGCCUAGAAACGUCAAUUUCCAACAACGCGCACUGCUCCUUCAUUUAAUCUCCAAAAAAUAACCGCUUGGUAGAAAUUGCUGAGAUUUUGACACGAACAAGCUAAGGAACAUACGAAAUCACUCCAAAAUUCGUCUGUUUGGUCAUGUUUUGCUCCAGAGGAAGUCAAAUUUCCUAUGUUGAAAAUAUAAAGCACAAUAUCAAAAUUCUAUCAAAAUAAUUAUCAAAUUAUACUAAGAAUAGGGUGAAACAUAUAAUAUAAUUUUGACUCAUCAAUAGACCUUGUGAAUAUAAAAUAGAUUUACCAUGUUAUUUCUCAUAAUCCAAGUAGGAAAUUAUUUAGAGUUCCUUGUUUAAAUUUGUGAAAUGAUAUGUUACUACAUUCAUUGAUUAACAUAAUUAAAUGCUAAGAUCAUGUAUCUUUGAUUCAUGAAUUGAUUGAUUGAUGGGAUUGCGGAAUGACCUUGGUUAUGGUUGUUAUUAUUAUGAUUAUUUUAGUUGAUCAAUGUGGCUUGAGAAUAAUAUGUGCUUCGUUGGUUAUUAGAUAUGUUACAUGCUGUGGAUGGAACUAUCAUGCUGAAAACAUGGAAUUUAUAUGAUGGAUGGAAUGAGAAUCUUGAAUGGCAUGUUGGUUUGUUUUGUAGCCUAAACUUGGUAAUGUCAUGCAUGUCAAGUUCUAAUAAUUGAUUACAGAAUGUUAUGUAUUCCUGUUAGAACGCACUAGAAUAAAUGUCUAAAUUAGUGAACGACGAACUAUGAAUGACUUGAUCCCUAAUGAGGGUAUGUAGGCAGUCUAAUGAGGAGGUUAGAUGCAGCCAUAAAGUAUACGAAAAAUUACUAUGCGAUUCGAUUCUCGAGUUGUGAUUUGCCAUAUCCCGGAGGUGGGGUAUGUUGAGAUACGGGUAUUUGGUGAAGUCAUGUGUUGAUUCUGAAUGUAUGUCGGGAUCGAAGCAUGACAUGAACGAAUAAAUUUUCCUCGACUUGGAAAGGGAUUGUGACUUUAACACGCUAUUUUUCUUCAUCUUAUGCAUCAUGUUUAUCAAAAGACAAAUAAUAUGACUUCACAUAAGGAGAGAAUAAGAGUAUUUUCCUUUGUAAAAAUCAACUUUUGUUUAAGAAGAUGUGGAUGCUGAUUGAUGCACCAUGUGAAUACGAAGAACGACCUUGGAGGGAGAUGAGAUAUUCAUUAGAAGCUAGCGAAAAAAAAAAAGUUAAUAAUGAUUUAGUCAAAAAGCAAGAAAGCCUCAUUUUCUAAGUGGUAGUCAUUAACACGAUACUUGAUAAGGAGAAAAGUCAUAGUAUUUUAUUUUACUGGGAACGAGGGUGCAAGGUCUCAAUUGGAAUAUGAGAUGAAGUUUCUACAUAACUAUAUAUGACAAAGAAAGAAGUCUAAGUUUGUAGGUGGUAGGGCUUUUAAUUGAUGUGAGUUUGUUGAGAAAUGAAGAUGAGCAUGAAUACUGACAUCGAUGCGAGUUAGUGAACACGAUGCUUCUCCUUUGGCCUUUUAAUAUGAUAAUACCGGAAAACAAGUUGUUACUAAUAUAUGUAUAUCUGAUUGGUGGACUAAGAUGUACAGUACGAUUUUUGAUAGAGUAAUGUUAUGGAAACUAAAUUUGUAGACUAGAUUUUGAAAACUAAAUGACAUGGAAUCCUUACUUAUGUGCUCAUUUCCGAUUAGUGACACAUCAUUUAGUUUGUAAAUUUAGUCUACAAAUUUAGUCUCCUUAACAUUACUUUUUUUGAUAACUAGCGAAGAUGAACACUCUCAUGACAAAAUUUAUCUAAAUAGACCUAAAGGCAAGACUUACGAACUUCAUAUGCAGUGGGAUAAAAUCUUAAACUAAUUUCCAUUUUUAUUUUGUAGUUGAUAGGGAUUUUACCACCUCCAAAGGUAGAGAUAAAAACACUUAAAAAUACUUGCAAGAGUACAAGGUUAUCGUAGUAUAGCAGCUCAAGCAAGGUCGUUCUCCACAGAGAUUGAAUGAAUAAUUUAUGUAAAUAUCAAAUCUUAAUUAAUUAUUUGAAAACAAAGUUUGGAAAAAGGUGAUUUUAUGACCUAAAAUAGUAAAAAUGAAUUUAAUUAAAAAUAAUUAAAUAAAUUGGCAAAGUAAAGAGAAUAAAAGAAAAUAGUUUUGAAAAUAAAUUUGAGCACUAUAGGCCGUUCUGCCAUCACCUUAACAAUUUUACGUAGUUCUUCCAAUUACUUAUGAAUUACGUAGUUCUUCAAGGUUGUAUAUAAUAUAACUACCUAUAUAAUCUUAGCCCGAGACAUGUAUAUAUAUAUAUAUAUAUAUAUAUAUAUAUAUAUAUAUAUAUAUAUAUAUAUAUAUAUAUAUACAUGUCCUGAGAAAUAUGAACAAUUAAAGGGUUUUCUAUUCAAAUUUACAUGGGUUUUGUUUGCAGCCUCGGAUCAUACAUGUGCAUUUAAUUUGGUUUUGUUUUCAGUUUCAAGAGACCCUGACAUUUUUCCUUUUAUGGGCCUUUUCUUUGCAGACUCGGACGCCCUUUGUGCUCAAGGUAGGGGCGGAGCCACCAAGGGACUAGGAUAGUCCCUGGCCCAUCCUGACUUCAUCUGAGGCAUGAACCUCAUGGAAGAAGAUGAAGCAAAUGACGUCGUUAAACUGUUUUGAUUUUAAAUCUUUUCGGCUGUCUAAUGCAACGAUAAGUUUGGCAGGGGAGUUUUAAAAGAGAUGUGCAAUUUUAAAUGGAAAAAGCAACCCCACUUCUGGUUCGAUUCUCUCACCUAACAGUAAUAUACACCCUAUAAUUUUCUAAAGCAACCCACCUUCUUUAUUUGCAGACCUCUCCCCCUUUUCCUUCUUUUUCUACUUCUUUGUAUUUUCUUUAGCCUUCCACAACCUACCUCUUACUUGGUUGUUUGGGUUUUUACAUUUUUUUCUUCUUAGUAUUGAAUUUAAGAGAAUUUUUUCAAUUUUAUGAGGAUUACACAAAUUGCAUAUGUCAACAUGUUAUGAAUUCAACUUUUUACACACACUUAUAUAUAUAUAUAUAUAUAUAUAUAUAUAUAUAUAUACACACACAUAUUUGUGAAAUACCCCUCCUCAUUCAGAAUUUUGGCUCCGCCACUGGCUCAAGGAAAACAAUUUCAACUUUUUACUUCUAAAGUGUUGCUCUUAUUUAGCAGCAGGUAUUCCGUUGUAUACAAUAAUAUGUUUUGUGUUAUGCUAGGAACCCUGUUUCCUUCUUUUGUCUCUCUGUGCACUCAAAAAACAAGCCACCCUAAUUCAAGCUUUCUACCUUCAGAUUUCCACAUUUUGACUUGCUUUUUUUUUUCUUUGUUUUGUUUAAAGAACUUAGUACUUUUGAUUUCAGUAGCAAAAUAAUUUGAACAGGAUGAGACAGAGAGAAAUAAAGCAUCUAUUUGAUCUCUGUACUUUCUCUUAUUCUUAUGUGUCGUUAAGGUCGCAUAUCUGAAUUUUAACCUAUCAUCAUGUAAGUAUUAUAGUGUGUUUGGGAAGCGGGAGUGUGUGAAAUGUGUUGGUGCUGAUGAUAGUGUCGAAUUUUAUGUGUCGUUAAGGUCGCAUAUCUGAAUUUUAACCUAUCAUCAUGUAAGUAUUAUAAUGUGUUUGGGAAGCGGGAGUGUGUGAAAUGUGUUGGUACUGAUGAUAGUGUCGAAUUUGGGGACACUUCCAGCUAGCAGAGUAGGUAACAGAGAGCUUUUUCCAACUCAAAUUUAAUGAUUCAAGCUGCUUAAGACUUGCCUAACAUUUCCAAGUUGGGGGGGGGUAGGAAUUUAUGGGUUUGAAUUUUUGUCAAGUAUGUGAUUCUUGCAAAAGAGUUGUAAAUUUGUGUAAGUAGAGUUGUAAACCCUACCAUUGAACACUUAAUAUAGUUGUACACUUAUAUACAAUUUUUUACAUGCUUGGUACGGUUUUAAACACCCACAACAUCACGCAGGCACACUUUUGCUAGUAUUUUACUAAACUAGUGCACUCAAAUGUCCGUAGCUAAAUAUAUUAUAAUGAAUUAGUGGAAUAUAAGAAAAUAUGGAAAAACAUAAGUGUACCAAAAAGUCCAUACCUAAACAUGGUAUACUAAAUUAGUGUACCAUUAUAUCUGUACCUAAAUAUAUUAUACUAAACUAGUAUACCGAAAUAUUCAUACCUAAACAUAUUAUAUUAAACUAGUGUACUGAGAUGUCUGUACCUAAAUACAUUUUAAUAAAUUAAUGGCACAUAAGAAAAUAUGCAAAAACAUAGGUGUGCCGAAAAGCCUCUACCAGAAUAUUUUCUUAUAUAAGAUACUUACAAUAAAUUGGUGAUGCAAAAUGUCAACUGUUUGUACCAUACUUGACCAAUCCCGAAACUACUGAGCACCGGUCAACGUUAUACCGUCAAGGACCCAGAAGAGCUUCCCUUCAACCAGGAGGCCAAUCACAAUGCGACACGUGUCGACAUCAGAAGCCAAUCACAGCUCGACACGUGUCAACAUCAGAAGCCAAUUACAACACGACACGUGUCAAUGUUAGAACAAAACUAGAAACUCUCUUCUAUAAAUAGGGAUCAUUCUCCCACAAUAAUCUCUAAUGUCAUUUUGUACUAAACUAUUCACUAGAACUCACAAAAUGAGAGCUUGAACCUAUGUAUUUGUGUAAACCCUUCACAAUUAAUGAGAACUCCUCUACUCCGUGGACAUAGCCGAUCUGGGUGAACCACGUACAUCUUGUGUUUGCUUCCCUGUCCCUAUUCAUUUACGUACUUAUCUUCACUAGUGAUCGAAGCAACCAAGCGAAGGUCACAAACCUGACACUUUCUGUUGUACCAAAGUCCUCGCUGAUUUUGUGCAUCAACAUUUGGCGCCGUCUGUGGGAAACGACACUUAUUCCCACUCUCUUCAGCUUUGUCAAGCUGGUUUCCACUGCUCGUACACUCUCUUUUGGCCAAGCAUCUCUCUCCGACAUGGGGAGCGAAAGAAGCCAUAGCACACAGAAUGACACCCCCAUUGGACCUAGUAUGAAGCAACGAAAGCAGGAAGGAAAUAGAGUUACUCUUCAAGCUAAAGUUGAUGAGUUAGAAGCUCAGAACAACAAGAUAGUGAUGAGGAACGAGGUUCUCCAGGAGCAGUAUGAAAAACGUUUUGAGAUGCUUCACGAGGCUAGGCAUGCUCAAGCACACAAGCUUGUCGCCCCUGCUGAGGUCAACAAUCAUCUGAAUGCCCCCCAACACGAAGGGUCACCGAUAUCCAACACGGACAUCCCUGAUAAGGAUCGAGCUACACAUCAAUGUGAUAAUCAACAUGAGACUUCUCUCAACCCAGCUGCUUCAACCCGAAGCAGAAGGAGUAGAGGAAAGCACCUCCUCACAAAAGGAGUGGAAGGAUCAAAAGCCGUCUAUCGCGAUUGUCGAGACUUCCUAAAGCAACGUCGAGAGAAUCCCAUCCACAUAAGCUCGAAGAUCAAUGACCCAAGAGUUUCUGAAAGACUCGGUCCUCUCCCACGACCCAGGCCAGCAGUUAAUCUAGGGAAUGGGCAACAAGUCCCAGAAGAACAUGAAGGUACAGGGGACUCGGAAAUGUUCCGACAUACUCACUCUAGGAGUCAGUGUGAUGAGUCCAAGGAAAAAUCACGUUAUCUUGAUCAAACUUUCCUACUUACAAGAGGCGAUGGGGACUUACGGAAGAAACCUUCAGUGGUGCACGACUCCACUCAGGACCCCCUUGUCCUACAGCUCCUGGAGGAAGUAAACAAGUUGAAGGCUGAACGUCAAGCCGAGAUACCUGACUGGAACCAACCCAGGCCUGGGCCCCUCACAAGAAGGAUCCUCAACACCCCCCUCCAAGCAAAGACAAAGCAGAAGCUUGGCUUACAACUCUAUACUGGAAAGGAAGACCCGAUUGAACACCUUAACCUCUUUGAGUCCACCAUGGUAUACCGGAGACACACCGACGAAGAACGGUGCCUUCUCUUCCCCUCCACCCUCUCUGGCUGAGCUUUAAAUUGGUAUUGCCGUCUUCCGCCUGAGACAGUAGACUCAUUUGAAGAGUUGAGGAAGCUGUUUGUCUCUCAACACAUCUUCCAGACCGAUCGCUUGCAUUCCGCAGAUGACUUGUACACUAUUCGCCAGAAGCCAGAUGAGUCAUUACGAAAGUAUGCUGGCCGCUUCAGCCAUGAGUAUUCUCGUUGCGCUGAGGCAGAUGACAAGACUGCCCUCAAGGCCUUCACGACAGGCUUACGUGACUGUUUCUUCAAGUACAUGAUCAAUGCCAACACUUGGAAGACUUACUCUGAGGUGAUGACACAAGCUUACAACCAUGCCUCAGCCGAGGCAAGGACAUAUCAAGGGAAACCCCUUACAGUAACCCCUUAUCAGCAAGUAGGGAGUGGAGGCCAGAUCCAACCAAAUGAGAAGACCUCAACCUUCCAAACGGUAGCAGCACACCCCCUGCCUCAUUUAAUGCUUCGCCAAGUCAGCAGACAUAUCAAUCCCAGGGCAAAAGGAAAGAUUUCCAUCCUCACCAAUCUCAUUUUAAUAAAAAGAAUAAGGGGCACUAUCGCGAUAACUCAGGAUAUCGUCACAAUAACGCCCGUCCCCAAGCAGUCAAUGCAGUGGGCCAAUCACGUGUCAAGACAGGCCCUACCCUCGGUAUGAGACAUACACACCUUUGAACGCUACAUGCGCGGCCAUCUACCCCAGUAUAGCUCAUUUGAUACCAAAGCCAAAGCCAAGACAGCCAGAUUACAAGUCCACGAAAAACACGGGCAUGUUUUGCUGCUACCACGAGUAUAAUGGCCAUGAUGGCGAGAAGUGCGUCAUCCUCCGUGAUCAUAUUGAAGCUUUGGCACGUGAAGGAAAAAUUGAUCAGUUCCUCCUUCACCCUCCAAAGGAUAACCGUAACCAACGCCAGGUGAAUGUGAUAUAUUCUAUAAGCGGCGGCAUACCUAUGUCUGAAUCUUCCAAUAGGGCCAUGAAAAACAGUGAACAAACUUUGAGACCUGGCCAUCAAGUGUUUCACGUGGAAGACAUCAGGGGAGGCAAGUAUCAAAAGCCUAACUGGGAUCCAAUAUGUUUCUACCCUGAGGAAGAAAGAGGUAUCAUCUACCCUCACAACGACCCGCUGAUCGUGGAGGCUCACAUAGCAAAUUUUGAUGUGAAACGAAUCCUGAUAGACACAGGUGCUUCAGUCAAUAUCAUGUUUGCUGAAGCUUUCAAGGCACUUAAUGUAGCUGAACACUUGCUCGAUCGCUCGAUUUCUCCUCUGAUAAGCUUCUCUGGCGAUAUCGUGCAACCUUUAGGGAGUAUACACUUACCCUUCACCAUUGGUACAGGCCCCUACACAGCUAUUAUUACCACUAACUUCCUAGUGGUCAAUUGCCCGACGGCAUACAAUGUCAUCUUUGGGCGCACAGGCAUCAAUGAUCUCAAGGCCAUGGUAUCCAUACAUAUGUUGUUGAUGAAGUUUCCAACCCCUUUCGGCAAUGGAUACAUCAGGGGAGAUCAACUUAGUGCUCGAUCAUGUUACAACACUUCAGUUAAGCAACAACACCUGCCUGUCCCCAAGGAGACCCUCUCUAUACAUAACCAGGUAGUAAAGACCAGUCCAGAUGAAGCCAACUUGAAUCUUCAUGAUGGCAACAGUCAACCCGACGACCCUCGAGAUGACUCAUUCACCCAGCAAGCACAACCCGCUGAAGAGUUAGAGAAUGUCUCUAUCUCCAAAGACCAUCCAAAUCGCAUGGUGAAGAUUGGCACCACUUUGUCACCACCCCUUCGGUUGUCGCUGAUCUCUUUUUUGUAAGAGAACACCGAGGUCUUCGCUUGGUCAUAUAAAGAUAUGCCGGGCAUCUCUCCCGAUAUCAUCUGUCACCACUUGAGUAUUGAUCUCAAGACCAAACCAGUAAAACAGAAGCGAAGAUCUUAUGAUGUUGAACGAUACGAGGCGAUGAAAGCAGAAGUGAAAAACUCAAGGACAUAGGCUUCGUCCGUGAAGUCAAUUACCCAACAUGGGUAGCAAAUGUUGUCCUUAUUAAGAAAAAUCCGACCAAGGAAAGUCUCUUGCUUCAGAAGGUCUUGUGGAGAAUGUGUGUCGACUACACCGACCUAAACAAAGGAUGCCCGAAGGAUAGUUUCCCCCUUCCUCUCAUUGAUAGACUUAUAGACUCUACGGCAGGGUGUGAGCUCUUGAGCUUCAUGGACGCUUAUUCAGGAUACAACCAAAUCCUCAUGAACCCCUCAGACCAAGAACACACAGCCUUCACUACUGACAGGGGACUAUAUUGCUACAAAGUCAUGCCUUUCGGCCUAAAGAAUGCAGGAGCAACUUAUCAGAGACUGGUCAAUUCAAUGUUCGCCGAACAGAUUGGGAAGAGCAUGGAAGUUUACGUUGAUGAUAUGUUAGUCAAGAGCAAACAUGCUGACCAACACAUCACCAACCUAUCUGAAACUUUCACCAUUCUAAAGAGGUAUCGAAUGAGGUUGAACCCCAACAAAUGUGCCUUCGGCGUGGGCUCUGGCAAAUUCUUAAGCUUCAUGAUUAGCCAACGAGGCAUUGAAGCUAACCCCGAAAAGAUCAAAGCAAUCCUCGACAUGAAAGAGCCAGUAACUUCAAAAGACAUCCAAAGCCUUACUGGCAAGGUGGCAGCCUUAACCAGAUUCAUCUCUAAGGCCACAGACAGAUGUGCUCCUUUCUUCAAAACAUUCAAGGGAAAUAAGAAAUACAUUACAUGGACGGAGGAAUGUGCCAAGGCAUUCAGGAACCUCAAAGAGUACAUGAGUAAAGCCCAUCUGCUCUCCAAACCAGAAGUUGGUGAUACUCUCAUUAUCUAUCUAUCAGUUUCGGCUUCAGCAGUCAGUUCUGUUCUUAUUCGAAAGGACAGUGGUGUCGAACGGCCCGUCUACUAUGCUAGCAAGGCCCUACAAGAUGCGGAGACACGAUACUCCAACAUUGAGAAAUUAGCUCUAGCAUUGGUCAUGUCUGCUCGAAAACUUUGCCCUUAUUUCCAAGCACACGCCAUCAUCGUGCUUACCAAUCACCCUCUUCGACAGAUACUCCAGAGUCCUGACACGUCUGGGUGAAUGAUUAAAUGGGCGAUAGCAUUGGGUGAGUUUGACAUCUCCUACCAACCAAAACCAGCCGAAAAAGGGCAAGCAGUAGCAGAUUUCAUCGCCGACUUCACAUAUCCUGUUGACAUUGCUUCUACACCUGAAGCAGUAGCUUCAUUACCAUCGGAAACUCAGAAGAUAGAAUCAACAACCCCAUCAUGGAGUCUGUAUGUUGAUGGCUCAUCCAACCAACAGGGCUGCGGAGCAGGAUUAGUCCUCACUACCCCGGACAAAGUGGCGAUAGAAUACGCUUUUCGUUUCAAAUUCAAGGCAUCGAACAAUGAGGCCGAAUACGAAGCCCUUCUAGCAGGCUUACGUUUGGCCAAGCACCUUGGGGUUAAACAAAUUGAUAUCUUCAGUGACUCCCAAUUAGUGGUCAACCAAGUCACGAACAACUUUGAUGCUAAGGAUAGCUCCAUGGCAGCAUAUCUUGCGCAAACACGACUUUUGCUCAAGCACUUCCACUACCAGAUCACCCAAGUUCCUCGAGCGGCAAACAGUCAUGCAGACGCUUUAGCUCGCCUCGCCUCGGCAGUGGAAGACAAGAUUGGGAGAAAAAUUCAUGUCGAAUUGUUGGCAGCACCAAGCACCAUGGUCGCGGAGGUGUGCAAUUUACAACAAUGAGAUAGUUGGAUCACCCCAAUUUAUAAAUUCCUUGCCCAUGGCACCCUUCCAAAUGACAAAGUCCAAGCUAAGCAGAUUCGAUACAAGUCUGCCCGCUACCUGAUCAUUAAUGACUAACUCUACAAGCGCGGUUUUACCCUGCCAUACCUAAGAUGCCUUACACCUGCGGAGGCGGAAAUUGUCCUUCGGGAAAUACAUGAAGGAGUCUGCGGAGAUCAUGCUGGGUCUCGGUCCCUAGCACACAAGACUUUUCGCCAAGGAUACUAUUGGCCAACACUCCACCAAGAUGCCAUCAGAAUAUCUCGCUCAUGUGAUAAGUGUCAACGCUACACAACUAUCCCUCACUCCCCUCCCGAGCCGCUUACUCCUAUGAUCAACCCUUGGCCCUUCGCCCAAUGGGGACUUGAUUUGAUCGGCCCAAUGCCUGUAGGGAAGGGCAAAGUCCGCUAUGCAAUCGUUGCAGUUGACUACUUCACAAAGUGGGCUGAAGUAGAACCCUUGGCAACCAUUACUGAGGGAAAAAUAGAAGACUUCGUAUGGAAGAACAUCCUCUGCAGAUUCGGCAUUCCCAAUGCGAUAGUCACGGACAAUGGGCGGCAGUUCGACAACAAGAAGUUCAAGAUGUUUUGCUCUAAGUUCAACAUCAACUUAUGUUUUGCCUCUCCAGCCCAUCCCCAGUCUAAUGGACAAGUCGAGGCCGUUAACAAAAUAAUCAAGCGCAUUCUGAAAACUAGCUUGGACAAAGCUAAAGGUUGUUGGCCAGAAUUCGUACCCCAAGUUCUUUGGUCAUACCGCACUUCAUAUCGGACUUCCACAGGAGAAACUCCAUUCUCACUUGCUUUUGGUACAGAAGCAGUUGUCCUGGUUGAGCUUGAGCAAGCAACAUACCGAAUCCAGAAUUACAUGCAGAGUGAGAACGACAAACAACUCACCCUCAACCUGGAUCUAGUCGAGGAACACAGAAAUCAGGCUCACCUGAGGAAUGUCGCCUACAAGCAGCGCAUUUCCAACUACUACGACUCAAGGGUCAAACCUCGCUCUUUCAAAGUGGGAGACUGGGUACUGAAGAAAAGAUUACUAUGUGAUAGGGUCCCGAGUGAAGGAACACUCAGUCCUAACUGGGACGGACCGUUCGAGGUCGUCGGCAUCAGCCGCCCUGGCUCCUACAAGCUCAGAAACUCCGACUGCAAGACCCUUGGCCAUCCAUGGAAUGCUGACCACUUGAAGUAUUAUUACAAAUAGACUCACAUUGUACAAGUGUUAAGCUACAUCCGUUCGGCAUCCUAUGUAACAAAGACCAUUUGGUAUGAAUUCAAUAAAGAGGUGAUUUAGCCAACUCGGCCCUAAACUCUUUUACAUUCUGAGCAAUGAAACACUCAAGUGUUGAAGCUUCAACGCAAAUGUUUCCAAUACAAAAUCAAAUCUAAGUAUGUGUCAACAAGACUAUACAAAGGAUCUAUGCAAACAUAGUCAAACAUUCAUCAAUGAUAGGGCAAACACUUGAAGCUUGAUAAUGCAAACACUUGAAGCUUGACAAUACAAACACUUGCUUGAUAAUGCAAACACUCAUAAACAUACAAAACAAAAAAAACUCUCAGGCUUAUAACAUGGCACAUGCCAUACAAACAACAAACUAGUGUAGGUAGAGUACAUGCAGAAAGUGAAAGCACUUCUAGUCAUCCUCAUCUGAGGUUGAACCCCUGAUCAUAUCACUAUGAGUCCUACCGCCAUUUUCUGCAUUUCCAAACUCAUCAUCACCCUGAUGACUCUGCUCAUCAGCACUAGCCUCAUCACCAGACUCAUCUGCACUGCUAGAAUAAACGGCAAGGUUGAAGGUUUCACCUUUUCGAUGAUGCUCAUCUAUUUCUUCACGAUAUUUUCGAAGAACGCUUCCAUCAUCAUAACGAUCAAGGACAGCCAUCCAUUUCCUUUUUUCAAAGUGAACUUCCCGGGUACAGCGAGGUCUAAGGACAUGGAGAAAGGCCGGGGAACCCAAGAACUCCUUCACAGCAGCUUCCUUCUCAGUCGGGAUACUACUCUUCAGCUCAGAAACCUCAACCAAGGCACUAUCCAACUCCCCUUUAACCUUGGAAACCUCGAGCAAAGUUGUCUCCAACUGUUUCUUAGUCGCCUCCAACUGUACUUUGAGUCUCAAGUUCUCACCAUUCCGCCUCUUCAAACUCUCAAAAUGUUGAUCCCUGACUUCAAUGGCCUUAGCCAAAGCUUUGCUCGUCUUCCUGGCAUCAUUCACAAGCUGCUUAUUCUCUUUCAGUUUCACCUUGCACCGCUCAGCCUCUCGCAGUCUGUCGUGAUACUCAGUCAUGACCUGCAUGACAAGACGAUCAUCGCUACCAAAAUAAUGCUAAUAAAGAGGAGAAAACAAGGAAAUGACAAAGUAACACUCACAUAUGAAGACAGCUUCAACAUCCGGUCACAAUCCGAUUCAUCUUUAGCUAAAGGCUCUCCGAGCUCAUCGAAAGUGAAUCGACGCCCUGCCAGGCAAUUGUUGAUAUACCCAAAGUCCUUUGGUCGCAUGGCAACCUUCAAAUCCUUCCAAGGGACACUGCCAACCUCUUCUUUAUCUUUACCCUUGCUGCUAGAACUAGGAUCACCUUUCUGCCCAAUGUGCUCCCUAACUGGAGGAAAGAUAGGAUUGAUAGUAGGAAGAUGAGGCAACAAUCGCCUAUCUUCCCCGGCAACUAUGGCAGCAGCACAUCCAAUGGCCUCAGCUUCAGCUUUCUUCGAGGCAGCAACCUUGAGGACUUCUUCUCGAGACUUAGUUUUAAUGAUUGGUCUCACUCGGUGCUUGCGAGCUUCCUUGUGAAACAGGAUGUCUUCUGAAGGAACUAACAUGGGCAUUCUCCUUUUCUUGGUGCUAGUCUCCACUUUCUUGCCCACCUUCUCCACUGAACAAGGAAAAUCAAAGUAAGGAAUACCACAUUAUAUAUCUAUAUAAAAAAAAAAAGGGAAGAACAAGGAUCAAGUGAGGAUACAACUUACUCGCUCGUCUCUGGCACUCGGAAACUAAGGGCUGGAAACCGUACUUUCGAAACAAGGGUCGUAGCUUACCCAAGUGUCUAUCUUCUUUAGGCACCCUCAGCACUUUCUCUACAUCAGCUAGCUCCUGUCCGGAGAGUUUGAUGGUGCCUCGUGUCACUGCAUGAAGAAAAAUCUUAGAAGCAAGAGAAAAUCACAACAAUAGCAAAUAAUGAGAAAAUGGAUACAUUACAACCUACAGUCUGGAAGUGAGUAGGAACACGUCGCUCAGGCGUGACACCCUUAGCAUGCUCCCAAUCAUUAUAAAGAAAGCACCAACGUUUCUUCCAUGUGCAGUACGCCUUUCUCUUAUCAAAGACAACACGCUCUCUCUCACUCCGACAUGCACAUUCAGCAUAACCAGUACAUGCUUUCACCGGGCGCAUCUUAUAACAGUAGCGCCACUGAUGGAAGGAAGGUUCACCUAAUCCACACUCCAUCCAUAUAAUAUAAAACCCGAUCAAGGUAUCCCAGAAACCGGGGUUGAGUUGCCCCGGUGCAUAACCAAUAAAAGACAGCAUCCGUUGCAACCACGGAUGCAAAGGUAAAUUUACCCCCAAGGUCACUAAUGUCUGGGUAUAGAACAUAACAUGACCCGUGGGCGGCUCAGAAGGCAAUUCUUCACAACGCACCAAACGUAUUCCUACACUACGGGGGAUACUACAUGAUCGCCUUAGGGCCUCAAGCUGCUUUUCGAUAUCUAACAAGUUAUUUUCUAAAUGGUCCGCUGUGAACUCAGAGCGAAAUAUGGGUAUGGCGUCACAAACAACCCCCUCACCCACUAGCAUGGAGGAAGAACCAAUAUUGGCUAAGGUUUGACAAUUGUGAGGAUCAGAACGAAAUAUGGGUAUGGCGUCACAAACAAACCCCCUCACCCACUAGCAUGGAGGAAGAACCAAUAUUGGCUAAGGCUUGACAAUUAUGAGGAUCAUCCAACGUUUCUUUCAUACCAGACUCUAACAAAGGCCAUGAAGACCCUGACAUGGCAGGCUCAAACCUAGAGCUAGAGCUAGGGGAGCCCUCAUCACUAAGACUUCCAGACUCCGACAUCUACAAACAAACAGAAACAAACUCUAUCACUACAUGAAGGAUCAAAACAUAAGGAAGCUCAUAGGGCAUGCAGAAAAGCUCAACCAGUUCCUUAUGUUCUUAACAGAAUACAUGAACACUCAAACAAUNNNNNNNNNNNNNNNNNNNNNNNNNNNNNNNNNNNNNNNNNNNNNNNNNNNNNNNNNNNNNNNNNNNNNNNNNNNNNNNNNNNNNNNNNNNNNNNNNNNNNNNNNNNNNNNNNNNNNNNNNNNNNNNNNNNNNNNNNNNNNNNNNNNNNNNNNNNNNNNNNNNNNNNNNNNNNNNNNNNNNNNNNNNNNNNNNNNNNNNNNNNNNNNNNNNNNNNNNNNNNNNNNNNNNNNNNNNNNNNNNNNNNNNNNNNNNNNNNNNNNNNNNNNNNNNNNNNNNNNNNNNNNNNNNNNNNNNNNNNNNNNNNNNNNNNNNNNNNNNNNNNNNNNNNNNNNNNNNNNNNNNNNNNNNNNNNNNNNNNNNNNNNNNNNNNNNNNNNNNNNNNNNNNNNNNNNNNNNNNNNNNNNNNNNNNNNNNNNNNNNNNNNNNNNNNNNNNNNNNNNNNNNNNNNNNNNNNNNNNNNNNNNNNNNNNNNNNNNNNNNNNNNNNNNNNNNNNNNNNNNNNNNNNNNNNNNNNNNNNNNNNNNNNNNNNNNNNNNNNNNNNNNNNNNNNNNNNNNNNNNNNNNNNNNNNNNNNNNNNNNNNNNNNNNNNNNNNNNNNNNNNNNNNNNNNNNNNNNNNNNNNNNNNNNNNNNNNNNNNNNNNNNNNNNNNNNNNNNNNNNNNNNNNNNNNNNNNNNNNNNNNNNNNNNNNNNNNNNNNNNNNNNNNNNNNNNNNNNNNNNNNNNNNNNNNNNNNNNNNNNNNNNNNNNNNNNNNNNNNNNNNNNNNNNNNNNNNNNNNNNNNNNNNNNNNNNNNNNNNNNNNNNNNNNNNNNNNNNNNNNNNNNNNNNNNNNNNNNNNNNNNNNNNNNNNNNNNNNNNNNNNNNNNNNNNNNNNNNNNNNNNNNNNNNNNNNNNNNNNNNNNNNNNNNNNNNNNNNNNNNNNNNNNNNNNNNNNNNNNNNNNNNNNNNNNNNNNNNNNNNNNNNNNNNNNNNNNNNNNNNNNNNNNNNNNNNNNNNNNNNNNNNNNNNNNNNNNNNNNNNNNNNNNNNNNNNNNNNNNNNNNNNNNNNNNNNNNNNNNNNNNNNNNNNNNNNNNNNNNNNNNNNNNNNNNNNNNNNNNNNNNNNNNNNNNNNNNNNNNNNNNNNNNNNNNNNNNNNNNNNNNNNNNNNNNNNNNNNNNNNNNNNNNNNNNNNNNNNNNNNNNNNNNNNNNNNNNNNNNNNNNNNNNNNNNNNNNNNNNNNNNNNNNNNNNNNNNNNNNNNNNNNNNNNNNNNNNNNNNNNNNNNNNNNNNNNNNNNNNNNNNNNNNNNNNNNNNNNNNNNNNNNNNNNNNNNNNNNNNNNNNNNNNNNNNNNNNNNNNNNNNNNNNNNNNNNNNNNNNNNNNNNNNNNNNNNNNNNNNNNNNNNNNNNNNNNNNNNNNNNNNNNNNNNNNNNNNNNNNNNNNNNNNNNNNNNNNNNNNNNNNNNNNNNNNNNNNNNNNNNNNNNNNNNNNNNNNNNNNNNNNNNNNNNNNNNNNNNNNNNNNNNNNNNNNNNNNNNNNNNNNNNNNNNNNNNNNNNNNNNNNNNNNNNNNNNNNNNNNNNNNNNNNNNNNNNNNNNNNNNNNNNNNNNNNNNNNNNNNNNNNNNNNNNNNNNNNNNNNNNNNNNNNNNNNNNNNNNNNNNNNNNNNNNNNNNNNNNNNNNNNNNNNNNNNNNNNNNNNNNNNNNNNNNNNNNNNNNNNNNNNNNNNNNNNNNNNNNNNNNNNNNNNNNNNNNNNNNNNNNNNNNNNNNNNNNNNNNNNNNNNNNNNNNNNNNNNNNNNNNNNNNNNNNNNNNNNNNNNNNNNNNNNNNNNNNNNNNNNNNNNNNNNNNNNNNNNNNNNNNNNNNNNNNNNNNNNNNNNNNNNNNNNNNNNNNNNNNNNNNNNNNNNNNNNNNNNNNNNNNNNNNNNNNNNNNNNNNNNNNNNNNNNNNNNNNNNNNNNNNNNNNNNNNNNNNNNNNNNNNNNNNNNNNNNNNNNNNNNNNNNNNNNNNNNNNNNNNNNNNNNNNNNNNNNNNNNNNNNNNNNNNNNNNNNNNNNNNNNNNNNNNNNNNNNNNNNNNNNNNNNNNNNNNNNNNNNNNNNNNNNNNNNNNNNNNNNNNNNNNNNNNNNNNNNNNNNNNNNNNNNNNNNNNNNNNNNNNNNNNNNNNNNNNNNNNNNNNNNNNNNNNNNNNNNNNNNNNNNNNNNNNNNNNNNNNNNNNNNNNNNNNNNNNNNNNNNNNNNNNNNNNNNNNNNNNNNNNNNNNNNNNNNNNNNNNNNNNNNNNNNNNNNNNNNNNNNNNNNNNNNNNNNNNNNNNNNNNNNNNNNNNNNNNNNNNNNNNNNNNNNNNNNNNNNNNNNNNNNNNNNNNNNNNNNNNNNNNNNNNNNNNNNNNNNNNNNNNNNNNNNNNNNNNNNNNNNNNNNNNNNNNNNNNNNNNNNNNNNNNNNNNNNNNNNNNNNNNNNNNNNNNNNNNNNNNNNNNNNNNNNNNNNNNNNNNNNNNNNNNNNNNNNNNNNNNNNNNNNNNNNNNNNNNNNNNNNNNNNNNNNNNNNNNNNNNNNNNNNNNNNNNNNNNNNNNNNNNNNNNNNNNNNNNNNNNNNNNNNNNNNNNNNNNNNNNNNNNNNNNNNNNNNNNNNNNNNNNNNNNNNNNNNNNNNNNNNNNNNNNNNNNNNNNNNNNNNNNNNNNNNNNNNNNNNNNNNNNNNNNNNNNNNNNNNNNNNNNNNNNNNNNNNNNNNNNNNNNNNNNNNNNNNNNNNNNNNNNNNNNNNNNNNNNNNNNNNNNNNNNNNNNNNNNNNNNNNNNNNNNNNNNNNNNNNNNNNNNNNNNNNNNNNNNNNNNNNNNNNNNNNNNNNNNNNNNNNNNNNNNNNNNNNNNNNNNNNNNNNNNNNNNNNNNNNNNNNNNNNNNNNNNNNNNNNNNNNNNNNNNNNNNNNNNNNNNNNNNNNNNNNNNNNNNNNNNNNNNNNNNNNNNNNNNNNNNNNNNNNNNNNNNNNNNNNNNNNNNNNNNNNNNNNNNNNNNNNNNNNNNNNNNNNNNNNNNNNNNNNNNNNNNNNNNNNNNNNNNNNNNNNNNNNNNNNNNNNNNNNNNNNNNNNNNNNNNNNNNNNNNNNNNNNNNNNNNNNNNNNNNNNNNNNNNNNNNNNNNNNNNNNNNNNNNNNNNNNNNNNNNNNNNNNNNNNNNNNNNNNNNNNNNNNNNNNNNNNNNNNNNNNNNNNNNNNNNNNNNNNNNNNNNNNNNNNNNNNNNNNNNNNNNNNNNNNNNNNNNNNNNNNNNNNNNNNNNNNNNNNNNNNNNNNNNNNNNNNNNNNNNNNNNNNNNNNNNNNNNNNNNNNNNNNNNNNNNNNNNNNNNNNNNNNNNNNNNNNNNNNNNNNNNNNNNNNNNNNNNNNNNNNNNNNNNNNNNNNNNNNNNNNNNNNNNNNNNNNNNNNNNNNNNNNNNNNNNNNNNNNNNNNNNNNNNNNNNNNNNNNNNNNNNNNNNNNNNNNNNNNNNNNNNNNNNNNNNNNNNNNNNNNNNNNNNNNNNNNNNNNNNNNNNNNNNNNNNNNNNNNNNNNNNNNNNNNNNNNNNNNNNNNNNNNNNNNNNNNNNNNNNNNNNNNNNNNNNNNNNNNNNNNNNNNNNNNNNNNNNNNNNNNNNNNNNNNNNNNNNNNNNNNNNNNNNNNNNNNNNNNNNNNNNNNNNNNNNNNNNNNNNNNNNNNNNNNNNNNNNNNNNNNNNNNNNNNNNNNNNNNNNNNNNNNNNNNNNNNNNNNNNNNNNNNNNNNNNNNNNNNNNNNNNNNNNNNNNNNNNNNNNNNNNNNNNNNNNNNNNNNNNNNNNNNNNNNNNNNNNNNNNNNNNNNNNNNNNNNNNNNNNNNNNNNNNNNNNNNNNNNNNNNNNNNNNNNNNNNNNNNNNNNNNNNNNNNNNNNNNNNNNNNNNNNNNNNNNNNNNNNNNNNNNNNNNNNNNNNNNNNNNNNNNNNNNNNNNNNNNNNNNNNNNNNNNNNNNNNNNNNNNNNNNNNNNNNNNNNNNNNNNNNNNNNNNNNNNNNNNNNNNNNNNNNNNNNNNNNNNNNNNNNNNNNNNNNNNNNNNNNNNNNNNNNNNNNNNNNNNNNNNNNNNNNNNNNNNNNNNNNNNNNNNNNNNNNNNNNNNNNNNNNNNNNNNNNNNNNNNNNNNNNNNNNNNNNNNNNNNNNNNNNNNNNNNNNNNNNNNNNNNNNNNNNNNNNNNNNNNNNNNNNNNNNNNNNNNNNNNNNNNNNNNNNNNNNNNNNNNNNNNNNNNNNNNNNNNNNNNNNNNNNNNNNNNNNNNNNNNNNNNNNNNNNNNNNNNNNNNNNNNNNNNNNNNNNNNNNNNNNNNNNNNNNNNNNNNNNNNNNNNNNNNNNNNNNNNNNNNNNNNNNNNNNNNNNNNNNNNNNNNNNNNNNNNNNNNNNNNNNNNNNNNNNNNNNNNNNNNNNNNNNNNNNNNNNNNNNNNNNNNNNNNNNNNNNNNNNNNNNNNNNNNNNNNNNNNNNNNNNNNNNNNNNNNNNNNNNNNNNNNNNNNNNNNNNNNNNNNNNNNNNNNNNNNNNNNNNNNNNNNNNNNNNNNNNNNNNNNNNNNNNNNNNNNNNNNNNNNNNNNNNNNNNNNNNNNNNNNNNNNNNNNNNNNNNNNNNNNNNNNNNNNNNNNNNNNNNNNNNNNNNNNNNNNNNNNNNNNNNNNNNNNNNNNNNNNNNNNNNNNNNNNNNNNNNNNNNNNNNNNNNNNNNNNNNNNNNNNNNNNNNNNNNNNNNNNNNNNNNNNNNNNNNNNNNNNNNNNNNNNNNNNNNNNNNNNNNNNNNNNNNNNNNNNNNNNNNNNNNNNNNNNNNNNNNNNNNNNNNNNNNNNNNNNNNNNNNNNNNNNNNNNNNNNNNNNNNNNNNNNNNNNNNNNNNNNNNNNNNNNNNNNNNNNNNNNNNNNNNNNNNNNNNNNNNNNNNNNNNNNNNNNNNNNNNNNNNNNNNNNNNNNNNNNNNNNNNNNNNNNNNNNNNNNNNNNNNNNNNNNNNNNNNNNNNNNNNNNNNNNNNNNNNNNNNNNNNNNNNNNNNNNNNNNNNNNNNNNNNNNNNNNNNNNNNNNNNNNNNNNNNNNNNNNNNNNNNNNNNNNNNNNNNNNNNNNNNNNNNNNNNNNNNNNNNNNNNNNNNNNNNNNNNNNNNNNNNNNNNNNNNNNNNNNNNNNNNNNNNNNNNNNNNNNNNNNNNNNNNNNNNNNNNNNNNNNNNNNNNNNNNNNNNNNNNNNNNNNNNNNNNNNNNNNNNNNNNNNNNNNNNNNNNNNNNNNNNNNNNNNNNNNNNNNNNNNNNNNNNNNNNNNNNNNNNNNNNNNNNNNNNNNNNNNNNNNNNNNNNNNNNNNNNNNNNNNNNNNNNNNNNNNNNNNNNNNNNNNNNNNNNNNNNNNNNNNNNNNNNNNNNNNNNNNNNNNNNNNNNNNNNNNNNNNNNNNNNNNNNNNNNNNNNNNNNNNNNNNNNNNNNNNNNNNNNNNNNNNNNNNNNNNNNNNNNNNNNNNNNNNNNNNNNNNNNNNNNNNNNNNNNNNNNNNNNNNNNNNNNNNNNNNNNNNNNNNNNNNNNNNNNNNNNNNNNNNNNNNNNNNNNNNNNNNNNNNNNNNNNNNNNNNNNNNNNNNNNNNNNNNNNNNNNNNNNNNNNNNNNNNNNNNNNNNNNNNNNNNNNNNNNNNNNNNNNNNNNNNNNNNNNNNNNNNNNNNNNNNNNNNNNNNNNNNNNNNNNNNNNNNNNNNNNNNNNNNNNNNNNNNNNNNNNNNNNNNNNNNNNNNNNNNNNNNNNNNNNNNNNNNNNNNNNNNNNNNNNNNNNNNNNNNNNNNNNNNNNNNNNNNNNNNNNNNNNNNNNNNNNNNNNNNNNNNNNNNNNNNNNNNNNNNNNNNNNNNNNNNNNNNNNNNNNNNNNNNNNNNNNNNNNNNNNNNNNNNNNNNNNNNNNNNNNNNNNNNNNNNNNNNNNNNNNNNNNNNNNNNNNNNNNNNNNNNNNNNNNNNNNNNNNNNNNNNNNNNNNNNNNNNNNNNNNNNNNNNNNNNNNNNNNNNNNNNNNNNNNNNNNNNNNNNNNNNNNNNNNNNNNNNNNNNNNNNNNNNNNNNNNNNNNNNNNNNNNNNNNNNNNNNNNNNNNNNNNNNNNNNNNNNNNNNNNNNNNNNNNNNNNNNNNNNNNNNNNNNNNNNNNNNNNNNNNNNNNNNNNNNNNNNNNNNNNNNNNNNNNNNNNNNNNNNNNNNNNNNNNNNNNNNNNNNNNNNNNNNNNNNNNNNNNNNNNNNNNNNNNNNNNNNNNNNNNNNNNNNNNNNNNNNNNNNNNNNNNNNNNNNNNNNNNNNNNNNNNNNNNNNNNNNNNNNNNNNNNNNNNNNNNNNNNNNNNNNNNNNNNNNNNNNNNNNNNNNNNNNNNNNNNNNNNNNNNNNNNNNNNNNNNNNNNNNNNNNNNNNNNNNNNNNNNNNNNNNNNNNNNNNNNNNNNNNNNNNNNNNNNNNNNNNNNNNNNNNNNNNNNNNNNNNNNNNNNNNNNNNNNNNNNNNNNNNNNNNNNNNNNNNNNNNNNNNNNNNNNNNNNNNNNNNNNNNNNNNNNNNNNNNNNNNNNNNNNNNNNNNNNNNNNNNNNNNNNNNNNNNNNNNNNNNNNNNNNNNNNNNNNNNNNNNNNNNNNNNNNNNNNNNNNNNNNNNNNNNNNNNNNNNNNNNNNNNNNNNNNNNNNNNNNNNNNNNNNNNNNNNNNNNNNNNNNNNNNNNNNNNNNNNNNNNNNNNNNNNNNNNNNNNNNNNNNNNNNNNNNNNNNNNNNNNNNNNNNNNNNNNNNNNNNNNNNNNNNNNNNNNNNNNNNNNNNNNNNNNNNNNNNNNNNNNNNNNNNNNNNNNNNNNNNNNNNNNNNNNNNNNNNNNNNNNNNNNNNNNNNNNNNNNNNNNNNNNNNNNNNNNNNNNNNNNNNNNNNNNNNNNNNNNNNNNNNNNNNNNNNNNNNNNNNNNNNNNNNNNNNNNNNNNNNNNNNNNNNNNNNNNNNNNNNNNNNNNNNNNNNNNNNNNNNNNNNNNNNNNNNNNNNNNNNNNNNNNNNNNNNNNNNNNNNNNNNNNNNNNNNNNNNNNNNNNNNNNNNNNNNNNNNNNNNNNNNNNNNNNNNNNNNNNNNNNNNNNNNNNNNNNNNNNNNNNNNNNNNNNNNNNNNNNNNNNNNNNNNNNNNNNNNNNNNNNNNNNNNNNNNNNNNNNNNNNNNNNNNNNNNNNNNNNNNNNNNNNNNNNNNNNNNNNNNNNNNNNNNNNNNNNNNNNNNNNNNNNNNNNNNNNNNNNNNNNNNNNNNNNNNNNNNNNNNNNNNNNNNNNNNNNNNNNNNNNNNNNNNNNNNNNNNNNNNNNNNNNNNNNNNNNNNNNNNNNNNNNNNNNNNNNNNNNNNNNNNNNNNNNNNNNNNNNNNNNNNNNNNNNNNNNNNNNNNNNNGCUCUUCNNNNNNNNNNNNNNNNNNNNNNNNNNNNNNNNNNNNNNNNNNNNNNNNNNNNNNNNNNNNNNNNNNNNNNNNNNNNNNNNNNNNNNNNNNNNNNNNNNNNNNNNNNNNNNNNNNNNNNNNNNNNNNNNNNNNNNNNNNNNNNNNNNNNNNNNNNNNNNNNNNNNNNNNNNNNNNNNNNNNNNNNNNNNNNNNNNNNNNNNNNNNNNNNNNNNNNNNNNNNNNNNNNNNNNNNNNNNNNNNNNNNNNNNNNNNNNNNNNNNNNNNNNNNNNNNNNNNNNNNNNNNNNNNNNNNNNNNNNNNNNNNNNNNNNNNNNNNNNNNNNNNNNNNNNNNNNNNNNNNNNNNNNNNNNNNNNNNNNNNNNNNNNNNNNNNNNNNNNNNNNNNNNNNNNNNNNNNNNNNNNNNNNNNNNNNNNNNNNNNNNNNNNNNNNNNNNNNNNNNNNNNNNNNNNNNNNNNNNNNNNNNNNNNNNNNNNNNNNNNNNNNNNNNNNNNNNNNNNNNNNNNNNNNNNNNNNNNNNNNNNNNNNNNNNNNNNNNNNNNNNNNNNNNNNNNNNNNNNNNNNNNNNNNNNNNNNNNNNNNNNNNNNNNNNNNNNNNNNNNNNNNNNNNNNNNNNNNNNNNNNNNNNNNNNNNNNNNNNNNNNNNNNNNNNNNNNNNNNNNNNNNNNNNNNNNNNNNNNNNNNNNNNNNNNNNNNNNNNNNNNNNNNNNNNNNNNNNNNNNNNNNNNNNNNNNNNNNNNNNNNNNNNNNNNNNNNNNNNNNNNNNNNNNNNNNNNNNNNNNNNNNNNNNNNNNNNNNNNNNNNNNNNNNNNNNNNNNNNNNNNNNNNNNNNNNNNNNNNNNNNNNNNNNNNNNNNNNNNNNNNNNNNNNNNNNNNNNNNNNNNNNNNNNNNNNNNNNNNNNNNNNNNNNNNNNNNNNNNNNNNNNNNNNNNNNNNNNNNNNNNNNNNNNNNNNNNNNNNNNNNNNNNNNNNNNNNNNNNNNNNNNNNNNNNNNNNNNNNNNNNNNNNNNNNNNNNNNNNNNNNNNNNNNNNNNNNNNNNNNNNNNNNNNNNNNNNNNNNNNNNNNNNNNNNNNNNNNNNNNNNNNNNNNNNNNNNNNNNNNNNNNNNNNNNNNNNNNNNNNNNNNNNNNNNNNNNNNNNNNNNNNNNNNNNNNNNNNNNNNNNNNNNNNNNNNNNNNNNNNNNNNNNNNNNNNNNNNNNNNNNNNNNNNNNNNNNNNNNNNNNNNNNNNNNNNNNNNNNNNNNNNNNNNNNNNNNNNNNNNNNNNNNNNNNNNNNNNNNNNNNNNNNNNNNNNNNNNNNNNNNNNNNNNNNNNNNNNNNNNNNNNNNNNNNNNNNNNNNNNNNNNNNNNNNNNNNNNNNNNNNNNNNNNNNNNNNNNNNNNNNNNNNNNNNNNNNNNNNNNNNNNNNNNNNNNNNNNNNNNNNNNNNNNNNNNNNNNNNNNNNNNNNNNNNNNNNNNNNNNNNNNNNNNNNNNNNNNNNNNNNNNNNNNNNNNNNNNNNNNNNNNNNNNNNNNNNNNNNNNNNNNNNNNNNNNNNNNNNNNNNNNNNNNNNNNNNNNNNNNNNNNNNNNNNNNNNNNNNNNNNNNNNNNNNNNNNNNNNNNNNNNNNNNNNNNNNNNNNNNNNNNNNNNNNNNNNNNNNNNNNNNNNNNNNNNNNNNNNNNNNNNNNNNNNNNNNNNNNNNNNNNNNNNNNNNNNNNNNNNNNNNNNNNNNNNNNNNNNNNNNNNNNNNNNNNNNNNNNNNNNNNNNNNNNNNNNNNNNNNNNNNNNNNNNNNNNNNNNNNNNNNNNNNNNNNNNNNNNNNNNNNNNNNNNNNNNNNNNNNNNNNNNNNNNNNNNNNNNNNNNNNNNNNNNNNNNNNNNNNNNNNNNNNNNNNNNNNNNNNNNNNNNNNNNNNNNNNNNNNNNNNNNNNNNNNNNNNNNNNNNNNNNNNNNNNNNNNNNNNNNNNNNNNNNNNNNNNNNNNNNNNNNNNNNNNNNNNNNNNNNNNNNNNNNNNNNNNNNNNNNNNNNNNNNNNNNNNNNNNNNNNNNNNNNNNNNNNNNNNNNNNNNNNNNNNNNNNNNNNNNNNNNNNNNNNNNNNNNNNNNNNNNNNNNNNNNNNNNNNNNNNNNNNNNNNNNNNNNNNNNNNNNNNNNNNNNNNNNNNNNNNNNNNNNNNNNNNNNNNNNNNNNNNNNNNNNNNNNNNNNNNNNNNNNNNNNNNNNNNNNNNNNNNNNNNNNNNNNNNNNNNNNNNNNNNNNNNNNNNNNNNNNNNNNNNNNNNNNNNNNNNNNNNNNNNNNNNNNNNNNNNNNNNNNNNNNNNNNNNNNNNNNNNNNNNNNNNNNNNNNNNNNNNNNNNNNNNNNNNNNNNNNNNNNNNNNNNNNNNNNNNNNNNNNNNNNNNNNNNNNNNNNNNNNNNNNNNNNNNNNNNNNNNNNNNNNNNNNNNNNNNNNNNNNNNNNNNNNNNNNNNNNNNNNNNNNNNNNNNNNNNNNNNNNNNNNNNNNNNNNNNNNNNNNNNNNNNNNNNNNNNNNNNNNNNNNNNNNNNNNNNNNNNNNNNNNNNNNNNNNNNNNNNNNNNNNNNNNNNNNNNNNNNNNNNNNNNNNNNNNNNNNNNNNNNNNNNNNNNNNNNNNNNNNNNNNNNNNNNNNNNNNNNNNNNNNNNNNNNNNNNNNNNNNNNNNNNNNNNNNNNNNNNNNNNNNNNNNNNNNNNNNNNNNNNNNNNNNNNNNNNNNNNNNNNNNNNNNNNNNNNNNNNNNNNNNNNNNNNNNNNNNNNNNNNNNNNNNNNNNNNNNNNNNNNNNNNNNNNNNNNNNNNNNNNNNNNNNNNNNNNNNNNNNNNNNNNNNNNNNNNNNNNNNNNNNNNNNNNNNNNNNNNNNNNNNNNNNNNNNNNNNNNNNNNNNNNNNNNNNNNNNNNNNNNNNNNNNNNNNNNNNNNNNNNNNNNNNNNNNNNNNNNNNNNNNNNNNNNNNNNNNNNNNNNNNNNNNNNNNNNNNNNNNNNNNNNNNNNNNNNNNNNNNNNNNNNNNNNNNNNNNNNNNNNNNNNNNNNNNNNNNNNNNNNNNNNNNNNNNNNNNNNNNNNNNNNNNNNNNNNNNNNNNNNNNNNNNNNNNNNNNNNNNNNNNNNNNNNNNNNNNNNNNNNNNNNNNNNNNNNNNNNNNNNNNNNNNNNNNNNNNNNNNNNNNNNNNNNNNNNNNNNNNNNNNNNNNNNNNNNNNNNNNNNNNNNNNNNNNNNNNNNNNNNNNNNNNNNNNNNNNNNNNNNNNNNNNNNNNNNNNNNNNNNNNNNNNNNNNNNNNNNNNNNNNNNNNNNNNNNNNNNNNNNNNNNNNNNNNNNNNNNNNNNNNNNNNNNNNNNNNNNNNNNNNNNNNNNNNNNNNNNNNNNNNNNNNNNNNNNNNNNNNNNNNNNNNNNNNNNNNNNNNNNNNNNNNNNNNNNNNNNNNNNNNNNNNNNNNNNNNNNNNNNNNNNNNNNNNNNNNNNNNNNNNNNNNNNNNNNNNNNNNNNNNNNNNNNNNNNNNNNNNNNNNNNNNNNNNNNNNNNNNNNNNNNNNNNNNNNNNNNNNNNNNNNNNNNNNNNNNNNNNNNNNNNNNNNNNNNNNNNNNNNNNNNNNNNNNNNNNNNNNNNNNNNNNNNNNNNNNNNNNNNNNNNNNNNNNNNNNNNNNNNNNNNNNNNNNNNNNNNNNNNNNNNNNNNNNNNNNNNNNNNNNNNNNNNNNNNNNNNNNNNNNNNNNNNNNNNNNNNNNNNNNNNNNNNNNNNNNNNNNNNNNNNNNNNNNNNNNNNNNNNNNNNNNNNNNNNNNNNNNNNNNNNNNNNNNNNNNNNNNNNNNNNNNNNNNNNNNNNNNNNNNNNNNNNNNNNNNNNNNNNNNNNNNNNNNNNNNNNNNNNNNNNNNNNNNNNNNNNNNNNNNNNNNNNNNNNNNNNNNNNNNNNNNNNNNNNNNNNNNNNNNNNNNNNNNNNNNNNNNNNNNNNNNNNNNNNNNNNNNNNNNNNNNNNNNNNNNNNNNNNNNNNNNNNNNNNNNNNNNNNNNNNNNNNNNNNNNNNNNNNNNNNNNNNNNNNNNNNNNNNNNNNNNNNNNNNNNNNNNNNNNNNNNNNNNNNNNNNNNNNNNNNNNNNNNNNNNNNNNNNNNCAACUUGGCGGGUUCUAGCAAAUAGGCGUUGGGCCAUAUUAGACACAGAAGCUGCACACUGAACACUAAGAGCCAGAGAAUCCUUAACAGCCAACUCAUCAGACCGUUUGGAAAGUAGUCUGUUAUCUCUGGGAGUGAGAAGGUUCCUGGCCACCACCGCAGCAGUCAUAUCAUUCUUCAUCACAGAAUCCCCAACGGUAAGAGGACCAGUAGAAGAUAUGAAGGAUGGACGCCAUAUGUUGUCUGGAGAAGGCGUGGCUGCCUCUUCUCCAAGGUUCAAGUCAAAACGACGGUCGGAGGGGCCAGACAUUUUCAAAGGUGUUGAAGAGAGAAGAGGUCAGACAAAUCAAGAUCUUAGAAGUGCAAGAAGGGAGCUUCUACUGGUGGAGAUUCAGGUGUGCUGUGGAACUUAAUGCCAGCCUCUAUAAAAAUCUGCCCUCGACGGAGCUUCAGAAAUCGAAGAGGCGUUUGCUUUCUCAAAAGCUGGGCUGCUCAGAGACCACGAGGGCUGAUCUCAAAAAUCGAAGAGGCGCUUCCUUUCUCAAAAGCUGGGCUGCUCAGAGACCACGAUGGCCGAUCUCAGAAAUCGAAGAAGCACCUGCUUUUUCAGCCUCAUCAGCACCUGUCACAUGCACACUCAGCUUUGCGGAAAUUACGGGCAAUCUGUCGAAGAUUUCUGGUGAAAUAGAAAGCACGUGAAUCUUACUGUUCAAUCACCACUCUCCACACGCACCAUCACUCCUCGGGGUACCACAUAUAACUUUGCCAAAGAUCUCUGACAAAGUUUAGGCACGAGAAUUUCGAAGUUCCAGCUACCCUACUAUUACCCACAAGGGUAAAGGAACAGCACCACUGCUUGACAACUGGAAAGUCCCUAUGUGUGUCGACCUCCGUGUUCUGCGGCAAGACAGGCUGGCAAGAACGUCCAACCUUUACUCACAUUCGAGAAAAGACUCCCAACAUAAUUACUUUCUCAAAAACCGAAACAGCACCGCUUUCUGAAUCUCGAGAGCCAGAUCCUCGACGGGAUUGCUUGUUCGAAAACCGAAGAGGCACAGCUCUCAGAACUUCGAGAGCCAGAUUUCCUUAGAUAAAGCUUGUCUGUAAUCUUCACACGUAACAUCAGCUUUCCAGAUACCACAUACCACUUUUUUCAAAGUGCUCUGACAAAGUUAAAACACGUGAAGCUGGCAGCUCCCACUACAUUGUUGUGACCAAGAAAGGUAAAAGAAUAGCAUUACUACUUGUUAUUGGGAAAUCCCUAUAUACAUCGACCUCCCUCCUCAACGGACAGGCAAACCUGCAAAAAUGCUCAACCCUUUCUCGCAUUCGAGAAUGCACCCUCAACAUAACCUCUCGAAAUACUCAGCUUUAUUUCCCCCGAUAAUACCUCAAGCAAAUAAGCCACACCAAGAACAAGAGUAUCUCAUAUCAUCAGGGUCGAAAGCAAGAGUAUCCCAUAUCAUGCUUUCUCCCUGUCCUUGUCUUCGUCCUUGUCCACACCUGCAGGACAAAGAGAAAGAGAGCAGUCAGUCGGAACCUGAAAUCAAACCUCUAAUCUGGAACUGACUGCCUGAGACCUUUGCAUGGUUGCUUACUUAGCAUUGCUCUCGAGAACUCAUCCUCAACUGCUGUCAAGGUCAUGAAUUCCACCGGCACAUACCUCAUGACAGGUUGAUCAGAUAUUGGCUCUUUACACUGAAGCUGCCAAGCGUGGAUGAGUCACUAUGAAGGAAUGUUCUGAAGGACCAUUUAAAUGCAAAGGUUGCACACCACUUCUUCCAUGCAAAAGAUUGAAGCAGAAGGUUCAACGGUGAGCUGAAACAGAUCACUACAGCACGACACCUUUCCAUACCACAUUCAUUAUUCCGUCAACAGCAAAAAGUAUCCCAUAUCAUCAAGGUCGAACGUACUCUAGAUUUGAUGGACUUGUUUUGACCCUCAAAUUCUUGAGUCGGCCUUAUACUCUGAAGGGAACCAGAAAAACCCUCCAGCACAGUUCAAGAAUAAGCCUGUGGAAAGUUACUUCUUCAAAAGCAAAAGUAUCUCAUAUCAUCUCUUCUCCAUUUGCUUCUCCUUAUCCUGGCAGCUGAAUGAGAGACAGGAGGAAAGGAGAACAAUCAACCGGAAGCCAAAGUCGAACCUCCGAUCCUGGGUUGCUUGCUUGGAAGUUUGACUGCUUACCUUGUCUGUCACCUCUUUCGGCAGAUCUCCUAGCUCGGCGACUUGGGGGACUCCUACUAUAGGGUUUGUAUCGCACUUGACCAAGCCCGAAACUACAAGUAAGCUUCAAGUGAAAUUGAUACAUUACCUUGUGCAUCUUCAUCGGUUAAAGAUACCACCCAUGGAUGGAGGAAAAGUACUUCCAGAGAAGAUGCCACAUCUACAUAUGAGACAGAUAAGGCACGUGAAAAUGAUACCUCACUUCAGUACUUAGAAGUUUCGUGAUUACUCAAUGGCUUGGAUCUUGCAAGUCCCCAACCGAGGAGCUUCCCUCACUCGGGAACUUAGGGGAGCACUAUUUGUACCAUACUUAACCAAUCCCGAAACUACUGAGCACCGGUCAACGUUAUACCGUCAAGGACCCAGAAGAGCUUCCCUUCAACCAGGAGGCCAAUCACAAUGCGACACGUGUCGACAUCAGAAGCCAAUCACAGCUCGACACGUGUCAACAUCAGAAGCCAAUUACAACACGACACGUGUCAAUGUUAGAACAAAACUAGAAACUCUCUUCUAUAAAUAGGGAUCAUUCUCCCACAAUAAUCUCUAAUGUCAUUUGUACUAAACUAUUCACUAGAACUCACAAAAUGAGAGCUUGAACCUAUGUAUUUGUGUAAACCCUUCACAAUUAAUGAGAACUCCUCUACUCCGUGGACGUAGCCGAUCUGGGUGAACCACGUACAAUUAAUGAGAACUCCUCUACUUAUCUUCACUAGUGAUCGAAGCAACCAAACGAAGGUCACAAACCUGACACUUUCUGUUGUACCAAAGUCCUCACUGAUUUUGUGCAUCAACAUCAACAAAUAAAAGCUAAUUCAUUUGACAGCAGGAUUCAACGUUUAUGUGUGCAUUAUAUCUUAAAAGUAAUUCAGCAUUAUAAGGAACAACAAAACCAUUAUCAAUUUUGAUCCAUUUUUUAUGACAUAUUUUGUAUCAUCAGUGUCUAUAAAUAGGAAACCAUUGUCUUAAAAAAUUGUCUCAUUUUUAUAUGGCUUAGGAAAGUUUUUGGAACACUUAUUUUCCCACAUGCAAGGAGAAUUUUGAUUAAUAUGUCCACAUGGACCAUGAAUCAUAAAUUGGUUAACAAUUUCGUAAAGCUGAGGAUUGACAAAUUUGUUUGGCAACUCAGCAGAAAUAAUUGAAUCUAUAUCUGAUGCCAUAUAACAUUUGAAAUUUGAUUUCAAUCAUAUUAACAUAUGAGAAUGAGGCAAACAUAUUUUUUGAAAUUCAAUUGUACAAACAUCUGUUUCCAAAAAUAAUUGAAACAGACAAAAACCCAAAAAAAAAAAAAAGUUAGCAUGAUAAAGCAAAAAAAGGGAAACAAAUUUCAGAUAAGGGAAAAAAUAAGUUUUUAGAAACUUACCUGCCUCAACUUGUCCAAAGGGUUUUCUAGAUUUAAUGAAACCGAGCAUAUCAUCAAGUUUCAUUUUAAAUAUUCUAGAAAUUAUAUCAGGCCUGUCCUCAGGUUUGUAUCCCAUUUUUUUUUUUCAAUUUCUCUUAUAAUUUCUGGCCAUUUUACUUUGCAUGUAAAGGUUAUGAACAAAUCAGGAUGACCAUAUUCUCUACAAAUAGCCAUAGCAUCUUGAUAAUUAUUAAUCAUAUAUCUAGGACUUCCUGUGUAUGAAGCAGGCAACACAAUUUUUUGGCCUAACUUGUUUGCAUCAUUGUCACCUCUUGACAUUGCAUCGUAAAUUCCCUUGUAAAUUUCACUUCUUAAAUUUUUCAGAUUUUGUCUAAUAUAAUCCAACCUAUCUUCUUCAAGUGUUGCAUAGGAAUCUACCAAAUAUUGUUGAAAAAGUCUACCACAUUUUAACAGUGUAGUUAAGUAUGGAUCUCUUUCUUGAAUUUGGUAAGCUAUAUAAGUUCUCAUAGGUAUUCUUUGUCUCUUCGUUUUUGGACCGUUAUAAUUUUCAUUCCAUUGUAAAUCUGGUCUAUACUCAACUUCACCAUAUGGAAAAAGAAUAGGAUACUGAAGGGCCAUAAAUUUUGGAUUCAAUUUUGUAACACACUUUAAUCCUUUUCUUUUACAAUCUACAAUAAUAUCUCUAUUAGAGUCAGAUAAACCUAUAUCACCAAUUAUUAAACCACCUAUUUCAUCACUUGUUGGUUGAUCAUAUUGCUUGCUAUCAUUUGGUUGUCUCCCUAACAACGUAAGUUUUAAAUUGGUCAAACCAUCAGUUUCAUAUUUGUCUCUUGUUGUUUGAAAAAGUUUGACCAACUCAUUUGAUUCAUCAAACAUUUUAAUCAAGUUUUCCACAAUUUUUGAAUCAAGUUUUUUAUUUGUUCCAUCACAAUCAAAAGCUCUAAGUUGAUUCUGUAUUUCAUUAUAUAUAUCAUAAACAUAUAACUGAGCAAAUUUUGGAGACUCAUUAUCAACAGGUAAAAGAGAACCCAUCAAAUGACAAAUUUGACCACUAAUCUUAAAAAUGUAAGGACUUGAUCCGUUAUUCAUUGAGUGAUCAACUUUUGCUCCCAUUGAAGUAAAUGAAAACAUAGAAUUGUAAGCUCUAAUAUUUUCUCGAAAUGAUAAACUCUUUUACUUCCUUUUGGAUCAAGCAAGGAAUCUAAAAAAGAUGGUGUUGGCUUUGGACUUGAAAAUUUAAUUUUUCCUUGUUGACAACAAAGAGUAAAAAUGGGUUGAUUUUUUUUUUUCUAGCUUUGUUUAAGAGGCUCUUUUAACCAAAAAUAUGCACCACAAUACACGCAUUUAUAACUUUUAUCACCCAAAUCCAUAUCUUUCACAACCCCUACAAAAAAAACAUAUAUAAAAAGAAAUGUAAUCAAUACAUGGAAGUAACUUAAUCCUAAAACCAAGCCUAAAGAAAACAAUUAUUGCAAAAAAUUAAAAACAUACCGUUUCUAUUUUUUUUUUUUGGAAAAAGGCCUGACCCUUCUUCAUGAGACAACAAUUGUCAGCAUCUACGGUAUUGAACAAACUCACAACGUUUUUCCCUUUUUUAUCAAAGGUGUACAUGGUUUUUUCAAACGGGAUGAUGUCCAACAUUUCAUUAUCGUUAACAGAGUCAAUCACACAGUGGUUAGUAGAAGAUCUACCGGAGGAACAUUGAUAUUCAACUGAUGAAUAUUCGCAAAUAAAUAUGUCAAUCGCAUACAUAAUAACAUCUUCAGAAUUAUGCCUAUAACUCGCUCUACACAUUCUUUUUCGCUGGUGACCAUCGUCAACCAAUGUAUUACAUUCACUAUCAGUAACGCUUUUGUUUCGUUUUAUAGCAUCUUUUGUUUGAUCAUUUGUACAUUUUUAGACAUGAUGGAAACCAACCGUUACAACUUUUUCAUAAACAAACAACUGGACAACAGAUUAAAAAAAAUGAAAAAAAUCAAUAAAAAGAUAAGAUAUAUAUGAAAACAAUAAAGAUCACACAAAAACUAAUGACAUGUCUGAAUCAAAAGUUUCAUUUCAAUUUAACAAAAUGCAAAAGAAAACUGCAUUGUUAAAGUUUUAAUAAAUAAUUUCAGAACUUUAAAAAAGUUACCUUGAGGACAAAGCGCCUUGGAAGUUGAGGACAAAUAGCUUUAAAUCCAAAAUACUCAAGAUUUUUCAAAUUCUGUUAAAAAAAAAAAAACACAUCACCAGAAAACUCAUUACAACAAAUAAACACUUAUUUGUUCACAGGAACUAUCUAUUGUAAUAUAUGAUGAUGGUGCACGGUUGAGUGUUUAAGUUUAUUAAAUAACUGAAAGUUGGGGGUGGCUGGGUACAUGUUUUCCUUUCCUUUCGUUUUUUUUUUUUUUUUUUUUGGUGUUUAUUUAAUAUCUCCAAGUCAACGGUAGUAGUUCCUAGGAAAACAAAAGUUGAGUUAAUUAUUAAAACAAGGAAUACCAUAGUUCACCAAUGUGACAGAGAUGCACUGUGUGUGCAAGAUUAGGGAUGAGUGCGGAUGUACUUACGCUACCAAAAAAUCUAAGCAGAAUUGAUUACUGAUUUUAAUAAUUAAAAUCAGAUACAAUUUUUCAAAAAUAAAUGCAAGGUGAUGGGUAAGUUUGUCAAUGAAACGAUUUGAAGUCAUAUCUUUACAGGUAGGAGAUAGCAGAUAUUUGCAUUGCAUAUCUUAGCAGAAUGAGCAGAUAUGAAGGAAAAUUAGAUUUAUUCAAUUUCGAUAUAAAGAGAAUUAAUUAAUGCAGGAACAACGUUUGUGCACAUUGAGAAUCAAAUUAACUAAUUAACUUACUAACCCGUAUUGUAAAUUUCACACCUAUACUCAAAACAAAUUUUGUAACCAAUGUCCCAAAAAAGAGGCAAAAGGAAAGAAAAAAAGCCUUUGUAUGGUAUACUACGGCGUUAUCUGUGUAACCGAACUCAACCCAGCAACCUUCUUGUAUACUUGGAAAUUUGUUACAGAUGUUAUGGCUGCAGAAGAAAAUAUAUCUUUCAGCAUUAAUAUCAUUAAGACUUAAGUAUAAUACCAUAGUUCACCAAUGUGACAGAGACACUGUGUGUGGAAGAUUAAUGAUGAGUAUGGAAGUAAUAAUGCUAUCAAGAAAUUUAUGCAGAAUUGAUUACUAACUUUAACAAUUAAAAUCAGAUACAACUUUUCAAAAAUAAACCAAGGCCAUGGGUACACUUUGUCAAUGAAACAAUUUUAAGUCAUAUGUUUACAGCUAGGAGAUCGCGGAUAUUUGCAUUGCAUAACUUAACACAAUGAGUGAAUAUGAAGGAGAAUUAGAUUUAUUCAAUUUCGAUACAAAGAUAAUUAAUUAAUGCUCCUUAGACAUCAAUUUGAUUAAGAUGUGUGCCUGUCUUCUCAGUUUUUGGCAUUAUAGAUGUGGGUGGUAUAAAUUUUUACUUAAAAAAUUGAACUCGAAAUGAAAACCUAGGUGAGAAAGCAUGGAAACAACUCUUGUGUACAAAUGACUUGUACGAAUGAAUUUUCUUGAGAUUUGAUCCCAGCUUUUUGAUAAUUGUCAGCUUUUAUAACUCAAACCAUUUCCAAUAACUAUUUGGUUAUAGGAUGAAUAAUUAAGCAUAAAAAAGUGAGUUCAUGCUUAUGAAAUUGAGAAGGCAGGCACACAUCUUAAACAAAUUGAAAAAUGAUGUCUAAGGAUUACAUAUAGCAUAUUUCAGCUAAUGAUACAACGGCCAUUGAAUUCUGUAUUGCAAAUUUGGCUAUUCAAAAGCCUCUGAAUUUAUAGACUAAAUCAGGAUCGCAUUAUUAAAUCAUAUUAUCAAAUUGGAAUACAAACAUUGAAAAAUACAUGAACUCAUGCGCAACUUUGAUUAAUCCAACAUUAAUAUCGGAUCUAUCUUGAGAGAGUACCUUCUCACAGAUCAAAAUAGUCACAUCUUACUUUCUAACUCUUUCGUAUAGGACCUCAUCCUUCUCACAGAUCUAUAUCUACUUCUAGAUAGCCUUUAGGAUUUCCCUGGCUUAGCACAAGAAUUCUAUCCUUAAAAGAACUCUCUACUGACUGGUAUAAAUACACCAUUCUAGAGUUCGUCUCUGGUUGCGCAAUCAUCGCACUCUAACUCUUUUGCCCACUGGUUAAGUCUUAUACUUGCUUAUUAACUUGACCGUCGGAGAGUCUUUGGCUAACACACACCCCUUAGGUCUUAGGCUUGCUCACGUUGUUUGCUGUUUUACAGGUUACUCAAAUUUGUGCCUCCACCAUCUGCGAUAGUGACGAAUUUGGUUCCAACAAUUGGUUUUUUCAUUGAGAUAGAACUCAUAUUCCUCUCGACUAGAUCACUCUACCCAUUGAGGCCCCUCUUAAAUGAUUGAGAUGUGACUGUGCCAUCUUCCCACAUGAAAAAGAUAUUUCCUUCAUGGAAAAUGUAUGGGAAAACAUGUUAUAGAUACAUGCGUCUAUAAAAGGGCUUCGAAGAAGUUCACGAGCCAAGGAAUAGGCAAAACUCAUUAACCUUGAGAUGCGAGUAAAGGCUAUUGAAGUUAAGGAAUGGGUAAAUGACGGAUCAGAAGUCAACAUCCUCUUUAAGGGUGUAGCUAAGAGGAUCGGCAUUCUUGGCAACAUUAACGAGGGUAAGACCAUCUUCCAAACCCUUAACGAAGCCACUGUCCAGUCGUUGGGAACGGUAAAACUAACAGUUCAAGCAGAAUCACAGUCACCUGGUGACCUUUCAUAUUAUGGUCUGCCUAAUCUUUACAAUGCCAUUCUCAGCCGAAACUGGUUGCACGAGAUGAAAGUUGCUCCAUCAACCUACCACCAGCUGCUUCGCUACCCCAUAGUGGAUGGAGUUUAUAGAGGGCGGAAUGUUUGAGAAGGCAAGGAAGCUGACAGAUACCAAAACCUUUUAACUCUGAAAUGGGGGCAGGAAGAACAUACAAAAACAAGAUAAGAGCUGGAGCCCAUCCCAGACACAAUACGACAGUUUUCCAUCCUUUAUCCGAUCAAUACACUAAGACAAGUGGAAAGCAAAAGAUUUUCCAUGGGUUUAAUACCUAGUACCAAAAUAAGGUGGUACUUCGGCUAUUGUGAUGGGAAUCUUUAUGAACGCAAAGUUUGGAAGGUAAUGUUUGUCCGAAUCAACAUUACCAGGGGGCUUCGAGCUUUGUGUUCUGCUUUAUUACUCAUUACUUCGAAGUUAACGUACUUCGGAAAAAUUGUCGGAUUAAAUCAUAUUCUACAAUUUUAAAGCAAAGGAUGGAAAGUCUCCCAAGCACUUAGUAACUUGGGUAAGAGCUAUUUAGACACAGGCAUAAAUGUCAUCCAAAACACCAUGCAUUCACAAGUAAAUUGCAACAAAAUAAGAUAUCCCAGAGUACCAUCACUAGGGAAAGGAUGUUCAAGUUAUAGAAAGGACAUGCCCUCAUCCUAGCAAAUAACAAAUUAACGCAAAACAUUGCCAACAACCUUUUUUGGCAACAACUUCCCUUUUGGCAGUAGUUAAAGGAUAUGCAAAAGUAUUGGCUGAUGGAUCACCACUGGAAGCAUAUCCUCUUAUUCGAAUGCCUCAAAGUCAGAAAUUUCACUCAGUAAAUCUUUAAGAGCAGCAAAAUCAGCAUCCCGGAUUUCUUUCAGAAUCUGGUAGUUGUCCCAACCUCCCAAAUGAUCUUGCUACGUGUAGCCAAAGAUAUACCCAAAGUUGUACCCCUCCGCAUAUUCUUUUGCGAGCACUUUCUUGUGAGAUGCACGCAGGCCCAUUAUUUCUGACUCAUGCUCAUCCUUGAGUUGUUGAAGAUCUGCAAGGUGAAUCAUCUCACGGAAAAGUCUUUCCACCUCUGAUUGGAGACUAGUCCACUCCCCUUCUUAAGCAUUCCGUUUCGAAGACAACGUUCGCAUUGAUUAGGCUUCAAGGCGCACCAAAGUUUGCUCCGCCUCAACUUUGGCUCCAACUUUUCCUGCAGUUCAGCAAGAGUUGCCUUGUAUUCAUUCGCUUUAACAUAUUCAAGAGUGGCUUCAUUUAAGAAUUUCUCUACCUCUACCUUAUGGGCUACUCUCAUAGUUUAUUGCUCUACUUGUACCCUCCUGAGCUCCGCCAAUUGAGCUUGCAAUUGUUGCUCGAGCUGCAUUUGGCCUCUAAUUCGUGCAAGAAAGACCGCUCAAGAAGAAAAAUUCACUUCGCUUGGUCGAAAAGAGUCGCCUUUGUUCAGACAUCAGCCUGACCAACACAAGUAAGGGAAAGGAAAAACAAAAUUACUAAAGUUAUUUUGUAAGAAAAGAAUGAAUGAUUACCUCAUAUCGACUUUCGUGACAUUGCAUCAUGGCAUCUUCAAAGGACGUGCGAGCUUCCUUGUAGUUUGCAGAAAAAAACUGCAGAGCCAAGAAGAGCUCAGGUAAAGUCUGCGUUUUGAAGUCUAUUAGUGUCCAUUAAGAAGGCAACGUGAUUUAUUGAAGGCUUAAUGACAAUCGAGGGCAGCACGCCCCCUUCAAUUCUGGUUAAAGUCGCCAGCAAGGGAAUGUUAGCUUCGAAAGGCACCUUGACAGGUUCGGGUAAACUCCUUGUCGCUGGAGGUGUCAGAACUGGGAUAUAAAAAGGUUUAAGGACUCGAACAUCAUUCAAAAGUGGAGGCAAGCUUGGAUUCAGGUGGUUGUUGUUGCGUUAGUUCUUGAGAUGGAAGGAAGAAAGGUUGAGAUUCUCUUAUGAGAGGAUGCGGAGCAGAAGUAUCUGGAGUUAUAUUUAUUGAAACAGUAUGACUUCUCUUUCUCCUCACAGUGGAAUUUCUUCCUUUUCUUUGGGAUUCUCUGGUACCACCUCUAUUUUUGGUAGUUCCCCUUCUUUGGGAUUCUCGGGUACCACCUCUAUUUUUGGUAGACGUAUUUGAAAAGGUGUAGCUAAUGACAUUGAGGAAGUUUUGCUGGACCAUUUUCACUUUUUUUUUGCUGGAGUGGGAGAAAUUUUGGGUUUAGGAUGAUGGGCCCCCUUAUAAACCUGUUUCACUUCGAUCCAAUUAGGAUUCAGAAUAGGGAAAAUAGAGCAAUGAUUGAUGACUAUAUUAUUCCCCUAAUCUCAAAAUCGAACUGGGGAAGUCAUCCAAUUCCAAUUAUGGUGCUUAAUAAGGAUUUGCAUUGCCUGAUUGAUCAACUCUGGUCAACACGCGCCAAUAUUCUUUAGGUCAUUGUUCAGACAAGGGUUGCGAGAAGUGAUGUUUUUAACUCUAACCCCUAAGAUGUCACCCUCUCAAUCACCAUCGACUACCCAGACAUCCUUGAACCAAUCUUUAUCUUGCCAAGGAAAAUCUAGGAUAUAUGGCGUUCAUAAUAGGCUGGGUUUUGGCAUGAAAUAGUAAAGGUCGUCAGAGGUUCUUCGCACGUUGUACAUCAUCCUGAAUUCUUGGAGCCCGAGAUCAGACCUUUACCAAUGAUUAGACAAAGCACGUGAUAAGUUUGAAGGCAGCUAGGGCCAAGUCACAUAUAGCAACGUCAUAACUGAUCAGAAUACCUUUUACAAGAUUAGACAAAGGGAAUCUUAGGCCUAGGGAUUAGACGAAGCAGGAAGAUCGACUUGAACAUUUUGCUCAGGUUCCCACCAAACCCUACAUUGGUUUAAUAGGUCUUGAUGGCUUUGAAUGAGGGCCUUGCCUUCUUCUUGACUACAUAAACUCAUCAAUGGAAGAUUGUACGGAAAGUUCUUUGAUGAUUUUGAAGUUUUGCUCGAAGAAACAGCCAUUAGAGAAGACUGAAAGGAUUUAAAAAUUUGAAUGUGUGGGUGAAAAAGUUGAAACCUUUUUCCUUGACUGAUUUGAGGAUUUUUUGAAAGAUGAAAGGAAAGAGCUUGAGGUUAUAUAGGUGGAAUGUUGCGAAGUAGUCCAGCCGUUAAAUGAAGUCCCACCUCUCUAGGGAUUAAUAAAUUCGACAAGUAUUUUUGACAUAAAUUUCUCCUUUUUCAUGCAUAUGCAACAAAGAUAAACUUCAUCAUUGGGACCUUUGGUGCGUUUGGUACGUGGGACGGGACGGGACGGAACGGGACGAGGCGUUCCGUCCCGCGUUUGGUGCGCCAAAAAUGGGUGGAACGGGUUGUUCCACAGGACAGAUUUUGGGUGUUUUUGCGUCCCACCUCCCCCCCUGGAACGGGUUUGUUCCACGUAUGUGGAACGCAAUGUUUUACCAUUUUAAGACAAAUAUACCCCAUGUCUUUUUCAAAAAUUACACCUUCAUUCCGUCCCGUUCCGUUUCGUCCCGUCCCGUUCCGUCCCGUCCCGUCCCGUCCCGUCCCGUUCCGUUCCGUCUGCGUACCAAACGCACCCUUAUGGCACAAUACUCGAGACAACACAUCUCAAUUUGGAAUGUCUCGUCGACUCUAUAAAAAGGGAUCACCUAAUGAAGAUUGAAGGCUAAACAAUCCGUAUUCCAGCUUACUUUGAAAGGCAUGGUCUUGGUCUUUGAAUAACUAUCCAUCCUCAAGGGGAACAAGUUCCUUUUAGAUACAUAUAGUUAGGGGCAAUUGGGGGACCAUGAUUUGCCAGAGCCGAAGUCGGGCUAAUCAAAAUAAAGUUACCUCAAAAGUUCGGUUAUGGUCUUAACAUGUCAAAGCGGAGCUAGAUUAACCGAGCUGUGGUGCCACCAACAUCCUGUUCCGGAGCAGUGUCCAAAGUCCAAACGAUUUCACUGAGAAUGACCAUACUUGUUCCGCAAGACACUGGGAUAUGAUCUGGUAUGGAAUCAACCAAAUCUUCUAUAUGUCUUGGAGUUCAUACAAUCUAGGAAUUGGUAUGCACCACAAGUAAUCACACUCCUAAAGAGGAUGCAAUAUCUACUUCUAGAUAUCCUCUAGGAUUCUCCCAGCUUGACACAAGGAUUCUAUCCUAAAAAUGUCUCUCUCAUGACUGGUAUAAAUAUACCCUUCUAGAGUUCGUUUCUAGCAACACAGUCGUCGCACUCUAAUUCUCUUGGCCACUGAUUGAGUCUUAUACUUGCUUACUAACUUGAUCGCCGAAAAGCCUUUGGCCGGCACACAUUCCCCCUGGGCAGUUUUAGGCUUGCUCACGAUUGUUUGUUAUUUUACAGGUUGCUCGGAUUUGUGCUUCACCAUAUGCGAUGGUGUGCGAAUUUGGUUCAAGCAACCGUGUUGACAAAAAAAGUCAACAUAGGUUCAAGAACUGGACCGAACCAUUCAGACCGUCCUGACAUAAUCGCUCCAAACUAAACCGAACUAAACCGUGACUAUAAAAAAUUUGUAAAAAUAAAAAUAACACAAUUGGCAACCUGAUUCUGACUACAACUCUAAAAUCAUCCUCCAGUGAUCGGUGUAUGUACUUUUGGAAAUUGAAUGCAUUGUUGUUAAGGCAGAUGAGUCUACAAAAUUUGUGAAAACAUAUUUUAGAUAUAAACUACUGAAAUGUGAGAAAUAAGAACCAAAUAACAGUGAAAUGAAUGAUAUAAGACUUAUAUUUCCGAACAACAAUGCAUUCGAUUUCCAAAAGUACAUUCAACGACCACUGGAUGAUGAUUUUAGAGUUGUAGUCGGAAUCAUCCUCCAUUGAUUUGAUAUAAAAACAUAUUUGAUGGGAUUUAGUAGCAAAUGUUGGAUUGUAGAAUCUAAAAACGGAUUGAGAGGCUAAAGUGUAAUUCGGAUAUUAGUACUACAGCCUAGUAGCGUACUUGUAAGUGAGAGAUCUUAGGUUUGUAUUUCAGGAAUAAGGAGUUCAUAGCGAAUUUAUUCCAUAUAUAAUUGUGCAUAUAAAAUAAUGUAAUUCGAAAAUUAAUUUAGUGACCAUGCUACAAUUAAUUAUAUCAUCAAUUUUGGAAUCCCUUUCUUGGCUUAUGUCAAAAUUCAAACAAAUUUAAACCUGUUGUAGGCCUAUUUAACUAAACUACACUAAGGUGUAGAGAGAGAGGGGGCUGGCAGUAGCAAGAGAGAGAGGAGAGAUUUAAUUGUGAGAUGUGUAUUGUAUCACCCCAUUGUGCCUUUAUUUAUAGUAGUAGGAUAGGUAAAAACUUUACCUUACUAGGAUUACAAUUUUUAUUAAGUAAUCAACUCCUAAUAGGAAUACAAGAGAUAUUCCUAGAUUCACUAGGAUUUACAAAAUCACAUUCUUAUUCUAAAUAUGACUGCAACACUCCCCCUUGAGUGUGUAAAUACUCAACAAGCCGUCGCAUCAGAUCUUCAGCAGAUAAGGUAGAAUAGUUGAUGAAGUCAGUGGCACAAUGGGUGAACGCAACUCUCAAAUUUAAGAAAGUAUCCAUUGGUAGUAAAACUCAUAAAACCUCGCUAUAGUAAAACUCAACAUGGGAGAAAAACUCAUAGACUAAGGAGAAAAGUGAGAAGUAUGCAUAAUGUCUAAAACAAACGUCACACAAGAUGAAAUUAGUGAACUCAACGGAGUAUGAUCAUCCCAGGAUAGGUGCCUCAUCAAAAUCUUGUUAGGUAGCAAUAACCCAGUAGGAAAAUGCUCUUAAUCAUAGGAAAAAGAGUUCAUUAAGGUCAAGUGAGUAUGCUUCUGGAUACUCCCCCUGAGUUAGACAUAACUUCUAAAUAAGAAAACUACAAGUGAUUCAACUCAGAUAAUUUAAGCAUAUCGAUUCCUUGGACGAGCUUCUGAAAAGUAGACUUAGGUAAUGACUUGGUGAAGAGAUCAGCCAGGUUGUCCUGGGAACGGAUUUGCUUGACUUUAAUGUUCUGAUGUUGCUGCUGCUAAUAAGAGUAGAAGAAUUUCGACACUAUGUGCUUGGUGUUGUCUCCCUUGAUGUAUCAAUUUUUAACUGCUCGAUACAUGUUGCAUUGUCUUCAAAGAUCAUCGUAGGAAGGUCAACGACGGAAGUAAAACCUCUAGAGCUUCGAAUAUGUUGCAUGGCUGCUCUCAACCAAAAGCACUCACACGAUGCUUCAUGCAGGGCGAGGAUCUCAGCAUGGUUCGAAGAAGUCGCAACUAGCGUUUGCUUGGUAGACCUCCAAGAUAUAGCGGUGUCUCCAACGGUAAAGACAUAAUUGGGAACGUGUCCUAUAUAGGUCAGACAGAUAUCCAGCAUCUGCAUAACCAACAAAGCAAGAAUCAAUCCAAGAACUGAUAGGGGCUGCAACACUCGAAGAUUCGGGGGUAUAAAACAAGCCCAAAUCCAUCGUACCCUUGAGGUAGCAAAAAAUGUCUUUAACAAUAUUCCAGUGCUUGCAUGUGUACGCAUUACCGUAUCUUGCCAAACGAUUAACAACAAAGGAAAUGUCAGGUCUAGUGCAUUAAGCCAAGUACAAUAUAGCCCCAAUUGCACUUAGGUAUUGAACUUCGAGUUCCAAAAUCUCUUCCUCAUCCUCCUUUGUAUGGAAGGGAUCUGGUUUAACAUCUAGAGUCCGAACGACCAUAGGUGUACUCGAAGGCUUUAUCCUAACAUCGCAACACCUUCUGGGUAUAGUUUGGUUGAUGUAUUAGGAUUCCAUCUGAACAAUGCUCGAUCUCCAGGCCGAGGCGAUAUCGAGUUUUCCAAAGAUCUUUCAUCUCAAAUUCCGAUUUCAAGUGUGUAGCAAUUUCUUCAAGCUCUGUGAGAGUUCCAAUGAGGUUCAUGUCAUCGAUAUAAACUGCAACGAUUGCAAAUCUAGAAUGUGGUUUCUUUAUGAACAUGCAUGGGCAUAAUUCGUUGUUCACAUAACCCUGACUUAUCAAAUAUUCACUCAGACAGUUAUACCACAUCCGCCCGGAUUGUUUUUGAAUCCUUAGAGUGACAUCCUCAUUCUAAUAGAGAAAGUGUUCCGUGGUUUAGAACUAUUUGAACCAGUCAAUGGAAGUCCUUCUAGAACUUUCAUGUAUAUUUCUGUAUCUAAAUCCCCAUAGGAUACGCGGUUACCACGUUCAUAAGCUGCAUAUUCAGCUUUUCAGAAACUACCAAACUGAUAAGGUAGCGGAACAUUAUGACGUCUAUUACGGGGGAAUACGCCUCCUUGUAAUCAAUCCUAGGGCAUUGAGAGAAGCUUUGCUCUACGAGGCAUGCUUUGUAUCGCACUAUUUCAUUCUGCUCAUUACGCUUCCUCACGAAAACCCACUUGUAGCCAACGAGCUUCACAUGUGGAGGAGUAGGAGCUACGAGCCCAAACACCUUAUGUUUUGCAAGUGAAUCAAGUUUGACCUAGAUUGCUUGUUUCCAGUUUGACAAAUUUGUUCUACAUCGGCAUUCAUCAACAGAACGUGGUUGCAUGUCAUCACUAAGCAUGAUGUCAGUAGCUACUAAGUACGCGAAUGCAUCGUCGAUGAUCAUCUCAUUCUUAUUCCAAACCUCAUCCAAUACUGCGUGGUGGACCAAAAUCUCACGAUUCUCAAGAAACCAGUUUAUCUCAUCUAAGACAUCACCGUAAUCUAGAAUAACCUUCAUGCGUUGGAACGGAUGAGUGAGUGAUGGUCAGAUUCAAACUGGGGUCACUAGUUGGUGCUGAUUUCCUCUUUCGGGUUUGUGAAUCCUUUGAACCAAGGGGUCUACCACGCUUCAGGAUUGGAGCAUAUGAUUGGCUAGCUGCCAAUGUACUAGGCCACGUGGAAGGUACAGCCUCCCCACCAUCGGGGACGGUCCGGCCUUCCCAGGCAGGAUAGUGACGUAUAUGGGAUACGUAUAUCCUUGCAGGUGCGUUUGCAGCGGGUAUAUGUGAUAUUGUCACCUUUGCUAGAUUGGUAAAAGCAUCUAGUAUGCUCUAAGCAAUGCUCUGAAGAUCUAUAAUUUGGCGCACCUCAGUUUCAAACUGAGCAGUGCGGGGUUCUAAAUAAGACAUAGUGGGAGCAUACCAUGACAAUUCGUGGCAUUCUCCAGGAACAUUAGCAUGUUUAUCUCCUCCUAACGACAGGAAAACUGUCUCAUCAAAGUGACAAUUUGCAAAAUGUGCAGUAAAGAGUUCUUCUGUUAAGGGUUCUAAAUAGUGAACAAUUGAUGGCGAAUCAUAAUCGACAUAGAUUCUCAUUUUUCUCUGAGGACCCAUUUUGGUACGUAGUGGCGGCGUUAUUGGCACAUAAAUAGCGCACCCAAACACCCGUAAAUGAGAGACGUCAGGCUCGUAUCCAAUGACCAACUGUAAUGGUGAAUGUGGUUGGGUAGCGGUGGGCCUCAGGCGGACCAACAUAGCUGCGUGCAAUAUUGCAUAGCCCUUGGCAGAUACCGAUAGUUUGAUUCACAUAACCAAAGUCUGAACUAUUAACUGAAGGUGCUUUAUGAAAGCAUUUGCCAGGUCGUUUUGGGUGUGAACAUAGGGUACAUGAUGUUCCACAUCAAUCCCUACUAACAUGCAAUAAUCGUCAAAAGUUUGUGAUGUAAACUUUCCAGCAUUAUCCAGUCGAAUCGACUUAAUCAGAUAAUUAGGAUGGUAAGUGUGAAAUCCCGUUCCUGGAUUUCACUGUUAUCACCUACAUAUUUGUAUUAUUGAGAUUUUAUAUUAUUUCUCGAUAAUUUAUUUUAAUUUGUUGAAUUUAAAUUUUAAUUAAAUUAGUUAUUAACGUUUGAAGUUUGGGGCAUUUUAAAAAUAAAUAGAAAAAUCUAGAAUUCUCUUAUCAAAUAUGGUGUGCCACAUGGGUGGCCCAGAUUUAAUGAAAAGGAAAAUGGAUGGUGGAGAUGCAAAGGAAAGGACUUGAGAGAGGAGUGGAGAGCAUGGGCACUGCCCAAUUAGAAAUUAAGAAAAGAGGGAAAUGAGAGAAGAAAAAAAUGAGGGAAGAAAAGGAAGAAACGGGUUUGUACGACCCGUGGGUAUUGCCGGCCACCCAUCUCCAUUUUCCGACGAAUUUCUUCAAACAACCACUUGGAAACACUCUCUUGACCUUCCCUCUACAUGUUUCACCCUAAAAAUCAAAGGUUUUGGACUUGAAUUAGGGAGAAACCGCAUUAAGGGUGCGGCGGGUGUGUGUGUCAAAUCUCCCAAAUCCCAAAUGUUUACACACAAUGACCAAUCAAAAGACUUCCCUUAAGCCCCUGAACAAAGCCCAGGCAGUGGUGGAGGCGUCGGAGCAAGUUUGGAGGUCGAAUUGGAGCACACCCAAUUCUAGGGUUCUUACGGGUUUUAGAGAAAUUGGAGCACUUCUUGAUAAAAUUGGCCUUGGUCACAGGUAUAAAUUUUACUCUACUCAUUGAGAUCUUCAUUUCUGUAAUUUUUGGUAAUUUUUAAAAAUAGUUGAAUUUUCCGGCAAAUCGGGGCGGCCGACCGCCACCCGCGGCGGCGACCCGGCCAGCAGGCCGACGAUGUCCUUUUAAGUUCAAUUAGAUGCCUUGAUUUCAUAACUGACAUCCUUAUGAUAUAGUUUGAUUGUUUGAACCUAAUUUCAUUACGAUAUGUGGUUAGGUCAAAAUGUGAUUCGACGAUCCGACCGUUGGAUCGUCAGCAAACUUUAAUGCGUCAUAGAAUGUAAUAUUUGAGGAUGGUUUGAAUUGAUGGAUUGGGAAUCCGAUGUACUGAUCUUCCUAAUUUGGAUUUCUAAGUUUGUAAAAUCAAACGUUGGUCGCCACUUGAAAUUGUAAUUAGCGGGGAUCCGACCGUCGGAUCAUGAUAAAAUUUUGGUAGGUUGUUUUAGAAGUAUAAUGUGGACUUUAGAAGGUUACGGAUCUGAAAUCCAAUGUGCGGAUCUUCCAUAUUGAAUUGUGUAGAAUUGUGGAUCCUACCUUUGACCGAGAGUUGACUUUUUGUCAACAUGUCUCCAAACGUUCUUAAUGCUAAAUUUAGUACUACGAGAGACUUAAGUGAAGUCUAGUGGACCUCCAUUGGUCGGAGAGUGACUUGAAUAUUUGUGAUACGGUUAUUACUUUAAUCAUUUAUGUUAAAAUCAUUUAUGAAUAUGAAUUCGUCUUAUAAAUAUGAUUUCUAUUGAAAUGUGAUUUUCAUAUAUUUAGCCAUAGACUUAUGUUUAUUAAACAUGAUGUGGCUUGUGUACUGAUGAUAAUGGUGAAUAUGUGUGUUUAAUUAUUUCUAGUAAUGCAAAGGAUAAGUAUGAUAGAUUUUAUGGCAAUGUGAUCUUAGAAUCCUAUUAGAAGUAUUUUGUAGAACUUAUAUGCUUGUGAGACCUAUUAGGUGGUGGUCAUGAGAAGUGGAUAUGGUAGGUGACUACGUUGUAAGUAUAGAGGGGAUGAGGGUUAGAUAUACUUGGUACAUUCAGUGGGUACCAUAUCCACAUGGAUUCCGUUGAGUGAUGUUCCGGAAUCAUAUCGUUGUUUGGAUUCUGUUGAUGAUGUUCCGGAAUCGUAUCGUUGUUUGGAUUCCGUUGAGUGAUGUUUCAAAAUCGCAUCGUUGGUUGGAUUUCGUUGAGUGAUGUUCCGGAAUCGUAUAGUUGUUUGGAUUUCGUUGAGUGAUGUUCCGGAAUCUUUGGAUUCCGUUGAGUGAUGUUCCGAAAUCGCAUCGUUGGUUGGAUUCCGUUGAGUGAUGUUCCGGAAUCGUAUCGUUGGUUGGAUUCCUUUGAGUGAUGUUCCGGAAUCGUAACUUUAAUAUGUGUGAUAUUGGUGAUUACCUAUGUUUCAUAAUUAUGACCCUCUGCAGAUAUAAAUUGGUUUUAUGAAUAUGUUUUCUAUUGAAUUGUCAUUUCCAAUACUUAGACAUCGAUUCAUGUUAUGAAAUGGGGUUUGGCGUGUAUAUUUGAAUUAUGGUUUGAUUUGUAUGAUUGGCAUGUUGUGACGAAAUGUGAGGACUAGUAAUGGACUGUUAACCAUUGUGAUGGAGAUUGGUUGCUUCGAUAUUGUUUGAUUUUCCGCUUUGUUGAUCAGUUCUAAAUUUGGUACUUGUGCUUAAUUUCCCUUUGUUGAGCUUUUGUAAAUUAAGUAACUUGUGUUUGUCUCAGUUAUUUGAGACGUCGUACAUUAUGGUUGUUAGCCUUUCGUGAUUCCGUUGAGUGAUGAUCCGGGAUCGUAUUCACCUUGGGUUUUAUUGAGUUUAGAUUGUCAUAACUUCAUAGAUGUAGGCUUCAGUCGAACUGUGUCGCUCUAGCUCAGCAUUCCGAUGAAUUGUAUGUGUUAUUGAUGAUAUGGUUAUUGGCAUUAUUGAUUGAUGUGAUAAUUGGAUGGUGUUGGAAUGCAUAUGUGAGGGUGAAUGACAUUAUGACUAGAGAUUAUUAUUGUGCUUAUUUAAAUGUUCCUUGAGGUGCCACAUAAUUGAAUUGUGGUAUUAUGUUGAGACCUAGUAGUCUAUGUGAUAAAUGUUCGAGAGUAAUGAAAUGGUGAACUACGAAUGGCUUGAUCCCUAUUGAGGGUACGUAGGCAGUCUAAUGAGAAUGUUAGAUGCAGCCAUAAAGCUAGAAAAGAAAAAAAAUUAUUGUGAAAUUUGGACCUUGAGUGGCCUUCUUUCAUAUCCUGGAGGCAGGGUAUGUUAGAAGUUCGAGUUUUCAGUAACAUCACGUGUCGAUCCUGGGCGUAGGUCAGGAUCGGGGCGUGACAGUAAGCCCUUACCUUAAUAAUUUGUGCUAGGUGUUUAGCAAAUGCAGCAUUGCGUGUGGACAAUAGGCAAACAUGUGACCAUCGUGUCGAUGCAUCAACCAACACCAUAAAAUAUCGAAAUGGUCCGCAUGUUGGUUGGAUAGGUCCACAAAUAUCCCCUUGAAUCAUCUGAAGAAACUUAGGAGGGGGUCAUGAAGAAACAUAAGGAGGUAACUGAUGCCCAUGUGAUGAUUUGAGGAUACAACGCAUCAUGUCAUGUCCAGGAUGUACUAAACUAUCAUGCCAAAGUAGCAAAAUGUUCUGGAACUCAGGCAUAGGGUCGGCCAUAUGAUGAGCUUCUAUGCCACGAAUGGUUGUGAUGUACAACCCAUUCGGGAGACGUUCCAACUUCUCAUGAAUACGUUUUUGGGCCAUAUUCGUAAGAAGUGAUACAAAGAAAUUCAGAAUCAUUAUCUUCAGUGGUUUCAAUAUGAUAUUGAUUAUCUCAAAUAUCUCUAAAGCUUAGCAACGUUCUUCCGAAACAUGGAGAAUAAAGUGCCUCCUUAAUGGUUAAGAUUGUACCAUUGGACAACAUGAUACAGGCUUUUCUGUAUCCUUCAAUCAGGUUGGAUGGGCCUGAUAGAGUUGUCAUCAGAGCAUUCUUGGGUAUUAAGUUAGUAAAUAAUGUCACUCACGCAAGAUGGUGUGCAUGUUAGCAUUAUCAGCCAGACAAUUAACUUCCCCACUAGACAUACCUAGAAAGAAUUUAAUUGAAUUGGUCACAUGUAUAAAUGUAAGUCCAUUCAUUAAAAUAAGCAAUUCGAGAAAAUAAUAUCCAUCAAAUAACAAUCCAUAAUUCAAAACAAACCAAAACCAAACAAAUUAUUCCAAAUACUUAGAAAAAUUGUUCAAAAUUAAACCAUGAACCUAGAAAAAUAGGGGGGAGGGUUCGGCCACUCCUAGUGAGUUUGGCCACUAGGGGUAAAACACCCUAAAACAUGUCUAAAAUUCAUUCUUCCAUCGGAGCUGAUGCCUCCUGAAAAUCCAAUAUCUCCAUUGAUGUAAUAGUAUCUUCCGAAUGUUCCACAUAUGCAAAGUUAGACUCACGACGGGAAUGAUACUUGGCAAUAGCCUUGGGGGUAGCUCGGCAUACGCAUGACCAAUGAUCCUUUGGUCCACAGCGGUAGCACAUGUCCAUUUCAGUGGAAGCAGACUGAACGGGAGCUUUGCCCUUGUUCUUGAAGUUUGGGGCCUUAGGGGCAACAGGUGGAUGCUGCUAGGUCGGAUUUCCUCCCUUAGGGCCGACACUCUAUUGACUUUAGGCCCGUUGUUGGGCUUACCGCCUAUUAUCAUAGCCACGACAAUUCUUUCGUCGUUUGUGGCUGCUAGAAUUUCUCGUAUGUACUUCAAGCGAGGUGUUUAAGCUAGUCGGUCAGGCUUGAUGAUUCUUCAUCAAAAGUUGGUUCUACUUUCAACAAGAAGUAGUACAGAGAUCAAAUCCAAAAAUUUGGUGAAUUUAUGUGCCCUAUAUUGUUACUGCAGGACAAUAUUGGUUGCAUGGAAGGUCGAAUAGGUCUUCUCUAUAAGAGAUCUGAUUCGAUUAGUUCCACUUUACAGAACUUUAGAAGUGAUCGGAUUCUACAAACUUCAUAGUUGUUUCAUUCAUGGACUUAAAGUCUUGGAAGCAAAGAUGUCGCCAAACGUGUCUUGCUUCAGGCAAGUAGAGGUCUUUCUAGUGAUCAAAACGGUUGGCCAGAACAAGCUAGAAGGUGUGUGGGUCCUCCUUAAUGAGGUACUCGGUCUACAGUGCAUCAUGGAUGUGUCUUCGAAUGAAGAUCAUUGCAGUAGCUUUUUCAUCUUUGUCGAUGGGUUCAUCAUCAAUUGGUUCCUCGAUAGCGGCUCGAAAACUCUUUGCAGUUAGAUGGAGCUUCACAUCUUGAACCCACCUCAGGUAGUUUCUUCCAGAUACUUCCAGAGCGGUGAAAUCAAGCUUUUUUAAGUUCGACAUGUCCCUAAAACAAAGGGUACAGAAAAAACGUGAUUAGUCAUAUGGUGAUCCAUAGACAUAUAUCGUAGAACAUUCAGGUUCUAUAGACAUGUAUUGGUUUAAUUUAUGCAUGAAAGUUAUAGGUUUCAUGUGGUAAGUUUUGAAUGAAAACUUCAGGUUUCAAAGGCACUAAAUAUGAAACUACAGGUUCAAUUUAGUUUUAUGAACGAUUAGUUCAUGAGUGAAAGGUUUCUGCAAGAAACACAGAAUGCAAUAUGUUGAUUUAAGUAUAGUGGAUUUGAGUUUCUUCGGGAACUCAAGUGUGAGAGCUUCGUUACUACGAAAGUAUGCCAACGGUUCAAAGUAUAAAAAUAAAUUAUUAAAUUGUUAAUGUCCAAAAGUGAUCUUUAGGUCAAUAAUUUUGGAUUCAUUAUCAUAUUAAUGGACUGCAUGUCACUUUUAAUUAAUGCAAUAGAUCGGGACUAAACGGGGUCGAUCGUGGACGCAAAAUUAUUUGGGAAAAUGCCUUGCAGGUUCGGCUGCAAGCAUGUUGGGCCUCGAUGAGGCCAACAAGCCUCAGGCUGAAAGGCUUUGGGGAGCCCAAUAGCCAAGGCUGUUGGCUUUAGGUCGAAAAACAUAGCCCAAAAAUUUGGGCUUGGGUUGGCUGCAGAAGGGCAACCCACUGGUGGCUGUAGGCCACGAGCCGAGAGGGGACACAGGUGCAGGCCUAGCGGAUUGCUGGCCUUGGGUUCAAGUAGGGAACCCAGUCGAGGCUGGGUCCGGGUAGGGGCAAGCUUCAACCCAGUGCACAAGGCUGCGGGAAGCGGGGCAGGGCUCAGGACAAAGCCUAGCAGCCUUUUGCUGCUUGCAGUUUUGGGCUGAGAAUAGAGGGAAAAAUCCAGGGAAGGCUACAAGCUUCCGUUUGGAGGUAGGUUAGGCAUAAGGCCCGAGUUAAGCUAGCCAGGCUGAGGCCUGGUGUGUCCAUGUGCUCGCAACAAAGCCUAGAGGGCUGCUGCCAAGGUCCAAACGUCAAAACGACGUCAUCCUGGUGGCGUGCUCCACACGGCUGAGCUUCAGGUCAAUGGUGGUAGUGUGGCGGAGCCACGGUGGUAGUGUGGCGGCUGUGCCGCAUGUUCCCAAUAUAUAUUUUUUUACAUCCAUAAGGUUUGAAAAACCCUAUAUUGCUUCUAAUUUAUUUAUAUAUUUUGACUCACAAUUCCACAUUGCAAUUUAAUUGGUUAAUGCAUGAAACAUAUAUAUAUGUAUAUUGAAAAAAAUAUGAAACAUAUACAAUAUAUAUAUAUAUAUAUAUAUAUAUAUCGGAAGGAAAAUAUAACCAUAGAGGGGUUCAUACAUCAUGGGGAGUGUUUUCAUGCAUCGUGGACGUUUCAAAUAUCUUCCUUUAUUUUAAGCAUACCUGAUUUGCAGAAAACUAAUAAGAGCCUUUGAAUUUUGUGGAAGAUAGCCUUCUCCUACAAUCCGUCAGUUCCUCAGCUUCUGGCAAGAGCUUGUUGAUAACGUGUUGUAGGUCUAUUUAACUGAACUAUACUAAGGGGUAGAGAGAGAGGGGCUGGCGGUAGCGAGAGAAAGAUGAGAGAUUUAAUUGUGAGGUGUGUGUUGUAUCACCUCAUUGUGGCUUUAUUUAUAGUAGUAGGAUAGGUAAAAACCUUACCCUAUUAAGAUUACAACUCUUAAUAAGUAAUCAACUCCUAAUAAGAAUACAAGAAAUAUUCCUAGAUUCACUAGGAUUUACACAAUCACAUUCCUAGCUAUUCUAAAUAUGACUAUAAACACGGAAAUUCCUGAGAUGAAUGAGACAAGAACACGUGUAUAAAAUAAUAUUUUUGUAUUAAUGAUUUUGGGGUUACAAUCUCUCAGAUUUAAUCCUCUGAUUCGAUCUCUAUAAGGUGUUGAUUUGUGGAUGGGCUGCUGAUCCAAAGGGUCAUCGGGGCUUGAUCUUUAGGAUGAGCAGUGGUGUAUGGAUCUUCAAGGGCUUUUGUGCUUGAUCUUGAAGAACAGUGGUUGAAUUUAUUAAUGUUGUUGAUCCAAAGGGCCGUCAAGGGCUUGAUCUUAGGAUGAACGGUGAUGAACGAUGAACACUUUCUUCAAGGGCAGUCGGGGUUGGAUCUUAAAUUGGUGGAAGUUCUUCAAGGGUCAUUGGGGCUUGAUCUUGAAGGAGGAUUUGACGAAGAAUGGAGAGAGCUUUCUUGAUCCUUCGGGAUUUGCUUGGAAGAUUUGGAGUUUCAAAGCUUCAAGGUUUUGGUGUGAUGUGAAUUGGUUAUGAAUUGGUCUCUAAAAUGAAUGCCUUGGCUUCCUAUUUAUAGAAUUCCAAAACUUUAAUUUUUGGAUUUAAAUGAUCAUUUGAAAUAAAUCAUUUCUGCCAAAUGUUGACACAUGUCAUGUUUGAUGACUUUUCUGAUGAUUCUUGAUUUUUCGUUAAGUCACAUGCUAUGUGUAAAAUUUAUGUGACACGUGAACGUUGAAAUUUUAAUUAUUGAUCAACAUUUAUUUCACCGAAAUUUCGAUGUUUACGAUGACUACAGCAAAACCCUCAUUUUUUCAGAUUUUGGAAAGAAUGGCGUCAUUGAAUUCAAUAUCGUGAUAUGGGAGAUUGAGUAAGCUAAAUUUGGAGUAUUUUAAUGUCACACUAAAUAUGGCACCGACAAUAGACGUAAGCCAAAGUCAUAGGUUUAAUGCAGACAAAAGUGAAUACUAAAUACUAUAUACUGGAUACUGAAUGGAGGGUGGCUUUAAAGCUUUCGGCGUACCAAAUUAUGAUACUAAUUGACUUGAUUCCUUCACAUGGUAUAUAGGCAAUCUAGCUCGAAUGUUGGAUGUAACCAUAAGAUUGAAUAAAUUAAUAUUUUAUCAUGUUCCGAAGUUCAGCACAUGACAUUAUUGUGAGGUCUAGGUAUAGUCCUUAGAGUGAUAAAAACAAGGCUCCUCCAAGGAGGGCUAGUUGGAGGUGUGAAUUGACAUUUACUUCACACUCAUAGGAAAUCAGUCCAAGAACGAAAGCUUUCUUUCCAGUUGCUAUCCAAAAUUUUGGAAUUAUAUGUGUUGUCCAAAGGAUUAUUCUUCUUUUAUUAAAUUUCUAAGGAAAAUGAGCAAGAGGCGUAAAAGUUGAACGAAUGAAAUUUCAACAAUCUGGAAAGGGAUUGUGAGUUUGCCACACCAUUUUUCUUUCUUUUAUGCCUUCAUGUUUAUUAGAAGACAAAAAUAAAUGACUUUACAUUGGAGAAAAAAAAAAGUAUUUUCCUUUGAAAAAAAAAUCAACUAUUUAUUUAAGAGGAUGUGAAUGAUUGAUGCAUAAUGUGAAUACAAAGAACGACCUUAGAGGGAGACGAGACAUUUAUUAGAAGCCAAAAAAAAAAAAGUUACAAUGAUAUAGUAAAAAGGCAAGAAAACCUCGUUUUCUAAGUGGCAGUCAUUGACACACUACUUGAUUAGAAGAAAAGUCAUAGUAUUUUAUUUACUUUUGUUGGAAUGUAUAUUAAUAAUUAUAAUAUUUAAUUCAAAAUAUUGAAUGAAAAACACAUAACCGUUUGAAAGGGAUCAAGGCAUUCCUUGGUAAAACGGUAUCAUCUAAUAGAUGAAUGUUUGUAUCUCUUAAUCAACCAAUAUCUUAGGUUUUAUAUAAACUCAUGUUAGUAUAGCCGUGAAAGAUAUAGAAAAUUAGAGUUAAUUUUUAUUCUUGAGAAAUAGGGUUUCCCCGCUUUGUUUCUCUCAUGCUUCGUAUGUCAAAUUCCAAGUCGUGUCUUGAGAGUACGGAAUAUAUAAAGUUCGCCAGAGUCCGAAGAUUGAAGUGUUUUGACUUCGAAUUAUAAAUUGUUGAAUCCUGGGAGAUGGACGCCUACCAAACUACAAGCACAAGAGUAAGGGCGAAAUUCUAUCUUUAGGACAUUGCAUUUAUGCAAGCCUCAAUCUCCAAAUUUAUCAGUUUUUCUAACUUUAUCUUUAGUUGUUUAUAUUAAUCUUGUAAACUAUUGAUGUUGUUAUUUACUUUAUGAUUAUUAUCAUUGGAAUUCUUGUGUUGUUAUCAUAUUUUCUAAUAUUGCCUCAACAAUCUAAAGAUAGAAGUUUUAUCCCUAUGGAACAAUCAGAAAAAUAUGAAUGUUCGCAGUUCUCAUAUUGAGAGUUUAAAGCUGUGGCUUUAAAAGUGUUGGACAACAUAAGGUGUCGUAUUUGAUGUGAAGCCAAGAAUUGAAUGUUUCUUGACAUUAUACUGUGAGUUUACUCUCGUUAGUUUCUGAUUUAGGUGAGAAAUAAAUAUAUGUUUAUGUGGACUGUAUGCAAUAGGGUAAAUCUAGGUUUGUAUCUCAUAAUUGAAAAGGAUUCGAUACAGAUAUGUCUCAGAAAAUGCAUUCAAUUUGUAUGGGCAUUGCCACAUUCAAUAAAAAGUCAUAUUGGUUGACUGCAAGGGUCAGAUGGUUUGUGGUCAGACCAAUGGAUAUUUGGGCAUCCCCGAUGACUUUUCUCAACAGAUGCCUUGCUUGAUCAGUUUGGUUGGCGAUUGCCGAGCAAAAUGUCUGCAUCAUAAACUUUCAAUUCAUUCCCACAAGGACUAGAUAUGCAUGAUACAAAUGAUCGAAGAUUUUGAUUUUCGCAUGGGUUUCAUUAAUGUCAGAUUUGAAGAUAAUUUGAUGAAACCAAAAUUUUCCUUCAAGACUGAUCAAAAGGAUUUGGAAUGUUUCGAAUGCAUAUACACAUGGCUAUUAGAAGAUAUGUAUAUAAUGAAUGAUAUGAUGCCAAUCCAAUUCUAGGUUGGAACUUGAGCAUGAUGGGAAUAUUUAGAAGAUUAUACUUCUAAAAUCUUUUUAAAGGGAAAAAUUAUGACGGAUCUUGGGUGAAUGACCAAACUGCCUAUUUCAGAUAGGUGCAUACCAAAUGUUUAUUGGUUAAUAAAGAAAUACAAUAGUAAUAUGCAUAUAUUUAUCAGAUUUAUGUGUGUAUUCAUAAAAUCCAUGCCUGCAUUACCAGGUAUAUAGAAAUGCAUUUAUUAUCGUUUGUCAUAUCAUUAUUGCAGAUUUGUAUUUCUCCAUUGUAUAUCAAGUGUUGUACUAUGGAGAAUUAUGAGUACUUUCUCGAAAGAGGAGUAAUGUAAUGGGAACCAUGUUCUUCAUGGUAAGACGAUGAAAUUUGACUUUGAGUAGUGACAAUCAGUCGUGAUGUUGAGACGAUCAGUCGUGAUGUUGUCCUUAGUUAAAUUGUAAAGCAUGAAGUCAUUUUGUUUGAGUUAUUCGUCUUGAAGAUGACGCUUCAGUUGUGGGGGCCAAAGUCUGCUUUGAAAGGUUUAAGCACUCUAAGGUGAGGCUUACUGUGGAAACUGUGUACAUGCUACAGACAAACCCCUAACAAUUGAAGAUAGACUUAAAAAUGACUUGUGUGUUCUUCAUGCCACAAUGCGAUUGUUCUUUCUUCGGGAUAGAGAAGAUAGCCCUCCUUAUGUCCGUAUGUGGCUAUGAACUUUGGUUUGUGACAAAGAGAACCAUUGAUUUCAAGGUCAUUGAAAUGAAAUGGGCAUGACAAUAUCCAUAGGUGAGAUCAAAGGCCAAAGAUAUAAUUGGAAAGCCUAACCAUAUUGUCUAUAAAGCAGAUUUAUGCCGUGUUUACAAACCACAUGUACAUGGUUUUUGUUUGCUCCCUAAGUCCGCCAUGGUGCCUUGCGGGCAAGCCAGGGAUUUACUUCACAUACGAGAUUGGUGGGUGCGGGCGUGCCACUACUAGAUGCCGCUAGUAGACGGGAUUUGAAUGAUUGAGGUUGCGCCUUUGGACUUCAAAUCAAGAGAUUGUGCCAUUUGAGUGGGAAUUGCUCAAAUUAAGGUUCUUUGUUUGCCUUGAAAAUAAGGACUUUACUUAUAUGGAGAGAUAGAACAAUAUGUAAAUGAUAAGGUUGCUUGGAAAUAUAAAUGACAGAGGAAAAUGACUAAUAUUGCAGAUUGCUUGUGACUGGAAAUGAGUACAUAAAAGCUACAAAUGAGAUCGAUACCGCAAAUGAGCAGCAGAGCUAAUAAACUUAAAUAAAAGAAGGCUUUUGGCAAAUCUGGUUUGAGCAGAGUUUGUGCUUUUGUUUGUUUGUUUGAGUGUCCAUAAUCCUUCUCCAUCUACUUCUUUAUAUAAGGAUCUGGAAGAGCCCCCUUAUUGAGAUCUUUGUACUUGCCCGAAAGAAGCUUGGGCAGCUUGCAUUUCCUUACUUGGGUAGCUUGCAUUGCUUUUGCCAACUUGCAUGUAGAAACAAUAUUAAAAGGGGAACUUGCAUCUCCACCAUAUGUUUUAGCACAUGUUUUCCUACUUGUAAUAAACUAACAUUUAAAAGAAGCAAGUUGGCUUCUUUCACAUAUUUUUUGCAUCCACAUCCGUAAGUUGCCUUCCAACCCUUUUGCAAGGAUGCAUGCAUCUUGAUUAAACAAAGCUUGACAAAUCUCCACCACCAAAACAAAUUGGAAGAACAAUAUUAUAGUGUCAAACCCCUCCACUUGCCUCUAAAUAUCUUUCCAAAUUAGCUUUCUUGCAUAUUAAUCCUCUAAAUGCCAUAUUUUACCCAAAUUACCCAAAUAAGUAAAAAUGGGUAUAUUUUGAGUGCAAACAGUUUUAUUACAUUCGGGCAAAAGAUUUGGUGAAAGAAAAUAACCAACCAAGUCAUUUGGGAUAAUGGGAUUUCACGAGGAUGAUGGAGGAAGAUUUAGUCUUCUUUAUAUCUUGUUCAACUAUUAAUAAUUAAAUGUGACAAAAAAAAAAGAGUUUUGCUCAUAAGCCAAGUUAGUCAUGGAUAAAACCAAAGGACAUUCCUUUGAGAGAAAUUAUACACUGAAAAUGUGGGGGUCUUUUGGAAAGAAAAGAUGAUACAUUGAAAAUGUGUGGAGCAUCUUGCAAAAUUAAAUUAGACAUGAUGAUGCUUAUUAAGUAAGCAUAUGAAUAGUCAUGCAUGGUAGUCAUAAUAUGGAAAGGAUGAAAGUCAAGAAGUGCUUUUCCCAUAAUAGCUAGUGAGGCAUGAAGGCCUAGGAAGAUAAAUACAUAAGGUCUUAUCUUUAGUUGUUUCCUACUUUUUAAAGAACAAAACAUGAUCGAUUUAACAAUAACGUUAGAAAUUAACCACAAUUAUCGAAGAAUUGUGGGGGUAGCUUAACUAUUUUUGAGAUAUGAGAUUUACUUACAAAGAAUGGAAACAUAAUUUGCUAAUCAAAUGAGACAAUCAAGAUGUCAUCUCUUGUAAUGAGUAAUUGUUUAAGGUAUGGCAAGGUUAUAGACCUUCUAUAGAUACCUUAAAUGUGGGGGAAGUCUACUUCGGUAUGGCAAGGUUAUAGACCUUCUAUAGACACCUUAAAUGUGGGGGAAGUCUACUUCCUAGUGUUAGCAAAUUAUUACAUAAGUCCUAACAUAUGUUUCGAGGACUUAACAUUGGAAAACAACUAUUCUCGUAUGAAAAAUAAUUUCAUAAUAUGGAAGUGCACACCAUAAGAGUAGUCAACCUUAGUGGUACCAAUUAGUAAAUGUUUGACUAGGGAGUAAGUUAAUCAUCGAGGGGAAUGAGGCUGAAGCCAACAUAACUAAUGAAUCAGUCGGGCGAAAACCUAACUUAGUUGAUUGGGGAUCCCAUGGUCUAAGUUCAAUAGGCAAACUAGUUGGGCAUGAUUCAAAGAAGUUAACAUACUAUAUACCUCAUUCCUAUGAUGGAAGAAGUGUGUUGUCUGCAGAAGUUUUAGGGUGUAUAUUUAUACUUAAUGACAGUGAUAUCUUAUAAAUAAGAGGAAUAGAGCAGACUAUUUUUUAUCAGUGGUUACCUAUGUGAGAAUAGAAGUGGGUCGCUUCUGUGAGAAUGAGAUGGCUAAAUUCUCUAAAGCUCUCAUGAAUCCGAGAUUUGUUCAUGACCAAAAUAAACACAACCGUAUGAACCAGAAUAUAUUAGGAUUAGGGAUGUAUGUUGCUUAUUGUCUCGGUUUACUGCUGCGGUGAACAGUUCAAGAUUCCAUAUCCACUGCGUCACCAAGUAAAUCCGAUAAGUAUUCACUAGGGUAGGUUCAAGUCCAAAAGACACCUCUCCUGAUGCAUAUCUUGUCCGCCUGUACUCUCAAAUUCUUCCUAAUUUUUCAUUCAUGUAGGGGAUUGUUGGAAUUUAUAUAUUAUAAUAUUAAUAAUUAUAAUAUUUAAUUCAAAAUAUUGAAUGAAAACCCCAUAACCGUUUAAAAGGGAUCAAGGCAUUCCUUGGUAAAACGGUAUCAUCUAAUAGAUGAAUGUUUGUAUCUCUUAAUCAACCAGUAUCUUAGGUUUUAUAUAAACUCACGUUAGUAUAGCCGUGAAAGAUAGAAAAUUAGAGUUAAUUUUUACUCUUGAGAAAUAGUGUUUCCCCACUUUGUUUAUCUCAUGCUUCGUGUGUCAAAUUCCGAGUCGUGUUUUGAGAGUACGGAAAAGACAAUUUCUAUGGGGAAAAAGUUGAAAUAGGGGAUGAAGAUUCCCGAUUUUAAUUUCGUUAAAUAGGUGUAAUUUCACAAUUCCAACUACAACAAGAAUCACAAAUUCAUAUGCGGAAAAAUCUUGCGAGCACCAAACUUUACUAUUAGGGCGCCAAAUUUCAUGAUAAAACCUGAUAAGGGGUUUAGGGCUGCAUCUUUCACUCUAUUAACUCUCCAAUCUUCGAAGGGAUUUUCGGCUCUUGCAUCAUCUCUUGCUUUUGUUCUAGGUCAGCGUCUCUACUCUCUUCUUUCUUGAAUUAUUUUAGCUUUUCGGGUAUACUCUUUAUGCCAAUUGUGAAUUUUGCUAGUUAUUUUUAUUUUAUGAUAGUCAUAUGUUUGCUGUGCUUUUUUUCUUCCGAUUGAAUUGUGUAUUGGUUGGAUCUGUAACACAAUUUUUCAGUUUUUUUUAUGGACUUUGGUGUUAGUUCCUUGUUAUAGAUAUUGUGCUUUUGAAGGUUUAACAAUAGGCAAGGCUGAAUAUGAUGAUUUCGGUGUUAAUUACUUUCUCAUGGUACUAUACCAGAUUGUUCUCUCUUUGCAUUUACAUGUAACUAACUGUUCAUUGUAGAAAUGUAGUAUUUGGAAGACCUUUUUUUUCUGAUUUAGUGUAUGUUUGUUGGACAAAAGAAACAUGUAGAAGAGAAAACAUGAUUAAUAACAUUGUGCGUCUAUUUUUUUUUUUUUUUGACAGAAGCGAUAGAGUAUUCUAUUACUAAAAACAACCAAAUACAAGAGGUGUCAUGGCUACAAUUUCUCCAUGGCAAAUUUUUUGCAAACAUUUUGUAAACGCUCUACGGCUACCACAAUAGACCAUUAUAAACAGAGAUUCCGGAUAAAACUGUCACAAGGACGGCAGACACGACAAUCCUCACACCCGUACCCUAACAUAAGAGCAACUCCAUCCAUGGAGCCCUACCCCCUGGCAAUCCACUAUUCAAUCCACCAUAUUGAACAGUAACUGCCUUAAAUGAAUAGUAAUUACCAUUAAUGAACAGUAAUUGCCAUUUACAUCUUCAUCCUUGGAACCCUCCCCCUAGCAAUAAGCAAUUAAAAUAAUAGUUUUUUUUGUUUGUUUAAAUAAUAAAAAAUUGCAAAAGCUCUGGUCCCUCUCUCUCUCUCUGACACAAAAAAAAUAAAAAAUUGCAAAGCCCUCGGGCCACAUGCCCAUCGACUCCCCACCCCCCCCCCUUCGCUCGGGCUCUCACUGUCGCUCAACCUCCACACGGCUGGACCUCUCUCCACCGGCCCUCGGGCCCUUUGUCCUCGCCUGUCGCCCGAGCAACCAGCCUCCGCUGGAGUUGCUCUAAAGCCAUCGACAAUGAGGCUAAAUAAAUCGCUUAAGAGAUACAAACAAAUCACCGCAAUAACACAAUCUACUUAACCCGCCCAAGGCGCUACAAACAAAAUCUUAAACCUAAAGUCGAUGACAUGUCCACAUGCAUGUCCAAGGGGAAGAGACGUUGCAGGAGGCAUGGGUUGCCCGACCAUGUGGGUCUGUCGGUGGCAAGGACAACAAAGCAAUACCAAACUACUUCUAUCAUUCUCCUUAGCGCUAUAUUUUUCCUUAGCGCCAUAAAUUUCGCUUAAAAAGCAUAGGAAGGAAGGCUAAAAUUAAGGCGAAGAACCUGCCUCCACUAAUUUCCAUAGGGGAGAGAGAGAGAGAGAGAACACCAAGCAGUAUUAUAAUAUAGGUGGUCUUAAAUAACCUUCCGUGGAGUCGCAGUAAGGACUUCAAAUAUCCCAGAGAAAAGUCAGUCAAUAGUUUUUGACAGAGUCAGUCAACGGCGAAGACAGAAUUGUGUAUCAUAAUGCUCUCUCCCUCUCUCUCUCUCUCUCUCUCUCUGUCGUCAAUGGAUAACACCAUAUAAUUACUACGUGUAUAUCACUGCUCAAUUACACAAUAGAAAAAUCCUUGCGCAUUAUUUUUGUUCUUAUUAGCUCAGAAAUGCAGAAAUUGAUCAUCUCUUACUUUUGCAUAUUGUUACUGGUUUUCUUCAAACUAGUUGGAGCAAGCCAUGCGUGCCUGGAAUCCAAGUGUAGCGAUGAUCAAGGCGCAGCUAUCCAUUUCCCAUUGCGCAUCAGCCGCAAACAUCAUUGUGGAAAUCCUGGGCUUGAAUGCAAUGUAAGAUAUGAGCAGCAAAUACUAGUAAAAUUAUUUGUCAAACACAUAGAUUACAAGCGUCAGGAAAUCCAAGUGUAUCCCCCAAGUGAUUGCCUGCUGCUGAAGCCUGUCGAAGUCACAAACAUAGAUUACAAGCGUCAGGAAAUCCUAGUGUCUCCCCCAAGUAACAACUUGUCAUAUUCUUUCAUCAGAAACUUAACCUUAUUCAGUUGUCCUACUUCUGUUGCAAGAGAUACAUAUGCGUAUCAAGUCCACUGCCUCGGUGACCCUGGCAGCAGAAUUUAUGCCCUUGAUUCUACAUAUCAAUUAGAAAAUCUCUUCGAGAAUCUACAAUCUUGUUCAAAGAUGUAUGAUGUUUUAUCUGGCAAUUGGGAGGGUAAUGGUUCUGUUCUUCAAUUCAAAUGGUCAAAACCAAAUUGUACAGAAUGUGAAGCGGAGGGAAAGAUGUGUAGAUGGAAGAACAAUGGCACCAACAGUGAAAUUGAAUGUCAACGCGUGAGGAAACCAAGUAAGGAGAACAUUAUAUUCAUUGCUAGUUUUAAACAUCGUUACAUUUAUGUCUGAGUAAUUAUUAUUUGAAGGAUGUUGUCCGAUCCAUUUUUCUGAGGAUAUUAAUUGUCAGUCUCGAUUUAAUUUGCAAUUCUUUUACAGGCAACACAUGGAAAUUAGUGGUUACAGGUGGAAUUCUGGGUGCUUUGCUUCUUGUUCUACUGAUGAUUGCAGCAUAUCGGGUAUAUAGCACUGAUAGGAAGGAAAAAGAGAGUCGAUUAAGAAUUGAAAGAUUCUUGGAGGAUUAUAAAGCACUCAAACCAAGCAGGUAUUCGUACGCAGAUAUUAAGAGGAUUACAAAUCAAUUCAAGGACAAGUUGGGCGAAGGAGCCUAUGGAACUGUCUUUAAAGGAAUGCUCUCUUCUGAAUUCUUUAUUGCUGUCAAAGUCCUCAACAGUUCAAAGGGAGAUGGGGAAGAGUUCGUAAAUGAAGUGCGAACGAUGGGUCAUAUCCACCAUGUCAACGUGGCUCGCUUGGUUGGAUUUUGUGCUGAUGGAUUUGUACGAGCUCUUGUUUCCCUGCAGGAUUUUAUUUCAUCUGCAGAUAGUAAGAAUUCACUUCUUGGUUGGGAUAAGCUGCAAGAUAUUGCCCUAGGCAUAGCCAAAGGAAUUGAAUAUCUUCACCAAGGAUGCGAUCUACGAAUCCUGCAUUUCGAUAUCAAGCCCCAUAAUGUGUUGCUAGACCAAAACUUCACUCCAAAAAUUUCUGAUUUUGGUUUGGCCAAGUUAUGUUCCAAGGAUCAAAGCUUGGUGUCCAUAACUACAGCUAGGGGGACCAUGGGCUAUAUUGCACCUGAAGUGUUCUCCAGGAAUUUCGGAAAUGUGUCUUACAAGGCAGAUGUCUACAGCUUUGGAAUGCUGCUGCUUGAGAUGGUAGGAGGAAGGAAGAAUAUUGGUUCAACCACGGAGAACACUACAAAUGAAAUCUACUAUCCACAGUGGAUUUACAAUCUUCUAGAGGAAGGGGAUGACCUACGAAUCCGUAUUGGGCAAGAAGAAGAUGGUAAAAUUCCAAAGAAACUUGCUAUUAUAGGGUUAUGGUGUAUCCAAUGGCACCCGUCGGAUCGUCUUUCCAUGAAAACAGCCGUUCAGAUGUUAGAAGGAGGAGGAGGAGAAAGCUUGACCAUGCCGCCUAAUCCCUUCAUGCCUACAGGUCCUACAACUAGAAAUGCAAGACGCCUAGAGCGAGAAGCAAUUGCUGAAUUAGAGUAAAACGUAUAUGACAGAUAUGUAGAUUCGUAUUGAAUGUGUAAUGAUUCAAACCUAAAGGGAUAUUUUGAUAACCAUUUCAUUUUGGCACCAAACAAAAGAAAUUUGUUUCCACUCCAUGUUUAAGCAAUAGAUGCCGAUUAUUGUUUAUCAUUUAUUAAAUUUUAUUUUUGGUUACGGUAGAAGCCUAGAAGGCAAUCGAGCACCGGACUUACCAAAUUCUAACUCAUUUCUACACACCAAGAGCUUGAUUUCGGUUCUUAUUUUUACUAUUUAAGCUAUAAGCCGUGAUAAUAAUUAGAGCACUAUCAUUUGUUGUGAGCUUCAACUGGUUAUUUUGUAUGUUUUAAACUUUUAAUUAGAAUUUAUUUUUCACUUAGACUUAUCUUUCCGUAUGGCAUGCCAUCCCAACCCUAGUUUUUCUCCUCGCUUGGAGUUUGGGAUACGAAAACUUGCCAAACAAAGUAGAUUGAUUAGUAACCGAAGCUAAUUAUUCGACUGAAUAUUGUUUAGAAUUUUAAUUAACAGAAACAAUAUGAAUCUUUUUUGUUUGUUUUGAAAACUAGAGAUUAAAUUGUUACUUGUUAGAAGUAGAGUGAUUGGUAGACAUCGAAUCCUUACAUAAGUGCAUAGGCAUUAUUGCGUGAGGAUGACGUGAGGGCAAGGGAAGUAGCAGCAGACCGUGUGGGCUGCUGUGGUUCAUCUGCUCGGGUGACAGGAUAGCCUUUUUGACGAAAUUAUAAAGCGCAUAAACUUUUUGACCAAGAGAGUGGUCAACUAGGGGUGGGCACUUGAAAUCGAAAACCGAAACCGAAACAUGAACCAAAUCGGACCGCACCGAACGAUUUGGUUUUGCGGUUUUGAAACCGAACCGCAUUGUAGGAAACGGUUUGGUUUUGGUUUUGGCUUUUGAAAACCGCACCGAAACCGAAACCGUAUCUCAAAUUAUAUGCCAUGUUUUAAUUAGUUGUUUGUUAGAGUCCAUACAUUUAGUAUGUACAUGUCAUAAUAAUGAUUAUUUUUUCCAAGUUAUAUCCCUCAUCAAGCUUGGCAUCUCAAUGUUUCUUUACAGGAAAAGAAGAAAACUUUGUCACAGUUAUAUCCUUAGAACCCUAAUUUUCAAGUUUAGAAUGAUAGCCUAUAUAAUAUAUUAAUCAGAAAUGCAAAUGAAAACUCAAAAGGAACAAUGAGCAUCAAAUAAGAGUAGUCACAGAAGGAGAGAUACAAGACCGAAUCUCUAAUCAAGUAAUAAGUUGCAGCACUUCAUUUGGGUACUUUUUCCUGCUCACAGAGUUUAUCACUUGUGCAAGAGUUUAUCAUCUGUGCAAUUAGCUAGCUAGAGUAAAGAAAAGAAUUCUCAUGUGGGUGGUUAAUUAAUGUAUGUGUGGAAAAUGAGACUGUGGUAUGUGUAAAUAAGUAUAAAUUUUAAAUUGUAGAUUUUUUUUUCUAAAAAGCCAAACUUAAACCGUUUGAAACCGCACCGAACCGAUCGGUUUUGACUUUAAAACCGCACCGAACCGCACCACAAAAAGUUGUGAUUUCGGUUUUGGUUUCACUCAAAACCACACCGAACCAAACCGUGCCCACCCCUAUGGUCAACAAAUGGGACAUGGAUUCGUCGAAUCCAAAUCCUAAGAAUUCAUUAAUCUAUAUUAUUGAAAUUUGAUCAAAAGAUUAAAAUUAUUAUAAUUUUAAAAUAAGCUCGUAUUUGUAACUGUUGAAUCAACCUUUAAUGAUCCAGAUUGAUAAAUCCUUAAGAUUAGGAUGUAUGAAUCCGAAAAGGAUCAAUGUCCCAAAAAAUAUGCAACGUUUUGCAAGGGUAUUAAAUUUAUGAGUGGGAUAGACACAAAUAGCAGACCGUGUGGGGUGCUGUGGUUGAUCCACUAGGGUGGCAGGAUAGCCUUUUUGACCAAAUUAUAAAGCAGACUUUUUGACCAAGAGGGUGGCCAACAAAUAUGCAACGUUUUACACGGUAUUAAAUUUAUGACUGAGGAUUUGGAUCCUCUCCUGAGCUAAUGGAGAUGAUCUUCCUGACCAACCAUUAUGGGUUGUUGGAUUUUUAUCCAACGGUUAUAAUUAUUAUAACUUUAAAGGAACUCCCUUUUUAUAACCGUUGGAUAAAAAUCUAACAGUCCAUAAUGGUUGGUCAGGAUGAUCCUCUCCAUUGGCUCAGGAGAGGAUCCAAAUCAGAUGGACACAAGUAGCAGACCGUGUGGGGUGCUGUGGUUCCUCCACUAGGGUGGCAGGGUAACCUUUUUGACCAAAUUAUAAAGCAGACCUUUUUGACCAAGAGCGUGGCCAAUAAAUAUGCAACGUCUUGCACGGGUAUUAAAUUUAUGACUGGGAUGCACACUCAUCUUCUUCCUCAUUCGUUGUUUAUGUAAAAAAAUGUAAUAAAUUGUAAUAAUGAUCUUUCAACUUUAAUUAAAUUGAAACAAUAGUUUUUUAAUUAAAAUUCAUUAUUAUUAGUCUAUUAACUCAUUAAAACGUGUAGCUAUAGUCAUUUUCGUCAACUCCUUCAGAAUUCUGUCAAAAUAAGUUAUGUUGAAAGGACCAUUGCUAUAAUUGGGUUAAAGUUAGGGACCAUUGCUAUAAUUGGGUUAAAGUUAGGGACCAUUGCUCUAAUUGAGUUAAAUUUGAGGAAUCAUUUCUCUAGUUGGAUUACAGUUGAUGGAUCAUUGAUACAAUUUUUCUUAUUUGAUUUUUCAUUGUGCCCCUUGAUUUAGCCUCAAGUGCAUGACAUGUGACUAUUUUGACGGAAGUUCUAAUGGAGUUGACGAAAAUAAUCAUAGUUGCACGUUUUGAUGAGUUAAGAGACCAAUGAUAAUGAAUUUUUAGUUGAGGGAUCAUUGCUCCACUUAGAUUAAAAUUAAGAGAUCAUUACUAUAAUUUACUCUGAAAACUAAAGGCCUCCUAUUUUAGUUAUGUUUGUACCAUACUUGACCAAUCCCAAAACUACUGAGCACCGGUCAACGUUAUACCAUCAAGGAUCCAGAAGAGUUUCUCUCAAACCAGGAGGCCAAUCACAACACGACACAUGUCGAUAUCAAAAGCCAAUCAUAGCGCGACACGUGUCAACAUCAGAAGCCAAUCACAACACGACACGUGUCAAUGUCAGAACAAAACUAAAAACUCUCUUCUAUAAAAGGAGAUCAUUCUCCCUCAAUAUUUCCUAAUGUUCUUUGUACUAAAUCAUUCACUAGUACUGACUAAAUGAGAGUUUGAACCUAUGUACUUGUGUAAACCCUUCACAAUUAAUGAGAACUCCUCUACUCCGUGGACGUAGCCAAUCUAGGUAAACCACGUAUAUCUUGUGUUUGCUUCCCUGUCUCUAUCCAUUUACAUACUUAUCCACACUAGUGACCGAAGCAAUCUAACGAAGGUCACAAACUUAACACUUUCUGUUAUACCAAAGUCCUCACUGAUUUUGUGCAUCAACAAGUUGCAUUGGAGAAUCCUUUCAACCAUCCAAAUCCAAAACAUGGAUCUAAGGAGCCAAGAAACAAAGAGGAGUUCGUCCAUAUUCAUGGAUACAAGAAGCUAUGAGCAAGGGAAUGAGGACCUCACUUUGGGUGACUAUCAUUUACUUCUGCAAAGAGGACCUACAAAAAUAUAAAGUCAACUCACUUUGCUUUGAAUUUGAGUUGAGUCUUUGACUAACUACUAGACUCUGAAUUUCAUGAGUUAAGUUUUGUUUUUGAAUGCAUAUAAGCAUGCUAGAGCCUUUAAUUGUUAAUUACAUGUAUAUGUGUUGCUCAAAUGAACUUAGUUUAUCAAAUUUUUCUCUCAAGACCAAGGUAUUAAAUAUCGAUGAUAUCGGAAAUAUCGGUAGUCCAAAAACACGGAAAUAUCGAUGGAAAUAUCGAUGGAAAUAUCGGGAUAUUAUCGAUAUCGAUAAAAAUAAUAUGGAAACCACGGAAAUUGUAAGAAAAACUUGGAAAUUUUUAUUGAAACUUUGCAGAAUGUUUAUUUAGUCAAUUAUCUAUUAGUUUAUCACAAAAAUUUGGAAGGAAAUGCAUUGCAUGAUGGAUUUAACUGAUUUAAGUUGAUUAUAUAGCGAGCUGGCAAACAUUGUGAGUGUAGAAAAUAUGUAGUAAUUAAUGAAAGAAGUUUAAACACACCAUAAUCAUUUAUAUAUAAUGAAUUAGUACAAUAUUUUACACUUUAUACAUUGCAUGGUAAGAUACAUGAGUGACUAAGUACCACAUAGAGUUCCUAUGAGGUUCAAAAUUUUCACUAUCUUCAUCAUCUCUAUGUGUAGAGUAAGUGUAUUGUGAAGAGUAGUCAGCAACCAUGGCAAUGGCUUUCAAGAACCGAAAUCCAAAAGUCAAUAGGAAACCGAAUACUUCGGUAUUUUUCGGGAUUUCGGGAUUACCAAACAAAUGGGAUUUGGAAACCAAUCCCAUAUCGAAAAUUUCGGUAUUUUUCGGGAUGGGAUUCCCGAACUUCGGGAUGGUUUUGGUUUGGGAUUUUUCGGUUUGGGUUUGGGACUUUUUCGGUUUGGUUUGGGAUUUUCGGGAAUUUUUUCCAACCCUACAUGUAAGUGACCAAAUAAAAAAUAGAAAAAUUAAAAACCACAUGCCAUUGACUAAGUAAUUAAUUGACACAAUUUAAAAUAUAAUACCACAAAAAAUUUGGAAUAUGUGCAAAUUUGUUUCUUGCAAAAAGAAUUCAAAACAAAACCAUAUAUAUAAAUAUUUUAGCAUGUUUUCACAAAAACAUAAGUGGUAUAGUGGUCAAGGCGCUGAAGGAGUUAGAUGGGAGGGGUUUGAAUCCCUCUAUGUGCAUGUUUGAGACUUUUCAGAAAUUUUCAAAUAUUUUUAGGUUCAUCUCGCGAUAAUAUCGAUAUUAUCGCGAUAUAUUAGCGAUAAUUAAAGGAAUACUCGUGAAAUAUCGUUAUAUGAAAAAAACGAUAAUAUCGGCGAUGUUUCGCUGAUAUUAUCGAUAUUUUCUUCUAUGUUCAAGACCAACUUCUAUGGCAUGCGUGGUGUGUUUGAGACUUUUCAGAAAUUUUCAAAUAUUUUUAGGUUCAUCUCGCGAUAAUAUCGAUAUUAUCGCGAUAUAUUAGCGAUGAUUAAAGGAAUACUCGUGAAAUAUCGUUAUAUGAAAAAAAACGAUAAUAUCGGCGAUAUUUCGCUGAUAUUAUCGAUAUUUUCUUCUAUGUUCAAGACCAACUUCUAUGGCAUGCGUGGUGUCUCAUGCCAAUCACACAAAUGUUAUGUAAAAAGAAUUUACACGUUGUGUUGCAUGAUUGACAAUUAACGACACAAUAGUGUUAUAACCGUGUCAAUGUUAUGAAAGUUUUUAUGCAAAGUCACUUGAUAUGCCGCAACAAUUAGUAAACAAUAUUAGAAAGACCUAGAGGAACCCACAAUUAAUUCCAAUUCAUUAAGUAGCUCAUGUGCAAGCAAAGUAUGGGCUUCCCAUGGGCAGGAGCUGGAAUUUACCCAUAUUUGGUAGUUAUGUAGCAUUAUACGAGGAGCCUGCUCAGCAUUCAAUAUGUUCACCCACAUGAUGUUGAGUGUAAUCCUUCUUAAGGUUCAACGAUAUUGUUUCUAUUAACAAAUAUAAAUAAAAAAAUAAGCGAAAUACUAGAGAGAUUACACGUUUAUAUUACAUUGUUGUACCAUAUUGUGAUAUGGCUGUGUACAUACCACGUCUUGUAAUGAGUUUAUCUCAUUAGAUGUUAGACUGUUGGUUAUUUGUAUUACUUAUUACAUCAUAUGGUACAUCAAUGUGGUAUAAAUAUGCAAUCUCUCCAACAUUACCCUUAGGAAAAUUUUAUUUGAACCCAUCUAACCUCUUUCUACACCCAACUUAAAUUCUAAAUGUGAAUUGUCUAUUUUAUCCUAAUGCAUAAUUACCAUCAAGUACAAGAUGAAAUUAAGAAUAAAACUAAAAUUUAUCAAUAAACCCAUACUCAAUAAUUAAGUUCUACCAUCACACAAUUUUUAUCCUACAUUCAUUUUGAAUAAAUUCCUAAGGGCUGCAAUAAAACCCUACGAUCACCUAAUAAUCAAAUCCGGUUGCUUUUUGUUUCCUCUCUAGCUUCAUGUUAACUCGAUCAGUAAAAACAAAGUAUUCAAAGUAUUCAUGUAUAAAAUAAGCCAACUUGGACUGGACUUGCUAUAAACCUAAAAACAUAAGCAGAAUCCCAGUUGCUAAUUCCACAAGAACUCGACUUGCGACCAUUCAAAACCCAAUAAAAAUUCAAGAAAACCAGAACUUACCAAGUGAACGUUGACGGCUGAGCCAGAGCAGCAACGACGAAAGGAAGCAUUGCAGAUAAGACCUGAGACGACGAGCCGUCGGAAGCCCCUUUGGAUAUUUCAGCUGAUGGGUUUAUCCCAAACGACAGCAUCAACGCGUUGCCUUCCUUCCUCUGCGACCCGACUCUGCUGAUGUGCAAUGUGCUUACUCUUGUAAUCACUCCAUGUGCCAUGUGCAAACAAUCGAAGCACAUCGAGGUAGACAUAAUUUUCAGUUCCUUCAAGCUGCACAUAUUCCACAGUAAAAAAACAAAUGCAUAUGAAACAAGACCCUAUAACAAUCAACAAUUUUAUUUUGACUUUGGCUGCAACAAAAUUCUGAUUAUACAUCCUUUGCUCAAAUCCAGAAACUACACCACCAAAAUAUACACAGAAAAAUGAAACUUCCACAAUAAAUAAAUAGAAACAUGGGAACCUGAAGAACAUUAGGGACAUCGAUAAUUUCCGAAAAGGCAAAAAGGGCAGGGUGGGAGGUGACUUCUGCGACGAGGGGGCCGAGGGCGGAGCCAUCGAGUGAUGAGGCUUGCUUCACGAAGUGAUCAAAGGCCUCCUCUUGCUUUUGCUUUCUAAAAGGGUGUAAAGAUGAAUUUUUAUAUAUUGAAUUGAGUUUGUGAGGGUAGUUUAGAUAGUAAUUUGGGUUUAGAGAGAAAUUGAUUCUUUAAUUAAAAAUAAUAUGGGUGUAAAGAAUAAGUUAGGUGUAGCAAGAAGUUGUAUGGGUUCAAAUAAAAUUUCCCUUACCCUUAUCAGAAACCCUAAAAGACAAGAAAUGCUCUAUACUAAGACGUGUUUAUCAAACCGGAAUGAAAGUGUAGGAAAUGGAAUUGCACGAACUCCAAGUCAUUUUAGUGUUUACUAAACCAGAGGGAAUCAACAUUCAGGUGGGACCCACCCAAAAUCCGGAAUACAAUUCCUUAAAUACCCGGAAAUGGAUUCUUGACUUGGGAGGUGGGAAUUGAGUUCCUGAAAAUAGAUUCAUCAGGGAUCCAAGUUUUCUACCCAUACUAUCCUCAUGCUUUUUUGGUAAACCCAAAUAUCCCUCACAAUUUCACCUCCCCAGUUCCAUGACCAGUGUAUAGACCCAUCUCUCUUCUCCCCAAUCCCACCAUUUCCUAACAGAGGAGCUUCGACUCCAGUGAAAUCCCGACCCCUUUCUCCUUGCCCCGUCGCCGCAGACUAUCCAAAAUACAUGCAUGAACGCACAAAGAGAGGGGAAAAUGUAUGGCGUGGCCGCAUGGUCAUCUAAAAACAGGGGGUGGGGACGGUUGUGAUAGGUGGUGAGGAGCUGGGUUUGGGGAUGUAGGGGGGAGAAGAUGGCAUCGCAGCUUUUUGUGUUUUGGGUUUUUUUAUGUUAUUUUAUAUUUUUAAUAAAUUUGUUAAUUAUUUAUUUUGCUGAAUAGUUAUGUUUUCAUGUAGCUAAUUGGAUUUUAUGAGCAUAUGUGGUUAUCAAAAUUAACCAUUAACUAGCAUAUAAAAAUAUAAUUUAUAACAAGGGCAAUUUAGUAAUCAAAUAGGUUUCAAUUCCGAUUCAUGUGAGUGAGUAAAUAAUUUUUAUGUAAUCAAUAUCAUUUUUAUUCCGAUUCCAGAUAGUUUAGUAAACAGAUUCAACAUGAAUCCAAUUCUAAUUCCACUUCAUUCCAUCUUCUUCUCAAUUCAAUUCAAUUCCUCAUACUCUGAUUACGGAUUAGUAAACGGGUCAUAAAACGGAAAGAGAAAAACAUUGUUCAUAACCAACAGUGUUUUUACUUUUUUGCCCUCAUUUUUAAUGUUUCUGUGUUCCCACUUUUAUGCCUCUAUACAGUGAAAUCCCCAAUUGCCCUAUGGGCAUAGGUGUGUAAAAAAAUUGUUUUGCACACGUGGCAUGCUAGGGAGAUUUCUCUGCUGCACCGUUUCCUUCCAGCUCCACUCCGAAUCGAUACUGAAUACUGCUCAACCAAAUUUUUUCAUCAUUUCAUUCCGUCCUUGUCAACCUCUUCAUUCUUGCUCCACCAUGAAUCGAAACAAAAAAUUGCUCAUCCAAAUCAAUUUCAGUUAACUCAAAUCCCUAAAACCCAAAUUUCUCCAGAUCUUUGGAUUUAGUUUACUUUUUGUUGUUGCGUAAAGCUUAAAUUUACGUACAAUUUUUUUAUUUUCUUGAUUGGAAUUUGGAAAGAAUCAAUUGUUCUUUGAAGGAAUUACAGAAAAUUGGAAAGGGGAAAUGGGAAAUGGGAAAGCGAGGAAAUGCGGGCAAAUGGGUUUUGGGAAAAUGACUUUUUUUUUUGGCAUUCGCUUUUGGCUUUCAUCCUUUCUGCGUUUGCUUUUCCUCAUUUUUUUUCUCAAGAACCAAACAUAAAAUAAAAAGAACCUAGAAAAAAGAAAAGGAAAAUCACAAGAUUAAGAAUCUGGGAUUGCAACAAUGGAGCUUCUGUGCCGAAAUAUCAAUUGGGUUCCGUUUGAUCUUCGGUGCUUCUUCUGCAUUCAAAAAGUUGGGGUUUUUUUGCGUGAUGGGAACACAUUUCCAAAUUCGACCUCAAUCCCAAAGGAACCAUCCACCAAAUAACCCUUCCUCCCUUUCUAUUUCUCUCUCUGUAAUUUCCCCUGACCGAAUCACACAAUCCAACCAACUCUCUGUGUAAGGCUGCCUCACAAAUUCCAUGGAUUUCAUGGACUUACCCUCUCUAUGAGCCUCCCUCGCCGAAUCCAACUAAUUUCCUUAGGCCCGUUUGGGAUUGAGGUGAUUUUAAAAAAAGCAAUUGUGAAAAAAAGCUGAGGGUCAUUUUUGUGUUUGGUAAACUGAAAAAAAAUGGCUUAUUUUGAAAGCUGCUGUGAGAAUAAGCUGAAAAUCAAAGGAAAAGCUGAAGCUGCUAUUUGCUGCUUUGAAAAAAAGCCAGUUUUUUCAAAGCACACGGAGCUACAAUGCUCCUUUAAUGAAAAGACACACUAUCAUCCUGCUUUUUUUUCCAAAAGCACUUUCACAAAAAAGUUUACCAAACACUCUACUGGCUUUAUUUCACAGCCGCUUAUUCUCACAGCAGCUUUUUUUCAAAGCACAGCAAUACCAAACCAGCCCUAAUUCCAUCGAUAGCCACACCCACCCCUCCCAACUGAAAAUGACAAUAAUGCCCACCCAACUUUUAUUCUCUGCCUUUAGAUCUCAAAUUAAAAUGGGUAAUAAAGUCCUUUUCACACCAAUACCCGCUAUUUAACAGCUCAAAUGUACACAACCCAAACAAACACAUGGCCUAAAGGGCCUACCCCAGACCCCCGGCCCAAAAAUAUAAAGGAAAACUAAUGAAAAUUGCUUGAAAACUUUGAGUUUUAAUGAUAAGGACAAAAUAAAGGGUAAAGUGAAUAGUACCAGGAUUGACUUUUUAGUGUAAAAAUGUGGUUUUUCGUUAAAGUGAACAGUACCGGGUGCUUUUCGUUAAAGUUCCCAAAAAAUAAUUGGAAAAAGAAGUGGCAAUUUGGUAAAUAAAAUGUUACCUUUUCCAUUGCCCAUUCCUUUUGGAAAAAGAAAUGAAAUUAAAACUCUUCAUUUAAAAUGGUCUUAAGCCAAAUUGUAUUGAAUGUGAAGCAGAGGGUAAGAGGUGUAGAUUGUAGAACAAUUACACCUAGAGCGAAAUUGAAUUUGUUGACAGGAGGAAACCAAGUAAGGAUAACGCGUCUAAAUCUUAUUUCGCAUCUAUUCUGCUCAUGAUUUUUCUGCUUUCAUGUAAUUAGCGGCUUAUAUUUGUGGUAACGAUAUUGAUUAAUUUCGAGAAAUGACAGUCUAAUUUUCGCAACUGUCUUUUGCAGGUAAAACAAAGACGGUCUAAUUUUCGCAACUGUCUUUUGCAGGCAAAACAAUGACAGUCUAAUAUUCGCAACUGCCUCCUACAGUUAGAAGCAAUUGUUGAAUUAGAGUAACACUAGAAAAUGCACCCGCGCUUUGCUGCAAGCAUUGAAUAAUUAGUCACAACAUUCAUGAAUAGCAUUCCAAUAAAGCAACUAAAAAGACGUCGUAAUACGUAAGAACCAUCGAAGUCAAAUUUUGCUUGCUAUAUAUGGAUAUGCAUGCUAUAAGAAACAUCUAUUUAUAGAUUGUAUUGUGUCAUCAAUAUCAUAGUUGCAAGUAAUCAGCCUACUACAUGGAAGAAAAACACAGAAAAGGGAAAGUAGAAAAGUAGAAACAUAAUACUUGAGUACCUGGCAAGAAUAGUAAGUUCUUGAAAAAAUUGCUAAACCGUCUAACAAAUUCAAUCGUUAAACGUUAUACUGUAACCCAAGACAAAAAUAAAGUAUAUUGUUUGUUUACAAAUCAAAACGAAGUGCUGCUACAAUCCUCAACAGCUAUGAAUCAUUUUCAAAUAAAGAUACUCAGAUUUGACGGCACAUCAAAUAACCACCAAGCGAAGCAAAUUACGCCAUGUGCUAAUAAGAAACUAAAACAAAAGCAAGAUUAAAUAUCGAAAUUUUUUUAUAAGGCAUCAAUUGACAAAAUGCUUCUUAAUGUGGUCUUCCAAGAAAUGAAUGCAGCUCACAAACAACUUAGAAAUCAUUGUCACCUCAAUCUUACUAAAUAGAAGCAUAAAUGGACAUGAUAGCUCCCUAAUUUUGUAAUAGAAACUCUAACAAAGAAUAUCAGGCUCCAAAGGCCCUAACUUUUCCUAGGCAUAAAUCUAUACAUUGCAAGUUUAAUUCCAACGAAGCAAAUAUGCGUGCAAAGUAAAAGGCAUCAACACUACAUGUACUGCUUACAAUCGUCUCAAGUUGCUGACAACAACAACAACAACAACAACAACAAAGCUUUUUCCCACUAAGUGGGGUCAGCUAUAUGAAUCCUAGAACGCCAUUGCGCUCGGUUUUGUGUCAUGUCCUCCGUUAGAACGCCAUUGCGCUCGUCUCAAGUUGCUGACACAAUGUUUAAAAUAUUCCAAGACUCAAAGAUUUUCACACAAAUAGAGCACCUUACCAAAACAAUAACCGAGGUUGUCGUAUUUGAAUCAAGCAGAUGCUUUGCAAGGCCUUCUUCAAUAUCGUCUCAUAUUCCCUUUUCAUUUUUCGUAUAUGAUACAAUAAACUAUUCAAAUCUAGACAUAAAUAAGAGAAUCUGCUACACCCUACUAUCACAAUUGUCAGUCCUGAACAAUAAUGCAAGUCUAGUGGCAAAAACCACCUCAAUGAACAACUCACACACACUGAUCAUACAUCUCUAACUCUCUUUUUCAAAUAACACACACUCUGAUCCAAAACAGGGUAAAUAAAAUGCACAUCCUUAUACAUUUCUAACUUUCUUUUUCGAAAUCCAAAAUAGGGUAUUCUAACUCUCUUUUUCAUUCAUUUCUUACAAACCAAUCAUACAUUUAAAAUAGGCUUUGAAUAAAAAUAGGGUAUAUAAUUAUAUACCUCAAAAUGCCUAGGAACCAACUUCCCCCUCCAACGAUUCAAAUUCUUGAAAUUGCCAACACAGUAAAUCCAUUAGUACUAUAUAAAUGAAAACACAAUUGAAACCCAUCAAACAAAACAAUCCCACAAUUUAAAUGAUUCAAUCCUACUACAAUUGAAAUUCACAGAAAGAAUGAAAAACCAGAACAAAACUGCAGCACCUAAAAAGUUGUCAUACAAAAAAACAUGGAAUGUAAAAAUAUGUUAAGAAAUCUAGUUCGUUAAUUUCCAGCUGCUAAGUGGCAUUAUGUAACUUUAGUAGUAUAACUAAUUAACUACUUAUCUGGUGGGUUGCACUUCUAUCCAAUUGGUAAGGAAAGGAAAAUAAAAAUCAACCCCUUGGUCUUAGUUGUGGCUGCAAAGUGCAGGCCACCACCAAGUCUCAGUGUUUGUGUUUUAGCAAAACACUUAAAUAAAUUAAAUUCUGAAAUGUAAAUUAUAUUCCUAUAACUUUAAGAUGCACAUAUAGUAUUGUUGAAGUCGAACUGAAAGCACUGACAAUUCCAAGCAACAGAGCAGCAAUUAUUAAGAGCCAAAACUCAUUCCUAGUCUCCUCAUCCUGGUACUCAACUCUAAUCUUCGGUCAGCAUCAUUGACUGAAAUUAGGAGAGAAAAAGAAAAGGAAUUUCAGAAAUUGUCUAUGAAGCAAAGGAUACUGCAGUUACUUCAAGACAUGUAAAUUGCAUAUGUAUAAAGUAAUUUUCUACAUAAAGGAAUGAGGCAUAACUUUCUCUCUCCUCUUCAAACCCUAAACAGUGCAAAGCCACAAACUUUACAGAGAUUAGAAUGAGAACUGGAAUUAAUAGAACAAUGACUGAAAAGUAACAUACUUGAGGAGUGAAUGAUUUAGUGUUUCCAUCAUCGGAACGCCGGAGUAAGUCGCUAAGAGAGGUCGCAAACAGCCCAAAGGGACAAACCCAGACCCCCGGCCCCGAUCCAUACCCUUCCCCCUCAAAUCCCGACGGCCCCCAUACUUUUCUCUGACUGUACACCCUCUCCCACUCAUGAAAUCGAGGAUCUGCAGCAAUGGUACUGAGAUCCCCACUCCUCCCUCUCCCUUUCUCUCUGUCGCUCUGUCUCCCUCUCCCACUGUCUGUCUAUCUUUAUCCCAGAGCGGCAUGGUCUCCCAUCCCUGAAACCCUCACCGAAAGGUGGCAAUUUUGUAAAUAACUUGAAAUCCACCAACAGCAGGAGCAGAGAAUUGAAACAAACAUUUAGGCUCGUUCGAUAACCAUUUAGGCCAAAACUGAGCACACCUAAACCAUUCCUACUCGUGCCAAAUGUUAGUGGGGAAGCAAGAUGAUGACUUUAUUGUUCAAAACCAAAAGAAAAAAAGAGAGAAAACAAAAUAACAAAUCUAAUGGUUGUAGUGUAAAAGCUGAGAACGUAAAUAAACAUGCAGAGAAAAAAAUUGAAGAUACAAAGUAGCUGCAUCAUGAAACACUUACUCCAAUUAGACGCAAAAAGUGAUGGUGAUGAGAAGAGAGAGAAAAUGCAAUCGUUUUGAUUUUUCUGGCUUUUAAAGGGAGCAGCUUUCUUCGACCACCCAAAAAAGGAAGCUGCUUCGUAUGGUUGUGAUUUCCUGAGUGUAUGUGAGCGGGUCUAUGGCACUUGCACUUUUUGUGUCGGUUACGGUAACCGGGCGAGCUGAACACGGCGGCAUGGGACUGAAUUCGGAGAGGUGAGAAAAAUUAAAAACACAAAAAGAAGGUGUUCAUUUUGUCACAUUUUUAUUACUAAAAAUUCAAUAAAGUACAUUCAUUAGUAUGGUAACUUAACUAUUUAAUUCCAUCUCAUUAAACUAAAAAAAACAAUUACAAAAAAAUAAGGGAAACCUUGUCCAAAGAGACCUGAGAGAAAGUGACGACUUCUCCUCUCAUUCCACUCCAUACUUGAUCUCUAAAGUCCAUUUGGCAUGUAAUUGAUGUUCAAUUUCAAAUUUAGUGGUAGCAAUUAGCAAAGCUAAUGAAAGAAUCAAAUAAAAUGAAAGAAAAAGCAUCAUGAAAUAAAUCAAGAUGAAGAAUGAAAUUUUGGCAACUCCCCAUUCUCUUCUUUUAUAUAAAAGAUACAUCCUAUUUGUAGUGAAAACAGGUCCCGACAAGCCCAUUUAUCCUCAAGAAGUAUUUUCUAUGACUUUAAAAACAUAAUCUGUGAAAUUAUCUCUUGGCAGAGAACAACAACAAAUCUUCAUGCAUAGCUUGUAGAGAAAGACAUCAGGCAUACAAAAGAACACGCAAGCAUAAAAUAAACGACGCAGGGAAAACAAAAAAUACAAUUAAAUACGCUGUCAAAAGAACAUGAAUAAAUGAAAAUUACAAAACAAAGAAGUGAUGAGAAACCAAAGUACCCAUUUCAUAAUCUAAUUGUUUUUUAGUUUGCUGCCAGCCAUCCCUGAGUAAUGCAUUCACUUCUGAACCCCAAACACACUGAAACAAAAAUUCACACACAUGAACUACAACUCCGCUAUGUAACAAGAAUUAAAAGCAUCUCAAAACAAAAUGGCAAACUAUAAGAGCACUGUAAAAGUAAAAUUGCAAGAAAUCUAAUACUUGGAGGGCAAGUACUAAUCAGACGAAAAUGAAAGAUUGAACUACUUCGCGUGGAACUGUGCCUUGGUUUUUUCCCAUGCUUACAGGAAGCUUUGCACUGAGCCCUUAUAGCCCAAAUUUUCUCUGAAGGAAAAAAAAACACAAUUUUGAAAUAAGAUUUUCAUAUUAUACCUUAAAGAGAAGAAUUAGACAACAAAAAAGAGAAGAAUUAGACAACAAAAAAGAGAAGAAUGAGUACUAUUCAUCAUAUAUUGUUAGAGUAUGUGGUCCUCUGGUCCAAUGGUCCUGCAGCCAUAUUUACUUUAUAACUCUUUCUUUUAGUCUUAAAAACAUCUUGGAUCUCAAAUUAACAUGUUAGCUAUGCGUUAGAACAUAUUGGGUUCAAUCCAUUGUCUUGAAUAUCACCCCCAGUCACAGCUGUCUCUUCGGGGCAUACAGAAGGCCUGAGAGGCAUUUGCAGACAUUCAAUAUCUGCUCCAAGCAUUUCGACAACUUUGGACAACGAAGGGCAAUCACUUGGUUUCAUUUGAAUACACACAAGGCGGUUAUAACCAUCUUUCUUAUCACUUUCUUUUCAUCCUCUGUAACAUUGUCUAUUUCCAAGUCAUUUCCCACAAUAUAUUGAUCAUAUACCCAUAACGGGAAAUAGAUUUGGCUUGGAUGCUCUACCGUUGCAUUCAAAUUCUUCCUUCUGCUUGCCAUUUCCAUCAACAACAUUCCAAAACUAUAGACAUCGGCCUUGUAUGAGACACCUCUAAUAUUUUUGUAGAACAACUCAGGAGCAAUAUAUCUCAUUGUACCCCGUGCUGCCGUCAAAGAGACAAUGCUAUUAUCUACUGGAUACAAUUUUGCAAGCCCAAAGUCAGAAACCUUUGUGUUUGCACUCAAAAUAUACCCAUUUUUACUUAUUUGGGCAAUUUGGGUAAAAUAUGGUAUUUGAAGGAUUAAUAUGCAAGAAAACUAACUUGGAAAGAUAUUUGGCUGCAAGUGGGGGGGGUUUGGCACUAUAAUAUUGUUUUUCCCAUUUGUUUAGGUGGUGGAGGUUUGUCAAGCCUUUGUUUAAUCAAGAUACAUGCAUGUAUUGCAAGUGGAUGGGAGAGCUUUCGGGCAAGAACGUGUAGUGAAAGAAGCUAGUUUGCUUCUUUUAAUUAUUUUAUUGCAAGUGGGAAAAUACAUGUGGUGGAGAUGCAACUUGCUUCUUUUUUAAUUGUUAGUUUAUUACAAGUGGGGAAACAUGUGCUAAAAACAUGUGGUGGAGAUGCAAGUUUCCCUUUUAAUAUUGUUUCUACAUGCAAGUUGGCAAAUGCAAAUGCAAGCUGCCCAAGCUUCUUUCGGGCAGGUACAAAGAUCUUAGCAAGGGGGCUCUUCCAGACCUCUAUAUAAAGAAGCAGAUGGAGAAGGAUUAUGGACACUCAAAACAACCAAUCAAAACUCUACUCAAAUUAGCUCAUCAGCUUCCUUGUAGACAUUUAUUUUUAGCCAAGCAUCCUUUGCUUUUCUUGUUUAUUAGCUCUGCUACUCACUUGUAGUAUCGAUCUUAUUUGUAGCUUUUAUGUACAACCCUCUUUCAGUCAUUUAAUCUACAAGCAAUCUGCAAUAUUAGUCACUUUCCUCUGUCAUUUAUAUUUCCAAGCAACCUUGUCAUUUACAUAUUGUUCUAUCUCUCCAUAUAAGUAAAGUCCUUAUUUUUAAGGCAAACAAAGAACCUUAAUUUGAGUAACUCUCACUCAAUGGCACAAUCUCUUGGUUCGAAGUCAAUCUCAGGCGCAACCUCAAUCAUUCAGAAUCUGUCUACUAACGGUAUCUAGUAGUGGCAUGCCCGCACCCCACCAAUCUCGUAUGUGAAGUAAAUCCCCGGCUUGCCCGCAAGGCGCCAUGGCGAAUUUAGGGAGCAAACAUAUUUUGGCACACCCGGUGGGAUACCUUAAAUAGAGUUAUAUUAUGAGCAAUCCUUAUGUUCAUGAUUUUUCUCAAUAUGCUUUUUCGGAGUAUGAGGAGGAUGACGGUGUUGAAGAGCGCCCAAGCUAUGGCUAUCACAUAGAGCCAACCUAUGAGUUGUCAACUUAUGGGUACAUGGCUGAAAAGUACUCAAGUCCCAUGGAACAUGAUUGUCGGCCAACUAAUGGCCAUCAAAUAAAUAAUAAUCUUGAAGAUUGGCCAACUUAUGGCUAUGAUGAAGGUUAUUAUUCUUUUGAAGACAAUCAUAUUCAUGAAUACUAUGAUAGGCCAACAAAUGGCUUUGAGUAUCAAAAUGCUUCCAAUGAGUACAUAGAGCCAAUAUAUGAGAUACCAACUCAUGAUCAUCCAGAUGAAAAGCUCUACAAAGAGGAUGUGGGCAAAUUAGAGAAGGUGUCCAAACUCCAUGUGGCAAGCAUCGAUAUGGUGAAGAGGUGACCAAGUGUUUUAGAAAGGUGGAGGAAAGCUAUACCACUUUUGGAGAAACUUUGAGAAAGUUGAUAGAUCAAAUGUGUCAAAUCCCCUCUACAAAGCACACUCACCCUACUACAACCAAGGAAGAACAAAUCAUACACGUUGAUGAAGGCCAAACAAUGGCCCCACCCAAUGAAAAAUCCAUGAAAAUGGAUAUGGUUGUAGAAGGCCAAGCCGACAUAUUGAAACCGAUAACGGCUAAGAUGGAGCUUAUGGCUAUUGUAGGCCAAACACCAACGCUCGGGGGGCUCGAACUCACACCUCAUGUGGAGCCCGAAGAAGAAGAAAAUAUUUCCCACUCUCUUCUCCGCCAACACAAGCAUGUCAUCCAUACCAAGAUCUCAAGAAGGGCAAAGCUUGGGAUCAAACAUAAAUGGCCACCUCCUAUUGUUUCCAAGCUAUAUGGUAUGGCUAAUUUAAAUGGUGGAUCUAAUCUCUCUACACUCAAUUUUAAAAAGAGAAAAAGAUUUGAGUGUUAAGAGAUAUCUGGGCAAUCAAGGGGCUUAACCAAUAUGCCCAAGUGGGGCUUAUUUUGUUGUUUCCUCUUUUGCCUGAAGUUGAACUCCCAGUCUUCCUUUUCUUCUUUCCUUCUCUCUUUCCUUUUCUUUCUCUCCUGUUUCCUUUUGCCCGAAAGUAGGUGCCAAAUCCCUCCUCUAUUCCUUUUUCUUUAUUUCUUUCUCUUUGUCUUAUCUUGUCUUUCACUUUUCCCAAAAGGGCUAUAUAUAUACAGAGAGCUUAAGGGGAGGGAUCCCCAUUUUUUGAAAAAAAUGGGGAUUAGGUGUGGGGCCCACUUCACAUUGAACUUCAACAAUCCGAACCGUCUAUUUUGUUAGUCUCGAUUCAUAGAUCAUCCUUGCAAAAAUUCAAUUCAAUCCGAAACCAUUUGCCUAUUUAAUUAUCAAGAUCAAAUUUCAUUUUUUCUUAUAUAACAAAGUAUUCGUUUAUUUCAUUGAACCCAAUUAGAUGUCUUAAACAUUUCCAAUUUAGCUAAUAUUUUGCAAGGAUGAUCUAUGAAUCGAGACUAACAAAAUAGAUAGUUCGGAUCGUUGAAAUUCGAUGUGAAGUGGGCCCCACACCUAAUCCCUAUUUUUUUCAAAAAAUGGGGAUCCCUCCCCUUAAGCUCUAUAUAUAUAUAUAUAUAUAUAUAUAUAUAUAUUAUAUGUGAAAAGAGGGGAAUGGAAGUACUUUGCCCGAGUGGGCUUGUUAUAUAUAUUAUUUUAUAUAUUAUAUUAUAUUAUAGUUUUGAAAGUCAUUCAAAAAAAAAAAAAAAAAAAAAUCUGAGCAGUUUGCCCGAUUCCCUUUUCUUCAAAAUUUGCCCAAAUUGGUUCUUUCUUUUACUUUGGUCUGUGUUACCCGAGAGGGCUUUGUCCCUUUUUGUUUCUCUUGCUUUGGUUGCCUGACAGUCUUCCCUUUUAUUUGUUCUUUCACUUUUUCCAGCCAACCCAACAGGGCCUUUAAUUUCCUUUUUCUGUUUGCCCGAAAGGGCUCUGUUUUUUUGUGUGUUUCUUGUGCUGUUACAAAGAAAAAGAUAUAAAAAUUAAAAAUUCCAAAAAUCACAAAAACAUUUUGCUUUCUUGCUUUUGUUUUUUCUUGCUUUCUUUCCUUUUUUGUUUUCUUGCUGGGGAACUUUACAGAAAAUAUCAAAAAGUUGGGCAGCUUGUGAGUAGCCAUUUUUACCUUUCUUUCCACUUUUCUCUUAUCCAAUGAGUGUAUUUAGCCCGAACCCAAAAGUUGAAAUUAGAAAACCAUCUAGUGGCUGUACCCAAAUUCAUGGAAUGAGGAGUUUCAUAAAAAGCCGAAUCUAUGGCUUUCUUGCUGAAAAGCAUGUCAUCUGUGUCUCAAUGGCUAUUGCAAGAAAGCAUGGGGCUAUCUUGCCCAACUGGUGGUGCCCGAUGGAACCAUAACCAUGCCUGACGGUAAUGACGUCUUCCCUACUCACCACCAACAGACUCUGCAUGUCUCCCUAACGCUCACCAGUUCCUACAACCAAGGGUCGGGCUACUUUGACGACUACCAUUAGAGGCUACAGUAAGAGCUUUUGAUGUGGCUACUAUUAAUCACUGGAGACUAGUUUUCAUGGGUAAGAAAAUAGAAAAAUGGAGCUGCAUCUAAAUGUGAAAUCCGAAAGCUGGAGGAAGAUGACAGAAAAUUAUGUUGCUGUUGCCCGAGGAUGCUACAAUCUUGCCCGAUGAGCAUGACAUCUUCUCUGUUGCAAUUUGUUUAGAUGUUGUCAAUCAUAUAUGGGGCCCCAUGCUUGAUCUGGCAAACGUAUUUGAAGUGUUCAUGCCACUACAACCAGCAAUAAAUCAAGACCAGAUCUCUGAAGGAUUCUGCAGAUCGGUCGGUUCACUCAGACAUAACCACCUCCCUCCGAGCGGAACAAAAGCAACAGUGCAAAGUAGACAGCAUUACCUUGAUUUGGGAAGCAGAAUUCUGAACCUCAAGCAGGAUCUCUUGAUACGCAGGAGUUGGAGUAAGGAAACAAUGGCAGCCAACAUAAUAGCCGCAGCUUCGAAGCCAGACCUACCCGGCCUUCGGUCGUCAUCUUUAACCCCUUGGAGCUUCACCACUGGUUGAAGGAAGUAUGCAGAAAUUUACCUUUGCAGACGGAGCUUGGUUUACAUUUGCCCAGUUAAAAAGGAGGAGGAAGGGAUUGGAUCUCCAACAAACACUAAUAGCUUUCCGUUCUUUCUGCAACAAUCAAUUUUCAUGAUCCGUGGACUUGGGUUAUUUUCUUCACGCACGCACAAGGCAUACCCUUUCAUAGCUCCAGGAAAAAUCACCACUCUCUUCUCAUUUGACCAGCAGCUCUCUCUCUCUCUCUCAGACUUGGAUUAUGGUUGCCGCACCUUGAUCUUUAAGUGAUACCUCGAACAGAGAAACAACUUCUCUUUUGGAGAAGAGGAAAGGCUAGAGAACGACCCACGUUCAUCUUUUUCUCUCUAUCUCUCUCUCUCUCUAUCUAUCUCUUUCUUUUUCCUUUUCUUUUUCUUUUCUCUUGCUUUCUGUUCCUUUUCUUUUUCUUUUCUCUUGCUUUCUGUUCCUUGUCCCUUUCUCAAGGUAUGUCCUUCACUUGGCCCGAAAGGGCAGCAUACUAUAUAUAUUAUAGUAUGUGGCCUAAGAAAGAAAGUCUAGUCCUUUUUAUUAUUUCUUUUCCUCUUAUCUUUUUGUCUCUCUCUCUUUCUUUUCCUUCCUUUCUCUUUCUUCCUGUCUAUUUUUUCUUUUUGUUUUGAGUUGCCCGAAAGGGCUUUAUAUAUAUAUAUAUAUAUAUAUUAUAUUUGAAAAAGGCAAAAAGAAAAAGAUAAAAAAUAAUAGUUGCCAAAGUUUAUUUAUGUUUUAUCCUUCUUUUCCAGUUGUCCGACUUCGGGCAUUUUCAGUUUAUUAUCUAUGUAACCAGUGAAGAUGCUCUUAUGUUUUUUGGUAUCAACAAGAAGGAUGCACAAGUCAGACAACAUUUUUUUCCAAUGCUAGUUGCACUACCAAUUGCCUUGCUCCUCUUGCCAAAGUUUAUCAACGACGGCAGGACCGAAGAGGUAGACGUGCCUCUUCCUUCGACAUCAUUCUUGGCAGCAUUAGAGUUGUAAGUUUCACAAACUUUGCUCAAAUUUGUAAAACUUGGGGGGCACUGUUUGCACUCAAAAUAUGCCAAUUUUUACUUAUUUGGGCAAUUUGGGUAAAAUAUGGUAUUUGAAGGAUUAAUAUGCAAGAAAACUAACUUGGAAAAAUAUUUGGCUGCAAGUGGGGGGGGGGUUGGCACUAUAAUAUUGUUUUUCCCAUUUGUUUGGGUGGUGGAGGUUUGUCAAGCUUUUGUUUAAUCAAGAUACAUGCAUGUAUUGCAAGUGGAUGGAAGAGCUUUCGGGCAAGAAUGUGUAGUGAAAGAAGCUAGUUUGCUUCUUUUAAUUAUUUUAUUGCAAGUGGGAAAAUACAUGUGGUGGAGAUGCAACUUGCUUCUUUUUUAAUUGUUAGUUUAUUACAAGUGGGGAAACAUGUGCUAAAAACAUGUGGUGGAGAUGCAAAUUUCCCUUUUAAUAUUGUUUCUACAUGCAAGUUGGCAAAUGCAAAUGCAAGCUGCCCAAGCUUCUUUCGGGCAGGUACAAAGAUCUUAGCAAGGGGGCUCUUCCAGACCUCUAUAUAAAGAAGCAGAUGGAGAAGGAUUAUGGACACUCAAAACAACCAAUCAAAACUCUACUCAAAUUAGCUCAUCAGCUUCCUUGUAGACAUUUAUUUUUAGCCAAGCAUCCUUUGCUUUUCUUGUUUAUUAGCUCUGCUACUCACUUGUAGCAUCGAUCUUAUUUGUAGCUUUUAUGUACAACCCUCUUUCAGUCAUUUAAUCUACAAGCAAUCUGCAAUAUUAGUCACUUUCCUCUGUCAUUUAUAUUUCCAAGCAACCUUGUCAUUUACAUAUUGUUCUAUCUCUCCAUAUAAGUAAAGUCCUUAUUUUUAAGGCAAACAAAGAACCUUAAUUUGAGUAACUCCCACUCAAUGACACAAUCUCUUGGUUCGAAGUCAAUCUCAGGCGCAACCUCAAUCAUUUAGAAUCCGUUUACUUGCGGCAUCUAGUAGUGGCACGCCCGCACCCCACCAAUCUCGUAUGUGAAGUAAAUCCCCGGCUUGCCCACAAGGCGCCAUGGCGGAUUUAGGGAGCAAACACUUUGCUUUAAAGUUCUCAUCAAGAAGGAUGUUAUGAGGCUUGAUGUCGAAAUGUAGAAUUUGCAUUUUGCAACCUUGAUGUAGAUAUUGUUGACUUUUGUAUUUUAGGUAGGAUCCCUAAUUGAUAUGUAAUCCCAUGUAAUCACUUGUAAUUAGUUUUUCUUUCCUUUUAUGUUAGGGUUGUACACCUAUAAGUUCCUCUUAUUGAGAAGAAUAUAUCAUCAUUCAAAGCAUUCUCUUCUUGGCACCAGAGCCUAGGUUUUGAAAAGAAAAAAAAAAGAAAAGAAAGAGGAGACGAGAUCGUGCUCUGUACGGAAAACCAUAACUACCAGCCGCACAGCCAGUUGUGCAGCGCCGUCCGACCAGCAAGCGACGCCGUCGUUUCUGACCCGAGAACCCGAACUACCCGCCAUGCACCCAGGUGUGCAGUGUGCCGAUCAACCAGCGAGCGACGCCGUCGUUGCUGAUCCGAGUUCACCGAGCCACUCCCUGCAUCUACCACCACGAACCGAGAUUCAACCCACUGCCUGAAAUUUGUCCCAGAUUUCGGCCUGUGUAUCUGUUUUGCGUGCCCAGAUUCGAUUGAACCGAGUGCACCCACUUCACAAUGGCUCCCUGUGCUUGUCCUUUUUCAAAUGGAUUUGACCGAACCGGACAUGAGAGUAGGACCGAUCGAGACCAGUUCAAGACUUGUGAUCCCCACUGUAACAAGUCGUGUACCUCGAUUGUCGAAUCGAAAAUAGAUUCUAAUAUAGGUAACAAAGGUAAGGCUUUAAAAGUUUCUGCAUCUGUUACGAAUAAUACAUGGAUAAUUGAUUCCGGUGCUACUGAACAUAUGACUUGUGAAUCUAGGCAGGUACAAAUCCUAAAACCACCCACCAAAACUGUUGUGAGUGUUGCCAACGGUAAUGUUGUUCUCAUUAUUGGAGAAGGCACUGUCUCCCUGUCAAAUACCCUUAGUCUUGAUACCGUGCUUGUUGUUCCUUCUCUUGACCAUAAUUUAUUAUCUGUUGCUCAAAUAACUGUCGCCCUGCAUUGUCUUGUGAUUUUUUGGCCUUCCUUUUGUGUUUUUAAGGACAUUCGGACUCACAAGACGAUUGGUUAUGGUAUUAGGAAGGGGAAGCUCUAUUACUUGGAGCUGACAUCAAACAGUUUUCGAAUGUUGACUCACGCUCUUGCAGUGGACGGAAAUUCGGGGGAUAGGAAUAAAGCUUCGGAGGUUUGGUUGUGGCAUCGUCGACUUGGACAUGCUUCUUUCGGCUAUCUACGGAGGUUGUUUCCUAGCCUAUUUGUUAAGCAUGAUGUUUCUAGCUUUAAAUGUGGUGUUUGUGAACUAGCUAAAAGUCAUCGUGCUUCGUUUCCAUCCAGUUUGAAUAAAAGUUCUGUUCCAUUUAUGAUAAUUCAUUCUGAUGUUUGGGGUCCAUCUAAAACUGCUACAUUUGGUGGUGCUCAUUGGUUCGUUACUUUUAUUGAUGAUUGCACACGUAUGACUUGGGUUUGUUUGAUGAAAUCCAAAGGUGAAGUUACUUCUUUGUUUCAACAGUUUUACAAAAUGGUACAAGUACAAUAUAAGUCACAAAUACAGGUUCUCAGGAGUGAUAAUGGUGGCGAAUAUGUUAACUCUGAACUUCGUGCCUUUCUUGAUCAUCAUGGGAUUGUUCAUCAAACUACAUGUCCAUAUACUCCACAACAAAAUGGGGCUGCCGAAUGCAAGAACCGUCAGCUUCUGGAGGUUGUUCGUGCUUCUUUACUCGAGGCUCGUCUCCCGUUAUCCUAUUGGGGAGAAGCUCUCACCUCAGCUGCGUAUCUCAUUAAUCGUGUUCCAUCCCGAUCGGUUGAUUUUCAGACACCCCUUCAGGCAUUUUCUUUACAUGUUGAUGCUCCUGCAUUCCCUAAUCUUCCACCUCAUGUGUUUGGAUGUGUGGCCUUCGUUCAUCUUCAUAAACAACAGCGAAGUAAGCUUGAACCUCGAGCCUUACGAUGUGUGUUUGUGGGGUAUGCAUCAAGGCAGAAAGGAUACCGUUGUUAUCACCCACCGACGAAUAAGUUGUUUGUCACUAUGGAUGUUGCGUUUCAUGAGAAUGAUAUGUACUUUGCCAAUCUCGAGUCUUCACUUCAGGGGGAGAAUCAGAAAGAAGUUCAAACUCUUGAUUAUACUAUUCCAGAUAUAGAUAGAGUGAAUGAUUUGGAUUUAAGUGGUGAUGUCUUGGAAAUAAGUGGUGAUCAUUCACACGAAAAUAAUGAUGUGAAUGAAUUGGAAUUAAGUGGUAAUGUCUUGGAGACAAGUGGUGAUCAUUCACAUGGAAACAAUGUUGAAAACCUUGAAAGGGAUGAGUCGACAUCGCCAGAUAACUCACUGCCUGAUAGCUCACUGCCAGUUUCCUCACCACCGGACAACCCUGUGUCGCCAGCUACCUCACAGUCGAUCUUGAGUCCCAAUAACCAUAAUCAAUCGUCUUCGAUCCCGGAUGCACCACCACCACGUCGUCUCCCUGAUCGCAUCAACCGAGGUAUUCUUAAACUUACUUAUGAAGCCGACCCUAAAUGCAAAACUAGGUAUCCGGUGAGUAAGCCCAACCCUGAGUCUAAUGUGUUAUACCCGUUAAGUAAUUAUGUGUCUACCAGUCACCUGUCAGAAUCAAAUAAGUCAUUUGUGCAUCAAUUAUCUACUGUAUCUAUUCCUAACAGUGUGUAAGAGGCUUUAACUGAUCCACGUUGGCAAGUAGCAAUGAAUGAAGAGUUGAAGUCUUUGAAGAAGAAUGCUACCUGGGAGAUCACAGAUUUGCCAGCUGGCAAGAAACCUGUGGGAUGCAAAUAGGUCUAUACUGUGAAAUACAAAGCAGAUGGGACGGUGGAUCGUUUCAAGGCAAGACUGGUAGCAAAAGGAUAUACUCAAAAAUAUGGAAUCGACUACACAGAUACAUUUGCAGGAGUAGCCAAGAUCAACACAGUUCGUGUUUUGUUGUCCUUGGCUGCAAAUCUUAAUUGGCCUUUACAACAGUUCGAUGUGAAGAACGCCUUCUUGCAUGGAGACUUGACAGAAUAAAUUUAUAUGGAUCUUCCACCGGGAUGUAAUGCUCCAGAUAAAUACAAAAGAAAAGUGUGCAGAUUGAAGAAAUCUUUGUAUGUCUUGAAGCAGUCCCCUCGAGCAUGGUUUGGAAGAUUCACAAAAUCUAUGAAAGCAUUUGGUUACAGACAAAGUAACUCUGAUCAUACUUUGUUCCUGAAAAGACAGAAUGGGAAGCUUACUGCACUUAUUGUGUAUGUAGACGAUAUGGUGGUAACAGGUAAUGAUCCGGAAGAACGUGCGGCCUUGCAAAGAUACCUGUCUACAGAAUUUGAAAUGAAUGACCUUGGAUCCCUGAAAUAUUUUUUAGGGAUUGAGGUGUCGAGAAGCAGUUCUGGAAUUUUCUUGUCUCAGAGGAAGUAUAUUAUUGAUUUGUUGCACGAAACUGACAUGUCAGCUUGUCAGCCAGUAGCUACACCAUUAGAAGAAGGAUUGAAGCUUAGUGUUGAUCCUAAUCAAGUACCAAUUGACAAAGGAAGAUACCAAAGGUUAGUAGGCCGUUUGAUGUAUUUGGCACACACAAGACUGGACCUUGCUUAUGCCUUGAGUGUAGUGAGUAAAUACAUGCAUGAUCCUGGAGAACAACAUAUGAAUGCCGUGACGAGAAUAUUGCGAUAUUUGAAGGGAAGUCCGGGCAAAGGAAUUUUGUUUAAGAGGAAUAAUCACUUUAGUGUUGAAGGUUAUACUGAUGCAGACUGGGCAGGUUCCAUUGAUGAUAGACGCUCAACAUCAGGUUACUUUACGUUUGUUGGGGGUAACUUGGUUACAUGGAGAAGUAAGAAACAGAAUGUGGUUGCCCGUUCCAGUGCAGAAGCAGAAUACAGAGGUAUGGCUUUGGGGAUUUGUGAAAUUUUGUGGCUUAAGCUUCUGUUAAGCGAUUUGGGUAUACAACAUGAUCAGCCCAUGAAAUUAUUUUGUGAUAAUAAAGAUGCUCGUGACAUUGCACAUAAUCCGGUACAACAUGAUAGAACAAAGCAUGUUGAAGUUGAUUGGUUCUUCAUCAAAGAAAAAUUGGAAGGGAAAAUAAUUGAAGUACCAGCGAUAAGAACAGAAGAUCAGUUGGCAGAUAUCCUCACAAAAGCUGUUUCGAGUCACAAGUUUUCAAGUUUCUUACACAAGUUAGGCAUGAUCGACAUAUAUUCACCAACUUGAGGGAGAGUGUUGACUUUUGUAUUUUAGGUAGGAUCCCUAAUUGAUAUGUAAUCCCAUGUAAUCACUUGUAAUUAGUUUUUCUUUCCUUUUAUGUUAGGGUUGUACACCUAUAAGUUCCUCUUAUUGAGAAGAAUAUAUCAUCAUUCAAAGCAUUCUCUUCUUAUAUUCGAUCCCUUGACUCCAAGAGAAAUCUUGUACAUAGUCUUGAUAGUUAAGGGAGACUUCCUUAUUUGGAAUAAAUGUAUUUAUCAAGAGAGUCAUUAGGUAUGAAGUCAUAUAUUAGAGCGCUCUUUGAUCCCUCGACACAAUAUCCAAAAAGUUGCACCACAUUGGCACGGUGAAUCCUUCCGAUUGUAGCUAUUUCGCUAAUGAAAUCUUGGCCAUCAGCUUUGGGCUUGCCCAAAACUUUAACUGCUACAAAUCGGCCACUGCGUAGCUUUCCUUUAAAUACAAAGCCAAAGGCACCUUCGCUCAACUUGUCCUUAAACCUGCAAGUCAUUUUCUUGAUGUUCGAGUAAGAGUACCUUAUAGGCAUGAAGUUAUUGCAUUGCAAAAAAUCUUCUAUUGUGCUAUACAUUGAUAAAUGUCUUUUGCGCCAUGUAGAUUAAAAAUGCAGUCACAACUACAACUCCAAAAACAAAUCUGGCUAGGAAAAAUAACCCUGCAUGCAUUGACAUUAGUAUGUUAGAUCCACUGUACUACUUUUUCUUCCCUUUCUUUCCAAAUUACUUUGUCUUUGAUGUAAUUAAAGAGAGAAUGGGAAAUCUACAUAUGCUGAUAAUACAAUCUCGUAUUAGUUCUUACCGAUGCAUAUGAGUAUAAACCAUCCACGUACUGCAACAUAAUUAAUCGACAAUGAGUUUCAAAAGUGCAUAAAGUGAAGAAAAAAAAAUUUGAAAAAAAUCAAAGGGUGCCUCUAUUGACACCCAAAUUUUAGUUAGUUUCACUCAACUAAAAAAAAAAUUCAUCGAACUUUUUAAUUUGCCUUCGAAAUUGAGUUCACCCAACCCACCAACCAGCAAGCACCACUCAACCAAAAAAUGAACAACACAAAGAGCUGGCAUCGACGCUGUCGAUGAAGGAGGGACAUGAGGAUGGUGUAGUUUCGUCUGGCGCGCGGUAGUGGUUUUGUCUGUUCAUUUUCUCUUUCUUUUGGUAGGUGGAGGCUGGUGUGGAUUUGGGCGAACUUAAAAAUGAGGGGAAACUAUGAAGUUUGACAAAAUGUUUUAGUUAGGUGAACUUAACUAAAAUUUGGGUGCUAAAAAAGGUACCCAAAAUCAAAAGGCUUUUGUUUACCCAAUGCUAUGUACAGGUUUGACUUUUGUUUAUAUUCUUGGAUCUGUUGCUUGGUUGUAUAAUUUGGAUGUGGUUUUGUUUCAAGAUAAUUUGUUCUUCGUUUCUUGAGGCUUUUGUGUGUAGAUUUGAAACCGUUUAGCUUUCAAGCCGUUUAUACUCAAGGUAAAUAAUUUCGUUUUUUUCUUUUUAACCUUUUUUGUAAGAAUUUUUUAUUUAAUUUUGUGAGAGUUGUGUUUUCUAUAGUAUGAAAAUUGAAUCUUUGUGAUCUUAUAUCCUUAGAUAUGUUGCUUGGUUAUAUGAUUUGGCUGUGUGCAUUGUUUCAGGACAAUUUGUUCUUCGUUUUUGGGGCUUCUGUGCGUAGUUUUGAAGCCUUUUGUAGUCAACAUAAAUAAUUUUAUUUUUCUUUGUUUCUAGUCUUCUUUGUAAGAAUUUCUUAGUUAAUAUUUUGAGAAUUAUGUUUACUAUAGUAUGAAAACUGAAUCUUUGUGAUCUUCUAAGUGAUGUAACGUCAUUGCACCAUGUAUGACUGCCAUUAUCGAACAUGAAAAGCUUUUUUAUUUCUGUACUCCGUCCUUUCAUACGAUCUGCCUCAAAAAUGGUUUCAUUACAAGUUCUAACAUGAUUUUUGCGAUGUCUUAUGAAAAAACAAUGUCCACCAAAACAAUAGGAAAACGUCGCCGUCUGCUCUUCUUGGCUGAGCUUCAUGACUGGCCGAAUUCCCCUAUUCCCUUCCUCUUAUACUUUUUUGUAUUCGUUCACCAAAACAAUAGGAAAACGUCGCCGUCCGUUUGAUUGACGGCGAAAGAAAAAGACAGAGAAUAAAAGCCUGACGGAAUAUUGCGAUUUGAGAAAAAAAAGAAAGAACCACGUUGACAUAAUAUACUCACAAUAGGUGUACAAGGUUAAUAAAGCUUUACUGUGGUUCCAUUUUUUUGCAUACUUCAAAGGCUCUGAAUUGCUAAUGGAAUUAGCCUUUAGUUUUAGGAAGAAACUUGGAACCCCCUCCGUCCGUUCUAUCCCCAAUGGAAUUAACACUUGGAUAGUACUAUGACAAUGUGUCAUUAUUUGAUGCAUACCUGUAUAAAUUUAGGCUAAGUGUUUUAUACACAAAUUGGUACAGAUUAAGCUUCUGGGAGCAAAAUCAUAUACGGGAGAGCUAACUAUACAAUGAUACAUUCUUAUCUGUUAAUUAUCUUUGGUUACCAGCUAUCCAUGUUGCUGACAUAUUAAAUUACACAACAUCUAUUGUAAUUUAUGUCUUAUUAGUAACAUAAUGAUCUGGUUUCAAUUUGCUACAGGCAUUAUUUCCUGACAAUAGCUAUGGUUUUGAUUAUAGCUGUGACUGAAAAAUUAUUCCGAAACUAACAUUUGAGGAAUUCAAGGUUUGUUAGUUAAUUUGUACAUCAGAAUACCAUGACAAACUGUGAAGUUGUAAUUGUUGACCUUACAAUGUAUCUUUUUUGGUUUGGAGCAUUAGACUUAUAUGUGCUACUUUCACUUCAUGAAGGCUAACUCUUUAUUUUAGGCCUUAGAAUAUAAUUUCUUGGAGAAUCUACAUUGUUGUUGAUAAUUUUUUGAACAAUAUUAUCCCCAAAAUUUCUCCGCAUGUUACCCUCAACGUAGACAUCAUAUAACCAUCAUUGAACUUCUGAACCAAAAAUUUGAGUUUUGUGAUUAUAACUAAACAUCUAUAAACACAUGAUACAGAUUGAGACGAACGUCAAAUUUAAAAUGGCAUUAAUCAGGACAGCUGCAAACUCUGAUUUGCGGCCUUUGAAAUGGAGAAGUUACUUCUUGCUUCACUUCAGCAGCAUAGUCCAGCUUCUAAAUUCAGUUCUCAGGUAUGAGGUUUCUCAGUUACCUCUUUUUUGUAAUAAAACAUUUGACCAGUACUUGCCAGGAUAUCCAAUUAAUUAGGUCAGUUUUUGUCAGCCGUAAUAAUUUGUUUUUGCAACUUUAUAUGUGUCUCUGUCUCCAAAUGAUGAUCUCUUAAUUUGCUUCUAUAGCUUUUGUAAUAUGAUGAUCUCUUAAUUUGCUUUUGCAUAUCUUCUUUGCUUCCUCUGCUAGCUCUAUAUGAGAUUCCAUCUCCAAAUAAUUAUUAUUAUUUCCUAUUUUUACAGGAAGCAAAUCAUUGAAUACACAUGGAAAAUUAAAAGGGUUUUAGUUUUUGGAUUAGUUUAAAUUUUUUGUUUGUUAUUGCUUGUAUUGCUGUUAAAUAUUUGAUGGGUAGUUUGAAAUGGGGAACUUGGUUGAUCGAGUAUUAACUUUUAUUAAAUUAAUAUUCUUAUUCAAUAUUGAAUUAAGACUCCUCUUAUUAAAUUAAGACUCUUAAGGCUCUAAUCUAAUUUUCAUGCUCAACAUCUCCUCUAUCUUUCUACAAUUGGUAAAACUUUUGUAUUAUUAUUCCAAUUUUGGUUACUGGGUUGUGGAAUUUUCCAUUUUUUUCUGGGUAAUCAAUACUAUAUAUAUGCAUGAAAAGUAUAAACAAUAUUUUGGGUCAAAUUUAGUUGUUUAAUUUUUUAUUUUUUUUGUGACAGUGAGAUUAUGGUAGGAUUUCGUUUAGAUUCCGUGGCCCAAUGGGAGUCUCUGCUUUGAUAAGAUUGGGGUUGAUGCCAAGAAAGCCUUUCUACUGUGGACGCCGCAGCCGCCUAGCGCUGUUUUCCAAAAUCCUCUCUCACUUGGGUAAGCAAUUACGACUUUUUGGUUCAGUUUUUAUUAUGCCCAAUUUUGUAUUUAAACUGAUUUGGGGUUACUGAAAUAGGCAUGCUUGAUGAGUGCUGCAGAGCUGCCAUCCCUGAAUCAGAAGAUGUUCAGAAGGAAGAAGGAAGAACAAGAAGAAAAAGAAGAAGAAAGUCGUGGAAUAUCAAAAGCUUUUAGCUUUGUGAAGGUAUGCUUUUUCCCAACUCAUCUCUUGCUUUUGUUGCACUGAAUUGGUAGAUUGGGUUCAAAAUAUAUAUAUAUGUGAUUUUUUGUGUAACUAUUCUUUACAUAAUUACCAAUUGGAGGUGAUUUGAGAUCAUGUAACAUUUCCUCGCCAGAACCGAAGAUUGCCGUCGCUCAAAGCUGCGUUUCAUGAAACAAGUUCAUCUCCUGCCAAUUUUGUGUACCCACUUUUUAUUCAUGAGGGUUGGUGCUUGCUUGCAACAUAAUUUGGUGCUAUUAAGUUUUGCGGUUUUACAAUCUGUUCAUGCUUAAACCUCUUUCAAAUUUUCAUUUCUGUGUAAAUCUAGCAGGUAGGUCGACACACCUAUCUGGGCAAUGUCGGGAUGUCUAGGCUUGGGUGGAGACAUGGACUUAUGAAAGAGGUGAAGUAGCUUAGUUCGAUCUCAUUAGCUCUUAUCUAAAAAGUUCUAUUGAUUUUAUAAUCAAAGAUACAUAUAUUAUAGAAACAUAGGGUAUAUCAUUAAUUUCUUGAUGUAAACAAUUAUAACUUGAGCAACCAUUUAAAGUAUUUUGGUAAUCAGCAUACUUAAACUUAAAUGUGAUAUAUCCGUUUAGUUUUUUUUUUUAUACAGUGAUAAUACUCAAGUAUAAUUUACAUCAUAUAUCUUUUGAAGUACAUGAAACUAUGAAGAAAAUGAUAAACCAAAUCCCAUUCCAUCUCCGUUUGCUACUGCACAAUCACAAUCCAAUUCCAACAUGGAAUCCUCAGACGACAUGCCUACUGCAGAACAAGUUUCAUCUUGACUUAACUUCUAUUUAGUCCACUUCUUGUUUAGAUUGUAAUCCUAGUUCUACGUGUGUUUGUAUAGUACUCCUAUAAAUAUCAAUGAACAUCGCUCACUCUAAUUAAGAGUUGAGAUUCUGCAAAUCAUAUUUACUAUCUUUCAUGGUAUCACGAGCCAGGGUCUAACGACAACAGUUCAUGUUAUAAUUUUUUUCUCUUCUGCAGAUCCUAAACUAUGGCAUCUUCUUCCUCCUCCGCUGCUCCCUCCGUCUCAAAUUUUCUUACGAUUAAGCUCGACCGCAACAACUACCCUCUUUGGCGUGCUCAAUUUCUUCCCUUGCUGCGCAGCCGCAACUUACUCUCUUAUGUUACUGGCGAAACUCAAUGCCCCUCUGCCUUUCUUCUUGAUGACAAUGGUAAAUUCACAGACAAAGUCAAUCCAUUAUAUAAUGAAUGGAUCCAGACUGACGAGAUGAUCCUAUCUUGGAUUACGAGUUCUCUUACUCCCAAGGUUCUUGCUACGAUCGUCAACAAAAUUGAUAAAGCCUCUGCUUGGUCGUCAAACCCGAAUUAAUCUGAUUAUGGGGGUUUUGUUUUAUAUCAAUAUAUUGCAGCAGAAGUCGCACUUUGAAGAGUUCGUGCUGCACAGAAAGAUGAUGAAAUGCUACCUGUUGAGUCUAUCAUUGCUCCAUUGGAGACAGAGCUGAAGCUUGCUGCAGGAGUUAUACAUUUGUUAUGCAAUAUGACCCCUUUAAUUUUAUUUUAAAACUGAUACAAAAAUACUACAAAAAUUUAUGUAGUAUUUUUGUAUCAGUUUUGAGUGUCUAUUUUGGCUUCCAUAUUUCGUCUGUACAUGUGAGAGGUAUAGUGUUCAAUAUGUAUUUGGUUUCUAUAUUGUUAAUGGAUCUUCUUUUUUUUCUUUUUUUUUCUUUUUUUUUAAAGAUAACCAAGUUGCAGGAUGACAGCAGAACACUUGAUCUGCAGGUAAACCUUCAAUUUCCAUAUGAAGUUUGCAUGUUCGUUGUUUCUGGAAUUUGAGUUUUUAUUAUUUAUCAAUUCUAUCACAUAGAUUACGAUUUCACAUAUGGGAUUAUUAAUGGCAAUUAGAUGAUAGAAGAAUUGGGAUUGGAAGAAGAUAUUGAGUUGUUUAUUUAUGGGGAUUAGAAAAUGAUUAUCAUACGAGUGAUAUUUAUUUUUGUGUGGAUUGUUAAUAUAUAAAACUAUAAGCUUUUGAGAUUGGGAGACAAAACCCACACAUUCAAAUCAGACAAAAUAAAUAAAAAAUUUAACUGACUUAAAGAUCAAACUCCAAAAGGGUAUUAAAAACAAGGCUUAUUUGAUCCAUUGAGUGUGAAAGUUUUGAGCUUUGAAGAAGCAGAGGAGGAGAGUUGUUAACCAAGCUGCAUUAUCCAUGUAUUAGGAUGUUGAAGGUAGGCAGGAAAAUUACUUUUUGACGCCAUAUCCAGAGGAGCAUAACGACAGGCCUGCAUUUUUGCAGCAAUGACCAAAACAAGUAGAAGUGAAGGCUUGACUGUUUGGGUAUUCAUCCUAAACCUAAUUAUUCUUAUUUAGGUUUAGGAUAAAUGAUUGAGUGUGUCUCGAUGAUUGUAUUACUAUGUUUGAUGAAUGAUUUGAGGAGUUGGAAAUGGUUUAUUGCUUAUCUUUUUUUUAGGUGUGUACUUUGGUUAUUUCCGAGCUUUUCAUGACUUUUGAUACCUAAUAGAGAAUAUGGAAACCCCAACUUUAAUUUUAUGAAUUGGUUUUGGUGCCUAAAAUGAAAUCUAGCAUAGUGAAAUCUUGCAUAAUGAAAUUAUGACAAAUUUCCCUUCAUCUUUAGAUUUUCAUUUAAUUCAAUUCGUAUGCAAUUUAGGGUUAUUCAAUUCAUGAGUGAUCAAAUUAUGUUUUUAAUUCCUUCUUUUGAUUUACAGUUCAACAUUGUCGUACAAAAUGAAAAAGGCGCCAGUAACAGAGUUAUGGAUUUGGAUGCCUUUAGUGGAAUAAAACUGAAUUUUUUAACUUUGUAUAGUUGUAAACAUAAAAUACUCCAUGAGAUAGACUCAUAGCUUUUGAAAACAAUCCUUGAGGAUGGCAUAACAACAUCUCCAACUUUUGUCAUGUAAUGUAUGAAUGUCAAUAGCACUUCGUAAACAUAUGGAUGUAAUAUAUGUAUAUAAACACUCUUUAGCAUGUAUAUUUUUCAAAACUUUCUACAUCUUCAACAAUGUUUCAAUGAUUUCUUGAUGUAAACAAUGAUAAUUUGAAGAACCAUUUAAAGUAUUUUGGUAAUCAGCAUACUUAAGCUUAAAUGUGAUAUAUCCGUUUAUUAUUUUUUAUACAGUAAUAAUACUCAAGUAUAAUUUACAUCAUAUAUCUUUUGAAGUACAUGAAACUAUGAAGAAAAAACCCUAAUUAAUCUAAUUAUGGGGGUUUUGUUUUAUAUCAAAAUAUUGCAGCAAAAGUCACACUUUGAAGAGUUCACGCUGCAUAGAAAGACGAUGAAAUGCUAUCUGUUGAGUCCAUCAUUGCUCCAUUGGAGACAGAGCUGAAGCUUGAUGCAGGUGGUAUACUUUUGUUCUGCAAUAUGAUCCCUUUAAUUUUAUUUUAAGAUAGAUAGGGUUGAAAAAAAUUUAUGUAGUAUUUUUUUUUUUCAGUUUUGAGUGUCUAUUUUGGCUUCCAUAUUUGGUCUGUACAUGUGAGGUAUAGAAUGUUCAAUAUGUAUUUGGUUUCUAUAUUGUUAAUGGAUCUAUUUUUUUUUUUAGGUAACCAAGUUGCAGGAUGAAAACAGAACACUUGAUCUGCAGGUAAACCUCCAAUUUCCAUAUGAAGUUUGCAUUUUCGUUAUUUCUGAAAUUUGAGUUUUUACAGGAUGAAAACAGAACACUUGAUUUGCAGGUAAACACUUGAUUGGUUAUUUCCGAGCUUUUCACGACUUUUGAUACCCAAUAGAGAAUAUGGAAACCCCAACUUUAAUUUUAUGAAUUGGUUUUGGUGCCUAAAAUGAAAUCUAGCAUAGUGAAAUCUUGCAUAAUGAAAUUAUGACAAAUUUCCCUUCAUCUUUAGAUUUUCAUUUAAUUCAAUUCGUAUGCAAUUUAGGGUUAUUCAAUUCAUGAGUGAUCAAAUUAUGUUUUUAAUUCCUUCUUCUUUUGAUUUACAGUUCAACAUUGUUGUACAAAAUGAAAAAGGCGCUAGUAACAGAGUUAUGGAUUUGUAUGCCUUUAGUGGAAUAAAACUGAAUUUUUUAACUUUGUAUAGUUGUAAACAUAAAAUACUCCAUGAGAUAGACUCAUAGCUUUUGAAAACAAUCCUUGAGGAUGGCAUAACAACAUCUCCAACUUUUGUCAUGUAAUGUAUGAAUGUAAAUAGCACUUCGUAAACAUAUGGAUGUAAUACAUGUAUAUAAACACUCUUUAGCAUGUAUAUUUUUCAAAACUUUCUACAUCUUCAACAAUGUUUCAAUGAUUUCUUGAUGUAAACAAUGAUAAUUUGAAGAACCAUUUAAAGUAUUUUGGUAAUCAGCAUACUUAAGCUUAAAUGUGAUAUAUCCGUUUAUUAUUUUUUAUACAGUGAUAAUACUCAAGUAUAAUUUACAUCAUAUAUCUUUUGAAGUACAUGAAACUAUGAAGAAAAAACCCUAAUUAAUCUGAUUAUGGGGGUUUUGUUUUAUAUCAAAAUAUUGCAGCAAAAGUCACACUUUGAAGAGUUCACGCUGCAUAGAAAGACGAUGAAAUGCUAUCUGUUGAGUCCAUCAUUGCUCAAUUGGAGACAGAGCUGAAGCUUGAUGCAGGUGGUAUACUUUUGUUCUGCAAUAUGAUCCCUUUAAUUUUAUUUUAAGAUAGAUAGGGUCGAAAAAACUUUAUGUAGUAUUUUUUUUUUUCAGUUUUGAGUGUCUAUUUUGGCUUCCAUAUUUGGUCUGUACAUGUGAGGUAUAGAAUGUUCAAUAUGUAUUUGGUUUCUAUAUUGUUAAUGGAUCUAUUUUUUUUUUUAGGUAACCAAGUUGCAAGAUGAAAACAGAACACUUGAUCUGCAGGUAAACCUCCAAUUUCCAUAUGAAGUUUGCAUUUUCGUUAUUUCUGGAAUUUGAGUUUUUGCAGGAUGAAAACAGAACACUUGAUUUGCAGGUAAACACUUGAUUGGUUAUUUCCGAGCUUUUCACGACUUUUGAUACCCAAUAGAGAAUAUGGAAACCCCAACUUUAAUUUUAUGAAUUGGUUUUGGUGCCUAAAAUGAAAUCUAGCAUAGUGAAAUCUUGCAUAAUGAAAUUAUGACAAAUUUCCCUUCAUCUUUAGAUUUUCAUUUAAUUCAAUUCGUAUGCAAUUUAGGGUUAUUCAAUUCAUGAGUGAUCAAAUUAUGUUUUUAAUUCCUUCUUCUUUUGAUUUACAGUUCAACAUUGUUGUACAAAAUGAAAAAGGCGCUAGUAAUAGAGUUAUGGAUUUGGAUGCCUUUAGUGGAAUAAAACUGAAUUUUUUAACUUUGUAUAGUUGUAAACAUAAAAUACUCCAUGAGAUAGACUCAUAGCUUUUGAAAACAAUCCUUGAGGAUGGCAUAACAACAUCUCCAACUUUUGUCAUGUAAUGUAUGUAAAUAGCACUUCGUAAACAUAUGGAUGUAAUAUAUGUAUAUAAACACUCUUUAGCAUGUAUAAUUUUCAAAACUUUCUACAUCUUCAACAAUGUUUCAAUGAUUUCUUGAUGUAAACAAUGAUAAUUUGAAGAACCAUUUAAAUUAUUUUGGUAAUCAACAUACUUAAGCUUAAAUGUGAUAUAUCCGUUUAGUAUUUUUUAUACAGUGAUAAUACUCGAGUAUAAUUUACACCAUAUAUCUUUUGAAGUACAUGAAACUAUGAAGAAAAAACCCUAAUUAAUCUGGUUAUGGGGGUUUUGUUUUAUAUCAAAAUAUUGUAGUAGAAGUCACACUUUGAAGAGUUCACGUUGCAUAGAAAGACGAUGAAAUGCUAUAUGUUGAGUCCAUCAUUGCUCCAUUGGAGACAGAGCUGAAGCUUGCUGCAGGUGGUAUACUUUUGUUCUGCAAUAUGACCCCUUUAAUUUUAUUUUAAGACAGAUAGGGUUGAAAAAAAUUUAUGUAGUAUUUUUGUAUCAGUUUUGAGUGUCUAUUUUGGCUUCCAUAUUUGGUCUGUACAUGUGAGGUAUAGAGUGUUCAAUAUGUAUUUGGUUUCUAUAUUGUUAAUGGAUCUAUUUUUUUUUUAGGUAACCAAGUUGCAGGAUGAAAACAGAACACUUGAUCUACAUGUAAACCUUCAAUUUCCAUAUGAAGUUUGCAUUUUCGUUGUUUCUGGAAUUUGAGUUUUUGCAGGAUGAAAACAGAACACUUGAUCUGCAGGUAAACACUUGAUUGAUUAUUUCCGAGCUUUUCACGACUUUCGAUACCCAAUAGAGAAUAUGGAAACCCCAACCUUAAUUUUAUGAAUUGGUUUUGGUGCCUAAAAUGAAAUCUAGCAUAGUAAAAUCUUGCAUAAUGAAAUUAUGACAAAUUUCCCUUCAUCUUUACAUUUUCAUUUAGUUCAAUUUGUACGCAGUUUAGGGUUAUUCAAUUCAUGAGUGAUCAAAUUAUGUUUUUAAUUCCUUCUUUUGAUUUUCAGUUCAGCAUUAUCGUAUUUUGGAUGCCUUUAGUGGAAUAAAACUUAAUUUUUUUAACUAUGUAUAGUUGUAAACAUAAAAUACUCCAUGAGAUAGACUCAUAGCUUUUAAAAACAAUCUUUGAGGAUGGCAUAACAACAUCUCCAACUUUUGUCAUGUAAUGUAUGAAUGUAAAUAGCACUUUGCAAACAUAUGGAUGUAAUAUAUGUAUUUAAACACCACUCUUUAGCAUAUAUAUUUUUCAAAACUUUCUACAUCUUCAACAAUGUUUGAAGCCCCGCAACAAUGGGCGGGUACACUUGCUAGUAUACAUCUAAAAUUAUAAGACUAAAUCCUUUAGUUCUUGGAUUCAUCUAAGAACUACUUAUUCCAGCAGAUGUUAUGCUUGCACUACUAGAAUUUAUGGCUUGCCCUGUCAACUAUUGCGCGACAGAAGACUUCGUCGGUUUCACCUUUUUUAACCGACAUAAUAUAAGUUUAGUAGGGCAAAAUCAGUCAACAAACUGGGUUGACUGAAUAGAUUUACAGGAUGUCUAGAGUUCGUAGGUUAAGACAUCAGUCGUUGGGCAAACAUUUGGAGCGAAGAUGUGAGUGUUUUAACUGACGAAUAAGCUGGUCGUCAUGUAGAUCUUCUUUCCCGACUGAUGGUUCAACGAGUAGCUCUUUGGAUAACAAUUCAUCUUCAAGGGGAACAGGUUGCCCCUCAAAUGAAUGGUUAGAGGCAAUUGUGAGACUAUAAUUUUCUAGGGCCGGAAUAUCUAUAACCAUCCACCAAAUACCCCUUCUUCCCUUUCUAUUUCUCUCUCAGUAAUUUCCCCUGACCGAAUCACACAAUCCAACCAACUCUCUUUAAGCCUCACUCAUCGAUUCCAUGGAUUUCAUGGACUUAUCCCACCCUCUCUCCUUCCCCCUAUAUAUAGCAAGUCCCCUUGCCUCAGUGUCCCUGGCAACAAAAUUUAUGGCGUGUAUUCGGUCUUUCAAUUAUUUGAAAGCUUCCCUGCCUUGCAGUCUUGUACAAAGGCGUAUGGUGUUUCAUUAGUUCCAUUUGGUGGUUGGGUGGGAAAUGAAAUUAAAACACUGCAUUUCCAAUGGUCUAAACCAAAUUGAAUCAAAUGUGAAGCAAAGGGCAAGAAGUGUAGAUUGAAGAACAAUGGCACCAAGAGCGAAAUUGAACUUGUUGACAGGAGGAAACCAAGUAAGGAUAACGCGUCUAAAUCUUAUUUCGAAUCCAUUCAGCUCAUGAUGUUUUUAAUGAUGAUGAUCGGUAUACUUUGCUACAUGCUGUGAUUUUUCCGCUUUCAUGUAAUUAACGGCUUAUAUUUGUGGUAACGAUAUUGAUUAAUUUUGAGAAAUGACAGUCUAAUUUUUGCAACUGUCUUUUGCAGGCAAAACAAAGACGUUUGCAAGGGUGAGUUAUGUAGGACCAAUGUUUAGCUUUGUUUCAUGUCCAAAUGACACUUGAGAAUAAAUGUUUACUCAUGGAUAAUAUCUAUCUAUUUGCAGGAGCAACCCUGGGUUUAUUUGUUCUUUUACUACUGGUCAUUGCCGCAUAUCACGCCUAUAGCACUGACAAAAGUAAAAAGAAAAUCGAAUGAAAUUUGGUAAGUUUUCAGCGGACUACAAAGAUCUUAAGCCAAGCAUAUAUUCCCAUUCAGAUAUUAAGAGGUUUACAAAUCAAUUCAAGUACAAGUUGGGCCAAGGAGCAUACAUAAUUGUUUUUAAAGGAUAGUUUUUUUCUGAAUGCUUUGUUGCCAUGAAAGUACUUAACAUUUCCAAGGGUGACGGGGAAGAGCUUGUAAAUGAAGUGGGGAACAAUGGGCCAUAUUCACCAUGUCAAUGUGGUUCACUUGGUUGGUUUUUGUGCUGAUGGAUUUAGAUGAGCUCUGGUUUAUGAGUUCUUUUCCUUUGGUUCACUCCAGGAUUAUAUUUCAUCAGUAGAUAGAUUUCUUUCCUUGGUUGGCAUAAGUUGCAAGAUAUUGCUAUCAGCAUAGCCAAAGGAACCAGGGAUGUGAUCUACAAAUCCUCCAUUUCGAUAUCAAACCCCAUAAUGUUUUGCUCGACCAAAAAAUCACGCCAAAAAUCUCUGAUUUUGGUCUGGCCAAGUUAUGUUCCAAGGAUCAAUCAAUGUGACUAAAGCAAGGGGGACCAUGUGACUAAAGUACCCGAAGUGUUUUCCAGGAAUUUCGGAAAUGUGUCUUACAAGGCAGAUGUCUUGAAUGCUGCUGCUUGAGAUGGUAGGAGAAAAGAAGAAUAUUGGUUCAACUAGAGGACACAACAAAUGAAAUCUACUAUCCAAAAUGGAUUUAUAAUCUUCUAGAGGAAGGAAAUGACCAACAGAUCCCUAUUGAGGAAGAAUGUUAUGGUAAGAUUCCAAAGCAACUUGCAAGUUUAGGGCUCUGGUGCAGCCAGUGACACUCGGUGGAUCGGCAGUCCAUGAAAACGGUGGUUCGGAUGUUAGGAGGAGGAGAAAACUUGAUGAUGCAAGCAAUCCUAAAAGCCUCAUACAGUUAGAAGUAAUUGCUGAAUUAGAGUAACAUAUGUAUAUGUAUACGCACCAACACUAGUCGUUCUUAGAUGAAUCCAAGCCAAACAAUUACAGACAACAGUUAUUCACUAAAUCACUUUAAGGCAAGAAUUUAAUUAAUAAUACAUUACUGCACUUUCUUAACCAUUUGACCAUCACCUAGCAGACAAUGAACACGUUAGCUCCGCGUUAGAACAUCUUGGGUUCAAUUCAUUGUCUUGAAUAUCACCCUCUGUCACAGGCGUCUCUAGGGGGCAUAGAGAAGGCCUGAGAGGCAUUUGCAGACAUUCAACAUCACCUCCAAGCAUUUUGACAACUUUGGACAUCGAAGGGCGAUCACUUGGUUUCAUUUGAAUACACCAUAAGGCGGUUAUAACCAUCCUUCUUAUUACUUUCUUUUCCUCCUCUGUAACAUUGUCCGUUUCCAAGUUAUUUCCCACAAUAUACUGAUCGUAUACCCACAUUGGGAAGUAGAUUUGGCUUGAAUGCUCUACCGUUGGAUUCAAAUUCUUCCUUCUGCUUGCCAUCUCCAUCAACAACAUUCCAAAACUAUAGACAUCUGACUUGUAUGAGACACCUCCAAUAUUUUUGUAGAACAACUCAGGAGCAAUAUAUCCCAGUGUACCUCGUGCUGCCGUCAAAGAGACAAUGCUAUUAUCUACAGGAUACAAUUUUGCAAGCCCAAAGUCAGAAACCUUUGCUUUAAAGUUCUCAUCAAGAAGGAUGUUAUGAGGCUUGAUGUCGAAAUGUAGAAUUUGCAUUUCGCAACCUUGGUGUAGAUAUUCGAUCCCUUGAGCCACUCCAAGAGAAAUCUUGUACAUGUUCUUGAUAGUUAAGGGGACACUUCCUUCUUUGGAAUAAAUGUAUUUAUCAAGAGAACCAUUAGGCAUGAAGUCAUAUACUAGAGCGCGUUUUGAUCCCUCAACACAGUAUCCAACAAGUUGCACCACAUUGGCAUGGUGAAUCCUUCCGAUUGUAGCUAUUUCGCUAAUGAAAUCUUGGCCAUCAGCUUUGGGCUUGCCCAAAACUUUGAUUGCUACAAAUCGACCACUGCGUAGCUUUCCCUUAAAUACAGAGCCAAAGCCACCUUCGCCCAACUUGUCCUUAAAUCUGCGAGUCAUUUUCUUGACGUCCGAGUAGGAGUACCUUAUAGGCAUGAAGUUGUUAUUGCAUUGCAGAAAAUCUUCUAUUGUGCUAUACAUUGAUAAAUGUCUUCUGCGCCAUGUGUAGAUUAGAAAUGCAGUCACAACUGGAACUCCAAAAACAAAUCUGGCUGGGAAAAAUAACCCUGCAUGCAUUGACAUUAAUACGUUAGAUCCACUGUGUACUACUUUUUCUUCCCUUUCUUUCCAAAUUACUUUGUCUUUGAUGUAAUUAAAGAGAAAGAAUGGGAAAUCUACAUAUGUUGAUAAUACAAUCUCGUCUUAGUCCUUACCGAUGCAUAUGAGUAUAAACCAUCUACGUGCUGUAACAAAAUCAAUCGACUAUGAGUUUGAAAAGUGCAUAAAGUGAAAAAUAAAUAAAUAAAUAAAAUCAAAGGGUGCCUUUAUUGACACCCAAAUUUUAGUUAGCUUUACUCAACUAAAAAAAUUUUGUCAAACUUUUUAAUUUGCCGUCGAAAUUGAGUUCACCCAACCCACAAAGCAACAACUACCACUCACCAAAAAAACCAACAACACACAUCCACCAGUACCACUCACCAAUAGAAAGAGAAGGAACACACAGACCCACCAAGGAGCCGGCAUCGACGCAUCUACGAGGGAGGGACCGGAGGGUGGUGUAGUUUUGUUGGGCGCGCGGUAGUUGUUUUGUCUGUUCAUUUUCUCUUUCUUUUGGUAGGUGGAGGCUGCUGUGGAUUUGGGCGAACUUAAAAAUGAGGGGAAACUAUGAAGUUUGACAAAAUGUUUUAGUUAGGGGAACUUAACUAAAAUUUGGGUGCCGAUAAAGAUACCCAAUAUAAAAAAUACUUGAGCGUAUAGACUAAUUAAAUGAAGUUGAUCUUACCGAUCGGGUGGCUGUAUGAUGAAUACAACUUGCCAGCUGCAAUAGAUACCACAGAAAAGUGAGCAAAGACAUACAGUUACUAGGUUUAAGAAGUACAGAUAGAGCACACAAAAAUAAAAGAAGCUUUUGGAGAGAAACUUCUUACGCAAAUAUAUGUAUUCAUGACCUACAGUGAAAAUUGUGAAGAAGAAUACACAACAUUAGCAAUAGCUCACCCAGUCUUCAGAAUUUAAAAAAAUCAAGUUUGUCGAUCGAAAACUUGUAAAUAAAACAAAAAGAGGACCCCUUACUGAUUUGUUGCCAUAGAUAUUGAAAGAAACCUACAAGAACAAAGAAAGAACAAGACCACAUGCAUUAGCAUAACAAGUGUGAGGUGUAUAAGUCGUUAGAAAAUAAAUUUAGAAUUCUAGUGCUGUCAAUACAUUGAUAAUAUAAUAUAUAUGUGUUAUUUUUUCUGAAAAUUUAACUUUCCCCCUCCAAACUCAUUUUUCUAGCCUCUAGCCCAUCAUAUAAUAUUUAUCCGAAUAAAACCCAAUGAUUAGGAUCCAACUAAGAAACUUACCAAAUUAAGUUUGUGUGUCCAUUUUUAUAUUUUUUGGAUCGCUAAUAUACCCCAUCUAAGCCAGUAUGGAAAGUUCUUGUAAUUUUGUUUUAAUUGAUCACGUGCAUUGAAUUUGGCAAGGUCUUGUAGCCAUGAAAAAUGGUUCUAGAUGGAGGAAUUAAUUGGGAUUUUUUUUUUAAUUUUGACAACAAAUUUCAAUUUGAAUAUACCUAAUUUAGUGUUUAUUUUCAACAAUAUCUAUUGUUUAAUUUUAUGAAAAUAAUUUACCUACUAUGAAAAUUAAUUUUAUGAAAACAAUAUCUAUUGUUUAAUUUUAUACCUAUAGGAUAAUUACAUGAAAAUAGUUUACCUACUAUGAAAAUUAAUUUUUUCAAAACAAUAUCUAUUGUUUAAUUUUAUGAAAAUAAUUUACCUACUGUAUAAUUACAUGAAAACUAAUGUGCCUAUUUUUUAAAUUUGUUACAAAAUUAAUUUACCUACUCUUUAUGGUAUUAGUAAUAUAUGUCCGUACGUAUUUGAUCUAAUUAGGUUUUGGAUUGGAGGAGUUGACACAAAAUUAUAAAUAUAUUAAACAAAUUUAUCUAUCCUUAAGUUGGAGGGGAAUUGGCCUGCACAUUGCUACGGUAAACAAAUGCCACUCGAUUUCACGUUAUUUACAACAAAGCUAUCAGAUUUGGGUUGGGUUGGAGGGUAAUUUUGUGCAUAGGGUUUAGGUGCCCUCCUAUAUAUGACCCUUGAUUUUACUUUAUUUACACCACUGCCAUCAAAUAUGUGGCUGAAUUGGAGGGUAUUAUUAAAAGUUAGGAGGAUAGUUUUGUCCAAGGGGUGGGGGCGACAUUCGCAGACAGGGGGCGAUGGGAGCCAUGCCCAUUGCACAGAAACAAAGGGAGUGAUGGGGGAAAUUACAGACAGAAAAGGAAGGGAUGGGGGGAUUUGAUGGGUGGUCACAGAGAGAUUGGGUGAGGGAUGUGAGGGGACAUUACAGAGAGAUAAAUAAAAGGGAGGGAUCGGGUGAUUUGAGGGAUGGUCAGAGAGAGAAAUAGUGAGGGGGAUGUGGGGCUGAUUUUCGGUUCCUCCUUCCAGAUUUGUUCCGUAAAACCUGUUGGGUACAAUUCAAUCCCUCCCCCUUUCCCCUGAACGAAAAAUUCGAAACCUACAACUCAAAACUCACUCAUUUGUCGCCCCUCCUUGGCUUUCCGCUUUAUUCAUCUCCCGGUGUUUCUUUCUCUCCAUACGAUUCGAUUUCGGUGAGUUCUUCGUUGCCCUCAUGAUUUCCCAGUUUGAUUUUUUGAGCGUCCUUAGUCGUUGUUUUUAUCUGGGUUUACUGCGUUGUUGCUUUUAGUUUCUGGAUUUUUAUUUUUUCCGCGGUUGGAUGAAUCGUGGUUAAUAAUUUCACACCAUGGGAUUUUCGCACUUCUGAUGGAAUUGAGCGCGGGGAUUCGGGGUGGGGUUUUACUGAUAAUUUGUCUUCAUUCAAAUGAAUGGUUAAAAUUUCUGAAGUGAGUGUGCAGGUGGGCCCGUUCACUAACUAAGCUUUCAAGGGAACCCAUCAACGGUUUGUUUGCUGGGGGAAUUCGGAGACUACCAGUGUAUGAUUUAGUUAUCAUUUAUUUUUUUACUUAAUUUUAUCCAUAUAUAAUAUGUGGGUAAAUUUAUACUAAACAAUUGUGAUAAGCCAAUAUGCCAUACGACUUUGAAAGCAUUGAUUUUGUGUUUAGUUUGCAUUUUUGCAUUGUGAAUGUUGAAUUUUGUAUUUAAUUUGGAUUUUGUGUUUGAAUUUGUAGCAUGAUCUUCCGCUGCAGCAUCCAAAUUUUGCAUUUGUAAAUUGUCAAAGAAAAACGAAGUAUGAGGAAAUUAUAGGAGAUUGUGUCGGCUUUGGCCAUGAAGGGUAUCAGCAGCUUGUUCCCCCAUACAGGUGAUUAAUCGUUUUUCAGUCUCUGUUCUAUUUGGAUGAGAAAGUGAUUGAAAAAUAUGAUUUUUUAUUUGUUGGUUGAUUUUGUAUGGACGAUGUAUUAAUUUUAUUUUUUUUGGGAUUUUGUGUAUUGGGUAUUGUGUAGAACCAGCAAUGCAAGAGCAGGAUCUGAUCAGUCACGCCCGAAAAGGGGUUUGUUUCUCAAAUCACAUUAAUUAAUUAGAUUAUUAACGUGCGUUGGAAGGCUCUUCAAUAUGAUUUCUAAUUUCUCCUUUCCAGCAUUCUCUUUUUGGUUUUUGGAGUAUGUAUGUGAUUUGUAUUUUUUUAUAGAAUAAAAAUUAAUAAAACACGAGAUGCAGCAAUUAAUUUGCAUCCUUAUGACAACACAUAUGAAAGUGCAUUCAAUUUCAAUGUGCGAAUGUGUGACAGGAUGUGCCUGCCUCCUUGAAAACACUUUAUGUGAACAAGUGUGAGGUUCUACAUAAAAACAGGGCCAGUAAUACCCUGAACGUGGAAUCCUUACGAGGAUCUCUUGAAAAACUGACAAUAAAUGGAUGCCCGGGUCUCUCAUUGUUACUAGAGUCGACGGAGACGCUGCCGUCGCUUCAGAAGCUUGAUAUUGAUAGUGUUGGUGGGAAAGAGUUGUUGGCGCAAAUGGUGCACAACAGCAAUCGUCUUCAAAGUUUGACUUUAUAUAAAUGUUACUCACCCUUGUCGUUCCCUACAAAUGGUCUGCCCACCACGCUGACGUCACUGAGCAUAACAGAUUGCAAGAAAUUAGAAUUCCUAUCACGUGAGAUGAUGGCCAAAUUGACUUCCCUUCGGUCUUUGCGUCUAUCCAACAGCUGUGAACGCAAAGGCUUGAGUAUUUGCAGUUUAGUUUUUUUUUUCUUCAUUUUAGAGAUUUUUCUACUGUUUGGUUUUUGGGUUUUGUCUAAUUUUUGUGGUCUGCUUUAUAGAUUGUUCUCUUUGGAAGCUUCUUUCCAGCCUUGACCUUCUUCUUGCCUGGUGCCUUCUCAUUGAGUAUUGGAGGAGCAUUAAAACACAGGUGUGUGUGUGUUUUGUCGACGUAAGAGAUGAACGACAUAAAAACAUCCAUCUCUGUAUUUUUUUGUGCUUUUUCUAACCCAUCAAUUUCUUUUGAGUCAACCAAAUAGUCCCAAAUUGCAACUUAUGUUGUGAGGUAUUAUUGUCUAAAAUUAAGUAUGCAUGUAUAUUUUAUGUUUAUGCCCGCGCACACCUCCGCAUGGUGUUAAUCUCUGUGGGUCAUCUAUGUAUAUGUAGAUAUAUCUAUAUGUGUAUGUGUGGAAUGCAACAUAUCGGAUUUAGGUUAUACUGUGCAUAGUUUUAUUGCCUGUUAUUAUCUACGAUAUCACUAUGCCAUUUCUAUACUGGCUCUGAAAGUUAUUCAUGAGCUUAUAAGCACUUACCAUAAUUUAAGCAGUCUGUUUUGGGUUCUUUUUCAUUAGGUCAUUAGCUACAGAUUAAUGGAGAAACGAGGACCAUGCCACUGAUUUGGGUUCUUUUUCUAAUUUUCUGAUUUUGGGGUUUUGCAGGGAGUACUGAUGUACUGAUUUUCUGGGAUUUUUUUUUGUCCUUGCAGGAUUUUUGGUCUUUGAAAUGGGUAUGUGUUGUUUUUAAUGUUUCAGUUCUAGCGUGUUCCGUUCUUCGUUGCUUCGUGAUUCUCAUUUUUCAGUGUUGGGUGAUGGAAAUUUGUUAAAGUAGUUGGUAGUUUUUUGAGAAAGUUGGCAUUUUUAGUUAUAUUUUCUGUUUAAUCCUAAAUGUAAGACUGGAAAAUCAUUGAAAUGAUGGUUUUUUAAAAACUCAUAAUUUUUUUGUUCUGGGAUUUAAAAGCAUCUUUUCCAGAUUGGUUACAAGGGUUAUGUUCUCUUCAAUUGGUUCACCUAAUUUUGAUUAGUUUUAAGUUUUGUCCUUUUAAGUUUGUCUUUUAAGUUUUGUUCUUUAAGUUUUGUCUUUUAAGUUUUGUUCUCUAAGUUUUGUCUUUUAAGUUUUGUCUUCUGUGCUGUAAUGAGAGAUUUCUGUUGGCUUUUCGGAUUUUGGCAUGGGAAAGUUCACUUAUUUGUCUAAUUAGAUUGUGUAUGCCUUCGAUUCUUUAUUUAAUUGUUCUGUUUGCGUUCGGGUGUGAUGAUCUAAAUUUCAUAUGUUUGGAAUUAUUUACUUAACACCAAUUUGUUACAUUCAGAUCUCCACCCCACAUUUCACUAGUUGAAAUUCCAUAGAAGUCGGUUACUGCAGAUUGCGUCUACAAUUAGAUCAGAGAUCAACUGCUCUUUUGUUAUCCUGCAGAAGAUUGCUUUUGGGAAGGAUCUGAAGUAGUUUCUCUCUGUAUGUUUAUUCCCAUGUAGCUCUGUCUUUUCUAAUUGUGUUGAUAUUACACUGUAAUUCAUGAUGAUGAUUUAAUUGUUUAUUGAUUUGUAAUUGAUUGUGAAUAAUGUGGCAUAUAUGAAUUGCAAUCUGUGUUUGUAUGAAAGGGAUGGCAUAUUAUGUUGCUGACUUAAUUGUUUAUGUUUUUCAUAUUUGCAAAUGGUGUUAUGAUCAAUUAGGUGAUUGCUGACCUGUGACUUUGUUUGGAGCUCAAAUUUUGUGAGCAUUACAUUGGAUUGUUUUGAUGUUGUUUUGGUUAACAAUGCAGCGAUAGGAGAAACAAAGAGGAUGACACUUAUAACUGCCCUUCCCCAUCGGCCGUCUUCAAAUUUGGAUCACAAGAAGGGAGCAACAUAGGUGUUUUCCUUCUUCAUUUAGAUAUGGUUAGUGUAAAUAAUUGGACAAAAGAGCCAAACAAACCCUGUUCUCUCAAAUGGAGUCGAUGAUGUGGUCGACGGCCACCAGCCCCAACUCAAGAGUUUGGCCUUCAUAUAAUUGGAUUGUAGUAUAAUUUUAUUUUGGUUCAUUUCUUUUUUCCUUUAUAUAAGUGCAGGUGUUGUGAUGUUUUGAAUAAAGGGUGAUGAAAGGUGGUUCACACACUUCCUCCUUACUUAAAGCAAGUGGAGAUGACGGUUUGUAUAAAAAGAAAAACUUGCCACGUACUUCAAUUUUCUAUUUUAUUAAUUAUUGUUUGGUUUUCCAAAUGUUGUAUUCACUAAGAGACCAAUUAUGUCUUUGAGAAACAAGUUUCUUUGUCUACAUUGCGAGAAUUUGCAGUUUGCAACUUUCAUUGGUUAUUAUAUUUGAUUGAGUUAAACUUGGAUUUCUGGAUUUUGACUUUUUCGUUUGUUUCUUUGUUGCAGAGUUGGCUUCAUUUCAUUCCAGGAACUGUCUAAAUAGGGCCAAGAACUCACUAAUAGGUAGUCAAGAAGAAUUCAGUGUUGCCUUCAAUUUUUGCCUUCUGUUUACAUUCUUCCUGGAUGCACUCUCACCGCUUCUCUCGCUUACCACUUUUGUCUCACUCACCGCUUCAUCUCUUCUGUUGCUUACAAGGUCGUGUCAUAUAUUUUUUUAAUUUUGUGUGGUUUAAUUUAUUGAAUAUUUGAAAAAAGAGAUAAAAUUUUCAAUUUACAAUUACUGAUAUGAUGUUUGUUUUGAAAAUCAUUAAGGUGAAUGGAGAGAUUUACAACCAUGAAGAGCUGAGGAGCCGUUUGCCAAAUCAGAUUUAUAGGGCUUCAUCAAUUAUAAAUAAACGACUUUUCAUUCCCAAUGACCUUUAUCGUUUUUCUUAAUGGGUUAGCUGAACAUGAGGUAGAUGCUGACUUUAUCAAAUAUGAGAAUGUUUUAGGAUUUCAUUCUAAUUUUUUGGCUGUUUGAUUACUUUGCUUUUCGUAAUUUGAUUUGCUUAUCGUCAAUUGGAUGGGAUAAAACAUAUUUUUGUAACCAGUUUGUACUUUUUUUUUCUUUUUUUUGUGGAAACUAACCAGUUUGUACUUUUACCAAUUACCAUAUCGGUUUUGAUGGAAUUGGAGCUUUCAGUAAUGGGUUCUGAGGGAAUUGGAGUUCUGAGUAAUGGGUUUUUUUUAACAACUAUAGUAUCAUUUGUGAUUCAUUUAUUUAUAAGAUAUUAUAUAGGAAACUGUUUUUAGCACUCUAAAAAUCUUAUUCUACACUCUCGACAAAUGUAUUUUUCUUUCUAAUUAUGAAAAGUUUGGAGGGCAAAAUGAGAAUUGUGGAGUGCCAAUAACAAUUCCCUAUUAUAUAUAGCUCUACUAGGAAGGCGACUGUAUGUCUUCAUCCUGUUAAAUUGUAUAUGGCUCUUGAUGUCGGCUGAAUUAAAUCAAAAUGAAAACCAAGCUGCUGAUCUUACCAGCCCAUAUCACUUAUCACUUGCUUAUUUAAAUUAUUUGAAGAUGCGUAUGUGGAUUGGUGAUUUUGUUGGAUUCACUUGGCUCAAAUAUAUGUUAUCUGAGUCGCUACAUUUGAGAAUGUGAUUUUGUUCCUACCACCAUUUUGCCCACUUUUUGUGGAAAUUAUUUCUGCUUGUUGUGAAUGAUACAUUCAUCCCCGGCAGCAAAGUGCGAAGUGCGGGCGCAUUUUCUAGUUUAAGUAAAUCACACAAUGGGUCAUCAAUAAUAACAAACUUGUCAUUUAUGAGAGUCAAACAUGAGGCCACCUACCUACUAGUUUAGUGGAAUACCACAAGUGACAUGUUGAUACCUUUAAAUCUCAUAUAAUGGAUUGCAGAAUUAGGAUAUUCCUAGACUAAUUUAGUUAGUGCGUGAACCCGAACAAUUAACAAGGGUUUUAUUCUUGCUUGAAUGUUUGUUAUAUGUUCCUAGUUUGACAAGGCAAUUAUAUUUCCGACUACAAGUUAUUAAUUUAGUCGAGAAUUGACGCACCUGAAAUGGUGUGAGGAAAACAUGUAUCCACAUGAGCCGCAGUCCACUGUCCUUGGCAUCUAUCUUUAAAAGGCUCGAAAUGAAGCUCAAAGCCAUACAUGAGGGCAUUGUGUAUGUCUUUAUAAGAGAAGUUGCGGUAGUCCUCAACGUAGCCGGCAGCCAAACUCAUCCACUCUACACUGCAACCAUCAUCCAAUUCCCAUACCUCCCUGAACCUGUCCCCAACAUAUUCCCCGACCAUGACAUAGCUAUUCGUUUUUGGUUGACUCGAAGAAGAAGAAGAAGAAGAAGUAUUAUUCAAGCAUGGAGCAGUGUCCACGUACAGAGAAGAAUUCGAUGGAUUCGAACACUUCAAGUAAUAUAUAGAUAGAGAAUUAAUGUCAUAGGCGGGCCAAUAUAGAGAAUUGAUGUCCUCGGUGGUGGGCGGAAUAUUUUGAGACAUGGAAGAGCAAUUGUUGUUGUCAAGCCCAGGAUCUCGAAGUCGGAUUGUUUUGUUAUUAUAGUUGAUUGCCUGGACAUGGUACUUUCCGAAAGAAGGUAGGUCUAGUACUGUAAUGUUGCUCUCACAGGACAGAGUAUACGAUAUGUUGCCACAGUACUUUGGAUCAUCGUUAAGUCGAAAAGGAUGGCUUAUGUUGUGGAUAUGGCCGCAGGAUGAAGUGCAGGACUUGGCACUACUGUUGUCAGCGUUACAAGUUUCACUGCAAAAGCAAAGAAGAAGAAAGGCUAAACUUAAGGUGAAGGACCUGGUUCCACUAAUUUCCAUUGCUCUGAGAGAGAGAGAGAGAGAGAGAGAGAGAGAGAGGGUACCAUAGCUUAAACACCAAGGAGUUAUAUAAUAUGGGAGGGGUUAAAGCACCUCGCUUACAGUUGCAGUAAGCCCGUCAAAUAUCCUAGGGAAAAGUCGGUCAAUGGUGUCCUAUAGAGAAAAGUCGGCCUUGGUGUUUGACACGGUCACUCAACUCUCUCUCUCUCUCACAUUGACGAGGGACACUGUAAUUGAAAAAAAAAAAUGUUCUUCAGAGAUAGAUCUUGAAAUUCUUAUUUUAUAUAAAAAAAACACCUAAUAUUAAAUUAUUAAUCAUUCAAAUGAAAUUCUUAAAAUUAAGUAUAAAUAAUACAUAACGAAAACUGAGCACAUACAAUCAACGGUCACGAUCGUGAAAUCCUCCGGAUCCUCAGAAAAAAAUCCGACGAUGAUCUUUUUCUGUGUAAAAUAAUUUGAGGGUAUAAUACUGGAUGUGGAGCCAAAAAUAUUCGCUAGGCGACACGUGGACUUUUGGACAAAAGAGGACAAAAAUACCCUCGAAGCAUACAAGGAUUCCUACGCGCGAGCAGUGGGCAAUCAUCUUUCAAUCAAGUCAAAAGUGCCCAAAAAAGGUAACAAUUAAAAACCUCUCUCAUCAAAUCCUUUCUAUAAGGUAUUUCCCAAAACCUAGUAUUUUCUAUUUCAUUAUUUAGCUAAUCAAUUAGCUAAAUAAUAUAAACCUACCAUAUCUCCUAAAAUCACCCAAUUAAUAGCCCAAAACCGGCCCCCACUAUUCACAUCCUCAUCUUUCCCAUUUUCCUUAUUAAAAUAAUCAUUCAUUUUUAUAAACCACCCAUUUUAUUAUUUUCAUAUUUAAUUAGCCAAUAAAUUGGCAAAUUAAACAUGAAAUUAACCCCCACAAAAACCCUAUGGCUGGCUACUAUUAUUCAAAAUAGGGCAAACCCUAACUCUAUAAAUAAACACAUAUUCUCACCAAAAAUUCAUUCCAACUCUCUCACAAAAAAUCACAAAUACUCUAAACACUAUUUCUCUCUAAAAUUCUAACUUUGGCAUCAGAGGUUCUUCGGCCAAAGCCCCCCCCAUUCAUCGUGGGCGCGUGAGGCUCUUGGCCUUAACCUAAGGUGCUAGUUGUUUUGUAGGUGCAAAAUCGUCCAAGAUCGAAGAGGAGAAAAUUUGCAUCCACAAAUUGGUGCUUUCAUUGAGAGUUGAAAUCCAUACUCGUAGAAGACUCUCGCACAAAAAGGUUUUUUCUUUUAUUUUCUAGUCCAUUUGAAUAUUUUUCAUACGUUCUUAUUAUUAGAAUUUUUUUACUUGCAAAGGUUCUUUGAUAAAACGUAUAAGCAAAAUAUAAUGGCUAGAAAUUUAGAAAAUUCCACAAGUGAAAAUUCUAAUGUUCAAGAAAUGGGAUUGCGGAGAUCCGUGAGGCUAAAUGCGACAAUAAGGGGAGCGGCAUCAUCAUCACGAGCUUCCACCAUGGGAACCACCAUGGUGGCUACCUCGGUAGCCACCCGCGGCGAGGUCCAUGGUGCCUUCACCACGGCCACCAUGGGAACCACCGCGGUGGCUACUUUGGUAGCCACUCGUGGCGAGGUCCAUGGAGCCUUCACCACGGCCCGGAGAUCCGUGAGGCAAAAUGCGACAAUAAGGGGAGCGGCAUCAUCACCACAAGCUUCUACCAUGGGAACCACCGUGGUGGCUACCUCGGUAGCCACCCGCGGCGAGGUCCAUGGUGCUUUCACCACGGACACCAUGGGAACCACCGCGGUGGCUACUUCGGUAGCCACUCGUGGCGAGGUCCAUGGAGCCUUCACCACGGCCCGAGCCGUGCCAUCCAAGGCUCACGGUACCAAGACCACGAUCCAAGCCGUGCCAUCCAAGUUUACGUGGACCCAAGCCCAAGCCUCGCAUUCACAUGCACCGCGCAUUGAGCAGCCUGUUCCCGUGAUCCAGCCUGUUCCCGUCAAGCAACCCACUCUCACGGCCCAACCUGCUCAUGCCGAGCAGCCUGCUCUCGUGACACAGCCUGCUCCCGACGAGCAGCCCACUCCCGUGGCCCAGCCUACUUUCGUCGAGCAGCCCACUCCGGUGGCCCAGCCUGCUCCUGCUAAACAGCCCACUCCUGUGGCCCAGCCUCCUCUUGCUAAGCAGCCUGCUUUCGUCGAGCAGCCCACUCCGGUGGCCCAGCCUGCUCCUGCCAAGCAGCCCACUCCGGUGGCCCAGCCUGCUCCUGCCAAGCAGCCUACUCUCGUGACCCAGCCUGCUUCCGACGAGCAACCCACUCCCGUGGUCCAGCCUGCUUCUUUCGAGCAGCCCACUCUCACGGCCCAGCCUACUCCUGUGGCUUUCCAAGCAGCCCAAGUCGGCCCAAGACUAUCUCCCGGACCUACCAUCGAGCCGAGGGCAUUCUCACCACAUUUUUUCACGGAUUUGACAUUUCCCAACUCAAAUCUCGCGCCCGGAGUCUACCACAUUUCCACUGCCCAAGGAGGCGCAUUCCUUCCAAGCUCUUCCAAUCCAAAUGGCGAACAACACUUGUCUCGACAAGUCAUAGAGUUGACGAGCGCCCUUGCACAACAGAAAACCUUGGUGAAUCAACUUUUGCAACGUAUCGGGAUCCAACGUGCCCCGGACGAGGUAUCCCGAAGUAGGACAAGGGCAAACGAACAUUUCCAGCAGCCACUCGACCAGCCACGAGCCGAACGUUUGGGCAGUGUACAUUCCCGUCUUAGAGCGCGAGGGAGCAUGCACUCUCGACUAGGCCCACGGAUGAGCAUACAUUCACGGUUGGGGUCAUACUCCGAUAGUCAACAUGAGCAACCUUCCGGGCAAAGUGUCUAUUCGCAGCUAAGCCCACAAGGAGCGUCAUCCACCUCACAUCAGAGUAGGCAGCACGACGGACGGAGAGAAGCAGUCACUCAAUCCAGCUCAAGUUCAACCAGCAGCCUGCGAAGAACUCGCUCGCCUACUAGGAACGCACCACAUGCACUGCAUUCGCGGCAUAGACGAGCCAAACACAUGGAAGAGCAGCUUAGACCAGCAAGUCAUGACUGGAGGCAGCCAAGAGCUCCGCUACCCCAACAAAGGCAAAUUCAGGAAGAAGUAGAGAGACUCUUGACCAAGCGAUUGCAUGAUUUCCAACGCAACGAGGUCACCGACGAGGCACUACGACGGAACAUGACCAACAUAAGCAAGCAGGUCACCCUUCACGGACGAGAUCGAGCAGGCAGAGCCUCCACGAGAGUUCAGCAUGCCACAUUUCACAUCUUUCAAAGGGGAUGAAGACCCGGAGAGACACUUAAAGCGCUACCGAAGCGCAAUGAUCCUUUAUCGAAACAACGAUGAGCUUAUGUGCAAGAUAUUCGCCACCACUCUACAAGGCGAGGCGCAAGAUUGGUUCUACACCCUGCCGUCACAAUCCAUCCGGAAUUUCUACGAACUUUCUUUGGUUUUCACCAAAGAAUAUUCAUCCUAUCGCUCGAUCAAAAAGAAAUCUGAUCAUUUGUUCAACGUCAAGAAGAACCCAAAGGAGUCAAUUCGCGACUAUGUGAGGAGGUUCAAAGUAGAGAAGGCAAAAAAUAGUCGGAUGCAACGACUCGAUAGCUAGAGCAGCCUUCCAAAAAGGACUUCCAGCAGACCACCCGCUAUUUGGAAAAUUGAUCAUGAAAGAAGAUCUAACUCUGGCAGACUCUUUUGCUUUGGCAGAGAAGUAUGCACUUUGGGAUGAGGCUCGCCAAUGCACAUUCAAGGACUUGAAGAAGUACCCGACAUCACCUCCCUAGAAGCAGCGGAGGACUUAUUCACAUGUUUGACGAUAUCUAAAGUAGCAAUAAGCUCUACCAUCAUGCGAGAAGAGAUGGGGGCCCGACUACCUGUAUUCCACAGUUACCUGUAUUCUACAGUUCAAAAGCUCUCCUCGAUGUUAUUAAAAAUUCAAAAGCUAACUUUGGUGAUAGUUGUUGCAACCCAGAAGCACAAGUUUUACUUUCAAACGCAUGCAAUCAUCCUAAUGACGUACUAUUCUGCCCAAUCCAGACGCGCGACGAUAAAGGUGUAGACCAUGGCGGAUGUAAAGUUUUCUGACGAACGCAACACUAGAAGGACACACUCGAAAGCAAGUUUUGUCCUCGUCACCCUAAAAGAUUCUACAUAGGAGCAACAUGUACCGGCAGUUGAGUACCAUUUCUUGCUGCGCAUCACACGGCCCUAGCCGACCCUUGCUCAAUGAUUCAACUCUAGAGUGGCCCAAUACCGGCAGUUGAGCAUCUCCUGUUGCGUAUGACAUGGCCCCAUCUCCACAGCUCCCUACUGCGUCUUCACGCCGAGCCUAAGUGACGUAACAGAGCAGCCCAACGAUGCCUCAGAAGUAGCCGAGCACACUCUAGCUGCGCCUACUCCACCCGAUGGAGACUUUUGGCAUUUGCAUGUCGACGACGCAGAAAAGCCUUCAUCACUGCCGGCAGAGAAGGCUCCAAAAAGAUGGAUCCCAUCUGGGAAGGUCCGUACAAGAUCAGCAGAGUAGGGGGCAAGAGUAAUUACACCCUCACCACCAUGAAGCAGCAAAAAUAUUGAAAAGAAAUGGAUGGCCUACAAUCUGAAGAAGUACCAUGUGUGACCUCCCGCUACAUCAAAACCCGAAGACUCAAUAAGCUCGACGGGCACCACCUCACAAGCUGGGGACUAUCCAGUUGUUAUGCAGUUCCUACCUUACAGCUAAAGUUCUCGUUCGUUUCACUCGUUUUUCAAUGAGGAAUUUAGAAGUAAUCACAACUUGGCUUGGUUGCAUGCUUACAACAACUAAUCACUCCUGCACUUCAAAAGAAGAUUGCGCCCUUCUUAGGGACUCAUCGCAGGAAUUGCGCCCCCCGAGGGACCAACCAUGCUCUCCAGUGCGAGAGGGUAAACCAAUUCUCCGACACCCAUAUGGGUCAGCUCUCCAAGACGGGAGGAUAAACUUUACACUCCGAAUAUCCAGACGUGGAUGAGCCUGGCUGCCCUAGUAUAACUAGAUGCACGAUGGCUUGCGCCGGGAUUCCUAGAAGUAGCCGCAAUGGUCUUUUUCAAGGCUUAGCUAACUGAAGGAUUUUGGGUCUCUUGGCCUAAUCCGUGGGGAACCGGGCCCUAGAGACGGAGAGGGCACAUUACGCAGUACAUCCGAUGGACGGCUGCCCUGGAAUCCUAAAGCUGCUACCGAGUGCACUAAGGUAGCCUACGGAUUCCGGAAGACUGCCUACGGCUUGCCCUUCGAGCAGUGAAGCCGCACUAGACUUAUACAACCGCACAUUCUUGUGAAAGGUUAAACAAGCUAGCGCGCAUAUACGAAGUUUUAUCCACUGCCGACAUGCUAUGUAGUUGAUAAGCUUCACCUCUGCCAAGCGCGGAACAACCUACACCAAGUCCUAAAGUGUUGUGAUACUUGCUACGCAACCUACGGAAUUGAAAAAAGUCAAGGUUAACAGCCGAGUGGUUACGCGGACUUGUCUACUUCUGUAAGUAAGGCAUCCGGCUGCCAACCCUAUGGCUAACAACUUUGCAAAGUUCUACACCAACACCUACGGCUGCAUAGGCUACGCGAGUUUGUCUGCUUAUAAAAAAGUAGCAUGCCUGCCACUGGUCUAUCAAGUCUAAAGGUUAGGGCAUGAACAAAAGAAGUGAAGAUGAAGAAAAACGAAGGAAAACAUGUUUAUAAACAACUAGCAAAGGCCGAAUGAGUUCAAGCAAAACAAGAGCUACAAGGAAAAACAAAGAAAAUCCUAAAGGCUACCUAAAAUACUACACUACAGCAGCUUGGACAUCCCACGACUACUCGAUCGCCACACCUUCAACAGCCGUAACGCUCUUAGCAGCGGCAUCAUCCGGCGCUUCACCCCCCGGCUGCCCUAGUCUGGGCACUAACUUCUCCAACUACUUCACCAAUGGAAGCCUUAAAAGUAAAAGCAAACAAGUCUUCCGGAGAAAUAGAGAAGGUCUUAAAACCUCAAGCCCAUCCUUCUCACCCUUCAGCUGCUCAUUCUUCUUAAGCAGACUAACACGGACGCGCUACAGCUCAUCCACUCUCUUCUUAGCAUAAGUAGCGAAACGAAGCUCAGAAAUUGCAAGCUUAAGAUCUUGAAUCUGAGGCGAAUCAAUCUCAGCAGCAAAGGGAGCAGGCUUUGGCGCCACUUUAGCAGCAGAGUCCACCUUACCACUCUUCAUAAUAGCAAGUCUCUAAAAAGGUGAACCGGACUUGGCUCCCAAAGAACGUCCUGGUACAAACUUCGGCACUGGGGGCAUGAUAAAACCUUUACGCUGAGUAAUCUUAUCCACAAUUGUACUAGCCAUUCUCAACAUGGAAGACGCCACAUGCUCAGAUCUAGCAGCCUUACAUUUCUUCCCAUUGGAAGAAGUCAUGUCAAUCACAUACCUCUCGGUAGCAAGUGGACCAUCAUGAGCAGCAGAAGAAGUCUUCAAUUUUUUCUUAACUGGCAUCUCAUGAGCAGGUGGGGAAGAUCUCUUCUUUCCAUCUUCAUUCAUAGUAAGCUCCACGAUAGCGAUCAGAUGAGCCAAUGCAUCCGCCUUGAUCCUCUUUACCUCCUCUUUCCGGAGCAGCCCACAUUUCUUUCAGCAAAUAGGACUAAGCAGCCAACGACAUUCAUGGUACUCAGCAGGGGAGCUCAACCCAGUAUUCCAGCAGGCAGGAGGCCUGCAUGCCCAACAUUCCAGCAGCCCGUGAGACCCGCAAUCUCCUUAUUUCUCUCAAUCGCAAGCCUGGCCUGAGUCAAGUCCAAUAGCCCAAAGGACAUGAGUCAUGCGAUUCGCCUAACACUGCGCCUCAGCGCCACAAUCCUCGACCCCAGCUGCACAAGCUGCCCUUGGUUCUAGCCAAGUCAAGCAGCUUAAAACAGUGGUCCCUACCACAAUACCUCAUCGGCCCAUGUCGAGCCGACUCCUGGCCUAUGCCAGCCGACGUGCCGCACCACCCCGAUGGCUGCCCUGCAAUAGCACUAUCCAAGAAGAAGGCAAGAAAAAUUAAAUUUUUCUUACAUCGGUGCGGCACGAAAAAGACGAAGAAAUCAACGAAAGACGGUCUUUUGCACAGGCAAGACGUAGAAGAUUGCUAGAGGAGAGGGAACAAAUAUCCUCUAACUUUCUCUCUCUUGUUGGGUAGAAUAAAUCGCUCUCCAAAGUUGAUUUAAUAACCCACUUAAGGUGGACUUAAAUAGGCUUUGAGAGAAAUUUAUUUCCCUUUCCUAGAAGGAUCUAAUUUCCAUUUAAAGAGAGAAUCAACAACAAAAUAGGAAUCAAUUUAGAGUUGCCUAAAGCGAGAAAAUCUCUACACCUGUUGCCCUUUUCUGCAAGCAGCCCAACAGGUGUGGGGGCAUUUGUGGAGCCAAAAAUAUUCGCUAGGCGACACGUGGACUUUUGGACAAAAGAGGACAAAAAUACCCUCGAAGCAUACAAGGAUUCCUACGCGCGAGCAGUGGGCAAUCAUCUUUCAAUCAAGUCAAAAGUGCCCAAAAAAGGUAACAAUUAAAAACCUCUCUCAUCAAAUCCUUUCUAUAAGGUAUUUCCCAAAACCUAGUAUUUUCUAUUUCAUUAUUUAGCUAAUCAAUUAGCUAAAUAAUAUAAACCUACCAUAUCUCCUAAAAUCACCCAAUUAAUAGCCCAAAACCGGCCCCCACUAUUCACAUCCUCAUCUUUCCCAUUUUCCUUAUUAAAAUAAUCAUUCAUUUUUAUAACCACCCAUUUAUUAUUUUCAUAUUUAAUUAGCCAAUAAAUUGGCAAAUUAAACAUGAAAUUAACCCCCACAAAAACCCUAUGGCUGGCUACUAUUAUUCAAAAUAGGGCAAACCCUAACUCUAUAACUAAACACAUAUUCUCACCAAAAAUUCAUUCCAACUCUCUCACAAAAAAUCACAAAUACUCUAAACACUAUUUCUCUCUAAAAUUCUAACUUUGGCAUCGGAGGUUCUUCAGCCAAAGCCCCCCAUUCAUCGUGGACGCGUGAGGCUCUUGGCCUUAACCUAGGUGCUAGUUGUUUUGUAGGUGCAAAAUCGUCCAAGAUCGAAGAGGAGAAAAUUUGCAUCCACAAUGGAUGUGCGAUUAAACCGAAGAACCCACCACCUCCAUCUUCUCCGACCAACUUGAACCCAGCCACUACUACAUGUCAUCCCGACAACCCACUCUCAGCUUCCCAAACCGCCAUUUUUCACCCACUCACUUACCUCUCUCUCUCUCUCUCUCUCUCUCUCUCUCUCUCUCUCUCUCUCUUACCCAAGCCACUGCCAUUAUUCAUUCAAUCAACCCAAAACACGAGAGCCACCCCAUCUCACCACUCGAACAGAUGCAGCCACCCACCCAUUUAAUCCCAGUCCAAAAUCAAACCCUCUCCUAAACCCACCCCAGAAUCCAAUAAUUUCAAAAAAUGGCUGAUUAUAUCAUUUCAAGAACCUCACAAUUCCAAAAACUAAAAACCCACUUCAAAGAUGUAAUAUUUUUCUCUCUUCCUCUUUUUGGGUUUUUUUUUUUUAUCAAUUCUCUUCUGGGUUUUUGUUUACAGUGUAAAAUCAACACUAAUUUACUAAUUUUGCUUUGAUUUUUCAAACACUAUUGAGGCGUGAUAACCUGUUGCAAGCUCAGCCAUGGCGGCUACUGCAAAAUCUAACGGAAAAACCAUCACAGACUCUGCCAUUUCAUCCAAGGUUCCGACAAUAGCAAACCCUUUAACGAAUAGCUGUCGCAGAUUUCUUCCAACAUCAAUCACCACGCGAAAUUAAUUGUCAAUGAAGACGAUCCCAUUCCCCUUCGAAAUCUGCUGGGGGAAAGAGGCCUUCUUUCAUAUCUGCUCUGAGACCUGUUUAUGCGAGAGAGUGGUGAGCCUGACGACAGAGAGAAAGAAGGGCAGGAUUGGAAAAUUGGAAAGUUCAUUUAUUGGUUACUGUUUAUCCGUGUUUCUUCGAAAUAAGCUGCUUUUUCCAGCUUUGGGUUUUCAGUAUUUUUUUAACCCAUAAUUUUGAAAGAAAAAAAACUGAUUUGAAAUGUUAUCAAACACUUAAAAUGUUCCAAUCUUUUUUCAUACCUAUUUUUUUUAUUAAAAGUUAAGCUAAACAAAAACCAGGAUUAAGUUUACUACUUUGAAGUUUCUUGCUUUUCAACAUUUCAUACAUUGAAUUUUUCUCAUCCAGUGUCAUACCUAAGGUGAGAAUUGUGGGACACUUUUAUACAUCCGUUAGAUUUUCUGUGAAUUAUGGGACACUUUUAUACAUCCGUUAGAUUUUUUGUGAUAACCUUCGCUGACCCACGAUGCGGCAUGCAUGUGGACAUUAAAAAAAAUUCAAAAAUUCAAAAAUUCAAAAAUUUUAAAAUUUAAAAUUCAAAAAUACUAAAAACCUAAACUUUUCAUAAUAUUGAGUUGAGAGACUGAAUCUUUUCACACUCGGCCAAAUUUUCUUUGAAUUUUAAUUAAAUGAAACAAUGAAUCUUGAACAAAGCAAAACAAAACGUAAUAUUGAGAGAUUCAGUCAUUGAAGUGGACGUGGAUGUUGGGUACUCAAUAGUCCAAGAAUGAAAAUUCUCAUAUCAGUUUCUAUCCAAAAUUUUGGAAUUAUGUGUGUUGCAACGAUUGUCCAAAGGAUUAUUCUUCUUUUAUUAAAUUUCCAUGAAAAAUGAGCAUGGGGGCAUAAAAAUUGAACGAAUGAAAUUUCAACGAUUUGAAAAGGGUUGUGAGUUUGACACGUCAUUUUUCUUCCUUUAAUGCAAUCAUGUUUAUUAAAAGACAAAAAUAAAUAUGACUUUACAUAAGGAGAGAGAAAGAAUAGUUUUCUUUGAAAAAAUCAACCAUUUAUUGAAGAGGGAUGUUGAUAAGGAGAUGAGACAUUCAUUAGAAGCUAGAAAAAAGAAGUUAAAAGUGAUUUAGAAAAAAGCAAGAAAGCCACAUUUUCAAAGUGGUGGUCAUUGCACAAUACUUAAUUAGAAGAAAACUCAUAGUAUUGUAUUUACAAUUUCAAGUCUUUAUGGGGAACGAGAGUGCAAAUUUUCCAAUUGGAAUAUGAUAUGAAAUUUCUAGAUAACUAUAUAUGACAAAGAAAGAAGUCUAAGUUUCUAAGUGGUAGGGCUUCCAAUUGAUGUGAGUUUGUUGAGAAAUGUAGAUGAAGAUGAAUAUUGUUGUUGAUGUUAGUGAACAACAGAACAAGUUGCUUCUCCUUUGGCCUUCUAACAUGAUAUCACGGAAAACAAGUUGUUGCUAAUAAAUGUAUCUGAUUGGUGGACUUAGACGUGCGCGGUACGAUUUUUGAUAACGAGAAAAGAUGGACAGUGUCAUGACAAAAUUUAUCCAAGUAGACCCAAAGGAAAGACUUAGGAACUUCAUAUGCAGUGGGAUAAAAUCUUAAGCUAAUUUCCUUACCUAUUUUAUAGUCAUUAAGUAAAAUGUAUAUGUAUAUUUCUAGAUGCUGACACACCAAUGUACUUACUAUUAACUCCUUUCAAAUACCCAUUCGCAGAAACGCAAAUCUCUCUUGCAUGCUUGUUGUAAUGCUCAUGUAGUGCGUAUCUAAUAUCUUAUGUGUAUAAUUUUUUGUGAUCCAUUUUUUCAUCACUAUGCCAAAAUCCCUUUAGAAUUUGCAAUUUAUCCAUUUGGUUAUGGUAAAAAAAAAAACUCGGAAUUUCAUUUAAACUCAAAAAUCUAGAAUUGGGAAAGCAAUUUUCCCUUGUUCGGCAACUUGUAGCGAUAGCAAAGGCAAAUUGUACAGGAAAAAAGUGGAAAUUGGGGAUGAAGAUCCAAUUUUAAUUUCGUCAAAAUAAGUGUAAUUUCACAAUUCCAACAACGUUGAGAACAAAUGCAUUGCGGGGAAAUCUUGCGACCACCAAACUUUACGAUUAGAGGGCCAAAUUUCAUGAUAAAACGUAAUAAGGGUUUAGGACUGCAUCGUUCACUUUGUUAACUCUCCAAUCUUCGACGGGAUUUUCAACUCGUGCAUCAUCUUUUGCUUUGUUCUAGGUCAAAGCCUACUCUUUUCUUUCUUGAAUUAUUUUAGCUUUGAGGGUAUACUCUUUAGGCCAAUUGUGAAUUUUGCUAGUUAUUUUUAUUUUCUGAUGGUCAUAUGUUUGUUUUGUUUUUUUUUUCUUCCAAUUGAGAUGUGUAUUGGUUGGAUCAGUAACUUUUUUUUUGGAUUUUUAUUUUUAUUUUUAUGGAUUUUGGUGUUAGUUCCUUGUUAUAGAUGUUGUGGAGCAAAAAAUAAUCUCAAAAAUCGUGGAGGUGACACACGGAUUUUUGGACAAGAAUGACAAAAUUAUCCUCGAAGCACAUCAGGAUUCCCACGUGCAUGCAACGGACAAUAACGGCUCAAUCAUGGAAGAGUCAAAGGUGAUCAAUAUGGUAUUUAUUCAAAUCCCUCUCAUCACUCCUCAUCAAUCCCUUUUUUAUUUUAUUCAAAAGGUAACUCCCAAAACUUCCUAUUUAAUUUAGGGAUCAUUGUCAUGUUAAUUGCAAGAUAUUAUUUCACAAAAUAUCUUGUAAUUAUUCUUCAAUUACCACCAUGUAUGGCCGGCCACUCCUCACAUUAUGGGCCGGUCACUCCUCACCCUAUGGGUCGGCCACUCCCUAUAAAUAGCCCUAUUAUUCCACUAAUAAGGAAGCCAUUUGCUACCCACAAACUCCUAAACACAUUCUUUCAGAAUUCUAACUUUGGCAUUGGAGAUUCUUAGGCCAAAUCCCCCCUCCCAUUCAUCAUGGGCGCAUAAGGCUUUUGGCCUUAGUCUUAGGUAUUAUUAUUUUGCAGGUGCAUUUUUGUCAAAGACGAAGAUGGUGAAAAUUUGCAUCCACAAAUUGGUGUUUUCAUUGAGAGUUUGAUUCAUAAGCUCGAAGAAGACUCACAUUCAAAGUUUCACAUUUCUCAUUCAUAAGUAAAUUUUUCAUACGUUCUUAUUCCUAAAAUUUUUUAAAUCUUUGAAUAGACGUAUGAGAGAAAUACAAUGGCUAGAAAUUUAGAAACCACGACGAACGAAACUUCCUACGUUCAAAGAUCCAGAUAAAAUGAUGGAAAUUGCGAUGUAGCCCCACCACGACGAUCCACGAAGCUCAACGUGGUGGCAAAAUGAGUAACUUGGCCACCACGGAGUACCACCACCACCAUAGCCAAGGCAACCCAUGUUGCAGUGGGGAGUGGGACAGCUUCAUGGCAGCAAAGCCACGAAGCAACAAUAAAUGCCAUCUUGCAGUAAUGAGCCCAGGCCCGUGUCACAAGGCAGUCAACCCAGCGCUAGGUAACCUAGAUCUAGUAGGCCCACGACGUUGCCAUAGCAGCUGAGGCCUAAAGCAAGGCCCAAACAGUUGCGGUUGCGGCAAAUGGAGCAGCACAACACUGGCGGGGCCAAUGCACCCUUGGCCUAAUGCUAAGCAGGCUAAAUCGCACCACACCCACUAUUCAAACUAACCCUAAGUUGAGUAAGUAGCAUUGAAGGUUGUCAACCGCAAGGCGUUGAAGUACGAAUAAAGUUACACACCCCGCACAUGACUUGGCCCACUUCCGCGGCCCAACUUGCUCGCAAGGUCCACCUAGUGAUCCCGACUAGUCGAAGGCCAGUUUAAUCAUCCCAUCUUCAGAUUUCUGGACUGACGAUUGAAUCGGGGGUAUUUUCACCCCGAUUUUCUACAGAUUUGACAUAUCUCAACUCAAAUCUCGCACUUGGAGUCCAUUGCACUUCCAUUACUCAAGGAGACGCAUACCAUUUAAGAUCUUCCAUCCCAAAUGGCGAACAACACUUGUCUCGACAAGUCAUAGAGUUGACAUGCGCUUUUGCGCAGUAGACGACCUUAGUGAAUCAGCUCUUGCAACGCACAUAGAUGCAGUGUGCCCCAGACGAUGUGUCCCGAAGUAAGACAAGUACAGAUGACGAUUCUCUCCAGCAGCGUCCCAACAAGCAGCCGCUCGACUAGCCACGAACCGAGCGUUCUGGCAGUGUACACUCCCGUCUAGGUCCUCAAGAAAGCGUAUACUCUCGUCUUAGCGCGCGAAUGAGCGUGCACUCAUGGUUAGGCCUAUGGACGAGCAUACAUUCACGGUUGGGACCAUACUCUUAUAAUUAACAUGGACAACCUGCUAGACGAAGUGUUCAUUCGCGGCUAGGCCCGCAAAAAGCAUUUUCCACCUCAUAUUGGAGUAAGCAGCACAGAAGACGAAGAUAAGCAGUCAAUUAAUCUGGCUCAAAUUCAAUCGGCCACCUGUAAGUAACCAGUUCGCCUGCCAAGAACGUAUCAUAUGCAAUGUAGCCACGACAUAGACUAGAUGAGCACAACGAUAAGCAACCUAGACUAACAGGUUACGACUGGGGGCAGCCAGAAGCUCUGCUGCCCCAAUAGAGGUAAAUUUAGAAAGAAGUUGAGAGGCUCAUGACCGAACAAUUGUGCGAUUUCCAACGCAACGAAGCUACUGACAAGGCGCUUAAACGAUACACGACCAACAUAAAUGGGUCACCUUUUAUUGACAAGAUUGAGCAGACAGAACCAUCCUACAUACACUGGCGGAUACAAAGAUUACAUCUAUUUUAACAUAUGCAUCAACUCAGCCUAAUGGCGUGUCGAGGGCAAAUGGGUACCAGAAUGGCACACCAGCCCAACCACCAAGAACCAGGGCCAAAUCUUAUUUUCAUCACUCCACACGAUUCAAUACUUGAGCAGCACAUCACCAGUAAUCGAGCACCGCAGACCUAAUGGUCCAAUUCCUCCUGAUGCACACAAGCUCACCCCAGCUCCACGCUCAAAGCCUUGCCUACCUGCUCCACAACACUCAGCCACCCUUGAUUUGUCACCAUGGCUCACAAUUAUGCCAAUUUUGCACCACAGCUCAUAGCCGUGCUAAUCUUGCCAUGCGGCUCUUAACUACGUUAACCAAGCCCACGAUACUUUAUACUUCAAAGCAUCCAACGACGGAGUAGAACACGAGGCUCUACUAGCAGCCCCUGCUAGUGAAAGACUUUGCGGUGAAGAGGCUUCCAAUCCAUUCAAAUUCUCAGUUGACCACCUGUUGGGUUUUACGACUCAAAAUUAGGAUGAUGCAAAAAAAAUUGUGUUACCUAUUUGGUUUUGGUGUCGUAUUUGGGUUUGGAUUUUGACCUCUUAGUUGGUUUCCGUGGUGGAGAGAUUUUGUUAAUUACCUAUUUGAUUAGGAUUUGGAUUUACUUCCUAUUAAGAUUCUUAUUGUAACCUAAGUCUUAUGCACUAUAAAUAGGACCUCAGGGUUAGUGUAUUUUGUGUGGCUCAUUCGUGUGGCAAUUUGGUGAGAGUCAAUUUGUGAGUUUGUGAGUUAGAGAGCAAUUUGGGAGAAUCUUCUCCGUUAGUUUUGGGUUCUCUACUCGUUUGGUUUAGGGUUUGUAAUUUGUGGGAUUUGGAUUGUGAGAGUCUGAACACUAUUUUGUAAUCUCCGUUUGUUUAGUGAAAUUUCUUGUCAUGCUUCGCUCGUGGACUUAGAUUUUACACCGAACCACAUAAAUCUCUUGUGUUAGUUUGAGAUUGUUUGUUUUAGUUUUCACCUACGACGUUGAUAUCGGUACUUUGUUAGAAUUCGCUUUCCUUUGCUCAUAAAAGUACAACAAGUGGUAUCAGAGCCCGGCUUUCGGCUUGGGCUUUGCUUGGCAAUCACUAUGAAGCCUUCUGUGUCGUCGGUGAAAGUUGAUAUUGAAAAGUUCGAUGGCAAUGACUUUGGUAUUUGGCAAUUGAAGAUGCGUACUUUGUUAAUUCAACAAGAGCUUUUAAAAACGCUAAAGGGUGUGAAGGCUUUCCUGAAUUCGUGGACUGAUGAAGAAAAAAAAAGAUGUUAUGGAGCGGGCACUUGGAACAAUCCUGCUAACUUUAUCGAAUGAAGUCUUGCGUCAAGUUGGUAGCAUCAAAUCUGCACCGAAGUUGUGGCUAAAAUUGGAGAGUUUGUAUAUGACCAAAUCCCUUGCUAAAUGGUUGUAUUUGAAGAAAAGUUUGCGUACUCUUCGUAUGGAUGAAGGUACGUCAAUUCAUAAGACCAAAUCCUUAUUGCUGCCAAAAGUCCUCAACAGUUCCAAGGGAGAUGGGUAAGAGUUCGUAAUAGUGAGAGAUUGAAUCUUUUCACACUCGGCCAAAUUUUAAUUUUAAUUAGAUGAAACAAUGAAUCUUGAACAAAGCAAAACAAAAUUUAAUACUGAGAGAUUGAAUCAUUGAAGUGGACGUGGAUGUUGGGUACUCAACAGUCCAAGAAUGAAAACUCUCAUAUAAGUUUUUAUCCAAAAUUUUGGAAUUAUGUGAGUAUUGCAACGAUUGUCCGAAUGAUUAUUCUUCUUUUAUUAAAUUUCCAUGGAAAAUGAGCAUGGGGCACAAAAGUUGAACGAAUGAAAUUUCAAUGAUCUGCAAAGGGAUUGUGAGUUUGACAUGCCAUUUUUCUUCCUUUUAUGCAGUCAUGUUUAUUAAAAGACAAAAAUAAAUAUGACUUUACAUAAGGAGAGAGAAAGAGUAUUUUUCCUUGAAAAAAUCAACUAUUUAUUGAAGAGGAUGUGGAUGUUGAUUGAUGCGCAUUGUGAAUAGGAAAAAAAUAACCUUGAAGGGAGACGAGACAUUCAUUAGAAGCUAAAAAAAAGUUAUAGUGAUUUAGAAAAAAAAAGUUUUAACGAAACAUUUCCGGUACUGUUUACUCUUUACGAAAAACCACAUUUUUACCUUUCCUAACUACUAUUCACUACAUCUUUAUUUAUCAUUUUUCAUUAAAACUAAAGUUUUUGUUUUAACUUUUCGUUAGUUUCCUUUAGAAAAAAGCAAGAAAGCCUCAUUUUCAAAGUGGUAGUCCUUGAAACAAUACUUGAUUAGAAGAAAAGUCAUAGUAUUGUAUUUACAAUCUCAAGUCUUGAGGGGUAACGAGAAUGCAAGUUUCUAAUUGGAAUAUGAUAUGAAAUUUCUACAUAACUAUAUAUGACAAAGAAAGAAGUCUAAGUUUCUAAGUGGAAGGGCUUCCAAUUGAUGUGAGUUUGUUGAGAAAUGAAGAUGAAGAUGAAUAUUGUUGUUGAUGUGAGUUAGUGAACAACAGAACAAGUUGCUUCUCCUUUGGCCUUCUAACAUGAUAUUACCGGAAAACAAGUUGUUACUAGUAAAUGUAACUGACUGGUGAACUAAGACAUGCGGUACGAUUUUUGAUAACUAGAGAAGAUGAACAGUGUCGUGACAAAAUUUAUCCAAGUAGACCCAAGGGAAAGACUUAGGAACUUCAUAUGCAGUGGGAUAAAAUCUUAAGCUAAUUUCCUUUUUAAUCUUAUAGUCAUUAUGUAAAAUGUAUAUGCAUAUUUCUAGAUACAUACACACCAAUGUACAUAAUAUUAACUCCUUUUAAGUAGUCAUUUGCAAAUCCCUCUCGAGUGCUCUUUGGAAUGCUCAUGUGGUGCCGUUCUAAUCUCUUAUAUAUAACUUUUUGUGAUCCAUUUUUUCAUCAAUAUGCCAAAAUCCCUUUAGAAUUUGCAACUUAUCUUUUUGGUUACGGUAAAAAAAAAACUCGGAAUUUCAUUUAAACUCGAAAAUCUAGGGAUGUGAAAGCAAUUUUCUCUUGUUCGGCAACAUGUAGCGAGAGCAAAGGCAAAUUGUACAGGAAAAAGUUAGAAAUUUGGGAUGAAGAUUCCCAAUUUUAAUUUCGUCUAAAUAAGUGUAAUUUCACAAUUCUAACUACGAUGAGAAUCACAAAUAUAUUGCAGGGAAAUCUUGCGACAACCAAACUUUACGAUUAGGGUGCCAAAUUUCGUGAUAAAACCUAAUAAGGGUUUAGGGCUACAUUGUUCACUCUGUUAACUCUCCAAAUCUUCGACGGGAUUUUCGGCUCGUGCAUCAUCUUCUUGCUUUGUUCUAGGUCAACGCCUCUACUCUCUUCUUUCUUGUAUUAUUUUAGCUUUUCAGGUAGACUCUUUAUGGCUGUUGUGAAUUUUGCUAGUUAUUUUUAUUUUCUGAUAGUCAUUUGUUUGUUGUGCGUUUUUCCUUCCAAUUGAAUUGUGUAUUGGUUGGAUUUGUAACAUUUAUUUUUUUUAUUUUAUUUUAUGGAUUUUGGUGUUAGUUCUUUGUCAUGGAUGUUGUCCUUUUGAAGGUUAACAAUAGCCAAGACUAAACAUGAUGAUUUUGGUGUUAAUUACUUUCUCAUGAUACUAAUGCCAUAUUGUUCUCUAUUUUGCACUCACAAGUAAAGAGAAAUAUCCUAGACCCUAACUGGAUAUGUUAUUGUCAUGGUCAUGCAUUGGUAUGGUAACAAUAUGUUUGGAUAAGGAAAAUAAACUUAGAAUUUGACAAAAGAUAAAAUUUAUAAAUUGAUACAAUCAAUUCCUUUGUUUAGAUUCAUAAACAUAGAAAUUUAAACUUUCCGCGUGAGAAAAAACUUGGAAUUUGGGACCUUCAAUUCUCAUGUUUAAAUUUUAUGUAAAUAGGUGUCAUUUCUAAAUUUCAGUAAGUGAGAAUUUAAAAAUAACAAACAUGUAUUCAAAUUUCAUUCAUCUUUUAGGUUAACCAAACAAGAAAUUUUAUAAAUUCUAGAAAAUAAAAUUUCGUUAUUUCAAUUUCUGUUAUUUUAAAAUUAGUAAUCUUAAAUUUUCUCAUCCAAACAAAAAGUUUCCUUGUCAUAGAACUUUCAAUUGGGAUCAAGGAAGACAAUCUUUUCACAACUGAUUAUUCUCACCAAAUUUUAUUAUUAUUUUAAAGCAGAUCAAUACCAAACUUCAAAAGCAAAGUAGGAAGGCUAAAAUUAAGGUGAAGAACCUACUUCCACUAAUUACCAUGGGAGGGAGAGAGAGAGAACCAAGCGAGAGAGAAGAGAGAGAAAACACCAAGUAGUAUUAUAAUAUAGGUGGGGUUAAAUCACCUUUCGUGAAGUUGUAGUAAGAGCAGCUCCAGCGGGAGCUCCAACUUGAUGUACCGGUGAGAUUUCCUACCCAAUAGCCCCAGCUCCUUGCUCCAGUCCAUGCGGGUGAUUGGGCUGAGGGGGGCCGAGUGAGAGGCCUGACUCGAAUCGGUGGCCUGAGAGCCUGAGACCAAAAAUUAUCUUUUUGGAUAAUGACACGUGGUGCAACGAGAACGAUUAAAAAUCUUAUCCGAAAUUACAAAUAGAAUUAUUUUGUAUUAUUUUAUAAAAUAAAAAAUACUAAUAUUUUAUUGCUUAUUGACAUGACUAUUCAAUUACGGGUGGAGAUGCAGAAGACAAUUAUUAUUCAUUAAAGGUAAUUAUUGUUCAUUGGAGGGGAUUGAAUAUGAAGUUGCACUAGAAGGCCUUUGUCACGGCAAUAGGCAAUUACUGUUCUAAGGACUUCUAUCCUAGAAGAGAGACAAAAACACCAAGUAGUAUUAUAAUAUAGGUGGGGUUAAAUCACCUUCCGUGAAGUUGCAGAUAGAGUAAGGACUUCUAUCCUAGAAGAGAGACAAAAACACCAAGUAGUAUUAUAAUAUAGGUGGGGUUAAAUCACCUUCCGUGAAGUUGCAGAUAGAGUAAGGACUUCUAUCCUAGAAGAGAGACAAAAACACCAAGUAGUAUUAUAAUAUAGGUGGGGUUAAAUCACCUUCCGCGAAGCUGCAUUAAGGACUUCUAUCCUAGAAGAGAGACAAGAACACCAAGUAGUAUUAUAAUAUAGGUGGGGUUAAAUCACCUUACGUGAAGUUGCAGUAAGGACUUCUAUCCUAGAAGAGAGACAAAAACACCAAGUAGGAUUAUAAUAUAGGUGGGGUUAAAUCACCUUACGUGAAGUUGCAGAUAGAGUAAGGACUUCUAUCCUAGAAGAGAGACAAAAACACCAAGUAGUAUUAUAAUAUAGGUGGGGUUAAAUCACCUUCCGUGAAGUUGCAGUAAGGACUUCUAUCCUAGAGAAAAGUCGGUCAAUGGUGUUUGACACAGUCAGUCAACGAUAAAGACAGAAUUGUGUAACCAUAAUUCUCUCUCUAUCUCUUUUUCAUUAACGGAGGACAGUGUAUAAUUACUACGUAUACAUCUCUGCUCAAUUAUUGAAAAGAAAAAUCCAUGUGCAUUAUUUUUAUUAUUAUUAUCUCAGAAAUGCAGAAAUUGAUCAUCUCUUCCUUCUGCAUAUUGAUACUGGUUUUCUUCAAACUAGUUGAAGCAAGCCAAUAUGUGUGCGCGAAAUCCAACUGUAGCAAUGAUCAACGCCCGGCUAUCCAUUUCCCAUUGAACAUCAGGCGCACACAUCAUUGUGGAAAUUCUGGGCUUGAAUGCAAUGGGAGAUAUGGGCAGCAAAUACUAAUAAAAUUAUUUGUCAAACACAUUGAUUACAAGCGUCAGGAAAUCCAAGUCUAUUCCCCAAGUAACUGCCUGCUGCUAAAGCAUGUUGAAAUCCCAAACAUGCCACCCUCUCCCUUCAACGUGUCAGUCGAUGACUACAUGAGUACCCUUACCUUAUUCAGUUGUCCUACUUCUGUUGCAAGACGAGAUACGUAUCAAGUCCCCUGCCUCGGCGACCCUGGCAAGAAAACUUAUGCCAUUCGUUCUUACUAUGAUUUUGGAACUCUCUUCCAGAAUCUACAAUCCUGUACAAAAAUGUAUGAUGUUUUAUCAGUUCCAAUAGCCUAUGAAUAUUAUGUUUUUCGUUUCAAAUGGUCUAUACCAAAUUGCAGAAAAUGUGGAGAGGGAAAGAAGUGUGGAUGGCAGAACAAUGAAAUUAAAUGUCUUCCCUGGAGGAAACCAAGUAAGGAUAACAUAUGUAUUCAUUGCUAGUUUUAAACAUCUUUACAUUUAUGUCUUAGUAAUUAUUAUUUGAAGGAUGUUGUCCAAUCCAUUUUUACUAGGAAUAUUACCUGACAGUCUCGUUUAAAUUCGCAAUGAUCUUCUACAGGCAACACAUGGAAAAAAGUGGUUACAGGUGGAAUCCUGUGUGCUUUGCUUCUUGUUCUACUGACGAUUGCAGCAUAUCGGGUAUAUAGCGCUGAUAGAAAGGAGAAAGAGAGUCGAUUAAGAAUUGAAAGAUUCUUGGAGGACUACAAAGCACUCAAACCAAGCAGGUAUUCGUACGCAGAUAUUAAGAGGAUUACAAAUCAAUUCAAGGACAAGUUGGGCCAAGGAGCCUAUGGAACUGUCUUCAAAGGAAUGCUCUCUUCUGAAUUUUUUAUUGCUGUCAAAGUCCUCAACAGUUCCAAGGGAGAUGGGGAAGAGUUCGUAAAUGAAGUGCGAACGAUGGGUCAUAUCCACCAUUUAAACGUGGCUCGCUUGGUUGGAUUUUGUGCUGAUGGAUUUGUACGAGCUCUUGUUUACGAGUUCUUCCCCAAUGGUUCCCUGCAGGAUUUCAUUUCAUCUGCAGAUAGUAAGAAUUCAUUUCUUGGUUGGGAUAAACUGCAAGAUAUUGCCCUAGGCAUAGCCAAAGGAAUUGAAUAUCUUCACCAGGGAUGCGAUCUACGAAUCCUGCAUUUCGACAUCAAACCCCAUAAUGUUUUGCUAGACCAAAACUUCACUCCAAAAAUUUCUGAUUUUGGUAUGGCCAAGUUAUGUUCCAAGGAUCAAAGCUUGGUGUCCAUGACUACAGCUAGGGGGACCAUGGGCUACAUUGCACCUGAAGUGUUCUCCAGGAAUUUCGGAAAUGUGUCUUACAAGGCAGAUGUCUAUAGCUUUGGAAUGCUGCUGCUUGAGAUGGUAGGAGGAAGGAAGAAUAUUGGUUCAAUCACGGAUAACACUACAAAUGAAAUUUACUAUCCACAGUGGAUUUAUAAUCUUCUAGAGGAAGGGGAUGACCUACGAAUCCACAUUGGGGAAGAAGGAGAUGGUAAAAUUCCAAAGAAACUUGCAAUUAUAGGGCUAUGGUGUAUCCAAUGGCACCCGUCGGAUCGUCCUUCCAUGAAAAUAGCGGUUCAGAUGUUAGAAGGAGGAGGAGAAAGCUUGAGUAUGCCGCCUAAUCCCUUUGUGCCUACUGGUUCUACAACUAGGAAUGCAAGACGCCUAGAGCUAGAAGCUAUUGCUGAAUUAGAGUAAAAUGUAUAUGCAGAUAUGUAGACGUAUAGAUAUAGUAAUAUUUAUAUUGAAUAAGAGGCCGUUUGAUAACCAUUUCGUUUUCAGCUUUUAAUUUUUAUUUUUCACUUUUUUGAAAACUAAAAACUAAAAUCUUGUUUGGUAAAUACUUUUAGUUUAAAAAAAUUAUGAAGACUGAGAACUAAAAUGUGAAAGCUCAAAGGAAGUAGAUUAAAAGUAGUUACCAAACAAACUGGAAUCUCAAUAAUAAAAAAAGAUUGAAUUGCACAAUGCAAUCCAAACCAAUCAAAACAUUAAAAUAGCAAAAAAAAAUUAAAAUUCUAGUUGAUUAGAUUCUAAACGUAGUAAAAAUGAACAGAUCCAAUGAAAAAACAAAAAAUUCUCAAAUAAAAAUAGGGAUAAAGUAAAAUAUUUAUAAAUAGCUCUUUGUCUCUUAUGUCAUCAAUUAUUUCUAUAGUAUAUACAGGUUUUUGGAAAAAUUAGGUUCUCAUCCCUUAUUUUCAUAUUACAUUGAUUGAAAUCUUAUUAUUUUUCUAUUUUAGAUCAAGGUCCCUUGACUUAUUCCAUGUCAUCAUUUUAGUAUUUAAAAUAUUACACGUCAUCAUAAACGAAAUCUCAUCCCUUUCUGCAUUUAAGGCAAAAUAAACUAUAUGAGUAAGUUUAAAACAAGGAAAAUCCAUUUGAACUCCUCCAUUCUUCUUCUUCCCUUAUGCACAUCUGGAAUCUACAACACCCCAAACCCAAUUUUCUCCAUUUUUUCUCCAUUCCUGAAUUGAUCCAAUGCAUAUAUGUUGAAUAAACCUAUUGUGAUUAAAAUACAAAUUAGCAUCAAUGGUUUUAUCGGCUUGUGAGAUUUGUGUGGCAUAGGCAAGGCAAUGCAGGCAUUGCUUUCUCAAGGAAUCUGGUUGAUUCAAACAUGCAGAGACUGUAGAGUGAGCGGGCUAUGUGAAAAUUGUACCAUUCUGAAGUCAUUUUCUUUUGUUCUUUAUAUUUUUUUUCUUUUUCUUUUAUUAUUAUAUAUUAGUCUUGGUUAUUCAAUGUCUGGUUGGCUACACUUAUAUCCAUGGGUACAUUUUUAAUCUACAUGUUUCGUUCUAAUAUAUCUAUUGCUAUAAUAUGUUUUGGUUGGUUCAAAUUUGUUUUACAUAAAUAUAUGGGUACAAAGUUUUUGGAGAAUAUUAUGUAAAAUGGUUUUUAAGGUUGCUGCAUUUUACGUUCCCACAUAUGCAUGUCUAUAAAACAAUGUGGUAUGAUGUACAUUCUUUUCUUUGAGUUUUUAAAUGUACCCAUGAGUUUUCUUGUAAAUUCGUAUGUACCCAUAUGCUAUUUAUGUUAUGGGUACAUACAUUAUUUUUGGUCUAAGUUCAGGAUACAUUGCUUUUGUAUGUAUGAAUUCAUGGGGUACAUUAUUUCCCUUAAUACUACUCAAUAAAAUUCACAAAAAUAUGUGUAGUGUGCAUGAUUUUUUAUUGUAGAAAUUGUUUGUUUUUUUUAAGUCUCAUAAUUCAUGAAAUUUGUACAUAUAUGAUCCCAUAAAUUUUUUAAUUUUAUUAAAUUUCUGUUAGACUUGAUCGAUUGAUUGAAUCUCAUAAUACUAGGAUUUUGAAUUACAUAAAUUCUUGGAUUUGAAUCCCUUAAAUGUUGGACUGCAAUCAAUAUUUUAAAUUACAGUUUUUUGUUUAAGAUAUCAAAAAGAUGACAUGGGAAUAUAGUAAUACUAAAAUGCUGAGGUGUACAAAGUCAAGGGACUUUGAUCAAAACAUAAAAAACAAUAAGAUUUCAAUCUAACAAUUGAAUUGACUAGGGACCGGAACCAAAAUGACCCUAGAUUUUUAUUGAGUUUAAUCUUAAUCAAAAAAAGACUUCUUGUAUCACAGAAAAUACAAGAACCAUUAUUUGAAUGAAAUAAAAGCUAUGGGAUGGAGAUAUAAAUGGAUCCUUUUAUUCACAAUCGGAUUAUAUUUAUUUGAUACACUGUUGUCAAUAUGAAUGUUGAGAAAAGACUACAAAAGAAAAAACAAUUUAUAAAUAUAACUAAAAAUUCCAAUUUCAAUCAAUUAGAUAAUUAGAAUUAUAAGAAGAAAAAAAACAGAAAUCUCAGUUUUCAGUUUAAAAAAAAAUGAAAACAAAAACUGAAAACUGAAAACAAAAUGGUUAUCAAAGCCGUCCAAAUAAUAGAAGUUUGUUUCCACUCUUUGUUUAAGCAUAGAUGCCAAUUUUUGUUUAUCAUUUUUUUAACCUCUAUUUUUUGUUACAGUAGAAGCCCUAGAAGGAAAUCGAGCACUGGACUUACCAAACUCUUAACUUAUUUCUACACACCAAGAGCUUGAUUUCGGUUCUUAUUUAUACUAUUUAAGCUAUAAGCCGUGAUAAGAAUUAGAGAACUAUCAUUUGUUGUGAGCUUCAAUUGGUUAGCACUUUGUAUGUUUUCAUUAGAAUUUAUAUUUCACUUAGACUUUCUUAUUAAAAAAGGGAUCAUUUGGUGACUUCACCAUGACAGUCCAAUUUUAUGGGGGCCAUGAGUACUCACAAAGGUAUUUCAGCCUCCCCCUAUAUCUACCGUCGCGUGAUUCACCAUUGCCGGGAAUCGAACUCAAGACGUGUUGUAUAGAAUACAAGCCUAAAAUUCGUUUCUAACCACUGAGUCACCCCGCGUUUGAUUAUAUUUCACUUAGACUUAUCUUGCGGUAUAGCAUGUCAUCCCCGCCCAAGUUUUUCUGUUCGCAUUGAGUUUGGGAUACCAAAACUUGCCAAACAAAGUAGAUUGAUUAGUAAGCGAAGCUAAUUAUUCGACUAAACAUUGUUUAGAAUUUUAAUUAAAAGAAACAAUAUGAAUCUGUUUUUUUUUUUUUUUUUUGACAAACUAUAACGUUAAGGAGUUAAAUUGUUAGUUGUUAAGAGUACAGGGAUAGGUGAGGAUCGAACCUCCACCAGAGUGCAUAGACAUUAUUGGUUCUACAACUGCGGUAAAUCACAUAAAACAAAACGUAAUACUUUGAGGAUGGAAGACACUUCGUGGAUAGCGGGCAAUCAACACUAUCAGUCGCUAUCCAAAACUUGGAAUUAUGUUUAUUGUCCGAAGGAUUUUUCUUCCAUUAAAUUGCUAAGGAAGAUGAGGAUGGGUGGAGUGUCUAAAUGUCAAGGUUGAUAAGAAAGUGUAUGGUGUUCAGCAUGCGAUUGAGAUUUGUUGAGUGGCACAACAAACCACAUAAAAUUUUCUAAAUGAUAAGCAAUGAUAAGCUUGAGUAUAAUUUUUUACCACGUAUUUAUCUUUAAAAUCAUUAUAAUUAGAUUUUCUCUUAAUUAAUAUAGACCGUUAGAUUGACCCAAGUUUUUUUCCUCUUUUCUUUCCCCUCGUUUUUUUCUUCUCUGAUUUUCCAUUCACCGUGUAGCAGUCGUUCUUCCCCAACUAAGUUUCUUAUUUUUCUUCACAAAAAAAUUGUAGAAAAUAUUAAGAAAAGAAAAGUCAUCAAUAUCAGACUCGAUCAGGUAAUCGUUCCAACCUUCCCAGCAACUCUCAGUCUUAACAAGGCACCAAAUUUUCUCCGCCACCUAACUCGUCAUUCAUUCAUGGGUGUUUCAAGCUUGGUGAAAAUUGAUAGAGUUCCAUGUGUGUACAGGGAUGUGAACAUAUUGGCCACUCUCUAAGAAUGAGUCAUUGGAAAAGUUGAAGGAAAGAUGUAACCGAUGAAAUUAAUGGAUUGGAAUUACAAUGAAGUCUGUGUUGGUUUAUCACAAAGAACCCAGAAACAAAAUUUUAAAAGCAAACAAUUACAACUUCUCAAAUAUUAUGUAACAAACUUUCAAUGAAAUGUUGCUCAUAAUUGAAAAAAGGUUGACGAAGGACGGAGUUGGGAUUAUUUUAGAUGGGGAAGAGUUAAAAGAAGGAAGCACCAUUUAAUUACUAAAAGUAAUUGGAGAAAUGGUAAUUCAAUGGUGGGCGUUUUUAAGGUGUGGACCUUGUGUCACACCCCGAUCCCAACAUACAUUGAGGAUCGACACCUGACAUGGGGACCUAGGGGACAUAAAUCUUACGUAAGAUACAGAAUGAAAUACUAUAAAUAAUAUCCCAAAAUGAAUAUGAUAGUGGGUUCACCCCCUAUAAAAUAUAUACAAGUUUGUACAUUCACAAAAAAAAAAAAAAAAAAAACACACACACACACACACAAAACUCUUGCUAGGCCAAGACUUGCCCAUGGUUCUCAAAGGAAAGUCCUAAAAGAAAUAGUACAAUGAAGGAUAAAGGGGUAACCUAAACACUCCAAGUCUCUGAUCUCUGCACUGCUACCCCCACCGGCUCCUCGUAAUCUACCUCAGACCUGUCACUUGUACAAACAGUGCCUACAUUGUGGGAAUGGUGCACCGGGCAAACAAAAACCCAGAUAAGCUGCAAAACUCGUGUGGUAGCCGGCCUGGGACAUGGGAGGGGGCCGAGUCUUUCAGAAACCCUUGGGUCAUUGAUCUUCAAGCUUACAUGGAUGGGAUUGUCUCGACGUUGCUUUAGGAAGUCUCGACAGUCGUGAAAGACGGCUUUCGAUCCUUCCACUCCUUCUGUAAGAAGGUGUCUUCCUCCACUCCUUCUGCUUCGGGUUGAAGCAGCUGGGUUGAGAGAAGUCUCAUGUUGGUCGCGAUUUCGAUGAGUAGCUCGCUCCUCAACAGGAAUACCCAUGUCGAGGGAAAAUGAGCCUCUGUGUUGGAGGCACCCAGUUGAUGGUUGACUUCCACAGGGGUGAUGAGCUCGUGUGUUUUAGUAUAUCUAGCCUCGUGGAGCAUCUCGAAGACCUUUUCAUACUGCUCUUGGAGGAUCUCAUUCUUCAUCGCUAUCUUGUUGUUCUGAGCCUCCAGCUCAUCGACUUUAGCCUGAAGAGCAAACUUCUUUUGUUCCUUCUUUCGUUGUUUCGCACCAGGUGUAAGAGGGGUGUCAUUCUGUGUGCCGUGGCUUCCUUCGCUCCCCAUGUUAGAGAGGGAUGCCUGGUCAAAAGAGAGAGUACGAAUGGUGGAAACCAGCUUGGCAAAGCUAAAGAGAGUGGGAAUAAGUGUCGUUCCCACAGACGGCGCCAAAUGUUGAUGCACAAAAUCAGUGAGGACUUUGGUACAACAGAAAGUGUUAAGUUUGUGUCCUUCGCUAGAUUGGUCCGGUCAUUAGUGUGGAUAAGUAUGUAAAUGGAUAGGGACAGGGAAGCAAACACAAGAUGUAUGUGGUUCACCCAGAUUGGCUAUGUCCAUGGAGUGGAAGAGUUCUCAUUAAUUGUGAAGGGUUUACACAAGUACAUAGGUUCAAGCUCUCCUUUAGUGAGUACAAGUGAAUGAUUUAGUACAAAUGACAUUAGGAAAUAUUGUGGGAGAAUGAUCUCCUUUUAUAGAAUAGUUUCUAGCUUUGUUCUGACAUUGACACGUGUCAUGCUGUGAUUGGCUUUUGAUGUUGACAUGUGUCGCAUUGUGAUUGGCCUCCUGGUUUGAGGGAAACUCUUCUGGGUCCUUGACAGUAUAACGUUGACAGGUGCUCAGUAGUUUCGGGAUUGGUCAAGUAUGGUACAAACAAAGUCACUGAAAACUUCGAAGGAGUCACCCAGACAUCCAACGACUUUUCUAAAUCAAAUCUCAGAGAUUCCCAAAACUAUCGUUCACAAAUACACUAAAAACUAAGGCUAGAGUGACACAGUUUGGCCAAAGCCUACAUAAGUAACCAAAUAAGAAGUGGCCCCCCCAUAGCGGAUUAAUCAAGUAGAGCCACUCCUGAGAAAGUAACCAAGUAGGUAGUGACCCCAUCACGAAUUAACCAAGCAGAGUCACUCCUACGAAACUGUUAGGUAGUGAUCACCCAUCGCGGAUUAACUAAGCAUGAUCACCCCUAAGUACGUAUGGCCAUACCUAAGAAAUAAGGAUCGCCCAUCGCGGAUUAACUAAGCAUGAUCACCCCUAAGUACGUAUGGCCAUACCUAAGAAAUAAGGAUCGCCCAUCGCGGAUUAACCAAGCACAAUCCAAAAAUAUUAUGGGUCCCCUAUCGCGGAUUAACCAAGCAGGACCAUCCAUGUACCACUGCUACAUGGUGCAGAUUCGGUGUCACCUAACCCCGUGACACUAGGGUAACGGUCCUCUACUAGCCCUCACGUUUUUCAAACAUUUCAAAUAUAUAAUUUAAAACACAAUUCAUAAACAUUUCGAAUAGGGAAGUCACAUAGUGUUUAAUAAUGUAGGUCAAUGGAAAACUUUAAAAACAAUUAUUUAGCAUAAAACAUAUUUUAGAAAUCCAUGCUGUAUCCACAAAGUAUACUAGCACGGGAGAUUUUCAGGGUAAUAACUCUAUCACAUAUAUUAAAGUCACUCACCUGGAGUCCGCACUAACGCACCCUAGCACGAAUAUCAAGAUGUCACGUACUAUCAUUUGUAACAUCCCACAUCAACCAACAGAGAGGGGGUGAUGUGUCUUAUAUGUACAUGCCCACCUCUAUAGCACGAGGCUUUUUGGGAGCUCAUUGGCUUCAUAUUCCAUCGGAACUCCAAAGUUAAGCGAGUUUGGGCGAUAGUAGUCCAAGGAUGGGUGACCCACUGGAAAGUUCUCGUGUGAGUUCCUAGAAACAAAACCGUGAAGGCGUGGCCAGGGGGGCCAAAGUGGACAAUAUUGUGUUACGACGGAAUUAAGACUGAGAUGUGACAGAAUGGUAUCAGAGCCGCUCUGCCGCGUGGUGCAAGUGUGCCGAAGAGGACAUCGAGCCCCUAAGGGGGGUGGAUUGUAACAUCCCACAUCGACCAACGAAGAGGGGGUGAUGUGCCUUAUAUGUACAUGCCCACCUUCAUUUAGCACGAGGUCUUUUGGGAGCUCACUGGUUCCGGGUUCCAUCGGAACUCCGAAGUUAAGCGAGUUCGAGCGAGAGCAUUCCCAUGAUGGGUGACCCACUGGGAAGUUCUUGUGUGAGUUCCCAGAAACAAAACUGUGAGAGCAUGGCCGGGGCCCAAAGCGGACAAUAUCGUGUUAUGGCGGAGCCGAGAUUGGGAUGUGACAUCGUCACCUAAGACAAAGUACAAGUCCACAUUUAGAGUUCUUCGAGUAUUCACAUAAUCAAAAAUUUACAUACGCACCCUACAACUAAUGAAGAGAAAUCGAGACACGUUGACAAAAAGUCAACCGUCGAUCAACGGUAGGGUCCACAACCCUACGUAACUUAAUCCGUAAGAUCCAGCCACUGUAUUUGUGAUUCAUAAGUUCCUAAGGUCCUCAAAUCUUACGUACAAUAACAUACUAAACUUUAGUGACGAUCUAAUGGUCGAAUCAUCAUUUACUAUAAUGUUCAAAUGACGCAAAUUCGUCAAUCGGAUGUCAAAUAUGGAAUCGGUCAUCGAAUUUAGCCUAGGAAGAUCAAGUGGUGUCUCAAGCCACGCACCACCAUGCGCAGCAGUUGGCAACCCAGAUUCGUCGAAAAAAUCACCUGAUUCCAAAAUGAAUGUCGUGAGACGUGGAGUAAAUUGUAUACCUGUGAGAAGCCCAAUUUGGCCAGGAAGUGGCCUGAAAUCACUUUAGACCGUCGGAAACCCUAAAAUAGGUGAAUCUCGAUUAGUCAUCUCUGGUAUUCCACCGUCCUCAAACUUGUUUAGGGUUCUCAAAAAAAUGCUAAUGAUGAUGGUGAUUGAAGGAGAACGUUUCAGAAAUAGUGAAUCGCCGGCGAGGGUUUCACGGAAUCGACAUGGGUGUUCCUCGUGGAACCAAGACCAAAUCUCAACGGUUUUGGCUAGAAAUGGAUGCUGGGAUGUCGUGGUGAGGUUUGGUAUUGAUGGGAGGUCGAAGAAAGUCAAAAAAAUCGACGAAAAAACUGUCGUCGGAGUCACAGGAAACGUGUUAGAAAAAUGAGUCGCCGAGUUUGAAACGGGUCGAAGGCUUUUGGGACAGCUACUUAAUCUCUCUUCUCUGAUUAGUCACUCCACUCACUCUCUCAUUUGAUUGGUCCAGCCUUCCCACAUGGUGGGAGUUCCCUCAUAUAGUAACCCAAAAUUUACUAUUUAAAUUUGGUAUCAAACGUCCGUAACUUUUUUGUUAUAGUUCCGAUUCACAAACGGCUUUCGCCUACGCGCUCGUAUGAUCGAAUUAUACUUGAAAACAUUAAUUGUGACCUUAAAAAGGUCUACAAGUUUUAAAAGAUUAAUUACAAAAAUUCACACCUUGUAACUAUACGAUUCAAAUUCUAAAAUUAACGGAAUUAAAAUAAACUAAAAAUAAUGUAAACACGAAAUACAGACUUUAAUAAUGAAAUACGUAAUUAAUAGUGGAAUUCUGGGGAUGGGAUUUCACACCUUGCGUCCGGACCUUGAGUGCGGAUCAGAAUCCAAAGGUCGUGAUCUGACGAGCUCAUGUAUAGAACAGAGUUGUUGUGACCCAAUGCAAUUCAAAACUUUUAUGUUUUUUUAUUUACUGGGUACGUUUUUGUAGGAGGAAAAGGGGAAGUCGAGGGAUUCUUUGCGCAAUAAAGAGGGAAAGAGAGAAAAGGGGAGCUAAGAGGUUCUUCGCGCGUUAAAUUUUUGCUUCUGAUUUUGCAACCUAGAAAUAAAGUAUUUUCUUUAUGGUUUAUGGUUCAAGAAUAUAAUGGAUGCAACCUAAAAAUGUUUAUUUUUUUAUUUUUUACUUUUUUUCUUCUUAUGUUGGCUUUUGGUUUAUUCUUAUAAUGCACUAUAUAUUAACUAAAUUUAUAAACAUUUUGUAUCUUUGUUGCAGUCAAAUUAAUCAUAUGGGUUGGCAUGACGAAGUUCGACUGAGACAUACAGAUGUUUUGCAAUCUUAAGUCUAACCUGACACACCCCGACCUCAAUAUCCAGUGGACACCAAAAUUGAGGUGUGAUGGCCAUCAUCCGGAUGGGUGACGAAACCAUUAUAUGCAUGAAAACAUAAUUACCCAAACACGUCUUAUUAAAAUAUUGAGUAAAUACCAUACAAGAUAGAAUACGUCAGAGCUGUUGCAAAAUACCUCAACGUCCGAUGUAAUCACUGAUAGAAUUACUGAAUCAUGUAUAAAUGGAAAGCUGAUAAAUACAUGUAAUUUGAGUGGAUACUUACCAGCAGCAUGGAUACAAUAUCAUCCACCAGUCGUAACUAGUGAAAGUUGGAUAAUAUAAUCAUGUCAUUGCCGAGUAAUCUCAAGGCAAUGACAAGAUGAGAAUGUAACUGAGUAAUCAUAUCAUUACUAAAUAAUCUCAAAGUAAUGACAAGCUAAGAGUAUAACCGUAUAAUCAUGUCAUUACCUCGUAAUCUCAAAAUAAUGAUAAGCUGAGAGUAUAACUGUAGUACCUCUUAUUAGUGCAAUGCAUGAUAUGAAUUCCAUCUCACAUAUAUAUGCAAGCCAUAAUCAAACCAAUAAACAUCCAACAAAAGCCACAAUCCUUUUAACAUUCGACCACAAGAUCAAUUUUCAUAUUUCCCAAACCUAGGUUCCAAAGCAUUGUUUCGAAUUAUUAAUACAAGAAACCACCACCACCUCAAUCAACUCCUAUUCACAAGUGUAAGCAAUUACUAAAUGCAUCACUUUCGACUCUAGUCUUAAUUAGAUUACUUGGGAUACUCACACCAUCAGAUCCAAGUACUAUUUUGAUAAACUUUAAAUAGCAUGGUUAAAAUAAAUGAAACACUUUUAGAAAAUAAGUGAAGAUGUUGUUUACAAAUAUAGAUGCAUCUGUAUAUAAAAGCUUUGGCGGUUGAUCCGUAUACACACUUCCAGAGAUAUAAGCAAGUUCAUUGGAAUAUACAUACAUAGUUAAUGUAUUACAAUAUAAUUAAUAAGAAAACAAUUGCAUCCCUUUCAGAUUAUAUAUAUAUAUAUAUAUAUAUAUAUAUAUAUAGACACACACAUACAUACACACAGGCCCUUUAUGCAAAGGAAUUUCCAUUUUUUUUCAAAAAUGGGGAUUAGUUGUGGGGCCCACGCUGCAUUGAACUUUAACGAUCCGAACAGUCUAUUUUGUAAGUCUCGAUUCAUAGAUCAUCCUUGUAAAAAUUCAAUUCAAUCCGAACCCAUUUGCCUAUUUAAUUAUCAAGAUAAAAUUUUAUUGUUUCUUAUAUAACAAAGUAUUCGUUAAUUUCUUUGAACUCAAUUAGAUAUCUUAAACAUUUCCGAUUUGGUUAAUAUUGUGUAAGGAUGAUCUAUGUGGUGCAACUUGAAAAAUAGACGAUUACGAUCGUUAAAGUUCGAUGUGGUGAGAACCCUACAAUUAAUCUUCAUUUUUAUAAAAGAAUGGGAACCCCUUCCCUUAAAGGUUUCCUAUGUAUAUAUUUGUUCUCCAGACAUAUGCAAAAGGUAAUGUAAAACCAAUGAGAACUUAAAUAGAUAUUCCAUACAUAGGACAAUUCCAUAUAUGCUUUUUCAACAUUUAUAUCGAAAAGCCAAAUUGUUUUGAGGAAAUUAAUUGUAGCAAUGAUCCCUUAACUUUUAUCUUAUUGGAGCAAUGGUCUCUCAACUAAAAAUUCAUAACCAUUGGUUCCUUAACUCCACACAACGUGUAGUUAUGGUCAUUUUCAUUAACUCCGUCAGAACUUUUGUUAAAACAAGUAAUGUUAGAAGAAUCAUUGCUACAAUUAAGUUAAAGUUGGGGACCAUUGCUCUAAUUAAAUUAAAAUUGAGGGAUCAUUUCUCCAAAUUGCUUAAAGUUCAAGGACCAUUUCUACAAUUUUCUCAUCUAGUUUCCCAUAUUUACCCCAUGAUUCAGCUUCACAUGCAUUGCACAUGACUCAUUUUGAAAUUUUUUUUAACGAAAUUGAUGAAAAUGACCAUAAAUGCACGUUUUGAAGAGUUAAGAGACCAAUGGUCGUGGAUUUUAGUUGAGGGAUCAUUGCUCCAAUUUAGUUAAAGUUAAGGGACCCUUGCUACAAUUUUCUCAAAUGUUUUGUAUGCGAAAAUAGGCAUUUGUAAAGUUUGGCUUGUUCAUGGCAUUAUUACUUUAGUCUAAAGUAAGGCUGGAAAUGGCACUGUAGAAAUGAAUAGUGUUCCAAUCCGAAUUUCAGUUUAAUUACAACAAUGCCAUUGCUCUUUGUGUUGCCUUUAGGUGAGCAGCCCGGCUUGCAGCCAGGCCCAAAUGUAUUGGUUUUAGCUGAGAAGCCCGGCCCUUAGUCAAGCCCAAAAUUUUAAAUUACAGUUUUGCCCAUACAAAAUAACAAUCCGAUUGUAUCGAGAAGGACAAUUUUGUCCUUUCAGUUUUGGGUGAGAUAGGGGGUAACAGGGUAAGUUUCAUUUGCUGUCGUUGAAUGAGGGUUUCGAGGAUGAGGGCUCUGUGUGUGUGGGUGUGUGAGAGAGAGAGAGAGAUAGAGAGAGAUAGAGAGGGAUAUGGCGAUGGAAGGAGAGCGAGGGGGAAGGGAAGGGUUCUCGGCACUGUUGCUGCAUGUGAAUUUCACAAGUGGGAGAGUGGGUAUGGUCAGAGAAGACCAUAUAGGUCGUUGGGAUUUCAGGGAAACGGGGUAGGGGUCAUGAAUGAACCCUGCUGAGAGUGGGUACUGGAUCUUGCGCUGCAUGCCUCAAAUCAAAGAUAAGUUCGUUUUUUUUAUUGUAUUUUUUAUGGUAGCUUAGCUUUUGGAAUUGUUUAGUAUGUUAGGUCCGAUUUUGGGGGAUUUAUCUUUUUAGAGAGAGAGAUGGACAGGGAGAUAGAGAUAGAGAGAGAGAGAGAGAGAGAGAGAGAGAGAGAGAUGAGGAAGCAUGACUGUGUGCAAUUUUUUAUGUUAAUUAAUGGGUUGGUGCGCAGGGUGAGUGACAGAGUGACAGAGUGAAGGAGGGACGUGUGGGAGGGUAUGAGUUUUCAGUUCUUUCUUUUGAUUCAACAGGUUAUACACUGUUUGAAAAACCUUUUUUUUAUUAUUUUGUUCUCGUUUGCUUUGUUAAAACCAUCAUUUGAAUUUUUGGGUUUCAUUGUGCUUAUUUCUCUGCUUCUUCAUAAUUUGCUGGUGUUUGCUUCUCAUCCCUCUGUUGGUAGAUCUUUUUCUCAUUUCUUGGUUCCUUAUGUAUUCUUUGGUACAAAUCUGUUUACUUUUUGGCUGUGUGAUAAUCUUAGCAGGUGAACUAUAUGAACGUUUUUUUGAAACGAGUUAAGAAGAUCCAGCUGAAAAGAGCAUACAAGAUAGAGAACUGGUAUGCUGCUCGCCAGGGAAAGGCUGCUGGAAAGGUUGAGACGGAUGCCUCUUUCAGAAACCAGGUCAGUUUCCUGCUGCUCGGCGUCUUAAUGUAUCCAAAUUGUUUAUCUUUUGAUGAAAUUAGCUGGCUAUAUUUUCUAUUUUAUUUAUCUGCAUAUUAUUUUGGUUUGUUGAAAUUUUGACUAUAGUCAUUGUCACAUGGGCGCCUAGCCCAACCCAAAUUAGUUGAGGAUAUUUAAAUCUUCACCAUGGUAUUAUAGUACUCACUCACAGUUGUGAAUACUAAGGUGCAUGCAUGGCAUGAAGAAGUGGACCGUGCACGCCAAGGUCAGAGGGAUGCAGAAGGCAAGCUUUUUUCUUUGGAGGUAAGUAUCCUUUGUUUAUUGCCCAACAGUGUUGUUAUUAUCAAUUUGUAGCUUUGCGUUCUGAAUUUUUUGCUUUGUCAAACAACCUUCUUGAAAUGCUCGAUUUCAAGCCGAAGUCCAAAAAAUGAAAGUUGAGAUGGCUUCCAUGAAGAGGGAUGUAGAGCAUUACUCGCGCUAGGUGAAAUCUGCUUCCUCUCUUUUCGUAUAUCUUCAUAUGAAGAGUUUUACUAAGUUAUAUUGAGAACUAUGUUAUUUAUAGGUUAUAUUUUCCAUUUUGCAGGAACACAUGGAGCUAAGGAAGAGCUAUCGUGAACUCACUGAUCUACUGGUAAUGUCACUCAAACUGCUUUAUUUGUGCAUGCUGCUACUAUGCGCUUGAAUGCAUUUUAUUACUGGCGGGAUGCGAAGAAAGCUAGAUAUAUGUGCUGGAUCGCUUGAUUAAUGUUAGGGUUUUAACAACUAAUUGUUAGCAGCUAGAAGCCCUGGUUAGAUUAAUGCUAAUUUGAUUUUCCUUACAGUACUUGAGUGCCAGUUUCAUAUUGUUUGUUCCCUGUUGGAUACCUGCUGUACAGUUUCAUUUCUGUUUCUUCAUAACUUUCUUGGCCCUGGGAUAUAUGCAUAUUGAGUACAAUGAAUAUCCAUUGUUCUCUAACUGUUGGGCUUUACUAUCUUUGUAGCAGCCUGCCUAACAUUUUUUAGGCUCUACACUCUACCAUCCAAUUUAUGAAAAAUUCAAAGAUUGGACGAUAUUGAUUGCAGAAAUGAAAAAAAUACUAUGAUAUUAGAAAGGUGAAUGUAAUUGUGUUAGAAUAAGCGUCUAGCAUGAUGGGUAAUAUUUUAAGUUUGUAUUUCUAAAAUUUUUUCGUUCUGGAGUAUGAUUUACCUCAAUUGUUUUGUACUUUAAUCUUUACUAAUUUUCAUUGUGGAGUAUGAUUUGCCUCAACUAACAACUUUUCAUUGUUUAACUUUUUCCUCCCUUAGAUAGUUGCAUAUGUUUGAUUUGUUAAUCUGCUUCUUACACAUGUUGUUUCCUAAUGGUGUAGGUGGGUUGUCGGAUGCAUGUGCAGAUUACUUGAAUAGACGAAGCUAAGAAUGACUUAGUAUUAAGUGAGACAGAAGCUUGGGUCAGUUGGAUUUUGACAUUUGAUUUAUUCAUGUUUUUUGUUGCUUGCAAUGUUCUCGCAUUGUUUGUUCUGAGAUUCUGUGAUCUUAUUUUUCAUAGGAACUGACAUUGGUUUGCCAUAUAAUGUUUCAGGAACUAAUACAACAACUAAUCACCUUGCUUAGCUCUCAAGACACAUACUUAACAGGUUAACAAACACUAACCUAUAAACUGAUCUGCUAAGCUGGACCAUUAACCUCUGUUUAUAUCCCUGCCACUCAUCUUUUGGCACUUAUCAAUAGCAAAAUCUAGAGUUGUUGAAACCCCAAUUUUAAUGAAUAUUAUUUUUAGUUGAUAAUUAAAAUUAAUUGAUGAUUAAUCUAUUCCAUUGUGCAUUAUUUUAUCGCCAAAUACUUUGAAUAUUCAUUAGCAAAAGAUAUAGGGUUCACUAUUUAAUGAAUAGAAUUUUGAUGGUGGAUUGCAUUUCCUGAGUUAUAAAUGUGGUGAAUCCAUUAUUUACUAGCUGAAUAAUCAUAAUGUUUUGGCCACUUACCUUGAAUUUUGUUCAAAUUGAAGAAGUCACAUGUUUCUUUCUGUUGUUGAGGUAAUCUCUCUGUUGAAAGCUUCUAUUUCUUUUUUUUUUUUCUUUUUUUCAUUUGGGUAGAUUUUUUUUUUUAUGGAUUUAUGUAUUUUUUUUCCAGAGAAUUCGAAAUGAAAUAAGAAUAGCGGAUUGAGCAUAAACAAAUUGAUGAAAUUUUUAUUUGAGUGUUUGUGUUAGUCCUUUUUUGAUUUGUUGAGGUUUGGAAUUAUUUGAGUUUUUUUGCUGUUAGUACUAUGAAGGAUGCUUGGCAAUCGCGAAAUGGGGGCUACCUCUUUGGAAAGAGAAGUCUCGCUAUCCAACCUCUCAUGAAUUACAAACAGGGUGAUUUCUUGCUGAAAAACCACUGAACCAGUAGAACUUUCCUCGGUUCUUCAAUUCGAUUCGAAUAAUUUUUUUACCCAGAAAAGCCAGCGUUUCCUGGUGGGUUUUACAGCUUUCUCAAUGUUUUUGUGAUUUUGGAUUUGCAAAUUUGUUUUCUGUUCAAAUUUCCUUUUGUGAUUUUGGAGGUUUUGUUUAUCGAUUCUCUCACUCAUCUCUCAGCUCUCUCUCACUUUUGAGGUACAUGCCGUUGGAUUCCGUUUGCUGCUGCUGAUCUGUAGGUAAAGCUUCAAUUACCAUAUAAAGUUUACAUUUUUCAUGAUUUCUUGAAUUUGGGUUUUAAACAAAGGAAAUAUUGCUAGAUUCUUAUCUUAUGUGCAAAUUACUGGCUAUUUGGAUUGGUGCCUGAGAUUUAGAGAAUGCCUCGCAGCUUUAAUUUCUUUUUCCUUCAUUAUUACUGUUUUCAAAAUUUUUAUUGCUGGGUAUUGAUAAUUUGUAGUAUGUGAGGGCUUCAAUAUGUUGGAAUUUUGAAUGGUUAUUGCUUCAUCGGAAUUUGGGUGGUCCAAAUUUUGAAUUAGAAGAAACCCAUUUGAUUAAUAUUUUUGGUGGAUUGGUUCUCUGUGUUUUCCUUGCUAUUUCUCCCCCAGUUGGAAAUUGGAAGCCCCAACUUUGAGCUCAGAGCUUGAAUUUCUCAAUCGUUCGUUUCUCUGCACUCUCAUCAAUCACUCUUGAUCCUCUAUCUAAAGAACUGGGUAAUUUUCCAGCUCUAUCAAGUAAUACUCCAUUUAAUUGCUUAAUUGAGGUUUUUUGUUUCUCUUUUUCGCUCUUUCAUCAGUUCAUUGACUUUGAUGUUGAGCUUAAGUAAAUGGGAGAUCAUUAAUUGGCAUUGUUCAAGAUAUAAUUCUGUGUUUUUGGAUUUGUGAAACGAUUUGCCUAAUGAUGAUAGUGGUUAAAAUAAAUUUUUCGUUAUGAAGAGAACAUUGUUCUUCAUUUGCCUACGGUUUUAACUACAAAGUUAAACUACUAUGCUUUUGUUCAAUUGACUGCAACUCAUGCCGCAGUUUGCUUCACAAACCUCUACGGUUAGCUUCCAUACAGUAUGUUGCAAGUUUGAGGAUAUCUUUACAUCUUAAUUUUUGCUCUCUCUGGUUGCUUCAAGUUUGUAAUUUUACGUGUUACAUUGCUACUUGAUUUGAUUAUAAAAAUGCAAAACAAAAUCCGUUUUGCUUUUAUUCAACUUAAAUGUAUCCUUUUGUUUGUUCAUAAUUGUGUUGAAUUUAUUCAACUUAAAUGUGUUUUAUUCAUCUAUUUACGCUUAAAACAACUGGUUCCCCUAGCAAUGCGCGGGCCUAAUUUCUAGUACAUAUACUAAAAGCCAGCAGAAAAUUACUGUUCAUCAUGGGAGAUAGAGCACUGUUCAUUAACAGUGAAAGGGCGAAAAUGCCCUCGGUUUCUUCUUUACUUCACGUACUGUUUACGAAUUGCUACAGUAUAAAGUCCGUUUUGUCCUUCCUGUCCACACAUCUUUCAUCGUCCGUUUCUCUUGCUUCGACCGUAUCUUUUUUGCUUUACCUUUCCUCUUCAUUUUUCGCAUUCGUUAGGCUGCGAUUUUCGGAGGUGGAUUGUUUGCCCUCCCAUUUCCAUGCUCUCCCCAUGCCUAUGUGGUCACAGUUAAACCACGUCAAUAUUUUAUAUUAAUUUUUUAUAAAAAUAAUAAAACAAAAAGUAAUAAGAAUAUAAAAUAUUGACGUGGCUUAACGUGGUCCGUGAUCACAGUAGGCAUGGAAAUGGUCCGCGACUUUCUCCCUUUUCGCCAGCCCCUCUUUUGCUCUCAAAUCCUUGCUCUUUCUUUUGCAAAAUAGUCUCAGAAGAGAUCCUGGGUUUAUCGAAUCCUUUGUUGUUCGGCGUUUUGUUCUCAUCUUGUGAUCGUCGGGUCAGCAGCUUUAAGGUAAGUUUGUUUUUAAUGAUUUAUCCUCAUUUUACGAUGUCUGGGCUAACAAAUUUAAGAUCUUUAUUUUUCUUUUUGCUGCGGAUCUGCAGGUUUUGACAAGUUUUUUGUGAAAUUGGUGCUGUCAGUGGGUGUUAACAUCAGGUACCCAUGUUCAGUUUUUCGUUUUGAUUUGAAGGAAUUUCUUGCGCAGAAGUGCUAGGGUUUCUUGGUGAGUUCUUCGGGUUGUGCAUAUGGGUAAUUUUCUUUUCGGUUUAACCCGCUGCUUCUGCUGCUCUCUCUCUUUCUCUCAUCCCUGCCUGCUCCUCUCCAAUUGUUUGCUGUUCUUAAAUAUUGUGUUCAUUGCCUGAUACAAGGAGCUGCAGCAAUCUGUUUUAUCCUACACGGGACAACGAGGCAAUGGCGUGACAACAGGUGAGCUUGGAUAUCCAAAGAAAGAGAACAGUUGGUUCAUCUGCUGGAGUCUGAAGCUCAGAGAAGUGGAGGAAAAUUGCAGGUGUGCGAGAAAUUUUAUUUUGCUGAUAGGACUCCUUAUUUACGGAUGCAUUUUGAAAUAAUUGAAAAGUUGGAUUUGAGUUAACAGCUAUAAAAAUGUAGACAUGAUUGCUGAGAUUAUGCUAUGAAAGUGGAAUAAAAAAAUGGUAGUUUAUAAUAUUGCGUACCAAUUUUUUUCUCUCUUUUUUACCAAAUGAUAAGGGUGGUGGCUCAGGCCGCCCCCCCUACGCGUCCCCACUCUUCGACAAGUUGAAAUCAUGGUGAUAGUUUAUGGGCUGUGGUCUUGGGAUUCUGCAAAUAGAUUAAAAAACAGACACUUAACUAUCUUGUUAUUAAACAUUUCUGCAUCAUUCAGUUGCUCUUGAUUUUCGUCUUUUAAGCGAUCUUAUUUCUGCGAUCUGACUUGAGGAGGGUUUUUAGACCUAUGGUUGUGGGUGUUUUGUCUGACCCCAUUAAAUUGGUUUCCGAGAUUUGUAGACUUGCGAUCGGCAGUCAAACAUUUUGUGAUUCUUGCUUUUUUUCCGACUGGGAUUGACGAAUUUUGGCCGAAUCUGUUUCCUGUUUUCUUCUCUGUUUGAGCGGCCGCUGCCUUUCGGUCGUUGAGCGCCGGCAGUCUUUAGAUCUUUGGCAAAUCAAUUUAAUACAACCGAGGUAUGUUUUAUAACUGCUGUCUUUCAAUUUUUGUUCUGUAUUUUUGUUAAUUUGGAUGAAGCUCUAAUAAUUUUGUUUUGGAUCAGUUGUGGUCCUCUGUUAGGAUUUUCCUGGCUAAGAGGGUAUUUGCGUUUUUGUUGCUUGGUUGGUCGAUCACAGAUUUACGAACAGCUGUGGUGGUCCUGUUAUUUUUUUGGUAUGUUUUUUCUCCUUUUUGGUUUUUUCCCGGUUUGAGCACCCAUUCAUGAAGAAUUAAAAUGUGUUUAUAGUUUUUCAGGAGAGAUUAGAAAAGUGAUUUCAAUUUGGGAAAAUUUAAUGUUGGUUAAAAUUUGUCUAUAAUUUUUGGGAAGGAAUGAGAGGACCCAUUGAAGUAUGUGUUGUGAUUAUUUUUUAUUCAUAUUUUUAACAAAUUGGGCAUGAAUUGGUAGGUUAACUGUGUGUGUUUAUUAUUUGAAUCGGCCAUGUUUGUCUUUCUAUGGUUCUAAAAAAUUUGUAAAGGCUGUUAACUUGGAAGAAAAUGGGAUCGAGGGUGAGGGGAAAACGGCAGAGAAAGCAUGGAAGAGAGAUUUGGGAUUAGGGGUAGGAAAACAGAUGAAAAGAAUAUGAUAGAGGAAUGAGUUCAGUUCAUUUUCACUAUUUUUUUUAACUGAUUUGGAUUUUGUUUGGGUUUGAGGCCAUCAUUGGCGUUAAGACGUUUAUUAUCAGAUCGUGUGUGUUUUUUGCUAACUUUUAUUGGUCAUUUUUAUGUUGUUCUUAUGAUUUUGUGUGGUAGGGUUUCUGAAUUUUAUCGUUAUUCAUUUGGUUUUUUGUGUGUGUUGGUUUGUUUAUUUUGCAGGUUGUGUUUGUGCUGGGACAACAUUUUCCACCUUCUGUUUGCACUGGGAUGAUUGCGUUUUAAAACUGUUGGGGUGAGAUUUACAUAUGGAAUCAUUCCAUUUUUUUUCUUCCAAAUAUGUGCAUUUAGUUCUUUUUAUUUUAAAUUUUAAAAAUUAAAUCGUUAUUUGAGUAAAAUGUUUUAUUAAUUUAUGUUAUGUGUUGUGAUCAGGAAUUCUGUUGGAUUUGCAAAUUUUGGUUUGAUGAGAGAGAUGAGGAGUUUUUUUUGUUUGAAUUUUUUAUUGGACCGAUUUUCAAUUGGAUUGCAUUCUGCCUUUUUGCACCAUUCUUAUGCAAGCAAUUCAUUGUUUUAAAUACAAUUUGAAGAGAGCUGGGUUGCGGGUUGGAUAUAAAAUGUUAAGGUGAGAUAAAAUCGAGAUACCAAGGGUGGAAGAAUGAUUCAGAAUUGGGGGAGGAAAACAGAGGGAAGAUGGAAGAGUAUAAGAGAAGGAUAGGGUUGACCUCAUUUAGAGUUUUUAUUUACUUUUUUUUUUAUUAUUUAUAAAUUGAUUCAGGACUAGCAUAUCAUUUCUAAAUUUCUAACAUUUUUGUUUAAUUUGACUCCAGUUGAUGGAAAACAGAGCUCUUACUCCUAUCAAUCAGUUGGUCCCGUACAUAAAUGCAGAAAAAUCAAGGUUCGAGUUUGCAGAGUAUGCAGACCAAGGUUUCCUGAAACUACUGGUGCUGUCACGCCCCAAUCCCGACCUAUGUCCAGGAUCGACACGUGACGUUAACAAAUACCCAUAUCUCUAACAUACCCCGCCUCCGGAAUAUGGGCAAAGCACAACUGCGUAAUAAUUUUUCGUAUACUUUAUGGCUGCAUCUAACAUCCUCGUUAGAUUAUCAUACCUUAUGGCUACAUCUAACAUCCUUGUUAGACUGCCUACGUACUCUCAAAAGGGAUCAAACCAUUCGUAGUUCACCACACUCCAAUCCACAAAAAUUUGCACAUGCACUGAUUAUAAAAUGGAACUGCACCUAUAGAAACCUAAUCAUAACCCGUGGGCGAUUUGCUCCCACAUAAGAAAGACGUCCACAGUACCAUGAAAUACUUCCACAUCUUUCCUUCCCAUUUACACAAUAUUUUAUUUCACCUCCCUGAUAAAUAUAGCAUUUACAUUACAUGUGGCAGACAAAUUUGCAUAUUCAACUAUAAUAAAAUACAAUCUUAGUAGGAAAAACCUACAAGACCACCACUCGUUUGAGCCAAACUUUAGCUUAGCACUCAACUGGUGCUCACACCAUGUGAGUGCACGAUCCUUUAAGAUGGAUGCGAUGGUUCUCUUUUGAGAUUAAUUUUGUUACAGGUAUAACAUAGUUGGCAACCGUUUAGAAAUAGAUGCCUCAUGUUCAAAACUCUCAUUACCAAAUGUUCUAACAAGUUAGUAGAGAAGGUAAAAGAACCCAAAUGGCGAGAAAUAGUGUCCUGAUGAAACAAAAGAUGUAACCCUCAUUCAAGCACGAACAUCAUUUCCUUGAGAAUCUGCGAUUUCUUCCCUCAUUUGGUCAAUAUAGCUUGUAUUCCAACUGCAACUUACUAAUAGCAUUUGUUCUCUCCUCGAAUGAAACCAUAACCAGCCAUUUUAAAUAAAGCUGAACAGUUUCACGUUGGGAAAAUAAAGAUUAUAACAUACAGGUUUUGGAUUAGAUUCCCAAACCAACAGAAAAUUAAGAUAGGAAUCUAUUUUGGGUUAACUGAGGUAUGAGUGGUAUACAAAUGAGAAAUUCCCUACAAAAGUCAAUAAAACCAGUUACAUAACAUGUUGAAUAUAAUACAACAUGAAAUAAGAAGCACCACUUGUUUAUCUGACUUUUUAUACAUGUAUUUUCCUAAGGGAUAAAAACGUGCGGGUUUUGGGAUCAAUCUGAAGAGGGCUUCACCACGAAUACAUAGCCUUUGACCGUGCAUGAUUUCGUUGCCGUAUGAGAAAGUUAUCAUUUUUUUUUUUUGUGAAGAAGAAUUAAGGGGGAGAAGAACAGCUGCCCCCUCUGUUUCUGCAUCUGCCCAGCGGGGAAAGAAAAAGAAGAGAAGCCCUUGGCUUCUAGAAUACUCCCUCCCCAAAAUUACAAUUUUGCUCUCUAACUUUGAUUGUUUAUAUCUUAUUCGUUAUAACUCUGUUUCACGAACAGCUUUUGCUUACAUGCUCACAUAGUCGUCAUCUAUUUAAAUAUAUCAAGAAAUACAAUAAAAUACAUCCUCGUAUAAGUAUGUUAACCAAUUAGGGCACUUUCGUCAUUUCCACUUAUCGAUAGAUUUUAACACGUUAAUUAUAAUAAUGUCCGGAAACAGCUUUAAAAUUUCCAAAUUCUAUUUCCAUAACCAUAAAUCGAUUUAUUAAUUUUUCAGGGUAUCACAGGUGCAUAUUCAGGCUUGCAUUGUAUAUUACUUUCCUAUUAAAAAUUUGUUUGGAAUUUGCUUUUCCCACAAAGGAGAAGAGCUGACAGUUACGCUGUGGGCAGAUGUUGCUCGAAGUAUUGCUUCUUUAUCCAUUGAAUCAUUGUCUCUGCCGAUCUUUGCGGUUUUCACAAGUUUAAAGGUCAAGCUGUACCUAGGUGUUUGACUUAAUUAAAAACUAAUCUAUUUAUUUCGGAGGCGGAGCAAAAUGCUAUCUGUCUUACCCCUCUUGGUGAUCUUAGUCGGAAAGAUCGGCUAGUUUGGGAUGUGAGUAAGAAUGGGCAGUACUCGGUUCGAUCGGGCUAUCAUUGGCUGCAAUCUAGGUCUGUUGGGUUCAGGGAUCAACGCCAGCUUGGUGCUUGCUUAGUUCCGAGGCAUUUGUGGCGCAUGGUUUGGUAGUUGAGUGGGCCUCAUAAGCUCCGUCAUUUCUUUUGGUUAUCUUUGCAUAAUGCAUUACCGUCAUUUCUUUUGGUCCGUGACCAGGCAUGAGGAGAGCAUGGAAAUGAGAGGGCAGACAAUCCACCUCCGCGACUUUCUCCCUUUUCGCCAGCCCCUCUUUUGCUCUCAAAUCCUUGCUCUUUCUUUUGCAAAAUAGUCUCAGAAGAGAUCCUGGGUUUAUCGAAUCCUUUGUUGUUCGGCGUUUUGUUCUCAUCUUGCGAUCGUCGGGGUAGCAGCUUUAAGGUAAGUUUGUUUUUAAUGAUUUAUCCUCAUUUUACUAAACUAUUUAUGGUAACUUAGUAUGGUAACUUAACUAAGUAAGUUUGCUUUUAGCCCAAGGGUUGGAGAUGGUCUUAGUAUGGUAACUUAACUAUUUAAUUCCAUCUCAUUAAACUAAAAAAAACAAUUACAUAAAAAUAAGGGAAACCUUGUCCAGAGAGACCUGAGAAAGUCCACCCCUAAGGACUUUGCGCCAGCACCCAGCGUAUUUAUCUACUCAAGUGAACAGUAAUAGACUGGAGUGAACAGUAAUAGGCCAAGGCAUCUCCACCCCUAAAAAAAUGCGCUGGCACCCAGUGCAUUUAUUUGGUGUGUUUUUUUUUUAAAGUUUAUUUCAGAUAAGAUUUUUAACCAAUUUCGGAUAAAAUUUCAAAUAAACUUAAAAAAAAACACUCUAAAAUAAAAUUACAUACUCAUCAAAUAAACUUAAAAAAACACACUAAAAUAAAAUUACAUAAACUCAUCAAAUAAAUUAAGGAUGAGCUUUUUGGUAUUUUUUUUUCACACAAAAAGUAUAUGAAAGCUUUGGUAGAAGGUCUAGAAAAUAUUGAAAUGUGGUGUAAGGUGGAAGAUGAGGGUUAGGUAUUUAUAGAAAAAAAAUAAUAACUUUUUUAAAAUUUUACUGUAUUUUAAAAAAAAAUCUGUAUUUUUUUAUAUUUUUAAUUAAUUUUAAUGUAGUUAAUUAAUUUGGACCGUUGGAUUUGAAAAAUAUUCAAAUCCAAUAGCCCAGGAUCGGCCACGUGGCCAACGCCAGCAAAUGGCCCAGCUUCUUGGUCAGCCUGUUUUGUGCUGGCCCAGAGACCAGUUUGGGCUGGGUGCCAGUCUGUUUUGUGGGCUGGAGUGAAUGGACAGGGUCCCAGCCUGUUUUUUGUGCUGAGUGCUGGCCUAAUCCACCACCGGUGGACUUGCUCUGAGAGAAAGUGACGACUUCUCCUCUCAUUCCACUCCAUACUUGAUCUCUAAAGUCCAUUUGGCAUGUAAUUGAUGUUCAAUUUCAAAUUUAGUGGUAGCAAUUAGCAAAGCUAAUGAAAGAAUCAAAUAAAAUGAAAGAAAAAGCAUCAUGAAAUAAAUCAAGAUGAAGAAUGAAAUUUUGGCAACUCGCCAUUCUCUUCUUUUAUAUAAAAGAUACAUCCUAUUUGUAGUGAAAACAGGUCCCGACAAACCCAGUUAUCCUCAAGAAGUAUUUUGUAUGACUUUAAAAACAUAAUCCGUGAAAUUAUCUCUUGGCUGAGAACAACAACAAAUCUUCAUGCAUAGCUUGUACAGAAAGACAUCAGGCAUACAAAAGAACACGCAAGCAUAAAAUAAACGACGCAGGGAAAACCAAAAAUACUAUAGAACACGUCGCUGUCAAAAGAACAUGAAUAAAUGAAAAUUACAAAACAAAGAAGUGAUGAGAAACCAAAGUACCCAUUUCAUAAUCUAGUUGCUUUUUAGUUUGCUUGCCAUUUUUAGUUCUUCAAUUUAGAGAGAAACGAUAAUUCAGCACAUGAAUAAAGUGAAAACGUAAAAGAUAUGUGGGAUAAGCUGACAGCCAUCCCUGAGUAAUGCAUUCACUUAUGAACCCCAAACACAACGAAACAAAAAUUCACACAUGAACUACAGCUCCGCUAUGUAACAAGAAUUAAAAGCAUCUCAAGACAAAAUGGCAAACUAUAAGAGCACUGUAAAAGUAAAAUUGCAAGAAAUCUAAUACUUGGAGGGCAAGUACUACUCAGACGAAAAUGAAAGAUUGAACUACCUCGCGUGGAACUGUGCCUUGGUUUUUUCCCAUGCUUACAGGAAGCUUUGCACUGAGCUCUUAUAGCCCAAAUUUUCUCUGAAAGAAAAAAACACAAUUUUGAAAUAAGAUUUUCAUAUUAUACCUUAAAGAGAAGAAUUAGAAAACAAAAAAGAGAACAAUGAGUACUAUUCAUCAUAUAUUGUUAGAGUGUGUGGUCCUUUGGUCCAAUGGUCCUGCAGCCAUAUUUACUUUAUAACUCUUUCUUUUAGUCUAAAAAACAUCUUGGAUCUCAAAUUAAUAUGAAUACGGAUUCAUACGCAUGCAUUGCAUUACAACCACAAUGCAAUAUCUCAUUAGAAAUCCCCACACAAAAUUUUUUUAUUUCUACUUUGAUUUUAGUUUAUAUUUUUUCUAAAGCACGAGGGAGCUAAUUUUUUUUUAAAUUUUUUUUAUUCCAAUAAUGUUAUAGGGUUGAAAGGAUAUUAUCAAUUUAAUUGAUUGUAUUUGAUUGGUGGAACUUCUAUAUCUAUAUUUCAGUUUUUCAAAUUCAGCACUGGGAGAGUCAUUCAUAAAAUGUUUGACAGUGAGAUUACCUCCAUGGAUUAUGCUCACAAUGGACAGCUCAUUUUCCGCAGUGAUGGGACAAUAUAUUUCAGUCAUUCGCCAUUCAAUCAAUUCAAACCGAGGAACAAGCAACAUCAAGAAGAGGAUCUGCCAUGUCAGGAUCACUGUCGUCCAAUUAAUACAAAAAAUCUAGAUAAAAACGAUCAAUUUACAUAAAAGCCUUUCAUUUUCUCAGCAACCAAGCAAAAGAAAAUACCUAUCCGUUAACACUCGAUUUGGGAGUAAAUGUUGCUGAAACUGGACUUCAAUCCCCUCAACCGCAACAACCGAAUCGAGGUGUGCAAGUCAUUGAAAAACUCACCCAAGAUUUCAAAAUCUGCAUAAAUAAAUAAAUAAGCACAUAAAUUAGCCAACCCUGUUAUGAUCCCACAUCGGGUACACAAGAAAUUGUGUAGUGGUACUUAAGUGCAAGGGGUCCUCCCACCUAUUGGACUAGUUUUUUGGAUUGGGCUCUUCCCUUGGGCUUGAGUACCUAACAUUGGUAUCAGAGCCUAGGUUCCCGACGCUGCGGGACUUGGCGAGUGGUGCAGCCUCGUGGUGCCGCCUUGAGAGUAUGGGCUCCUAAGGGUCUUGGCGACGGGCAAGGUAUGAAAUGCCGAUAUUAUCGCGAUAUUUCGCCGAUAAUAUCGGUUUUUUGAGUUACCGAUAUUUUAAUACUUAUCCACUGAGUUUUCGUCAAAAUAUCGCGAUAAUAUCAACAAUAUCGCGAUAUUACCGAUAAUAUCGCGAUAUUUUGGAGAUGUGCGAAUCGGAGAAGAACGCCGGAGCUUUUACAGCUCCGGCCGACUGUAAAAGAGCACCCUAGACUCCGAUCUAGGUAUCAAAAUGAAAUACAAGAUGAGAGGAAUGUUUUUAUAACUUCCGUUUGCCGUGAAACGGUCGAAGGUGUUCGGAAAGUUCGUCGACACCCACGGCCUCGCCAGAGAUGGGUGUGCCUAUUCCCGAGCCGAUUUCGUCCCAAAAACCUUGCAAAAACACGAGAUAGAACUUAAAUUUCACGUCUAAGCUUCAAUCUAGAAUAGAAUGAGGUAAACCCGAAGCUUACCUAACCGGAGAAAUUCAAGAAACUCGUCGGAGGGUUCCUGCGUCGCCGAGUUGCAGAGACGAGAAGGAGAGGGAGAAAGACGAGGUUGCUGAUGACGAUGGGUGUCUUCCUCAAGCAAGUGCGAUGGUGUGCGUGUGUGUAUGUGGGUCUCGGUGCAGAGAGAAAGGAGAGAGAUGAGAGUUUCGAGAGAGAGACGGCACCGACGAGAGCUAUUUGUUUUUUUUUAUCUUAAAAAGAGAGAGGUCUAAGAGAAAUGGGAAGAGAGGGCCGAGUGAAAUGAAAGGAGGUCCUUGAAUUAUUGAGAGAUAUCUCUGAGAGAGGCCUAGGAUUUCUAAAAGGUAAUCAUAAAUGGGAAAAAUGGGGCACAUCUUAGCCUUUAUUUUGGAAUCCUAAGAAGUUCACCACAUGGAUGCAUGACAUGUGUGCAUGCCAUGUUUGUUGAAUGGGAAAAGUCUGACACGGAAAGACAAAGAGUCGUUUGGGGCUCUGGGCUCGAGGCAAGACAGAAAGUGCUAGGGUUUUUUUCUGAAAUGAACAUAAGCUGCUAAAUUCGCAUAUAUUAUAGUUGUUGCUAAAGAUUGUCACUAGUGUGGACUUGGACGUGUUGGUCAACAUGUCCUCACAAUCCCCAAGUUCUCUGGUUCGAACCCUUGCGCCCAUCAAAUUUUCUUUCUUUUUGAUGCGCUUUUCCCAUGGCUCUAGGUCUUGAUUUCGAAUCCAAGUGAGCCCUUUCCUUUUUCUUUUUUGUUCUUUUUGUUUUAUUAUUUGUUUAUUUUAAUUUAUUUGUUUCUUUUAUGUUUUUCUUUUCUUUUAGUUUCUUUGUCUUAGGCGUUCGUUUUUAUUAAAGUAGGAUGUAAAAUCAAUUAUCUUAAAAUUAUGUGUUUUUAAAUUUUGGACUUGUUUGUUGGAUACUUUUUUUUCAUUUUAUCAUUCUUUUAUUAUGAAAAUAUGCUAAAAUAUGCUAAAAUAUCACUUAUGUUUUUGUGAAAAUAUGCUAAAAUAUUUAUAUAUAUGAUUUUGUUUUGAAUUCUUUUUGUACUAAUUCAUUAUAUAUAAAUGAUUAUGGUGUGUUUAAACUUCUUUAAUUAAUUACUACAUAUUUUCUAUACUCACAAUGUUUGCCAGCUCGCUAUAUAAUCAACUUAAAUCAGUUAAAUCCAUCAUGCAAUGCAUUUCCUUCCAAUUUUUUGUGAUAAACUUGUGAACACGGAAAAUUCCUGAAACGAAAGAGACAAGAACGAACGUGCACAAACAAAUAUUAUGUAUUUGAUGAUUUUGGGUUACAAUCUCUCUCUAUUUGAUCCUCUGAUUCAAUCUCCGUAAGGUGUGUAUUUGUGGAUGUGUGAUUGAUCCAAAGGGCCGUUGGGCUUGAUCUAAUGAUGAACGUUCUUCAAGGGCCGUGGACUUGAUCUUGAAGGUGGAUUUGAGCGGAUCUUCAAAGGGGCUUUUGGGCUUGAUCUUGAAGAACGGUUGGAUGUGUGGAUUUGUCGAAGUUGUUGAUCCAAAGGGCCGUUGGGGCUUGAUCUUGGAUGAACGGAUGAUGAACGAUGGUGCUUUCUUCAAGGGUCGUCGGGGCUUGAUCUUGAAUUGGUGGAUGGUUGAUCCAAGGGCCGUCGGGGCUUGAUCUUGGAAGAACGAUGAACGAAGAACGAAGAACACUUUCUUCAAGGGCCGUCGGGGCUUGAUCUUGAAUUGGUGGAUGAUUGUUGAUCCAAAGGGCCGUUGGGGCUUGAUCUUGGAAGAACGAUGAACGAAGAACAAAGAACGCUUUCUUCAAGGGCCGUCGGGGCUUGAUCUUGAAGGUGGAUGAUUGUUGAUCCAAAGGCUGUCGAGGCUUGAUCUUGGAAGAACGAUGAACGAAGAACACUUUCUUGAUUCUUCGGGAACCUGGACGCUUGAGAGCUUCGGAGUUUCAGAGCUUCAGAGCUUCAAGGUGUAAUAUGAAUUGGUCCCCCCUAAAUGAAUGAAAUGGGCUUGUAUUUAUAGAAUUUUCCAAGGCCUAAUUUUGAAUAUAAUAUCUCAGAUGAAAUAAGUCGUUUCUGCCAGGUGUUAACACGUGUCCUAUUUGAUGACUUUUCCAACUCAUUUCAAUUUUCGUUUAGUCACACGCUACGUGUAAAAUUUAUGUAAUACAUGAGCGUUGACACUUUGAUUUAUCGGUCAACAUUUAUUUACCGAAAUUUCGAUGUCUACAAAUGCCCCCACUUCAAGGCACGUCGUAUACCUGUGCUUGUCACGUGUAGGAGAUGCGUUUUGAAGUCCCUUACCGUAGAUGCCGAUUCAAGGGCCGUUGAAGCUUGAUCUUGAAUUGGGCUUGAGAUUUCUUCAAGGGCCGUUGAGGCUUGAUCUUGAAUUUUUGUUUGAAAUUUCUUCAGGGGCCGUCGAGGCUUGAUCUUGAAGGUUGAAAUUGGGCCACAAGGAGCUUCAUGUGGUAGAUGAUCUUUGGCUUUGGUAGUGGAUGAAUCGGCACGUAUUUUAUUGCGCUUGUUGACUUUCCACAGCUUUGAUCUUGAACUGGGUUGGAGGAUUUUCUGGAUUCCUCCAAUUGUUGAUUUUCCACAGCUUAUUCUUGAACUAGGUUUUGAUUCAAGGGUGGUAGACACUUGAUCUUGAAUCGGACUUGUGAUUUCCUCGAUGGCCGUCGAGGCUUGAUCUUGAAUUUGGUUGGAAACUUCUUCAAGGGCCGUCGAGGCUUGAUUCUUGAAGGUUGACUCGAACAUAUGGCAAGCAGGCACGAGGUGAAGGUGACGACUUGUUGCUUUGUUCAAUCUUUCUAAUUCACACCUGAGCAGUUUGGUCAACGGUAUGAUCCUCAAGAUUGAUGGGCUCUUCUUCCAGUUGGUGACUUGAUCUUUAAGGAUUUGAUUCAAGGGUGGUGAAUCGGCACGUGCAGCCCACAACGCCUAGUAAGCCGACCCAAGAAUUUGAGGGUCAAAACGGAUUCACCGUCAGAGUGAUUGCAACUUUGAUGAUAUGAGAUACUCUUGCUUUUGAAGAAGUAGUGGAUGAAUCAGCACGUGCUUUGUUGCGCUUGUCUCCACAUGCUUCAAGGUAUCAUCUUUAUUUCCUUUAUCUAUUCCUCAGGCAGAUGUGGCAUCUUCUCGAGUUCUUCAUCUCAGACUCUUUCUGCUGAGUUGACUGUUCAUGCUGCAUUCUUCUCUGCUUGUUCAUUCUGCACGUUGUCUCCACAUGCUGCAAGGUAUCAUUUUCACUUGCCUUAUCUGUUCUCCGGGCAAAUGUGGCAGCUUCUUUGAAAGUACAGUAGCAGCGGGAGGCGAGUACUCGAGAGCAGUGCUAGGUAGGCAAUCAGGGAAGGGUUCCAAGCAGUCGGUUCCUUACCCGAGUUUGAGUGGAAGUUCCGGCAUAUUGUUUUUUUUAUCCUUGUCUUUGUAGGUAAGAACAAGGACAAAGGAAAGGACAGGGAGAACGCAUGAUAUGAGAUACUCUUGCUUUCUACCCUGGUGAUAUGAGAUACUUUUGCUUUGGAGUCAUUGGCUUGCAGAGGUACCCCAAGGAAUAAGGAACACUGAAUGACUCGAGAGGCUUCGUUGGGAAAACAUCUUUGGAGAUGAAGAAAGACUUUGUGUGUCUGCCUUGCUAUGGAAGGCGAAGGUAGACAAUUAUAGGAAGUUCUUUGAUACCUGUAGAUGUACUAUUCUUUCACUCGUGUCGGCAACCAAUGCGUGAUUGAUCUAUAUGGCUUCACGUGCUUCCUUCUUUAUCAGAAAUCUUCGACAAACUGUCCGUAAUUUCCGCCAAGCUGAGUGUGCAUGUGAUAGGUGUUGACGCGGCUGAAAAAGACUGGCGCUUAUUCGAUAACUGGGAUCUGCGCUUCGACAAAUUACCCGUGAUUUCCGCAAAGCUGAGUUUGCGUGUGAUGGGUGCUGACGUGUCUGGAAAAGACUGGCGUCUCUUCGAUGUCUGGGAUCGGCACUUCGACAAAUUGCCCGUGAUUUUCGCAAAGCUGAGCUUGCGUGUGACGGGUGCUGACGCGUCUGGAAAAGCAAGAUGCUUCUUCGAUUUCUGAGCUUGCCUCUUCGAUUUUUGAAUGGCCUCUUCGAAUUCUGAGCUCGCCUCUUCGAUCUCUGAAAUCCCGUCGAGUGUUGAUUUUUUAUAGAGGCAUGCUGUUCGUUUCAAAGCACACUUGAAUUUUACUUGUGAAAACUCCCUUCUUGCACUUCUAAGAUCUUGAUUCGUCUGACCUCUUCUUCCUUCAACACUUUGAAAAUGUCUGGACCCUCCGACCGUCGUUUUGAUUUGAACUUUGGUGAAGAUGUAGUCCCGUCUUCUCCAGAUAACAUAUGGCGCCCAUCCUUCAUAUCCCCUACUGGUCCUCUUACUGUUGGGGAUUCGGUGGUGAAGAAUGAUAUGACCGCUGCGGUGGUGGCCCGAAACCUUGUCACUCCCAGAGAUAACAGACUACUUUCCAAACGGUCUGAUGAGUUGGCUGUUAAGGAUUCUCUGGCUCUCAGUGUGCAGUGUGCGGGUUCUGUGUCCAACAUGGCCCAACGCCUAUUUGCUCGAACCCGUCAAGUUGAAUCGUUGGCGGCUGAAGUGAUGAGUCUUAAACAGGAGAUUAGAGGGCUCAAGCAUGAGAAUAAACAGUUGCACAAGCUUGCACACAACUAUGCCACAAACAUGAAGAUGAAGAUUGACCAGAUGCAGGAAUCUGAUGGUCAGAUUUUACUUGAUCAUCAGCGGUUUGUGGGUUCGUUCCAACAGCAUUUGCCUUUGUCUUCUGGGGCUGUACCGCGUAGUGAAGCUCCUCAUGAUCAACCUCCAGCCCCUCUUCUUUCUGGAGUUCCACCGAGUGGUGUGACUUCAAACAGUCAACCUCCGACGUCUCUUUUCCCUAGAGCUCCACCGAGCACUGAGACACCACCUGAGCAAUAAAGACUCCCUCCCGUUUGUUUGCACAUUUGUAAAUUUUUUUUUUUUUUUUUUUUUUUUUUUUUUUUGGUAUGUAGAAUGCAAUUUUAUGUAAAAUUUCCAGAAAAAAUAAAUAAAAUGGAUUUUUAUUUCUCUUAAUGCUUUUUUUUUUUUUUUUUUUUUUGCUGUAUAUAUUAUACACACACAUUUAUACAUACAUAUAUACAUACAUAUAUAUAUAUUUUCACGUGGAGUGAUCCACCAUCCCAAAACCCAUUUUCCCUUUGUUUUUUUUUGCAUGGUGCUAGCCACCAAGAAUUCACCUUUUUUUUUUUUUUAAUUAAUUAAUUAAUUUAUUUAUUUAUUAAUUUAUUAUUAUUAUUUCUUUUUCGUCUGCUUUCACAUGGUGCUUGAUCCACCACUCUCUUUUCUUUUUUCACGUGGUGCCAGAUGCACGCCCCUUUUUUUUUCACGUGGUGACAGCACCACUCUGCUUUGCUCUACCACAUUUUUUUUUUUUUUGUAUAAAUUAGGAUGCUUGGCUGAGGGAUUUUGUAGGGAAGGACGAAGACGGACGGAGAGCCGGAGUUUGAGGAAGAGCUUCUCGGCCGGCUAGUCGUUUGACAGCGGUCUUUGAAGUUGGUGGCAGCUGCGAGGCAAGAGACGGAGGAGGACAGGGCAGCUGUGACGGACAGAGACGCCAUGGCAGGACCUCGAGGAGUUUUAAGAUACUGGUGCAGGUACUGGCGAGGUGAUUUUGACGAGAAAAGCAUGAAGAGGGCGUCGAGCACCAUGGGCCUGCAAUCCUUAAGGUUGAUCUCGUAGUCCUUGAGCUCUUGUUCAGGCAUGACGGGAUCCGCUGCGGUCUUUUUUAUCGGCAAUAAAGUUCUUUGCCUCAUAAAACAGCCCAGAACGCGAUAGAAGAGUUACGAACAAAGCACAAUGUGCAACUGUAGGUGUCUUGAUGCAGUUGAAGUAAAACUUCCCUUCCUCGACCAUGCGUGCUGCAACGCAAGCAUGAAGGACAGCAGCAUAGGUGAUUUCAUCGAUCUGUGUACUCGUUUCCUUCUCCAUUUGGCAGAAUAAAUCUACUCCGAUCUUUCCUUGUCCGUGUAAGCUGUACCCAGUUAUCAUCACUGUCCACGAAACAAGAUCUCUUGUACUUCGACCCUGGCAAAAACUUUUGCAGCUGAUUUGAUAAAUCCCGACUUGACAUACAUGUCCAUAAGAGCAUUCAGAACGGUGAGAUUCAUUCGAAUACCAUGUCGCAGCAAGAAUCCAUGAGUCUCUUUUGCCAUGUUUACCUGCAGACAUUCUUGCGCAUGCUGGGAGAACACUAGAGACCGAGAGCGGAUCAGGUUUCACCCCGUCUCCAACCAUCUGCCUAAACAGCUUAAGACCCUCAUUGAAGCAUCCCCUCUUCACAUUGGCAUGAAUCAUUUCUGUCCAAGAAAUGACAUCUUUCUCCGGUAUUUGGUUGAAAACUGCCCAAGCUUCGUCGACACAGCCACAGUCCAUGUAUAUUUUCAAGAUGGUAUUGCUCACCAACACAUCAUACUCCAAUCCACGUUCCUUGGCAACCCUGUGGACUUUUGUUCCAUCAAUCAACGAUCUCAACAUGCCACAGGCACCAGCCGCCGUCGCCACAGCCACAGAAUCUAUCUGUGCUCCGGACUCCACCAUUCUCUCAAACACAUGAACCGCCUUGCCGGGUUUACCUUCCGCAAUGUACAGCCUGGCCAGCAUUGUCCAUGAAACAGAGUCCGUAACCAGGGACUUGUCAAACAGCCCUUUCGCGGAGUCCGCGCUGUCGAGGCGACCGUACAACUCAAUGAGAGCAGCAACCACGUACCGGUCACCAGAGCAGCCGAGCUUGUGAGCGUGGGCAUGGAGUUGCUUGCCGAGGGAGAGAUCAACCGAAAGGCGAGAGGCAGACAAGACGCGAGGAAGAGUGUGUCUGUCGGGCGACGAACGCGCGGAUGAGCAUUUGGUGGUAAGUGGCGAGGGCGUGGUGGAAGUCGGCAUUGGCGAUAUGGGUCUGGAUAAGUCUGUUCCAUGCAAAGGUAUCUGAGUGGGGCAUUUUGUCGAACACCUUGUGGGUGACGGCCACCUUCGUGGUGGGUUUAGCAUUUCGGGAGUGCUUGUAGUGGGCUGUGUUGAUUGGGUUCUCGGUGACGAUCAAGCGCUGGAUUUGGGCGGAUGGAAGGGCUUCCAUUUCAGUUCAGUCGCACCCAAUUCAGCAUUGCCCGUACGGAUUCGAGCGCAGUUAUCGAGGAGGAGUUUCCUUAAGAAUAGAACCAAUCACCGACUCCUCAAACCCAUCCGGAUAUGCGAUUUUCAUGAGGUGCAAACAAGAACCCUCUGCCAUAAGUGGCAUGAUCACCCAAAGGUUUCUUUCAACGACAAAUGAACAAAACGCCCUCACGACAUUGGGAUGAUCUAUUAAUCUCAUCGUCUGCGCCUCCCUCCGGAUAUCCUCGAAAUUGCUAUUGCACCGAUCGAGAUCCAAGCACUUGACGGCGACGACUUCAUUGAAAGGGAGAUAGAUCGCUCUGUAAACCGUUGCGCUGGCGCCAUAUCCGACCUCUUCCAGAAGCUUGUAGUCGUUCGGAUUCGCCGAGUGAAGCCUCGAAUUGCUACCCAUCCUCCCCAUCUGUUCGAGGACUUGUGCUUCAGAUAUGUCGUUUUGAGGCUACGGGCUCUGCGUUUGGGCUGUGUGCCAGUUUGGGCUUAGUGUUGCUUUGGAGAGAUCUAGGUUUGGUUGAAGAGGUACGGUGAAGCCAUGGGCAAGGGAGAUGACGAAUUGGGCUUGGAGGCUGACACUUGGGCCUGGAUGGCCUCCUUUUGAGAGGCUUGCUGCUGAUGGAUAUACAUAUAUAUAUUUGUAUGUAUAUGUAUGUAAAAGAAAUCUUUUUUUUUUUUUUUAAUUUUUUAAUUUUUUUUUUUAUGUGACUGAACUCGAAAAAAUUGAACAUUCGAGCUGCCUACGUACCCCUCCAAAGAAGAGAUCAAGUCGCAACGUAGUUCAAAUACAUUUUUGGUAUUUUCUUUUUGUGUCGUUUGCAGUUUUAACUCAUGCAGGCAAGGAGUGUUGGUGUCGUUUGCAGUUCCAACUCUUGCAUACAAGGAGCGUUGGUGUUGCCUUUUAUGCUCGUGUAGGCCAGGAGCGUUGGUUCGUGCAGUUUAGGCUCGUGCAGGCGAGGAGCCUUUGGUGUCGUUCGCAGUUUCAACUCGUGCAAACAAGGAGCAUUUGGUGUCGUUCGCAGUUUCAACUCGUGCAGACAAGGAGCAUUUGAUGCCGUGUUGCAGUUUAGGCUCAUGCAGGCGAGGAGCGUUGGUGUCUUGUAGUUUAGGCUCUUACAGACAAGGAGCUUUGGUUCGUGCAGUUUAGGCUCGUGCGAACAAGGAGCAUUGUUGGUUCGUCAAGCGAUCCGAGAGAGUUGUUCCUCACAAUCUUCAUAGCAAGGAGCCUUGACCGCGUGAUUGAAGAAGUCUUCGGGUAAAAAGUCGCGCAUCGUGAUGGCAACAGACAAUCUUUGUGUCGUAGUUUCAUCAUCUUCAACACGUUCACGUUGCUUUGAAGGUUGACAAUAGCUGCUUUGCCCCCUUUUCAAUUGGCGGACUUGUGGAGGAGACGUAUGCUUCUUGUGCAAUUUCUUAGGAGUGACUUGAGUCCAUCCUUCAAUUUUGCUUGUCUUGGACGAUGCCCCCAGCGGUUGAGGUGAAAACUUUGAGUCGGAAGAGCCAGAAGUGAAGGUGGUAUAGUUUGACUUUGCCACUUCGUCAAGAUCUAGCUCGAUGAUUCCUUUCUGAGCCAGCUUCAUGAUGAGAUCUUUCAGCACGAAACAUUUUUCUGUCGGAUGACUGAUGAAGCGGUGGAAUUUACAGUACUUUGGACUGUCGGUGCGAUUCAUCUCUUCUGGCCGUUUGCACUCAGGCAAACCAAUCACCUUCUUUUCCAACAGGUCAUCCAGUAUGGCAACCACAUCAGAGUCGGGGAAUGGAUAAGUCUUCUCCUCAAGCUCCUUUAAAGUGCGUCUACGCAUUUCUUGAUCACGAAAAGCUUCGGUUUGAAUCGCCUUGCCUCGUGUGGAUAUUUUGACGGGAGAUGUGUUGACCGUCAUCGCUUCCUUGGUGGGUUUCCAUGCAGCCUUUUCCACCUUUGUCCCAAGAACUUUGUCGUUCUUGUAGUCGGCGAUUGGUUCUUUCUUCCCAUGAUGGGCGAUGCUCAACUCCAUGUCAUGGGCGCGAGUGGCCAAUUCCUCGAAGGUCCGCGGUUUAAUGCCUUGAAGGAUGUAUUGCAAACCCCAUUGCAUGCCUUGGAUGCACAUCUCGAUUGAAGAGGUUUCCGAGAGCCUGUCUUUACAGUCGAGGCUUAGAGUGCGCCAUCUGUUGAUGUAGUCAAUGACUGGCUCGUCCUUCCACUGCUUUGUGCUUGUUAGCUCUAGCAUGCUCACAGUGCGGCGAGUGCUGUAGAAGCGGUUGAGGAAUUCCCGCUCCAAUUGCUCCCAGUUGUUGAUGGACUCAGGCUCUAGGUCAGUGUACCACUCAAAGGCGUUUCCUUUUAGUGAGCGCACAAACUGCUUGGCGAGGUAGUCCCCUUCGGUCCCUGCGUUGUUGCAAGUUUCAACAAAGUGGGCAAUGUGUUGUUUCGGGUUUCCCUUUCCAUCAAAUUGCAUGAACUUUGGCGGUUGAUAACCCUUCGGCAUCCUUAAGGCGUCGAUUUUCUUUGAAUACGGCUUCGAGUACAACCCGGAGGUAUUUGAGCUCCCUUCGUACUGUGCCUUGAUGGUGUUGGUGAUCAUCUAUUGCAGCUGCUGGAUAGAAAGAGAUCCCAUGAGUGCCGCUGCUUGGUCUGGCUCCGGCUUUGCAUCGUUUUUCUCCACCUGAGGCUCAUCUUCUUCGUCAUCUCUUCUCUUUAGUGGAUCAUUCUCUGGGUCGGGUUUAUCGCCGUCCUGCGCCUUUAGUCGAUUGACGAGUGCUGCAAUUUGCAAGUCUUUUUUCUUCCACCGUUCGGGUCAGCCUUGCGAUUGCUUCAUUCAUCUGAGCCAGUUGUUCUUCAACGGAGGUAACGCCGAUAGUCAUGACUUGUGCGACCAAUAUACGUGACUUUCCUUUAGACAUCCAGGAUGCUGAUGAAGAACGUCGUUGGCUGCUUUGGGAUGUCAUCUUAUGUGCCUCAGCAUCAUGCUUCGGUGCCCCCAGCGAGGUCAGGUUGAUGACAGACUCGCACCUUGGAUGCUCCCCUUGCUCUUUUAGCGGCACCAAUUUUGAAGUAGCAUGUUGGGGAGCGGUUGUGGCGCCAAUGGAUUGUCUGUUUGCGGCAGAAGUGCUUAGGAUCCUUCCCUCAGUGGUUGCGAGAAUGGCUUGUCCUUUGCUUGAUGCCAUUGACUUUGAGGUGUGCUUGGAUUCCUUGAACGAAGAAAGAGAUGAGAGGUAGAGAUUGUCCCACCGGGCGUGCCAAUUUGUGAACACGGAAAAUUCCUGAAACGAAAGAGACAAGAACGAACGUGCACAAACAAAUAUUAUGUAUUUGAUGAUUUUGGGUUACAAUCUCUCUCUAUUUGAUCCUCUGAUUCAAUCUCCGUAAGGUGUGUAUUUGUGGAUGUGUGAUUGAUCCAAAGGGCCGUUGGGCUUGAUCUAAGGAUGAACGUUCUUCAAGGGCCGUGGACUUGAUCUUGAAGGUGGAUUUGAGCGGAUCUUUAAAGGGGCUUUUGGGCUUGAUCUUGAAGAACGGUUGGAUGUGUGGAUUUGUCGAAGUUGUUGAUCCAAAGGGCCGUUGGGGCUUGAUCUUGGAUGAACGGAUGAUGAACGAUGGUGCUUUCUUCAAGGGCCGUCGGGGCUUGAUCUUGAAUUGGUGGAUGGUUGAUCCAAGGGCCGUCGGGGCUUGAUCUUGGAAGAACGAUGAACGAAGAACGAAGAACACUUUCUUCAAGGGCCGUCGGGGCUUGAUCUUGAAUUGGUGGAUGAUUGUUGAUCCAAAGGGCCGUUGGGGCUUGAUCUUGGAAGAACGAUGAACGAAGAACAAAGAACGCUUUCUUCAAGGGCCGUCGGGGCUUGAUCUUGAAGGUGGAUGAUUGUUGAUCCAAGGGCUGUCGAGGCUUGAUCUUGGAAGAACGAUGAACGAAGAACACUUUCUUGAUUCUUCGGGAACCUGGACGCUUGAGAGCUUCGGAGUUUCAGAGCUUCAGAGCUUCAAGGUGUAAUAUGAAUUGGUCCCCCCUAAAUGAAUGAAAUGGGCUUGUAUUUAUAGAAUUUUCCAAGGCCUAAUUUUGAAUAUAAUAUCCCAGAUGAAAUAAGUCGUUUCUGCCAGGUGUUGACACGUGUCCUAUUUGAUGACUUUUCCAACUCAUUUCAAUUUUCGUUUAGUCACACGCUACGUGUAAAAUUUAUGUAAUACAUGAGCGUUGACACUUUGAUUUAUCGGUCAACAUUUAUUUACCGAAAUUUCGAUGUCUACAAAACUAAUAGAUAAUUGACUAAAUAAACAUCCUGCAAAGUUUCAAUAAAAAUUUCCAAGUUUUUCUUACAAUUUCUGUGGUUUCCAUAUUAUUUUUAUCGAUAUCGAUAAUAUCCCGAUAUUUCAAUCGAUAUUUCCGUGUUUUUGGACUACCGAUAUUUCCGAUAUCAUCGAUAUUUUAUACCUUGGCGACGGGGGACUUGCCGACUGGUGCCACCGUGGACGUUGGGUCUUUCGAAAUGUGGUGUAAUGUUAUGAUCCCACAUCGGCUACACAAGAAAUUGUGUAGUGGUACUUAAGUGCAAGGGGUCCUCCCACCUAUUGGACUAGUCUUUUGAGUUGGGCUCUUCCCUUAGGCUUGAGUACCUAACAAACCCAUAAAUCAAAGAAAUCAAAAUCCACCCAGAAUCAAAGAAAUCAAAAUCCAUCCAGAACCAAAGAAAUCAAAAUCACACACAGAUAUACAAGGUGUACAGUACUGACAUGCCUUAAAUGAUAUUAUUCACAAGAUUUAUAAAGCUCAUGUCGUAAUACUUGUGCAGAAUCUAUCAUUCACGGCGUCACUUUUGUGCAAGUUGUAAAUAAAAUUAUUCACAAUUUAAACAUUGUGUGUCGUAUUUGACAAUUUAUACUACGCACUUUCUUUUUCUUUUAAAGCUUUGCGUUAUGUCGUGAAGUUGACUUUCUAUAUAUUUGGGUUGUACCUUUUAUGGCGCAAAUAACACGUCGUAAAUAAUGGCUUUUAGCACAGAAGUUUUGUGGUAAAGAAGCCCGCGCACUAAUUCAUUCUCGCGCCUUCUCUUUUUUAUUUAGCCGCUUCUUUUUUUAUUUUUUAUUUUUUUUGUUAAAUUCCCCUCAAAUGUUAAAAGAAAAAUUAAUGAAAUAUUUGAAAACUUUGAGUUUUAACGAUAAGGAUAAAAUAAAAGGUAAAAUGAAUAGUACCAAAAUUGACUUUUUAGUGUUAAAAUAUGAUUUUUCGUUAAAGUGAACAGUGCCGAAAGUUUUUCGUUAAAGUUCAAUGUUAAAAGGUUUGUAUUUUCUUGGUAAACUUGAAAGACAAACAUUGCAAUUGCAUUUUCAUUUACCCAAUAUUAAUUGUCGAGAGCCCACCCCCUUCCCUUCUCACUGACAUCGUAACUCUCUCCUCUCCAUCGAUCUCGCUCCAUCUGCUCGCCGUCGCUCUAUAUGCUCGUCAUCACCGUCGAUUCGUCUGCUCGUCGUCACCGUCGCCCAUCUGCUUUCCGUCACCGUCGAAGUGCCCCGCCAUUCAAGAUCUGAAAUCCCCAAUACAGGGUGCUUUGCGGCAUUUCGUUCUCCAAAACUUUAGGUAUGCUCUCAAUCUGUAUCAACCCUAUCCUGUCCCCUCUAGAUUUUUGUUUAGUCUCAACUUUAUGGUGCUUUUCUUAGAUUUGUUCUAUCACUGUAAUUUUAAGGGAUUUUAGGUAAUAAAUUUGGUUGAGAAUCUCAGUUAGGUUUGUAAUUGUUUUCUUGGUUGCCUGGGUUUGAGGAUGAUUAAUCCACUUUCUGAAGUUUAAUUACUUUGAACUUUGAUUUGUGGGAAACUGCAAUCAAAAUGUUGCUAUGGCUUUAUAGUUAGAAUCGAUUGUGAGUCUUUGCACCACAUCAAGCAAUACCCCGGUGUUGUAAUUCCGAGGUUUGUAAUUGCCGCUGUUAAUGAUGGUUUGGUCCAUCCUUUUUAGGGAGAUGACUUCAAUGAUUGAAACUAGUUUAUCAUUAUUUCAGAACUCUGUAAUACGAGACAUGAUAUUCCAAAAAAUAUUUGCAUGAAUAUAUGUGCAUUGACUGACUAUUUUUCAGUCUUUGAUAGUGGAGAUAACUCUUUCAGGUCAUAUGUAGUUCUUACAGAAAUUGUAUGGUAUUUUGGUUGGUUUUGUGUUCUGGUUGUAGCAAACUGGUGGAUGCCCUGAGAUGAGUAGUUAUCUACAAAGUGGAUGGAUCCUGAAGAGUACAAAGUCUAAGGCAUUUUAUGUAAAGGUAAAUCCUGUUACUUUUAAUUACUUAUAUGUGAAUGCCUGCCAUUUGAAGUAAAAAUUCUUUUAGCCAUUACAUUCUUCAUAAAGAUCUUUAUAUGCUCAAAAGAAGGAUUUUUUUUAGAUGCCAUGUAACUGGUGGUGGCUAGCCUCUUCUUUUUAAGACUCUAGUGUGUUUCAAUUACACUAGUCAAUCGUUCUUAUGUGUAUUAUGUUUUGUUGAUAAGAUGGCCAAGACAAAGUUGUAGAGCCCUAGUAGCAGGGUGCUGUUGGCAUUUAUAUUUUUCUUUUGAAGGGGUGUUUAUUGCUUUUAUACUUUCAUUGUUUACUCUCAUACAUACAAUACUGAAAAAUAAGCAUGUAUUGACGCGUAAUUUUAGAUCCAUAUUUAUACAUAAUUUUGAUUACAUGUCCAAAUUACCCAAGAUUCUUUUUCCUUUACAAAUUUGUGGAGUGCAUUACAUGGAUAUGAUUCAUGUAUGAAAUACACAUGACUCUCACUAAUUUAAGGGCAGCAUCAUUGACUGUACAGUUUUCAAUUCUUUAUAAUCAUGAGUAUAGACAUUUUUUAAUUCUUUAUAAUCAUGAGUACAACAAUAGUUUCUAUAACAAAAUUCUGUUAAAUAUGUAAUAUCAGUAUUUGUUUUCCAGGUUCAUUAGUUGAGGAUGAUUUUUCCAAGAAAGAAAAGAUCGCGGCUUUCAGGCCGAUCUAAAGAACAUUAUGUUGAUAUUGCACCUGAGAUCUUACAAGAAGAGGACGAAGAAGUACCAGAUGACCUAUUUACAGAGGAGUCGAAUCAAACUAAAAGAAAGAGGGGUCCUACUAGAAUGAAGACAAUUUCCACAAAUGAUGGUCAACGAAUUGAGAUUGAAUGGAAUGAAAACGGCCAGUUUAUUGGUGACGGAUCUAUUGACUUAUCUUCUUACAUGGGUUCUUUGGUCCGAGAGGUUGUCCCUAUAACAUUUGAUACUUGGAAGGAUGUUCCUAAGAAAACAAAGGACAUCCUAAUCAAGGUAAUAUGCAGAUAAGUCAAUUCUGAUCCCUCUACUUCAAGGUGAACAAUUUAUAGUUUAUAAAUUUUACUUGUGUUAAUAUAUAUUUUUUGGUAAAUGUUAUGGAUAUUUUAUCAAAUCAGAGAGUAAAUUCGUAUUAAGUGAAGAUUGGCAAAGAACAUAUUGUUUUGAAAGGAUGAAUAAUGUUUGCAGAUCACAUAUAUCAGUAGUUGUGAAGUCCAUAAGAGAAGCAAGAAAUUGGAAAGCAAGGCUUCGUCUAAAACCAAAUAAUGUCAAAUUAAUUCAAGAUUGGAAGACUUCCCUUGCAAAGUGUAAGCUCAUUUUCCUUUUCUUUUAUUUCUAAGAUUAGUUAUCUUCUUUUGAGUUCAAAAUUGGGUCAGAGAAAUCAAACUGAUAGUAGUUAAAAGUCUAUUUCAACACCAAGCCUUGUCUACACAAGAAUUUGGUGUUAGUUAAACAUGUGUAUGAUUCUAUCUUGAUUGCAUGUUAAUUUAGUUUGAAGAUAGAUUUGGUACAUGCUAGCUAAUUGAUACGUGAUAUGAAUCUUUGGUUUCCUUUUGAUAGGACAAAAGCGAAACAUUCAGAGAGAUGAAGUCUAAGCAACUCCGCACACAUGUAGUCGCAAGGGAUAUGGUAGGUUGGCGGAGGAUUUGGUAAUUACAUUUCAUUCUAGUGCCUUCUUUUCUACAGGACAAGAACAAUUUACUAAUUUUAUUCUGUGUUCUACUGUGUGUUUACUACAUUUAUGUUUCUAUUUUGUAGAAAAGAAAAAGUGUAGACCCUUCUCUAGUUUCUAGAGGUGAUGUUUGGAUUGCAGCACAUACUAAAAAGGGUGGUGGACCAUCCAAUUUGCUUGCUGCAGAGACUAUUGUAAGUAAUUUUUAACCAUUUAUUUCUUCUUGUUUGUUGAUAUGCAAUGAUGAAUGAGGUCUUAACUUUGAUGUGCAACGUUAGGAAAAAAAUUAAGCAAUAUGGAAAUGGAUCAUCAUCUGGUUUUCGAGGUGACGUUCUUUCCAAAGUUUUUGGUGCUGAGCGACAUGGUCGUGCAAGAGGAGUUGGAGGUGGUGUUCCUCCUACAAAGCUUGGAAUAUUUUCACAACAAAAAUUGCGUAAUCACCAAAUGGAUGAAAAGGUGCACAAUUUAACUAAUCAGGUCAGAGCACUGACAGAAUUGGUGUAUCUUUUUAUGAAAAAUCAGGUUAGUGAUUUAAUAACAUUGGUAUCAUAUUGAAUAUUUGUGAAAUCAGUUUUAGUGACACAUCAAAUCACAGGGUAAUGAUCUACCAAGUGAGGCAUCUCCUGACACACAGGUUGCAGCUCCUGAGGCACAUGUUGAUACUGUCGCAAGAACUGAAACUUGUCUUUCCCAUUGCGCAACAAAUGAAUCGUGGUGGCGAGGUUGAUACACUUUUUCAAUGAGCCUUCUAACUAUUAAUGCUCAUUGACUCUGUUAAAAGCUCUGCCAUUUUCAAUCUAACUAGACACUAGAAAUGAUCAUUGACUCUGUUAAAAGUUAUGAUGUUUUGGUCCUUCUCCAUAGUUGCGCAUCUACUGAUGUCUAUUUUUUUUCAAAUACUGCAGGUUAUUUCUGAAAACAUUGAAACAUCGUGGUGUACCAGAUGGUUUGAUUAUAAGACACCUUCCUUUUGGUCCACCAACUUAUUUAUAACUGCUAAAUGGUACGUAGUGUGAUAAUUUUCAAAUAUUUUGAUAUUAAGACAGGUGUAGGACAACAUAGAAAUUCUUAGGGCCUUCAGCAACAAAAUUAUGAAAAAGUGAGUGAGAUACAAUUAAAAAAAUGAAAGAGAAGGAUCAUGAUUCAUGAUCUAAAGGUUUGAAUAGGGUAGAAAGGAUUUAGUUUCGUUGUUAAAAUCGAUUGUGAGUCUAUUGUUAUUGUAUUGUCAAUUUGUUUAUUUACUUGAACUUCCUAGUAUCAAUUUGGUUCGAUAUAUCUAGCACCACCAUAGAUAUAUCUAGUAUCAAUUUGGUUAGAUAUUGUCAAUUUGUUAUUGUAUUGUCAACUAUAGAAUGUGCAUCAGUUGUAAAAGGAACAAAACAAUUCAGAUUUUUUGUUUAUGUCCAAACUUAGAAUUGUAUUGUAAUUGACAAUUUCUACUAAUUAAUUUAAAGUAUUUGGAGUUUAAUAUGUUUAUGAUCAAUAUUGUUAUCCUUCUAUUGUAUCAGUUUAGAUGUUAUGAAGUGAGGUCUGUCUAAAAAUGAUAUGCUAAAUAUAGAUGUAAAUUACGGCAUCUAAAAUCAGCAAUAAUUGUUGAUGGUAGUCUUUUUUUACGAUGCACGAUGUAUGCCGUAAUCACCUUCACAAUAUUACGACACUCAACAAAUGCUGUAUCAAAUAUAAAUUACUGCACACAAGUAUGUCGUAAUUGUUUUUCAGUAUUACGACACCCUAUUAACGCUGUAACUAAUACCAAUUAAGGCGCGUAGGACAUGCCUUAAGAACAUUUAUGGCGUGUUUUACUUAAAUUAUUCACUACUAUUAGAGUACGUCGUAUUUGUCAAAACAUCUUUUACAACAGGGGCUUUUACUGCUUGGAGGCUCACGUCGUGAAUUUCCAUUUACGGCACCCUUUGUGCGCCGUAAAAGGCCAAUUCUAUUGUAGUGAUCCAUGGGUACAUUUUUAAUCUACAUGUUUCGUUUUAAUAUAUCUAUUGCUAUAAUAUGUUUUGGUUGGUUCAAAUUCGUUUUACAUAAAUAUAUGGGUACAAAGUUUUUGGAGAAUAUUAUGUAAAAUGGUUUUUAAGGUUGUUGCAUUUUAUGUACCCACAUAUGCAUGUCUAUAAAACAAUGUGGUAUGAUGUACAUUCUUUUCCUUGAGUUUUUAAAUGUACCCAUGAGUUUUCUUGUAAAUUCAGUAUGUAUCCAUAUGCUAUUUAUGUUAUGGGUACAUAAAUUAUUUUUGGUCUAAGUUGGUGGGUACAUUGCUUUUGUAUGUAUGAAUUCAUUGGGUACAUUAUUUCCCUUAAUACUACUCAAUAAAAUUCACAAAAAUAUGUGCAGUGUGCAUGAAUUUUUAUUGUAGAAAUUGUUUUUUUUUAAUUUUUAAUUUUUAAGUCUCAUAAUUCGUGAAUUUUGUACAUAUUGAUCCCAUAAAUUUUUGAAUUUUAUUAAAUUUCUUUUAGACUUGAUCGAUUGAUUGAAUCUCAUAAUAAUCCCUUAAAUGUUCCAAUCAAUAUUUUAAAUUACAGCUUUUUAUUUAAGAUUUCAAAAAGAUGACAUGAAAAUAUAGUAAUACUAAAAUUUUAUUUUAAAUUACAUUUGUGUAACAAUCAAUGGUAUGUUAAAACUGGGCAAAAAAAAAAGGUAUAUUAAAAAAUUAUAAUUUAUUCUUUUUUUCAUAACUGUCUUCUGCUUAGAUUAAAUUUUUACCAAUUUGGGGGAAUUAGUUCUUACCAAUAUAUAUGCACAGUAUUUGCUUUUUACCUGGGCUUAACACAUGAUUAAUUACUUUCCUACCUGCUAACGCGUUGAUUUGCGCAUCCAAAGUAUUAUCAAAGUCACUGCCACCAAAAAGGUGCCCACUCCACAACCUUUGGUUGAACCAAAGAACAUCACAACAAUAAGGAAAUCGUUAAAUCUAUCUCCGCAACAUUUUUAUUAAUCAUUAGAUAGAUUAAACGAUUCCCCUGUUCAUAUUGUGUUCUUUUGUUGAACCAAACCAUGUCAACAAAAUAUAUCUAUGGUUAAGCAUCUAGAUUCAUGCUUUUGGAUGUGCAUCUUAAACCCCUCAAUGAAUAGCCAAGCAAUUUAUCAUGUGUUUACAGUAGGUCAAAAGAAGAAAGUGUUUGUCUAUAUAUUGGUAGGAACCAAUUCCUCUGAAGAGGAGAGAUGGAAGUGAUGAUAAUACUUUAAAUAAUCAAAGCCCAAACAUUUUAUCAAAUUUCAUCUCUGUACUCCACGGAGACACUAAAUGAGACAUAUCUGGUCCAUCUCUGAACAUCUUUUCUUACCGUUCUUACAAUAGAAAGGGCACAAAAUUGACUUACACAGUCUUGCACAAUACUCACUUUGCUUCAACCCAUAUUUCACUUUGUCAAAUCAUACACGUUCCUGCAAUAGGUGAACUCAUAUGUAUCUACCACUUCUUGCUAAUUUUAAUUUUUCCAUUCCCAUUUUUGCUACAAGUUUCACAUAAAUUUUUUAUUGCACUUGUCAAUUCUUUAUACUUUUUUAUUGUAUUUUUUUUUUGUCUUUUUUUUGUAUUAAACAAUUACAUGUCCUCCAAAAGUUUUGCUUAUUGCCCUAUUUCAUCAAGCUCGGUAUAAAUAGAUCUUAAUUUUUUACUACAGUUAAAUACAUGGACAUGCCUCCACAAAUACAAAUUAGUUCUUGCUUAAAUACUUUGUGUGUUUACAUAGAAAAUGUUCCCAUCGUCUACCAAAAUCCUCCACACAUGAAAACAAAAAUUCUUACUCAAAAAUACAUAUUACAAUACCACCAUAUCUGUUGUUUUUUAUUAAAUUAACACACUGUUUUCAAUUUUAUCUUUAACACAAAAGAAAAUGCUCUUACACAAUAUGCUUGUUUACAUUUUAUAACUUAUCUACCACAUGUUAAUCGCAAUUAUAUAAAUAGGAAAACACGUGUCAAUAGAAGUGUGAUGCAUGCUACUUCGUUAACAAUAGUGGCAACUAAACAAUUAAAUAAUUUGUUUCAAUUAGUUAGUACAUUUUAUAAAUUUCUUAAUUAGAACUGUUUCAGUAUAUUCAAUACAUUUUUAAACAACUUUCCAGUUAGUUGCCCAAACUAAUUAUUCCAGCUUAUUCAUAGUAUAAUACCAACAAUUUAACAACCAAUGAUACUUCGUUUAACAUAAACUUCAUUUGGAAAAAACAAAAAAAUAUCUUUUUCUCUGCUGAAAAAUCCAACAGAGUUAUUGAUGCAGAUCAGUUAUACCAACAAAUUACCAUAGUUUACCCAAUGCUAUACAGGUUUGACUUUUGUUUAUAUUCUUGGAUCUGUUGCUUGGUUGUAUAAUUUGGUUGUGUGUUUUGUUUCAGGACAAUUUGUUCUUCGUUUCUUGAGGCUUUUGUGUGUAGAUUUGAAACCGUUUAGCUUUCAAGCCGUGUAUACUCAAGGUAAAUAAUUUCGUUUUUUUCUUUGUAACCUUUUUUGUAAGAAAUUUUUAUUUAAUGUUGUGAGAGUUGUGUUUUCUAGAGUAUGAAAAUUGAAUCUUUGUGAUCUUAUAUCCUUAGAUAUGUUUCUUGGUUAUAUGAUUUGGCUGUGUGCAUUGUUUCAGGACAAUUUGUUCUUCGUUUUUUGGGGCUUCGGUGUGUAGCUUUGAAGCCUUUUGUAGUCAACAUAAAUAAUUUUAUUUUUCUUUGUUUCUAGUCUUCUUUGAAAGAAUUUCUUAGUUAAUAUUCUGAGAAUUAUGUUUACUAUAGUAUGAAAAUUGAAUCUUUGUGAUCUUGUAAGUGAUGUAACGUCAUUGCAACAUGUAUGACUGCCAUUAUCGAACAUGAAGAGCUUUUUGAUUUUUGUACUCCGUCCUUUCAUACGAUCUGACUCAAAAAUUGUUUCAUCACAGGUUCUAACAUGAUUUUUGCGACGUCUUAUGAAAAUACAAUGUCACUUCUGGUAUUCCAACUUAAACAAAUUACAAGGGAUGUCUAGUUUUAAACCUGCAGUUAGUAUAUACUAAAACGACGGUUUUGGCCCUGCUCUCGACUUCUUCAGAAACCUCGAGAAACUUCAAACUGAGAAAGCUUCUCCCUUCCAUCUCUGCUACGCGAUCUCUGCUUUGCGAUCUCUGCUUCCUCCGUGAUUUCUUCCCUCCUGAUCGACAUCUAUUCGAAUUGAAAACCUUCUGGAGCUCUCUUCCCCAAAUUUCAGCAGCAACUUUGCUCCAGAUCUUUCCAAUUGAAAUUCCUCUCCUUCACAUUUUGCAUAUUGAAUUUCGCAUCAUUAUCAUCUCCCUAGAACCUAGGAGUUUGGUUCGGUUUCGAGUUUUCCGACGGAAAUCCGGCGACAGCGGCCAUCGAGGUUGGUCUGAAACUAUUCCUCAUCACCACAAGUACUUUCUACACCUAUUACACUUUAGAAAAAAUUUCAUGAUUUGGUGGAAUCCAAUUUAAUGAUUAGAAAAAUUUUCAUUAAUUUUCUGGGUUCGUGGGUUGGAGGUGGAUUAGAAAUUUUUUCAUUAUUUUUCUGGGUUUGUGGUUUUUUUCCAAAACGUUUUUCCUUUCUACUAAUCCAAGUUCCUUCACAUCAAUCUCUCUGUUUCGUUCUUGAUCUUCCGCGAGUAGAAUACCUCUCCUUGCUCUCGAGCGCGUGGGCAGUCGCUCCAAGGCAGCCCAUGACGUCAUUUUCCGAUUCGACUCGGAGGAGGUUGGCUGCUCUUCUUGGCUGAGCUUCAUGGCUGGCCGAAUUCCCCUAUUCCCUUCCUCUUAUACUCUUUUGUAUUCGUUCACCAAAACAAUAGGAAAACGUCUCCGUCUGUUUGAUUGACGGCGAAGAAAAAAAGACGGAGAUAAAAGCCUGACGGAAGCUGAAAGCUUGGACUCUGUUUGUAUUUUUAAUGGAUUUUCAGAACACAGGUCAAGAAUACUGCGAUUUGAGAAAGAAAGAAAGAACCACGUUGACAUAAUAUAUUCACAAUAGGCGUACAUAAAGCUUUACUGUGGUUCCAUUUUUUUGCAUAUUUCAAAGGCUCUGAAUUGUUAAGGGAAUUAGCCUUUUGUUUUAGGAAGAACUUGGAACCCCCUCCGUCCAUUCUAUUCCCGAUGGAAUUAACACUUAGAUAGUACUAUGACAAUGUGUCAUUAAUUGAUGCAUACCUGUAUAAAUUUAGGCCAAGUGUUUUAUACACAAAUUGAUACAGAUUAAGCUUCUGGGUCGAAAUCAUAUACCGGUGAGCUAACUACACAAUGAUACAUUCUUAUCUGUUAAUUAUCUUUGGUUACCAGCUAUCCAUGUUGCUGACAUAUUAAACUACACAACAUCUAUUGUAAUUUAUGUCUUAUUAGUAUCAUCACUUUUGUUCUUUAUUUCAAUGUCUAACAUAAUGAUCUGGUUUCAAUUUGCUACAGGCAUUAUUUCCAGACAAUAGCUAUGGUUUUGAUUGUAGCGGUGACUGAAAAAUUAUUCCGAAACUAACAUUUGAGGAAUUCAAGGUUUGUUAGUUAAUUUGUACAUCAGAAUACCAUGACAAACUAUGAAGUUGUAAUUGUUGACCUUACAAUGUAUCUUUUUUGGUUUGGAGCAUUAGACUUAUAUGUGUUGCUUUCACUUCAUGAAGGCUAACUCUUUAUUUUAGGCCUUAGAAUAUAAUUUUUUGGAGAAUCUACAUUGUUGAUAAUUUUUUGAACAAUAUUAUCCCCAAAAUUUCUCCGCAUGUUACCCUCAACGUAGACAUCAUAUAACCAUCAUUGAACUUCUGAACCAAAAAUUUGAGUUUUAUGAUUAUAACUAAACGUCUAUAAACACAUGAUACAGAUUGAGACGAAUGUCAAAUUUAAAAUGGCAUUAAUCAGGACAGCUGCAAACUCUGAUUUGCGGCCUUUGAAAUGGAGCAGUUACUUCUUGCUUCACUUCAACAGCAUAGUCCAGCUUCUAAAUUCAGUUCUCAGGUAUGAGGUUUCUCAGUUACCUCUUUUUUGUAAUAAAACAUUUGAUCAGUACUUGCCAGGAUAUCCAAUUAAUUAGGUCAGUUUUUGUUAGCGGUAAUAAUUUGUUUUUGUAGCUUUAUAUGUGUCUCUGUCUCCAAAUAUGAUGAUCUCUUAAUUUGCUUCUAUAGCUUUUGUAAUAUAAUGAUCUCUUAAUUUGCUUUUGCAUAUCUUCUUUGCUUCCUCUGCUAGCUCUAUAUGAGAUUCCAUCUCCAAAUAAUUAUUCCUUAUUUCCUAUUUUUACAGGAAGCAAAUCAUUGAAUACACAUGGAAAAUUAAAAGGGUUUUAGUUUUUGGAGUAGUUUAAAUUUUUUGUUUGUUAUUGCUUGUAUUGCUGUUAAAUAUUUGAUGGGUAGUUUGAAAUGGGGAACUUGGUUGAUUGAGUAUUAACUUUUAUUAAAUUAAUAUUCUUAUUCAAUAUUGAAUUAAGACUCCUCUUAUUAAAUUAAGACUCUUAGAGUGCGUUUGUUGCGCCAGACUGUCUCGGACUGGACUAGCUGCCGGGACUAAGCUGGACUGGCUUAGACUGGACUAAGCUAGACUAACUUAGUGAAGCGUUUGGUGUAAUGUCGGACUAAGAAGCAGGAUAAGAAAAACAGUACUGUUCACCAGAUUUGUGUUUGCUUAGACUAGGAUUACAAAUUUUUGCCAUUGUGUAAUAGAGUAAUGCUACAAAUCUCAUGAUAUGGGUUAAUUGGAGCAUAUUUUUGCCAUGUAUAUUAUGAAUCUUAAAAAAAAUUGACAAUUGUUUUGUUUCUAUUACCUGCUAAUAGAAUUGGGUUUAAUUUGCAAAUGUAGCUUAGUUUAAACUCUAUCACCCAACAGAAGAAAAAUAAUAGUGCCCAAUACAUGCAACUUCAACAAAUACAAGUACAUAAGAAGAUCUCCAUAAUUUAGAAAAUCCUAGUUAACAUUAGUUAACAUUAGCCAAAAUAGAUCUCCAUAAUUUACAAAAUGGCUAGUUAACAUAAGCCAAAAUACUAGUGCAAAGCUAAGUUAUAAGCCAUAACAUAAGAUUGUAUGAUUAAUAAAAUACAUCCAUGUUAACAUUAAUAAAAUACAUCCAUGUUAACAUUAGCCAAAAUCCUCAUCCGCUUGCGUUGUCGCUUAAAAGCCUUUGGACGAACACUUUCUUGAGUUCCGGUUUGAUUGCCCUGAACACUCCCACAUUUUUUGGUUUAUCCAAAAUAAGAGACAAUGCAUCAAUUUGAUCCAUAGGAGAGAGACCCAUUACUUCAAGUUCAUUAGCUAUGUCAGUAUGAUCUGCAAUACCUUGAACUAAAGCUUCAGUUACCAUUUGCAUCCUCUUCCCACUUUCAACAUAAAAAUCUUUCAGUCCACUGAUAAUUGCCUCGGUUCCAUCACUUGAAUUUCCCACAGCUCUUUUCCUCUUUCUUUGGCUAUUUUCAGAUGGGGUGCUUUGUUGGCUUUGUUGGUUCAUUGAAGAAACAAAAUUUUCACCUCCAAUAUCACUUUCACCAACAUGAUCAUGACUUUGUUCCUCCACCAUUUGAGCAGGGGUUUCGGCUACAUUACCCGUAGCCCGAUCUUUUCCAAAUAUAUAUGCAAAUCUAUCAAACAGUGGAAAAGGUUUGCUUCUCCAUCCAUCGGCUUCUUUAUUUCUCUAAGAUUAUAUCAACAUAGCAAAACUAAAAUUUAGCAUGCGUAACAAAUAUAGCAGCAAGAAUAUAACUAAUGUAUAAAUAAAAUAGGAUAUGAACCUGCACAUAAGUUUGCCAUGAGUCAUCACUGUCAACUUCAACGCACUUUUUGACAUCAUUUCAUGCAAAUCCACUUGUGUUUAUCAUGUCAACGACCAUACUAUAUGUUUUUUUCCAUUUCUUCAACUUGGACUCAAUAUGUGGAUUUGCCUUUAUAUUUGAAUGAGGACAUAAAACAUUGACAACUUUUGCUAUUUCAACCAAAGUACCUUGUUUGAAAGCACCGGUGUCACACCGUUGCUUCCGAGCAACAAAAUCCUCAAGAACUCCUAGUAAUACUUCUUCCUCAAAUGCUUCCCAUUUACGCCUUCUUCCUUUUGGCUCUUGAGUAGCAUUCAAAAUAUUUUCGUUAUCCAUACCUAAACAAAAAAUAUUUUAAUGAAGGAAAAUACCAUACAAAUAAUCAAUUUGCAUAAUAUCCAAUCAACUUGCAUAAUAUCCAAUUAAUUUGCAUACCAUCCAAUCUUUGUGCUAAUAUCUAACAAAUGCAUGAUAAAAAGGAAUACUAAAAUAAAAUGUUAUCAUUAACACAUAUAGCUAGUUCGGUUGCUGGUUCCUAAUUGCUCUCCAUUCAUUAUACAUUUCCUGAGCCAUGUCAUUCCUCUUUGCAGUCCACUGGUCAGAUGUUUGAACACUACCAACAUAUUCACCUUCUUCUGUAUUUUGUCCAUCUUCUAUUAUUGGAAAAUUCUCCAUUGGAUCUACAGACAUCUCUUGCCUAAUAAGAUUGUGUAGUAGGCAACAAGCGGUAAUUAUUCGACCUUGUGUCCUUAUCGGAUAGAAAGAUGGACUCCUUAGUAUCGACCACCUUCCUUUUAGCAAGCCAAAACAGCGUUCAAUUACAUUCCUUGCCUUAGAAUGCUUCAUGUUAAAAUAUUCUUCCUUAUUAGAAGGUGUUCGUCCCUCCCAUUCAGAUAAAUGAUAAGGUAUUCCUCUAUAGGGUGCAAGGAAUCCUUCACCAUUUGUAUAACCACCAUCUACAAGGUAAUAAUAACCUAAUGAAAAAAAAAACAGACCUUAUUAGUGUUUUGUAGUUGACAAACAGAACUAGACCUAACUUACAAAGUUGAGACUAAGUAAUAGUCUUACCCGCUGGUACCUUAAAACCAUUAGGCCUAGUAAUUGCAUCAUGUAGCACUCUAGAGUCUGAUGCAGAACCCUCCCACCCCGUAAACACAUAUAUGAACUGCAUAUCUCCUGAACACACACCUAACACAUUAGUUGCGACUCGACCCUUUCUUGUUCGGUAUCUUGGUUUGUCAAUUUCAGGUACAUGCACAUCAAUGUGUGUUCCAUCCAAUGCUCCCAAGCAAUUCUUAAAAAAAAAAAAAAAAGUUUUUGUUAAUUUAUACAAAGGGAAUGAAGAGUUAAAGCUUAGGGAAAAUGAAAAAAAAUUCUCAUCAUACCUUAAAACAUCGCCACCUAGGAUCUGUAGAAUCAAUAGGCACAGGCUGAGGGACUUUUAGUAGGAUACCUUGUAAUCGCAAAAUUCCUUGCAAUACGAUAUUGAAAUACCUACUUAUAGUCUCUCCCGACCUAUAAAAUCUACCGCCAACACUACGAUUCUUAGUAUGAUGUGCUAAUAUUUGUAAAGUCAUACACACAUGCUCCUCUACAGACACCAAACCAUCAGUUUUUACCCUCCCAUCUUGACGAAGUAAGUCACAUAAUAUGCCAAAAGUCCUUCUAUCCAUUCUCAAUUCGUUGACACAUUCAGUAUCAGUAUUCCCUAUUAUACCAUUCAGAUAACACAAACUAAUCUCUCGUCUAAUAAGUGAACGGUUAGUCAAUGUGGGUCGUUCAACAUGUCUCUGUUUGCCACGUAGCAUCAUCAACACAAGAAUCGUACAAAUGCAAAUUGUCUCCAAAUAAGACAUCUCUAACAAUAAGAUCAAUAAAAGCUUCCUUCGAUCCAUAUCUAUCCAAACAAAAAAAAACAAAAAACAAAUUAAGGACAUUAUAUAUGUAAUAUUUACUGUUAUUAAGGGUUAUGGAAAUGAAGUGAUUAUGAUACGAAAUGAACUAGAUCAAAGUAACUAGCGAAGUCACAAUCCGAGGCAUCAAAUAUACGGGUGGUGUUGGAAAAAAAAAAGUUAUCAUUAACCCGAGGCAACAAAUAUACAGGUCAGAUGCACACACUGCAUACACACUCACACACAUACUCACACGGACAUACACACUAUCACACACGGACAUACACUCACACACACCCUACAUACAUACAUACAUACACACACACACUGCAUACAUACACACACACACACACUGCAUAUAUACACACACACACACACUGCAUACAUACACACACACACACACACUGCAUACAUACACACACACACACACACACACACACUGCAUACAUACACACACACACACGACAUACAUACACACACACACACACACACUGGUCAGAUGCACUGCACUCACACGGACAUACACACUCUCACACACUGACAUACAUACACACACACCCUGCAUACAUACACACACACACACUACAUACACACACACACACACACACACACACACUGCAUACAUACAUACACACGCACACACACUGCAUACACACACACACACACAUUGCUUUAUGAAAACCCCAAAUUCCAAAUUUGAAACCCCAAAUUCCAAAUUUCUAAUCUCAAUUUCAAACCCCAAAUUCCAAAUUUCUACUACAUACUUACAUACACACACACUGCUUUAUGAAAACCCCAAAUUCCAAAUUUCAAACCCCAAAUUCCAAAUUUCUAAUCUCAAUUUCAAACCCCAAAUUCCAAGCUUUAUGAAAACCCCAAUUUCUAAUCUCAAUUUCACCCAAAUAUCAAAACCCUAAAAUUUGUUCAACUGCAGAAUCAAAUAAAGCUCAAACCCAAAACAAAUCCGCCCAAAUCGACGAAAAAAAUCCACCCAAAUCGACGAAAAAAAUCGAACAAUCGAAGCUUACCAGACAACUGGAGGCAGAUGAGGGCGAGCAGAUCUGUUACGUGAAGACGAGGGAGUGGACGACGAGAGGAACAGAUGAGGAGCAUGAUGCAGAUGAGGGCGACCAGGAUGCAGCUGACGGCAAGCAGGAUGCAAAGAUAAGGAUGAGGAGGACGACGUGAGGGAGGAGGACGUCGACGACACUCUCUCCUAGGAUGAUCGAGGUUCUUUCUCGCAAGAGCGCAAUCGGAUGAGGAGGACGACGUGAGGGAGGAGGUUUUAUGAAUCUGGACGUUUUUGGGGUGGUUCGCUAAGAACUCCUAGCGAGGGUUUAAUCCGUGCGAGUCAGAUCUAAUCCCAUUAAACCUAAUCCUUGCCCCUACCAAACAUCAGACUACAAUACCAAUUAGUGGAGUCCAGAACAGUCCCCCCUAAGAAGGUCAAACAAACACGCCCUUAAGGCUCUAAUCUAAUGUUCAUGCUCAACAUCUCCUCUAUCUUUCUACGAUUGGUAAAACUUUUGUAUUAUUAUUCCAAUUUUGGUUACUGGGUUGUGGAAUUUUCCAUUUUUUUUCUCGGUAAUCAAUACUAUAUAUAUGCAUGACAAGUAUAAACAAUAUUUUGGGGCAAAUUUAGUUGUUUAAUUUUUAAUUUUUAUGUGACAGUGAGAUUAUGGUAGGAUUUCGUUUAGAUUCUGCGGCCCAAUGGGAGUCUCUGCUUUGAUAAGAUUGGGGUUGAUGCCAAGAAAGCCAAUAAGCCUACUGUGGACGCCGUAGCCGCCUGGCGCUGUUUUCCAAAAUCCUCUCUCACUUGGUUAAGCAAUUAAGACUUUUUGGUUCAGUUUUUAUUAUGCCCAAUUUUGUAUUUAAACCUUAAAAAAAUUUAAACUGAUUUGGGGAUACUGAAAUAGGCUGCAGAGCUGCCAUCCCUGAAUCAGAAGAUGUUCAGAAGGAAGAAGAAGAAGAAGAAGAAGAAAGUCGUGGAAUAUCAAAAGCUUUUAGCUUUGUGAAAGUAUGCUUUUUCCCAACUCACCUCUUGCUUUUGUUGCACUGAAUUGGUAGAUUGGGUUCAAAAAUAUAUAUAUGUGAUUUUUCGUGUAACUAUUUCUUUACAUAAUUACCAAUUGGAGGUGAUUUUAGAUCAUGUAACAUUUCCUCGCUAGAACCAAAGAUUGUCGUCGCUCAGAGCUGCGUUUCAUGAAACAAGUUCAUCUCCUGCCAAAUUUGUGUACCCACCUUUUAUUCAUGAGGGUUGGUGCUUGCUUGCAACACAAUUUGGUGUUAUUAAGUUUUGCGGUUUUACAAUUUGUUCAUGCUUAAACCUCUUUCAAAUUUUCAUUUCUGUGUAAAUCUUGCAGGUAGGACGACACACCUAUCUUGGCAAUGUCGGGAUGUCUAGGCUUGGUGGAGACGUGGUCUUAUGGAAGAGGUGAAGUAGCUUAGCUCGAUCUCAUUAGCUCUUAUCUGUUCUAUUAUGUUAAGAUCAAUAGUAAAAAGUUCUAUUGAUUUUAUAAUCAAAGAUACAUAUAUUAUAGAAAUAGAGGGUAUAUCAUUAAUUUCUUGAUGUAAACAAUCAUAACUUGAGGAACCAUUUAAAGUAUUUUGGUAAUCAACAUACUUAAACUUAAAUGUGAUAUAUCCAUUUAGUAUUUUUUUUAUACAAUGAUAAUACUUAAGUAUAAUUUACAUCAUAUAUCUUUUGAAGUACAUGAAACUAUGAAGAAAAUGAUAAACCAAAUCCCAUUCCAUCUCUGUUUGCUACUGCACAAUCACAAUCCAAUUCCAACAUGGAAUCCUCAGACGACAUGCCUACUGCAGAACAAGUUUCAUACUGACUUAACUUAUAUUUAGUCCACGUCCUGUUUAGAUUGUAAUCCUAGUUCUACGUGUGUUUGUAUAGUACUCCUAUAAAUAUCAAUGAACAUCGCUCACUCUAAUUAAGAGUUGAGAUUUUGCAAAUCAUAUUUACUAUCUUUCAUGGUAUCACGAGCCAGCGUCUAACGACAACGGUUCCUAUUAUAAUUUUUUUCUCUUUUGCAGAUCCUAAACUAUGGCAUCUUCUUCCUCCUCCGCUGCUCCCUCCAUCACAAAUUUUCUUACGAUCAAGCUCGACCGCAACAACUACCCUCUCUGGCAUGCUCAGUUUCUUCCCUUGCUGCGCAGCCGCAACUUACUCUCUUAUGUUACUGGCGAAACUCAAUGCCCCUCUGCCUUUCUUCUUGAUGACAAUGGUAAAUUCACCGACAAAGUCAUUCCAUUAUAUAAUGAAUGGAUCCAGACUGACCAGAUGAUCCUAUCUUGGAUUACGAGUUCUCUUACUCCCAAGGUUCUUGCUACGAUCGUCAACAAAAUUGAUUCGGCCUCUGCUUGGUCGUCAAACCCGAAUUAAUCUAAUUGUGGGGGUUUUGUUUUAUAUCAAUAUAUUGCAACAGAAGUCACACUUUGAAGAGUUCAUGCUGCACAGAAAGAUGAUGAAAUGUUACCCGUUGAGUCUAUCAUUGCUCCAUUGGAGACAGAGCUGAAGCUUACUGCAGGAGUUAUACAGUUGUUAUGCAAUAUGACCCCUUUAAUUUUAUUUUAAAACUGAUACAAAAUACUACAAAAAUUUAUGUAGUAUUUUUGUAUUAGUUUUGAGUGUCUAUUUUGGCUUCCAUAUAUCGUCUGUACAUGUGAGAGGUAUAGUGUUCAAUAUGUAUUUGGUUUCUAUAUUGUUAAUGGAUCCUUUUUUUUUUAAUUUAAUUUAAUUUUAUUAAGGUAACCAAGUUGCAGGAUGACAUCAGAACACUUGAUCUGCAGGUAAACCUUCAAUUUCCAUAUGAAGUUUGCAUGUUCGUUGUUUCUGGAAUUUGAGUUUUUAUUAUUUCUCAAUUCUAUCACAUAGAUUAUGAUUUCACAUAUGGGAUUAUUAAUGGCAAUUAUAUGAUAGAAGAAUUGGGAUUAGAAGAAGAUAUUGAGUUGUUUUAUUUAUGGGGAUUAGAAAAUGAUUAUCAUACGAGUGAUAUUUAUUUUUGUGUGGAUUGUUAAUAUAUAAAACUAUAAGCUUUUGAGAUUGGGAGAUAAAACCCACAAAUUCAAAUCAGACAAAAUAAAUAAAAAAUUUAACUGACUUAAAGAUCAAACUCCAAAAGGGUAUUAAAAACAAGGCUUAUUUGAUCCAUUGAGUGUGAAAGUUUUGAGCUUUGAAGAAGCAUAGGAGGAGAGUUGUUAACCAAGCUGCAUUAUCCAUGUAUUAGGAUGUUGAGGGUAGGCAGGAAAAAUACUUUUUGACGCCAUAUCCAGAGGAGCAUAACGACAGGCCUGCAUUUUUGCAGCAAGGACCAAAACAAGUAGAAGUGAAGGCUUGACUAUUUGGGUAUUAAUCCUAAACCUAAUUAUUCUUAUUUAGGUUUAGGAUAAAUGAUUGAGUGUGUCUCGAUGAUUGUAUUACCAUGUUUGAUGAAUGACUUGAGGAGUUGGAAAUGCUUUAUUGCUUAUGUUUUUCUUAGGUGUGUACUUUGGUUAUUUCCGAGCUUUUCACGACUCUUGAUACCUAAUAGAGAAUAUGGAAACCCCAACUUUAAUUUUAUGAAUUGGUUUUGGUGCCUAAAAUGAAAUCUAGCAUAGUGAAAUCUUGCAUAAUGAAAUUAUGACAAAUUUCCCUUCAUCUUUAGAUUUUCAUUUAGUUCAAUUUGUAUGCAAUUUAGGGUUAUUCAAUUCAUGAGUGAUCAAAUUAUGUUUUUAAUUCCUUCUUCUUUUGAUUUACAGUUCAGCAUUGUCGUACAAAAUGAAAAAGGUGCCAGUAACAGAGUUAUGGAUUUGGAUGCCUUUAGUGGAAUAAAACUGAAUUUUUUAACUUUGUAUAGUUGUAAACAUAAAAUACUCCAUCAGAUAGACUCAUAGCAUUUGAAAACAAUCCUUGAGGAUGGCAUAACAACAUCUCCAACUUUUGUCAUGUAAUGUAUGAAUGUAAAUAGCACUUUGUAAACAUAUGGAUGUAAUAUAUGUAUAUAAACAGUCUUUAGCAUGUAUAUUUUUCAAAACUUUCUACAUCUUCAACAAUGUUUCAAUGAUUUCUUGAUGUAAACAAUGAUAAUUUGAAGAACCAUUUAAAGUAUUUCGGUAAUCAGCAUACUUAAGCUUAAAUGUGAUAUAUCCGUUUAGUAUUUUUUAUACAGUGAUAAUACUCAAGUAUAAUUUACAUCAUAUAUCUUGUGAAGUACAUGAAACUAUGAAGAAAAAACCCUAAUUAAUCUGAUUAUGGGGGUUUUGUUUUAUAUCAAAAUAUUGCAGCAGAAGUCACACUUUGAAGAGUUCACGCUGCACAGAAAGACGAUGAAAUGCUAUCUGUUGAGUCCAUCAUUGCUCCAUUGGAGACAAAGCUGAAGCACACUCCAGGUGGUAUACUUUUGUUCUGCAAUAUGACCACUUUAAUUUUAUUUUAAGACAGAUAGGGUUGAAAAGAAUUUAUGUAGUAUUUUUGUAUCAGUUUUGAGUGUCUAUUUGGACUUCCAUAUUUGGUCCGUACAUGUGAGGUAUAGAGUGUUCAAUAUGUAUUUGGUUUCUAUAUUGUUAAUGGAUCUUUUUUUUUGUUUUAUAGGUAACCAAGUUGCAAGAUGAAAACAGAACACUUGAUCAGCAGGUAAACCUUCAAUUUCCGUAUGAAGUUUGCAUUUUUGUUGUUUCUGGAAUUUGAGUUUUUUGCAGGAUGAAAACAGAACACUUAAUCUGCAGGUAAACACUUGAUUGGUUAUUUCCAAGCUUUUCACGACUUUCGAUACCCAAUAGAGAAUAUGGAAACCCCAACUUUAAUUUUAUGAAUUUGUUUUGGUGCCUAAAAUGAAAUCUAGCAUAGUGAAAUCUUGCAUAAUGAAAUUAUGACAAAUUUCCCUUCAUCUUUACAUUUUCAUUUAGUUCAAAUCGUAUGGUUUAGGGUUAUUCAAUUCAUGAGUGAUCAAAUUAGGUUUUUAAUUCCUUCUUCUUUUGAUUUUCAGUUCAGCAUUGUCGUAUUUUGGAUGCCUUUAGUGGAAUAAAACUGAUUUUUUUUUAACUUUGUAUAGUUGUAAACAUAAAAUACUCCAUGAGAUAGACUCAUAACUUUUGAAAACAAUCUUUGAGGAUGGCAUAACAACAUCUCCAACUUUUGUCAUGUAAUGUAUGAAUGUAAAUAGCACUUUGUAAACAUAUGUAUGUAAUAUAUGUAUAUAAACACCACUCUUUAGCAUAUAUAUUUUUCAAAACUUUCUACAUCUUCAACAAUGUUUCAAGCCCCGCAGCAACGGGCGGGUACACUUGAUAGUAUACAUCUAAAAUUAUAAGACUAAAUCCUUUAGUUCUUGGAUUCAUCUAAGAACUACUUAUUCCAGCAGAUGCUAUGCUUGCACUACUAGAAUUUAUGGCUUGCCCUGUCAACUAUUGCGCGACAGAAGAUUUCGUCGGUUUCACUUUUUUUAACCGACAUAAUAUAAGUUUAGUAGGGCAAAAUCAGUCAACAAACUGGGUUGACUGAAUAAAUUUACAGGAUGGCUAGAGUUCGUAGGUUAAGACAUCAGUCGUUGGGCAAACAUUUGGAGCGAAGAUGUGAGUGUUUUAACUGACGAAUAAGCUGGUCGUCAUGUAGAUCUUCUUUCCCGACUGACGGUUCAACAUGUAGCUCUUUGGAUAAUAAUUCAUCUUCAAGGGGAACAGGUUGCCCCUCAGAUGAAUGGUUAGAGGCAAUUGUGAGACUAUAAUUUUCUAGGGCCGAAAUAAAAAAUACAUAAACCCUCACUCAUUCUGUCUCUGUAACCAUCCACCAAAUACCCUUUCUUCCCUUUCUAUUUCUCUCCUAGUAAUAUCCCCUGACCGAAUCACACAAUCCAACCAACUCUCUUUAAGCCUCCCUCACUGAUUCCAUGGAUUUCAUGGACUUAUCCCACCCUCUCUCCUUCCCUCUAUAUAUAGCAAGUCCCCUUGCCUCAGUGUCCCUGGCAACAGAAUUUAUGGCAUUUCUUCGUUCUUUCAAUUAUUUGAAAGCUUCCUAGCCCUGCAAUCUUGUACAAAGGCGUAUGGUGUUUCAUCAGUUCCAUUUGGUGGUUGGGUGGGAAAUGAAAUUAAAACACUGCAUUUCAAAUGCAUUUCAAAUGGUCUAAACCAAAUUGAAUCAAAUGUGAAGCAAAGGGCAAGAGGUGUAGAUUGAAGAACAAUGGCACCAAGAGCGAAAUUGAACUUGUUGACAGGAGGAAACCAAGUAAGGAUAACACGUCUAAAUCUUAUUUUGAAUCCAUUCAGCUCAUGAUGUUUUGAAUGAUGAUGAUCGGUAUACUCUGCUACAUGCUGUGAUUUUUCCGCUUUCAUGUAAUUAACGGCUUAUAUGUGGUAACGAUAUUGAUUAAAAAAGGUCGUACCCAGUGCAUAAGGCUCCCGCUUUACGCAGGGUCUGGGAGAGGUGAAUGUCGGCUAGCCUUACCCCCAUUUUAUGGAGAGGAUGCUCCAAAGUCUCAAACCCGAGACCUACCGCUCAUGGGCGAAGGCAUUUGCCAUCGCACCAAAUGCGAUAUUAAUUAAUUUCGAGAAAUGACAGUCUGAUUUUUGCAACUGUCUUUUGCAGGCAAAACAAAGACGUUUGCAAGGGUGAGUUGUGUAGGAGCUUUGUUUCAUGUCCAAAUGACACUUGAGAAUAAAUGUUUACACUCAUGGAUAAUAUCUAUCUAUUUGCAGGAGCAACCCUGGGUUCAUUUGUUCUGUAACUGCUGGUCAUUGCGGCAUAUCACGCCUAUAGCACUGACAAAAGUAAAAAGAGAAUCGAAUGAAAUUUGAUAAGUUUUCAGCGGACUACAAAGAUCUUAAGCCAAGCAUAUAUUCCCAUGCAGAUAUUAAGAGGUUUACAAAUCAAUUCAAGUACAAGUUGGGCCAAGGAGCAUACGGAACUGUUUUUAAACGAAAGUUUUUUUCUGAAUGCUUUGUUGCCAUGAAAGUACUUAACAUUUCCAAGGGUGACGGGGAAGAGCUUGUAAAUGAAGUGGGAACAAUGGGCCAUAUUCACCAUGUCAAUGUGGUUCACUUGGUUGGUUUUUGUGCUGAUGGAUUUAGAUGAGCUCUGGUUUAUGAGUUCUUUCCCUUUGGUUCACUCCAGGAUUAUAUUUCAUCAGCAGAUAGAUUUCUUUCCUUGGUUGGCAUAAGUUGCAAGAUCUUGCUAUCAGCAUAGCCAAAGGAACUAGGAAUGUGAUCUACAAAUCCUCCAUUUCGAUAUCAAACCCCAUAAUGUUUUGCUCGACCAAAAAAUCACGCCAAAAAUCUCUGAUUUUGGUCUGGCCAAGUUAUGCCAAACAAUUACAGACAACAGUUAUUCACUAAAUCACUUUAAGGCAAGAAUUUAAUUAAUAAUACAUUACUGCACUUUCUUAACCAUUUGACUAUCACCUAGCUGACAAUGAACACGUUAGCUCCGCGUUAGAACAUCUUGGGUUCAAUUCAUUGUCUUGAAUAUCACCCAUUGUCACAGGCGUCUGUUGGGGGCAUAGAGAAGGCCUGAGAGGCAUUUGCAGACAUUCAACAUCUCCUCCAAGCAUUUUGACAACUUUGGACAUCGAAGGGCGAUCAUUUGGUUUCAUUUGAAUACACCACAAGGCGGUUAUAACCAUCUUUCUUAUUACUUUCUUUUCCUCCUCUGUAACAUUGUCCAUUUCCAGGUCAUUUCCCACAAUAUAUUGAUCGUAUACCCACAUUGGGAAGUAGAUUUGGCUUGAAUGCUCUACCGUUGGAUUCAAAUUCUUCCUUCUGCUUGCCAUUUCCAUCAACAACAUUCCAAAACUAUAGACAUCUGACUUGUAUGAGACGCAUCCAAUAUUUUUGUAGAACAACUCAGGAGCAAUAUAUCCCAGUGUACCCCGUGCUGCCGUCAAAGAGACAAUGCUAUUAUCUACAGGAUACAAUUUUGCAAGCCCAAAGUCAGAAACCUUUGCUUUAAAGUUCUCAUCAAGAAGGAUGUUAUGAGGCUUGAUGUCGAAAUGUAGAAUUUGCAUUUCACAACCUUGGUGUAGAUAUUCGAUCCCUUGAGCCACUCCAAGAGAAAUCUCGUACAUGUUCUUGAUAGUUAAGGGGACACUUCCUUCUUUGGAAUAAAUGUAUUUAUCAAGAGAACCAUUAGGCAUGAAGUCAUAUACUAGAGCGCGUUUUGAUCCCUCAACACAGUAUCCAACAAGUUGUACCACAUUGGCAUGGUGAAUCCUUCCGAUUGUAGCUAUUUCGCUAAUGAAAUCUUGGCCAUCAGCUUUGGGCUUGCCCAAAACUUUAACUGCUACAAAUCGACCACUGCGUAGCUUUCCCUUAAAUACAGAGCCAAAGCCACCUUCGCCCAACUUGUCCUUAAACCUGCGAGUCAUUUUCUUGACGUCCGAGUAAGAGUACCUUAUAAGCAUGAUGUUGUUAUUGCAUUGCAGAAAAUCUUCUAUUGUGCUAUACAUUGAUAAAUGUCUUCUGCGCCAUGUGUAGAUUAGAAAUGCAGUCACAACUGGAACUCCAAAAACAAAUCUGGCUAGGAAAAAUAACCCUGCAUGCAUGGACAAUAAUAUGUUAGAUCCACUGUGUACUACUUUUUCUUCCCUUUCUUUCCAAAUUACUUUAUCUUUGAUGUAAUUAAAGAGAGAGAAUGGGAAAUCUACAUAUGUUGAUAAUAUAAUCUCGUCUUAGUCCUUACCGAUCCAUAUGAGUAUAAACCAUCCAAGUGCUGCAAAAAAAUCAAUCGACUAUGAGUUUGAAAAGUGCAUAAAGUGAAAAAAAAAAAAAAAAAAAAAAAAAUCAAAGGGUGCCUUUAUUGACACCCAAAUUUUAGUUAGUUUUACUCAACUAAAAAAUUUUUGUCAUCAAACUUUUUAAUUUGCCGUCGAAAUUGAGUUCACCCAACCACAAAGCAGCAACUACCACUCACAAAAAAACCAACAACACACAGCCACCAGUACCAUUCACCAAUAGAAAGAGAAGGAACACACAGACCCACCAAGGAGCCGGCAUCGACGCAUCUACGAGGGAGGGACCGGAGGGUGGUGUAGUUUUGUUGGGCGCGCGGUGGUUGUUUUGUUUGUUCAUUUUCUCUUUCUUUUGGUAGGUGGAGGCUGGUGUGGAUUUGGGCGAACUUAAAAAUGAGGGGAAACUAUGAAGUUUGACAAAAUGUUUUAGUUAGGGGAACUUAACUAAAAUUUGGGUGCCGAUAAAGAUACCCAAUUUCAAAAAUACUUGAGCUUAUAGACUAAUUAAAUGAAGUUGAUCUUACAGAUCUCGUGGCUGUAUGAUGAAUGCCACUUGCCAGCUGCAAUAGAUACCACGGAAAAGUGAAUAAAGACAUACAGUUACUAGGUUUAAGAAGUACAGAUAGAGCACACAAAAAAUAAAAGAAGCUUUUGGGAAGAAACUUCUUACGCCAAUAGUUGUGUUCUUGACCUACAGUAAAAAAUGUGAAGAAGAAUACACAACAUUAGCAAUAGCUCACCCAGUCUUCGGAAUUUAAAAAAUCAAGUUUGUCUCGAUCGAAAACUUGUAAAUAAAACAAAAAGAGGACCCCUUACGGAUUUGGUGCCAUAGAUAUUGAAAGAAACCUACAAAAACAAAGAAAGAACAAGACCACAUGCAUUAGCAUAACAAGUGUGAGGUGUAUAAGCCGUUAGAAAAUAAAUUUAAAAUUCUAGUGCUGUCAAUACAUUGAUAAUAUAUAUAUAUAUAUAUAUAUAUAUAUAUAUAUAUAUAUGUAUUAUUUUUCUGAAAAUUUAACUUUCUCCCUCCAAACUCAUUUUUCUAGUCUCUAGCCCAUCAUAUAAUAUUUAUCAGAAUAAAACCAAAUGAUUAGGAUCCAACUAAGAAACUUACCAAAUUAAGUUUGUGUGUCCAUUUUUAUAUUUUUUGGAUCCCUAAUAUACCCCAUCUAAGCCAGUAUGGAAAGUUCUUGUAAUUUUGCUUUAAGUGAUCACGUGCAUUGAAUUUGGCAAGGUCUUGUAGCCAUGAAAUAUGGUUCCAGAUGGAGGAAUGAAUUUGGAUUUUUUUUUAAUUUCGGCAACAAAUUUCAAUUUGAAUAUACCUAAUUUAGUGUUUAUUUUCAACAAUAUCUAUUGUUUAAUUUUAUGAAAAUAAUUAACCUAAUAUGAAAAUUAAUUUUAUGAAAACAAUAUCUAUUGUUUAAUUUUAUACCUACAGGAUAAUUACAUGAAAAUAGUUUACCUACUAUGAAAAUUAAUUUUUUGAAAGCAAUAUCUAUUGUUUAAUUUUAUGAAGAUAAUUUACCUACUAUAAUUACAUGAAAAAAUUUACCUACUAUGAAAAUUAAUUUUUUGAAAACAAUAUUAUUGUUUAAUUUUAUGAAAAUAAUUUACCUACUGUAUAAUUACAUAAAAAUUAGGGAAAAUUAGAAUCCCCUACAGUUUUUAUAUAUCAUUUAGAUUAAACAUUUGUACUUUUUUAAAAUUUGAUUAAAGUGCUUUGACCAAUAGUUACCUCUAUUUUUUUAAAUUAAAAUAAUUUUUGAAUUUAUCCUUUUAUCUGCACAAUGCACUUUUCCUUAUUUAGUGGAGAUAUUAGUAAUGAAACUAUAUUUUCCCUUCUUCCAAAUAUGUUUUUUCGAUCACAGUUUUUUUUUUUUUGGGUAUGCAAACAUUUGAUAUUAUUUUUUUUCCAAAUGGUUUUUUCUUUUUCAAAUAGUUGGUGAUCAACAUAUAAGCUCUGUGUAUUUUUUUCAAUGUUUUUGUGAAAUUAUAUUUUUUUUGCUGUUUUUUAAGUAUAGUUGUUGACGAAUUAUUAUUAGGUACAAUACAUUACGUAUAUAUUAUCUGCGGGUACGUUUGAAUUUACUAAAAUCAUUAAUUGGUACGUUUGAUUUGAUACAUAUUGUUAAUAUUGGUACAUUAUUUUUAUUUUGGUACGUUUUAUUUUGAACACAUUUUGUAUUGGUACGUUUAUAGUAUUCUCAAUCCUAUUUUCUCUUAACGUACUAAAAGAAAAACUCAUUUUGGUACGUUUGAUUUUGGGGGAUUUAAAAAUAUUUUAAACUAUUUUGGAAAAAAAAAAAUCUUAAAUCGUAGAUAAUUAUUGCUAAAUUGUAGCAUUAUUGUGAAAAUAAAUUGAAUCUAACCAACUUUUUUUUUUACAAUUAUCUCUAAUGGAGGAGAGUGUAAUCAAAAGGCUAGAUUAUAGGAAAUUUGUUACAAUAUAAUGGGCAUAUAGCACCAAAAUUAUGAUAAAAAAAAGUUUAAUCAAAUCAUUAAAAGGCAUGGAUGUUUGAUCUAGAAAAUUCAAAACUGAGGCGUCUAUAUCAAAAGAUCCCUAAAAAUUAAUGUGCCUACUUUUUAAAUUUGUAACAAAAUUAAUUUACCUACUUUUUAUGGUAUUAGUAUACAUAAAUGUAGAAUAUAUGUCCGUAUAUAUUUGAUCUAAUUAGGUUUUGGAUUGGAGGAGUUGACACAAAAUUAUAAAUAUAUUAAACAAAUUUAUCUAUUCUAAAGUUGGAGGGGAAUUGGUCUGUACAUUGCUACAGUAAACAAAUGCUACUCAAUUUCACGUUAUUUACAACAAAGCUAUCAGAUUUGGGUUGGGUUGGAGGGUAAUUUGUUAAAAGUUAGGAGGGUAAUUUUGUGCAUAGGGUUUAGGUGCCCUCCUAUACAUGACCCUUGAGUUUACUUUAUUUACACCACUGCCAUCAAAUAUGUGGCUGAAUUGGAGGGUAUUAUUAAAAGUUAAGAGGGUAGUUUUGUUCAAGGGGUGGGGGCGACAUUCGCAGACGGAGGCCGAUGGGAGCCAUGCCCAUUGCACAGAGAGAAAGGGAGUGAUGGGGGAAAUUACAGACAGAAAAGGAAGGGAUGGGAGGAUUUGAUGGAUGGUCACAGAGAGAGAUUCGGUGAGGGAUGUGAGGGGAGAUUACAGAGAGAUAAAUAAAAGGGAGGGAUCGGGGGAUUUGAGGGAUGGUCAGAGAGAGAAAUAGUGAGGGAGGGAGGGAUGGGGGGGCUGAUUUUCGGUUCCUCCUUCAGAUUUGUUCCGUAAAACCUGUUGGGUACAAUUCAAUUUCCUCCCCCUUUCCCCUGAACGAAAAAUUCGAAACCUACAAUUCAAUUUCCUCCCUCCUUGGCUUUCCGCUUUACUCAUCUCCCGGUGGUUCUUUCUCUCCAUACGAUUCGAUUUCGGUGAGUUCUUCGUUGCCCUCAUGAUUUCCCAGUUUGAUUUUUUGAGCGUCCUUAGUCGUUGUUUUUAUCUGGGUUUACUGCAUUGUUGCUUUUAGUUUCUGGAUUUUUAUUUGUUCCGCGGUUCGAUGAAUCGGUUAAUAAUUUCACACCAUGGGAUUUUCGCAUGGAAUUGAGCGCGGGGAUUCGGGGUGGGGUUUUACUGAUAAUUUGUCUUCAUUCAAAUGAAUGGUUAAAAUUUCUGAAGUGAGUGUGCAGGUGGGCCCGUUCACUAACUAAGCUUUCAAGGGAACCCAUCAGCGGUUUGCUUGCUGGGGGAAUUCGGAGACUACCAGUGUAUGAUUUAGUUAUCAUUUAUUUUUUUACUUAAAUUUAUCCAUAUAUAAUAUGUGGGUAAAUUUACACUAAACAAUUGUGAUAAGCCAAUAUGCCAUACGACUUUGAAAGCAUUGAUUUUGUGUUUAGUUUGCAUUUUUGCAUUGUGAAUGUUGAAUUUUGUGUUUGAAUUUGUAGCAUGAUCUUCCGCUGCAGCAUCCAAAUUUUGCAUUUGUAAAUUGUCAAAGAAAAACGAAGUAUGAGGAAAUUAUAGGAGAUUGUGUCGGCUUUGGCCAUGAAGGGUAUCAGCAGCUUGUUCCCCCAUACAGGUGAUUAAUCGUUUUUCAGUCUGUGUUCUAUUUGGAUGAGAAAGUGAUUGAAAAUAUGAUUUUUUUAUUUGUUGGUUGAUUUUGUAUGGACGAUGUAUUAAUUUUAUUUUUUUUGGGAUUUUGUGUAUUGGGCAUUGUGUAGAACCAGCAAUGCAAGAGCAGGAUCUGAUCAGUCAUGCCUGAAAAGGGGUUUGUUUCUCAAAUCACAUUAAUUAAUUAGAUUAUUAACGUGCGUUGGAAGGCUCUUCAAUAUGAUUUCUAAUUUCUCCUUUCCAGCAUUCUCUUUUUGGUUUUUGGAGUAUGUAUGUGAUUUGUAUUUUUUUAUAGAAUAAAAAUUAAUAAAACACGAGAUGCAGCAAUUAAUUUGCAUCCUUAUGACAACACAUAUGAAAGUGCAUUCAAUUUCAAUGUGCGAAUGUGUGACAGGAUGUGCCUGCCCGCUGCUGCUGGUAUGCUUGCUGUUGUUUCUCGCGUUGUUAAUUUUUUGUGUGUGUUGAUUUGAUUAACAACUCAAGCGUAUCUUUUUUUUUUGUGUUGGUUAGCAGCCAGUUUUAUGGCCCCGAUCUAGUGAUGCUUCUCAGUGACUGUGGUAAUUGCAGUUCAUUGCCACCAGUUGGUCAGCUACCUGCUCUGAAAGAGCUAUACGUAGAAGGGAUGAAAGUUGUUAAGAGUGUUGGUGUUGAGUUGUACGGGGGAAAUCAACCAUUUCAAUGUUUAGAGAAGCUAAAGUUUCGGGAGCUAUAGCAGCCUAGUCCAAGUGGAUGUGAAAGUCCAGACUUUCCUCAUCUUAAGGAGCUGGGGUUAUACGAAUGUCCGAAGCUGAGAGGAAACUUGCCCACUCAUCUUCCCUCCUUGAAAACACUUCAUGUGAACAAGUGUGAGGUUCUACAUAAAAACAGGGCCAGUAAUACCCUGAACGUGGAAUCCUUACGAGGAUCUCUUGAAAAACUGACAAUAAAUGGAUGCCCGGGUCUCUCAUUGUUACUAGAGUCGACGGAGACGCUGCCGUCGCUUCAGAAGCUUGAUAUUGAUAAUGUGGUGGGAAAGAGUUGUUGGCGCAAAUGGUGCACAACAGCAAUCGUCUUCAAAGUUUGACUUUAUAUAAAUGUUCCUCACCCUUGUCGUUCCUUACAAAUGGUCUGCCCACCACGCUGACAUCACUGAGCAUAACAGAUUGCAAGAAAUUAGAAUUCCCAUCACGUGAGAUGAUGGCCAAAUUGACUUCCCUUCAGUCUUUGCGUCUAUCCAACAGCUGUGAACGCAAAGGCUUGAGUAUUUGCAGUUUAGUUUUUUUUUUCUUCAUUUUAGAGAUUUUUCUACUGUUUGGUUUUUGGGUUUUGUCUAAUUUUUGUGGUCUGCUUUAUAGAUUGUUCUCUUUGGAAGCUUCUUUCCAGCCUUGACCUUCUUCUUGCCUGGUGCCUUCUCAUUGAGUAUUGGAGGAGCAUUAAAACACAGGUGUGUGUGUUUUGUCGACAUAAGAGAUGAAUGACAUAAAAACAUCCGUCUCUGUAUUUUUUUGUGCUUUUUCUAACCCAUCAAUUUCUUUUGAGUCAACCAAAUAGUCCCAAAUUGCAACUUAUGUUGUGAGGUAUUAUUGUCUAAAAUUAAGUAUGCAUGUAUAUUUUAUGUUUGUGCCCGCGCACACAUCCGCAUGGUGUUAAUCUCUGUGGGUCAUCUAUGUAUAUGUAGAUAUAUCUAUAUGUGUGUGUGGAAUGCAACAUAUCGGAUUUAGGUUAUACUGUGCAUAGUUUUAUUGCCUGUUAUUAUCUACGAUAUCACUAUGCCAUUUCUAUGCAGGCUCUGAAAGUUAUUCAUGAGCUUUAUAAGCACUUACCAUAAUUUAAGCAGUCUGUUUUGGGUUCUUUUUCAUUAGGUCAUUAGCUACAGAUUAAUGGAGAAACGAGGACCAUGCCACUGAUUUGGGUUCUUUUUCUAAUUUUCUGAUUUUGGGGUUUUGCAGGGAGAACUCCGCCUAUGUACUUACAUUGCCGAUCCCAAGCUCGGAUAAAGGAGGAGGGGGAGGGCGUCAGGUAGUCGACAGUCGGCACUCCAUGAUCACGUCGAAUCCUUAUGAAAAUGAAUUCAGAAUAAAAUUGCGCUAAAGCUAGGGCGUCACCCGUAAGUGGCGCGCUGUGUGGCCCGAGCACAGUGAUAAGUGAGCAAGGGUCGCUGUAUCUCCAUCGGCACCCGGAUGCAGUGUUAAAUGAGCAAGGGGGGCAUAGGAACUUCUUUUCGAACGACUCCACUCAAAGUUGUUUGGGAGCAUAUGCUCCUAUCAACUUUACACGGGACACACAAAAGAAGUACUUUGAUCCUAUUAGACGGGGGAGGGUGAAGAAGCUAGGACAGAAGGGUAGAGUUCAAGAAAGCAAAAUGCGUUUAGGAACGUGGAAUAUAGGAACCUUAACGGGAAAAUCUAUGGAAGUAGUGGAAGUUAUGGUGAGGAGAAGGAUAAAUAUUAUGUGCCUACAAGAAACUAAGUGGGUUGGUAGUAAGGCAAUUGAUCUAGAAAACUCAGGGUUUAAACUUUGGUAUUCGGGCACAAAUAGAACGAGAAACGGUGUUGGCAUCAUCGUGGACAAGACCUUGACACAAGAUGUUGUAGAUGUCAAGAGGGUAGGAGAUAGAAUCAUGGCAAUCAAGAUUGUAAUAGGACAAGAACUUAUCAAUGUGGUUAGUGCGUACGCACCUCAAGUAGGGUUGGAUACGAGUUCGAAGGAGAAAUUUUGGGAAGACCUUGGAGACUUGGUGUAAGGAAUUGCUCAGACGGAGAAGUUAUUUAUAGGAGGAGAUUUAAAUGGACACGUGGGCAGAGAGACAGGCAACUAUGGAGGUUUUCAUGGUGGCCAUGGUUUUGGGGAGAGAAAUGAGGAUGGGGAAGCUAUCUUGGAUUUUGCAAUGGCAUAUGAUCUCUUUUUAGCCAACACCUUCUUUAAGAAGAAAGAAGAACAUGUGAUCACCUACAAGAGUGGGUUGUCAAAAACACAAAUAGAUUUUCUUCUAAUGAGAAACGAGGAUGGGGAAGCUAUCUUGGAUUUUGCAAUGGCAUAUGAUCUCUUCUUAGCCAACACAUUCUUUAAGAAGAGAGAAGAACAUGUGAUCACCUACAAGAGUGGGUCGUCAAAAACACAAAUAGAUUUUCUUCUAAUGAGGAAAGGGGAUCGUAUAACUUGUAAGGAUUGCAAAGUUAUACCAGGAGAGAGCGUGGCUAAUCAACAUCGCUUGUUGGUGAUUGAUGUACAUAUCAAAAGAGUGAGACAAAAGAACAAGACUUGGAAGUGCCCAAGGACUAGAUGGUGGAAUCUAAAAGAAGAAAAACAAGCCAUUUUCAAAGAGAAAGUAAUCAUCCAGUGUGUGGGAUAGAGAUGGGGAAGCUAGCCAAAUGUGGGAUUCAAUGGCUAGUUGUAUCCGAAAAGUAGCAAAAGAGGUAUUAGGAGAGUCAAAAGGCUUUGCCCCACACCAAAAAGAAUCUUAGUGGUGGAAUGAGGAGGUACAAACAAAGGUGAAGGCUAAGAAGGAAUGUUGUAAAGCCUUAUACAAGGAUAGAACUGAUGAAAAUGGUGAAAGGUAUAGAAAAGCGAAGCAAGCUGUGAGAGAAGCUAAGUUAGCGGCUUACGACGAUAUGUAUAAACGACUAGAUACCAAAGAAGGAGAGUUGGAUAUCUAUAAACUAGCUAGAGCAAGGGAAAAGAAGACAAGGGACCUAAACCAAGUGAGGUGCAUCAAGGAUGAGGAUGGAAAUGUUCUUGCUACAGAGAACGCGGUUAAAGACAGAUGGAGAGGUUAUUUUCAUAAUCUUUUCAAUGAAGGACAUGGAAGGAGUGCUUCUUUAGGGGAGUUGAGUAACUCAGAAGAGUGUAGAAACUACUCUUUUUAUCGUCGAAUCCGGAAGGAAGAAGUGAUUGUAGCUUUGAAGAAGAUGAAACAUAGAAAAGCAAUAGGCCCAGACGAUGUACCAAUCGAAGUGUGGAAAGUUUUGGGAGAGACAUGUAUAACAUGGCUCACUGACCUUUUCAAUAGGAUUUUGAAAACGAAGAAGAUGCCAAAUGAGUGGCGAACGAGCACUUUGGUGCCUAUCUACAAGAAUAAGGGCGACGUACAAAAUUGCAUGAACUAUAGGGGUAUUAAGCUAAUGAGUCAUACAAUGAAGCUCUGGGAGAGAGUCAUUGAGCAUAGAUUGAGGCAAGAGACACGGGUUUCGGACAACCAAUUUGGGUUCAUGCCAAGGCGCUUAACCAUGGAGGCAAUCUAUCUCUUACGAAGAUUGGUGGAAAGAUAUAGAGAUGGGAAAAAGGAUUUACACAUGGUUUUUAUAGAUUUGGAGAAAUUCGUAUGAUAGGGUCCCAAUAGACAUUCUUUGGAGGAUUUUAGAGAAGAAAGGAGUACGAGUAGCAUAUAUCCAAGCUAUAAAUGAUAUGUAUGAAUGAGCAAAGACUGCUGUAAGAACUCAUGAAGGACAAACUGAAAGUUUUCCCAUAACUGUAGGAUUACACCAAGGCUCAUCCUUAAGUCCCUACCUUUUUGCGUUGGUAAUGGAUGAGUUAACAAGACAUAUUCAAGAUGAUAUUCCUUGGUGUAUGCUUUUCGCAGACGAUAUAGUGUUGAUAGAUGAAACACAGGAAUGGGUAAAUGCAAAGCUUAACCUUUGGAGAGAAGUGUUGGAAUCUAAAGGUCUUCGCCUAAGCCGAUCAAAGACAAAAUAUAUGGAGUGCAAGUUCAGUGCAAAUGGAGGCCAAAACGAGUUAGGGGUGAGGAUCGGAGAUCAAGAAAUACCAAAGAGCGACCGUUUUCGUUACCUAGGAUCUAUCUUGCAAAAGAACGGAGAAUUAGAUGGAGAUCUCAACCAUAGAAUACAAGCUGGAUGGAUGAAGUGGAAGAGUGCAUCCGGCGUGUUGUGUGACCGCCGUAUGCCACUGAAGCUCAAGGGAAAAUUUUAUAGGACGGCAAUAAGGCCGGCGAUGCUGUAUGGCACAUAAUGUUGGGCGGUGAAGCAUCAACACGUACACAAAAUGGGUGUAGCGGAGAUGAAGAUGCUUCGUUGGAUGUGUGGGCACACGAGAAAGGAUAAGAUUAGGAAUGAGGAUAUCCGGGGUAAAGUAGGAGUAGCCGAAAUUGUAGGAAAGAUGAGAGAAAAUCGGUGACGGUGGUUUGGACAUGUGCCAAGAAGGCCUACUGACGCUCCGAUUAGAAGAUGUGACUACUGGACAGAGGUUCAGGGCCGAAGGGGUAGAGGAAGACCUAGAAAAACUUUGGAAGAGACUCUAAGAAAGACUUAGAGUACCUGGAUCUAACGAAGGACAUGACACAGGACCGAGCAUAAUGGCGUUCUAAGAUUCAUAUAGCCGAUCCCACUCAGUGACUUGGAUUUUCCAAGUCUCCAGCCGAGAAGUUUUCCUCACUCAGGAAAUUAAGGGAACACUACCCCAACCUACAUGCUCCACUCACAAAGCUUCAACAAAAGAAAAUUCAAAGAACUUAGCGAAGAAGGCUUUGAUGUAUUUAACACAAUACGUUGAAAUGAAGGAAAGCUUAUUUAUUGAUAUCAUCGAUAAGCUACAAAUAUGUACAUAUACAUAAGUCAAAAUAAACAAACAAGAGGGAGCCUUCACAAAGGUUGCUUAGGAGAAGUCUCAGCAGUCGGUAGAGCCCCAGAAAGAGAAGGCACCGGAGGGGGAUCAUUCGGAGCCUCAGUACUGGACAGAACCCUAGAAGGAGGAGGCAUAAGAGGUUGAUCAUUUGGUGCUUCAUUACGCGGUACAGCCCCAGAAGACGAAGGCAAUAAAUGCCUUUGGAACAAACCCACAAAUCUCUGAUGAUCAAGUAAAACCUGACCAUCAGAUUCCUUCAUCUGGUCAAGCUUCCUCUUCAUGUUUGUAGCAUAGUCAUGUGCGAGCCGGUGCAACUGUUUAUUCUCAUGCUUGAGCCCUCUAAUCUCCUGUUUGAGACUCAUCACUUCAGCCGCCAAUGAUUCAACUUGGCGGGUUCGAGCAAAUAGGUGUUGGGCCAUAUUAGACACAGAACCUGCACACUGAACACUGAGAGCCAGAGAAUCCUUAACAGCUAACUCAUCAGACCGUUUGGAAAGUAGUCUGUUAUCUUUGGGAGUGAGAAGGUUCCUGGCCACCACCGCAGCGGUCAUAUCAUUCUUCAUCACGGAAUCCCCAACGGUAAGAGGACCAGUAGGGGAGACGAAGGAUGGGCGCCAUAUGUUGUCUGGAGAAGGCGGGGCUUCCUCUUCAACAAGGUUCAAGUCAAAACGACGGUCGGAGGGGCCAGACAUUUUCAAAUGUGUUGAAGAGAGAAGAGGUCGGACAAAUCAAGAUCUUAGAAGUGUAAGAAUGGAGCUUCUACUGGUGGAGAUUCAAGUGUGCUUUGGAACUUAAUGUCAGCCCCUAUAAAAAUCUGCACUCAACGGAGCUUCAGAAAUCGAAGAGGCGCCUGCUCAGAAAUCGAAGAGGCGUUUGCUUUCUCAAAAGCAAGGCUGCUCAGAUACCACGAGGGUCGAUCUCAGAAAUCGAAGAGGCGUUUGCUUUCUCAAAAGCUGGGCAGCGCAAAGACCACGAAGGCCGAUCUCAGAAAUCGAAGAGGCGCUCAAAAGUUGGGCUGCUCAGAGACCACGAGGGCCGAUCUCAGAAAUCGAAGAGGCACCUACUUUUCCAGCCUUGUCAGUACCUGUCACACACACACUCAGCUUUGCGAAAAUUAUGGGGAUUCGGUCGAAGACUUCUGGUGAAGUAGAAAGCACAUGAGUCUUACUGUUCAAUCACCCACUUCCCACACGCAACAGUAGCUCAUGGGUACCACAUAUAACUUUUCCAAAGUUCUCUGCCAAAGUUGAACACGUGAAGUUUGCAGCUCCCACUACAUCGCUCUGAUCAAGAAGGGUAAAAGAAUAGCAAAGAAACAACACUAACAAAGUUUAGACACAUAAAUUUUGAUGGUCGAGCUACCAUAUUAUUACCCACAAGGGUAAAGGAACAGUACCACUGCUGGAUAAUUGGAAAGUCCCUGUGUGUCAACCUCUGUGCUUCGUGGCAAGGUAGACUAUCAAACAUGCCCAACCUUUACUCACAUUCGAGAAAACACUCCCAACAAGAUUGCUUGCUCCAAAAUCGAAGAGGCACCGUCCUUCGAAUCUCGAGAGCCAGACUCCCAACAUGACUACUUUCUCAAAAAUCGAAGAGGGUAAAGGAACAGUACCAUUGCUGGAUAAUUUGAAAGUCCCUGUGUGUCAACCUCUGUGCUUCGUGGCAAGGUAGACUAGCAAACAUGCCCAACCUUUACUCACAUUCGAGAAAACACUCCCAACAAGAUUGCUUGCUCCAAAAUCGAAGAAGCAUCGCCCUCCGAAUCUCGAGAGCCACUCCCAACAUGACUACUUUCUCAAAAAUCGAAGAGACAUCGCUCUCCGAAUCUCGAGAGCCAGACCCCCAGCAUGAUUGCUUUCUCAAAAAUCGAAGAGGCACCGUUCUCCGAAUCUCGAGAGCCAGAUCCCCGAUAGGAUUGCUUGUUCGAAAACCGAAGAGGCAACACUUUCCCAAUUUCAAGAGCCGGAUCUCCUUGGAUAAAGCUAUCUGUAAUCUUCACUCGCAACAUUAGCUUUCCAGCUACCACAGACCACUUUUUCAAAGUGAUCUGACAACGUUAAAACAUGUGAAGCUGGCAGCUUCCACUACCGUGCUAUGACCAAGUAGGGUAAAGGAAUAGCAUUACUACUUGUUGUUAAGGAGACUCCUAUAUAUGUCGACCUCCAUCCCCAACGGAUAGGCAGACCUGCAAAAAUGCUCAACUCUUCCUCAUAUCUGAGAGGGCACUCCCAACGAAGCCUUUCGAAAUAUUCAGCUUUCUUUCCCCCCGAUAAUACCUCUGCAAACAAGCUAUACUAGAGCAAGAAUAUCUCAUAUCAUCAGGGUUAAAAGCAAGAGUAUCCCAUAUCAUGCUUUUUCCUUGUCUUUUUCUUUGGCCUUGUUCUUACCUGCAAGACAAGAAGAAAGAGAGCAAUCAGUCAGUACUUGGAAUCAAGCUUCCAGCCAGGAACUGACUGCCUGGAACCCCUUACCUGAUUACUUACCUGACAUUGUUCUCGAGUACUCAUCUUCAACAUCUUAUGCUUCCAGGGAAGAUACCGCAUCUGCCUGAGGAACAGAUAGGGCAAGGGAGAAGGAUAUAAGGAAGCAUGUGGAGACAAGCGUAACAGCACACGUGCCGAUACAUCCAUUACUCUGUCAAAGCAAAAGUAUCCCAUAUCAGUAGGGUCGAACGUACUCUAGAUUUGAUGGACUUGUUUUGACCCUCAAAUUCUUCAGUCGGCCUUAUACUCUGGAGGAAACCAGAAAUUUCUCCAGCUCAGUGCAAGAAUAAGCUUGUGGAAAGUUACUUCUUCAAAAGCAAAAGUAUCACAUAUCAUCUCUUCUCAUUUUCUUCUCUUUAUCCUUCAUGCUGCCUGCAAGAUAGGGAGAUUGUGAACAAUCAGCUGGAGCUAUGAUUGCUUACCUUGUCUGUCACCUCUUUCAGCAGAUCCCCUAGCUCGGCGAUUUGGGGGACUCCUACUACAUGGUUUGUAUCGCGCUUGACCAAGCCUGAAACUACAAGUAAGCUUCAAGUGAAAUUGAUACAUUACCUUGUGCAUCUCCACCAGUUAAAGAUACUACCCCUGGAUGGAGGAAGAGUACUUCCAGAGAAGAUGCCCCAUCUACCUAUGAGACAGAUAAGGCACGUCAAGACGAUACCACACUCUGAUACUUAGAAGUUUCGUGAUUACGAGAUCAUUCUCCCACAAUAUUUCCUAAUGUCAUUUGUACUAAAUCAUUCACUUGUACUCACUAAAGGAGAGCUUGAACCUAUGUACUUGUGUAAACCCUUCACAAUUAAUGAGAACUCCUCUAUUCCGUGGACGUAGCCAAUCUGGGUGAACCACGUACAUCUUGUGUUUGCUUUCCUAUCUCUAUCCAUUUAUAUACUUAUCCAUACUAAUGACCGGAGCAAUCUAGCGAAGAUCACAAAAAGCGACCGUUUUCGCUACCUAAGAUCUAUCGUGCAAGAGAACGGAGAAUUAGAUGGAGAUCUCAACCAUAGAAUACAAGCUGGAUAGAUGAAGUGUAAGAGUGCAUCCGACGUGUUGUGUGACCGUCAUAGGUCACUGAAGCUCAAGGGAAAAUUUUAUAGGACGACAAUAAGGCCAGCGAUGUUGUAUGGCACAGAAUGUUGGGCGGUGAAGCAUCAAUACGUACACAAAAAUGGGUGUGGCGGAGAUGAGGAUGCUUCGUGGGAUGUGUGGGCACACGAGAAAGGAUAAGAUUGGGAAUGAGUAUAUCCGAGGUAAAGUAGGAGUAGCCGAAAUUGAAGGAAAGAUGAGAGAAAAUCGGUUCCGGUGAUUUGGACAUGUGCAAAGAAGGCCUACUGACGCUCCGGUUCGAAGAUGUGACUACUGGACAGAGGUUCAGGGCCGAAGGGGUAGAGGAAGACUUAGAAAACCUUUGGAAGAGACUCUAAGAAAAGACUUAGAGUACUUGGAUCUAAUGGAGGACAUGACACAAAACCGAGCGCAAUGACGUUCUAGGAUUCAUAUAGCCGACCCCACUUAGUGGGAAAAGGCUUUGUUGUUGUUGUUGUUGUUGUUGGGGUUUUGCAGGGAGUACUAAUGUACUGAUUUUCUGGGAUUUUUUUUGUCCUUGCAGGAUUUUUGGUCUUUGAAAUGGGUAUGUGUUGUUUUUAAUGUUUCAGUUCUAGCGUUUUCCGUUCUUCGUUGCUUCGUGAUUCUCAUUUUUCAGUGUUGGGUGAUGGAAAUUUGUUAAAGUAGUUGGUAGUUUUUUGAGAAAGUUGGCAUUUUUAGUUAUAUUUUCUGUUUAAUCCUAAAUGUUUUGAAAACUCAUAAUUUUUUUGUUCUGGGAUUUAAAAGCAUCUUUUCCAGAUUGGUUACAAGGGUUAUGUUCUCUUCAAUUGGUUCACCUAAUUUUGAUUAGUUUUAAGUUUUGUCCUUUAAGUUUGUCUUUUAAGUUUUGUUCUUUAAGUUUUGUCUUUUAAGUUUUGUUCUCUAAGUUUUGUCUUUUAAGUUUUGUCUUCUGUGCUGUAAUGAGAGAUUUCCGUUGGCCUUUCGGAUUUUGGCAUGGGAAAGUUCACUUAUUUGCAAGGUUCUAAAAAACGCUAGGCGUUAGUUGGGCGGUGGGCUAGCGCCUAGCGGCUAGGCGGCUAGGCGGGAUCUAGGCGGGAUCUAGGCGGGCGCCUAGGCGGCCUAGGCGGAUUUAGGUAAAUUUCUUAUAUAUUUUAUGAAUUAAUUAAAUUUACUAUAUCAAAUGUAAAUAAUUAUUAACUAAUAUGUUAUUUCUUAUAGAAGAACAUACAUAGUGAAUGUUUUAUGUACAUAUAUAAUAUAUUUGUCUAGGAAAAAAAAAUAUUAUCUAAAUAAUUUUUAUAACAUAUAUAUAUAUAUAUAUAUAUAUAUAUAUAUAUCCCAAACUUUUAAAAAUAUAAAUAGCAUUGGGAGAGGGGCGUAGGGUUUCUAAAAGCACACUCAGAAAUAGAGCAUAUUUUAGUCUUUAUUUUAGAAUCCUAAGGAGCACCCUACUCGGAUGCACGACAUGUGUGCAAAUCUGGAGAUUCUUGCUGUAUCGGAUACACCAAUGCUUAGUCAAAAUUUCCUGCUAGGGUUUAUGGUGGACAUGUGUGUGUGGUCUUCAUUAUUAAACCCAUUAGCACCUCACCUUUUCACAUCACCCGUCCAUCACCUUGGGUGGUUUUGAUAAUUAAAACCAUCAACAUCCAUGGUUUUGAUAAUUAGAACUACCAACUUUUCCUUGGAUUUGAGAAUCUGAGAUCCCAUUCAUCGCCAUCAAAUAUUGAAAUGUUUCAUUGUUCAUCUCUUUCUCCCUCUUCUCACUCUCUAUUCCCUCAUCUUCACAGAGAUGAGUUACAGAAAUUCUCCGGUAAUCUCUCUCUCUCUCUCUUCGUAAUCGACGAGCUCCUCGACUUGAAGUCGCAGCCAAGUUAUGAAGAAUCGAGAUGCGAGAGCAAGUGGAGAGUGGAGACUCUGGAAAUUGGGAGUGACGAUCGACGACGAUGAGUCGAUGACCCAGGAAACCUCUUGAAGUUGCAGCAGGUGAGUGCACUGCAGUUGAGGAAGAAGAGACGAAGAGACUUAGUUUCUGAAAUUAGGGUAGCUGCAAGGCACGGGAACUUAAAAACAAAAAAACAAAAAGAAAACCGCCUAGCUCCGCCAGCCGCCUAGCCUGCCUAGGCGCCUCCUAGCCCGCCUAGGUGCCGCUUAGCCACCGCCUAGAGCCCAGCCGUUUUUUCCCACCGUUUUGCACAAAAACGCCUUGGCCACCCUCCGCCUAGCGCCUAGGCGGCCGCCUAGGCCGUUUUUUAGAACACUGCUUAUUUGUCUAAUUAGAUUGUGGAUGCCUUCGAUUCUUUAUUUAAUUGUUCUGUUUGCGUUCGGGUGUGAUGAUCUAAAUUUCAUAUGUUUGGAAUUAUUUACUUAACACCAAUUUGUUACAUUCAGAUCUCCACCCCACAUUUCACUAGUUCAAAUUCCAUAGAAGUUGGUUAUUGCAGAUUGCGUCUACAAUUAGAUCAGAGAUCAACUACUCUUUUGUUAUCCUGCAGAAGAUUGCUUUUGGGAAGGAUCUGAAGUAGUUUCUCUCUGUAUGUUUAUUCCCAUGUAGCUCUGUCUUUUCUAAUUGAUGGUGUUGAUAUUACACUGUAAUUCAUGAUGAUGAUUUAAUUGUUUAUUGAUUUGUAAUUGUUUGUGAAUAAUGUGGCAUAUAUGAAUUGCAAUCUGUGUUUGUAUGAAAGGGAUGGCAUAUUAUGUUGCUGACUUAAUUGUUUAUGUUUUUCAUAUUUGCGAAUGGUGUUAUGAUCAAUUAGGUGAUUGCUGACCUGUGACUUUGUUUGGAGCUCAAAUUUUGUGAGCAUUACAUUGGAUUGUUUUGAUGUUGUUUUGGUUGACAAUGCAGGGAUAGGAGAAACAAAGAGGAUGACACUUAUAACUGCCAUUCCCCAUCGGCCGUCUUCAAAUUUGGAUCACAAGAAGGGAGCAACAUAGGUGUUUUCCUUCUUUAUUUAGAUAUGGUUAGUGUAAAUAAUUGGACAAAAGAGCCAAACAAACCCUGUUCUCUCAAAUGGAGUUGAUGAUGUGGUCGACGGCCACCAGCCCCAACUCAAGAGUUUGGCCUUCAUAUAAUUGGAUUGUAGUAUAAUUUUAUUUUUGUUCAUUUCUUUUUUCCUUUAUAUAAGUGCAGGUGUUGUGAUGUUUUGAAUAAAGGGUGAUGAAAGGUGGUUCACACUUCCUCCUUACUUAAAGCAAGUGGAGAUGACGGUUUGUAUAAAAAGAAAAACUUGCCACGUACUUCAAUUUUCUAUUUUAUUAAUUAUUGUUUGGUUUUCCAAAUGUUGUAUUCACAAAGAGAGACCAAUUAUGUCUUUGAGAAACAAGUUUCUUUGUCUACAUUGCGAGAAUUUGCAGUUUGCAACUUUCAUUGGUUAUUAUAUUUGAUUGAGUUAAACUUGGAUUUCUGGAUUCUGACUUUUUCGUUUGUUUCUUUGUUGCAGAGUUGGCUUCAUUUCAUUCCAGGAACUCUCUAAAUAGGGCCAAGAACUCACUAAAUAGGUAGUCAAGAGGAAUUCAGUUUUGCCUUCAAUUUUUGCCUUCUGUUUACAUUCUUCCUGGAUGCACUCUCACCGCUUCUCUCGCUUACCACUUUUUUCUCACUCACCGCUUCAUCUCUUCUGUUGCUUACAAGGUCGUGUCAUAUAUUUUUUAAUUUUGUGGUUUAAUUUAUUGAAUAUUUGAAAAAAGAGAUAAAAUUAUAAGAUACUAUAUAAGAUACUAUAUAGUAUCUUAUAAAUAAAUGAAUCACAAAUGAUACUAUAGUUGUUAAAAAAUCCCAUUACUCAAAACUCCAAUUCCCUCCCAUUACUGAAAGCUCCAAUUCCAUCAAAACCGAGAUGGUAAAAGUACAAACUGGCUAGUUUCCACCAAAAAAAAAAGUACAAACUGGUUACAAAAAUAUGUUUUGUCCCAUCCAAUUGACGAAAAGAGAUAAAAUUUUCAAUUUACAAUUACUGAUAUGAUGUUUGUUUUGAAAAUCAUUAAGGUGAAUGGAGAGAUUUACAACCAUGAAGAGCUGAGGAGCCGUUUGCCAAAUCAGAUUUAUAAGGUCUCAUCAAUUAUGAAUAAACGACUUUUCAUUCCCAAUGACCUUUAUCGUUUUUCUUAAUGGGUUAGCUGAACAUGAGGUAGAUGCUGACUUUAUCAAAUAUGAGAAUGUUUUAGGAUUUCAUUCUAAUUUUUUGGCUGUUUGAUUACUUUGCUUUUCGUAAUUUGUUUUGCUUAUCGUCAAUUGGAUGGGACAAAACAUAUUUUUGUAACCAGUUUGUACUUUUUUUUUUGGUGGAAACUAGCCAGUUUGUACUUUUACCAUCUCGGUUUUGAUGGAAUUGGAGCUUUCAGUAAUGGGAGGGAAUUGGAGUUUUGAGUAAUGGGAUUUUUUAACAACUAUAGUAUCAUUUGUGAUUCAUUUAUUUAUAAGAUACUAUAUAAGAAACUGUUAUUAGCACUCUAAAAAACUCAUUCUACACUCGCGACAAGUGUAUUUUUCUUUUUAAUUAUGGAAAGUUUGAAGGGCAAAAUGAGAAUUUUGGAGUGCCAAUAACAAUUCCCUAUUAUAUAUAGCUCUACUGGGAAGGCUACUGUAUAUGUCUUCAUCCUGUUAAAUUGUAUAUGGCUCUUGAUGUCGGCUGAAUUAAAUCAAAAUGAAAACCAAGCUGAUCUUACCAGCCGAUAUCACUUAUCACUUGCUUAUUUAAAUUAUUUGAAGAUGCGUAUGUGGAUUGGUGAUUUUGUUGGAUUCACUUAGCUCAAAUAUAUGUUAUCUGAGUCGCUACAUUUGAGAAUGUGAUUCUGUUCCUACCACCAUUUUGCCCACUUUUUGUGGAAAUUAUUCAUUCCUGUUGUGAAUAAUACAUUCAUCCCCGGCAACGAAGUGCGGGCACAUUUUAUAGUUUAAAUUAAAUCACACAAUGGGUCAUCAAUAAUGACAAACUCGUCAUUUAUGCGAGUCAAACAUGAGGCCACCUACCUACUAGUUUAGUGGAAUACCACAAAGUGACAUGUUGAUACCUUUAAGUCUCAUAUAAUGGAUUGCAGAAUUAGGAUAUACCUAGACUAAUUUAGUCAGUGCGUGAACCCGAACAAUUAACAAGGGUUUUAUUCUUGCUUGAAUGUUUGUUAUAUGUUCCUAGUUUGACAAGGCAAUUAUAUUUCCGAUUACAAAAGUUAUUAAUUUAGUCGAGAAUUGACGCACCUGAAAUGGUGUGAGGAAAACAUGUAGACACAUCAACCGCAGUCCACUGUCCUGGGCAUCUAUCUUCCCCGAAACGAAGCUCAAAGCCAUACAUGAGGGCAUUGUGUAUGUCUUUAUAAGAGAAGUUGCUGUAGUCUUCAACGUAGCCGGCAGCCAAACUCAUCCACUCUACACUGCAACCCUCAUCCAAAUCCCAUGCUUCCAACCUGCCCCCGACAUAGUCAGCGACCAUGACAUAGCUAUACGUUUUUGGUUGACUCGAAGAAGAAGAAGAAGUAUUAUUCAAGCAUGGAGCAGUGUCCACGUACAGAGAAGAAUUCGAUGGAUUCGAACACUUCAAGUAAUAUAUAGAUAGAGAAUUGAUGUCAUAGGUGGGCCAAUAUGGAGAAUUGAUGUCCUCGGUGGUGGGCGGAAUAUUUUGAGACAUGGAAGAGCAAUUGUUGUUGUCAAGCCCAGGAUCUAGAACUCGGAUUGUAUUGUUAAUGUAGUUGAUUGCCUGGACAUAGUAUUUUCCGGAAGAAGGUACGUCUAGUACAGUAAUGUUGCUCUCACAGUACAGAGUAUACAUUAUGUUGCCACAGUACUUUGGAUCAUCGUUCAGUCGAAAAGGAUGGCUUAUGUAGUGGAUAUGGCCGCAGGAUGAAGUGCAGGACUUGGCACUACUGUUGUCAGCGUUACAAGUUUCACUGCAAAAGCAAAGAAGAAGAAAGGCUAAACUUAAGGUGAAGGACCUGCUUCCACUAAUUUCCAUUGAUCUGAGAGAGAGAGAGAGAGAGAGAGAGAGAGAGAGAGAGGGUACUAUAGCUUGAACACCAAGGAGUUAUAUAAUAUGGGAGGGGUUAAAGCGCUUCGCUUAAAGUUGCAGUAAGCCCGGCAAAUAUCCUAGGGAAAAGUCGGUCAAUGGUGUCCUAUAGAGAAAAGUCGGCCUUGGUGUUUGACACGGUCACUCACUCUCUCUCUCUCUCUCUCUCUCUCUCUCACAUUGACGAGGGACACUGUAAUUAACAAAAAAAUUGUUCUUCAGAGAUAGAUUUUGAAAUUCUUAUUUUAUAUAAAAAAACACCUAAUAUUAAUCAUUCAAAUGAAAUUCCUAAAAUUAAGUAUAAAUAAUACAUAAUAAAAACUGAACACAUACAAUCAACGGUCACGAUCAUGAAAUCCUUCGGAUCCUCAGAAAAAAAUCCGACGAUGAUCUUUUUCUGUGUAAAAUAAUUUGAGGGUAUAAUACUGGAUGUGCGAUUAAACCGAAGAACCCACCCACCUCCAUCUUCUCCGACCAACUUGAACCCAGCCACUACUACAUGUCAUCCCGACAACCCACUCUCAGCUUCCCAAACCGCCAUUUUUCACCCAUUCACCUACCACUGCCAUUAUUCAUUCAAUCAACCCAAAACACGAGAGCCACCCCCAUCUCACCAGUCGAACAGAUGCAGCCACCCACCCAUUUAAUCCCAGUCCAAAAUCAAACCCUCUCCUAAACCCACCCCAGAAUCCAAUAAUUUCAAAAAAUGGCUGAUUAUAUCAUUUCAAGAACCUCACAAUUCCAAAAACUAAAAACCCACUUCAAAGAUGUAAUAUUUUUCUCUCUUCCUCUUUUUGGGUUUUUUUUUCUUUUUUUUUAUCAAUUCUCUUCUGGGUUUUUGUUUACAGUGUAAAAUCAACACUAAUUUACUAAUUUUGCUUUGAUUUCAAACACUAUUGAGGCGUGAUAACCUGUUGCAAGCUCAGCCAUGGCGGCUACUGCGAAAUCUAACGGAAAAACCAUCACAGACUCUGCCAUUUCAUCCAAGGUUCCGACAAUAGCAAAACGAAUAGCUGUCGCAGAUUUCUUCCAACAUCAAUCACUACGCGAAAUUAAUUGUCAAUGAAGACGAUCCCAUUCCCCUUCGAAAUCUGCUGGGGAAAGAGACCUUCUUUCAGAUCUGCUCUGAGACCGGUUUAUGCGAGAGAGUGGUGAGCCUGACGACAGAGAGAAAUAAGGGCAGGAUUGGAAAAUUGGAAAGUUCAUUUAUUGGUUACUGUUUAUCCGUGUUUCUUCGAAAUAAGCUGCUUUUUCCAGCUUUGGGUUUCAGUGUUUUUUAACCCAUAAUUUUGAAAGAAAAAAAACUGAUUUUAAAUGUUUAUCAAACACUUAAAAUGUUCCAAUCUUUUUUCAUACCUACUUUUUAUUAAAAGUUAAGCUAAACAAAAAUCAAGAUUAAGUUUACUACUCUGAAGUUUCUUGCUUUUCAACAUUUCAUACAUUGAAUUUUUCUCAUCCAGUGUCAUAUCUAAGGUGGGAAUUGUGGGACACUUUUAUACAUCCGUUAGAUUUUAUGUGAAUUGCGUGGCACUUUUAUACAUCCGUUAAAUUUUUUGUGAGAACCUUCGCUGACCCACGAUGCGGCAUGCAUGUGGACAUUAAAAAAAUUCAAAAAAUUCAAAAAAUUUUAAAAUUUUAAAAUUUAAAAUUCAAAAAUACUAAAAACCUAAACUUUUCAUAAUAUUGAAAGACUGAAUCUUUUCACAGUCAGCCAAAUUUUCUUCAAAUUUUAAUUAGAUGAAAUAAUGAAUCUUGAACAAAGCAAAACAAAACGUAAUAUUGAGAGAUUCAGUCAUUGAAGUGGACGUGGAUGUUGGGUACUCAAUAGUCCAAGAAUGAAAACUCUCAUAUCAGUUUCUAUCCAAAAUUUUGGAAUUAUGUGUGUUGCAACGAUUGUCCAAAGGAUUAUUCUUCUUUUAUUAAAUUUCCAUGAAAAAUGAGCAUGGAGCACAAAAGUUGAACGAAUGAUUAUUCUUCUUUUAUUAAAUUUCCAUGGAAAAUGAGCAUGGGGCACAAAAGUUGAACGAAUGAAAUUUCAACGAUUUGAAAAGGGAUUGUGAGUUUGACAUGUCAUUUUUCUUCCUCUAAUGCAAUCAUGUUUAUUAAAAGACAAAAAUAAAUAUGACUUUACAUAAGGAGAGAGAAGGAGUAGUUUUCUUUGAAAAAAUCAACCAUUUAUUGAAGAGGAUGUGGAUGUUGAUUGAUGCGUCGUGAAUACGAAAAAAAGGACCUUGAAAGGAGUUGAGACAUUCAUUAAAAGCUAGAAGAAAAAAAAGUUAAAAGUGUUUUAGAAAAAAAGCAAGAAAGCCUCAUUUUCAAAGUUGUGGUCAUUGCACAAUACUUGAUUAGAAGAAAACUCAUAGUAUUGUAUUUACAAUUUCAAGUCUUUAUGGGGAACGAGAGAGCAAGUUUUCCAAUUGGAAUAUGAUAUGAAAUUUCUACAUAACUAUAUAUGACAAUGAAAGAAGUCUAAGUUUCUAAAUGGAAGGGCUUCCAAUUGAUGUGAGUUUGUUGAGAAAUUAGUGAACAACAGAACAAGUUGCUUCUCCUUUGGCCUUCUAACAUGAUAUCACAGAAAACAAGUUGUUACUAAUAAAUGUAUCUGAUUGGUGGACUUAGACGUGCGCGGUACGAUUUUUGAUAACUAGAGAAGAUGGGCAGUGUCAUGACAAAAUUUAUCCAAGUAGACCCAAAGGAAUGACUUAGGAACUUCAUAUGCAGUGGGAUAAAAUCUUAAGCUAAUUUCCUUACCUAUCUUAUAGGCAUUAAGUAAAAUGUAUAUGCAUAUUUCUAGACACACCAAUUUACUUAAUAUUAACUUCUUUCAAAUACCCAUUUGCAGAAACGCAAAGCUCUCUUGCAUGCUUGUUGUAAUGCUUAUGUAGUGCGUAUCCUAUAUCUUAUAUAUAUAUCUUACUUUUUGUGAUCCAUUUUUUCAUCACUAUGCCAAACGAAUAGCAAAACGAAUAGCUGUCGCAGAUUUCUUCCAACAUCAAUCACCACGCGAAAUUAAUUGUCAAUGAAGACGAUCCCAUUCCCCUUCGAAAUCUGCUGGGGGAAAGAGGCCUUCUUUCCGAUCUGCUCUGAGACCGGUUUAUGCGAGAGUGGUGAGCCUGACGACAAAGAGAAAGAAGGGCAGGAUUGGAAAAUUGGAAAGUUUAUUGGUUACUGUUUAUCCGUGUUUCUUCGAAAUAAGCUGCUUUUUCCAGCUUUGGGUUUUCAGUUUUUUUUACCCAUAAUUUUGAAAGAAAAAAAACUGAUUUGAAAUGUUUAUCAAACACUUAAAAUGUUCCAAUCUUUUUUCAUACCUACUUUUUAUUAAAAGUUAAGCUAAACAAAAACCAGGAUUAAGUUUACUACUCUGAAGUUUUUUGCUUUUCAACAUUUCAUACAUUGAAUUUUUCUCAUCCAGUGUCAUAUCUAAGGUGGGAAUUGUGAGACACUUUUAUACAUCUGUUAGAUUUUAUGUGAAUUGUGGGGCACUUUUAUACAUCCGUUAGAUUUUUUGUGAGAACCUUCGCUGACCCACGAUGCGGCAUGCAUGUGGACAUUGAAAAAAUUCAAAAAAAAUCGAAAAUUUUAAAAUUUUAAAAUUUAAAAUUCAAAAAUACUAAAAACCUAAACUUUUCAUAAUAUUGAGAGACUGAAUCUUUUCACAGUCGGCCAAAUUUUCUUCGAAUUUUAAUUAGAUGAAAAUAAUGAAUCUUGAACAAAGCAAAACAAAACGUAAUAUUGAGAGAUUCAGUCAUUGAAGUGGACGUGGAUGUUGGGUACUCAAUAGUCCAAGAAUGAAAACUCUCAUAUCAGUUUCUAUCCAAAAUUUUGGAAUUAUGUGUGUUGUAACGAUUGUCCAAAGGAUUAUUCUUCUUUUAUUAAAUUUCCAUGAAAAAUGAGCAUGGAACACAAAAGUUGAACGAAUGAUUAUUCUUCUUUUAUUAAAUUUCCAUGGAAAAUGAGCAUGGGGCACAAAAGUUGAACGAAUGAAAUUUCAACGAUUUGAAAAGGGAUUGUGAGUUUGACACGUCAUUUUUCUUCCUCUAAUGCAAUCAUGUUUAUUAAAAGACAAAAAUAAAUAUGACUUUACAUAAGGAGAGAGAAAUAGUAGUUUUCUUUGAAAAAAUCAACCAUUUAUUGAAGAGGAUGUGGAUGUUGAUUGAUGCGUCGUGAAUACGAAAAAAAAAGACCUUGAAAAGAGAUGAGACAUUCAUUAAAAGCUAGAAAAAAAAAAGUUAAAAGUGUUUUAGAAAAAAGCAAGAAAGCCUCAUUUUCAAAGUAGUGGUCAUUGCACAAUACUUGAUUAGAAGAAAACUCAUAGUAUUGUAUUUACAAUUUCAAGUCUUUAUGGGGAACGAGAGUGCAAGUUUUCCAAUUGGAAUAUGAUAUGAAAUUUCUACAUAACUAUAUAUGACAAUGAAAGAAGUCUAAGUUUCUAAGUGGUAGGGCUUCCAAUUGAUGUGAGUUUGUUGAGAAAUGAAGAUGAAGAUGAAUAUUGAUGUUGAUGUUAGUGAACAACAGAACAAGUUGCUUCUCCUUUGGCCUUCUAACAUGAUAUCACGGAAAACAAGUUGUUGCUAAUAAAUGUAUCUGAUUGGUGGACUUAGACGUGCACGGUACGAUUUUUGAUAACUAGAAAAGAUGGACAGUGUCAUGACAAAAUUUAUCCAAGUAGACCCAAAGGAAAGACUUAGGAACUUCAUAUGCAGUGGGAUAAAAUCUUAAGCUAAUUUCCUUACCUAUUUUAUAGUAUUAAGUAAAAUGUAUAUGUAUAUUUCUAGAUGCUGACACACCAAUGUACUUACUAUUAACUCCUUUCAAAUACCCAUUCGCAGAAACGCAAAUCUCUCUUGCAUGCUUGUUGUAAUGCUCAUGUAGUGCGUAUCUAAUAUCUUAUGUGUAUAAUUUUUUGUGAUCCAUUUUUUCAUCACUAUGCCAAAAUCCCUUUAGAAUUUGCAAUUUAUCCAUUUGGUUAUGGUAAAAAAAAAAACUCGGAAUUUCAUUUAAACUCGAAAAUCUAGAAUUGGGAAAGCAAUUUUCCCUUGUUCGGCAACUUGUAGCGAUAGCAAAGGCAAAUUGUACCGGAAAAAAGUGGAAAUUGGGGAUGAAGAUCCAAUUUUAAUUUCGUCAAAAUAAGUGUAAUUUCACAAUUCCAACAACGUUGAGAAUCACAAAUGCAUUGUGGGGAAAUCUUGCGACCACCAAACUUUACGAUUAGAGCGCCAAAUUUCAUGAUAAAACGUAAUAAGGGUUUAGGACUGCAUCGUUCGCUCUGUUAACUCUCCAAUCUUCGACGGGAUUUUCAACUCGUGCAUCAUUUUUUGCUUUGUUCUAGGUCAAAGCCUACUCUUUUCUUUCUUGAAUUAUUUUAGCUUUGCGGGUAUACUCUUUAGGCCAAUUGUGAAUUUUGCUAGUUAUUUUUAUUUUCUGAUGGUCAUAUGUUUGUUUUUUUUUUCUUCCAAUUGAGCUGUGUAUUGGUUGGAUCAGUAACUUUUUUUUUGGAUUUUUAUUUUUAUUUUUAUGGAUUUUGGUGUUAGUUCCUUGUUAUAGAUGUAUAGAUGUUGUGGAGCAAAAAAUAAUCUCAAAAAUCGUGGAGGUGACACACGGAUUUUUGGACAAGAAUGACAAAAUUAUCCUCGAAGCACAUCAUGAUUCCCACGUGCAUGCAACGGACAAUAACGGCUCAAUCAUGGAAGAGUCAAAGGUGAUCAAUAUGGUAUUUAUUCAAAUCCCUCUCAUCACUCCUCAUCAAUCCCUUUUUGAUUUUAUUCAAAAGGUAACUCCCAAAACUUCCUAUUUAAUUUAGGGAUCAUUGUCAUGUUAAUUGCAAGAUAUUAUUUCACAAAAUAUCUUGUAAUUAUUCUUCAAUUACCACCAUGUAUGGCCGGCCACUCCUCACCCUAUGGGCCGGUCACUCCUCACCCUAUGGGUCGGCCACUCCCUAUAAAUAGCCCUAUUAUUCCACUAAUAAGGAAGCCAUUUGCUACCCACAAACUCCUAAACACAUUCUUUCAGAAUUCUAACUUUGGCAUUGGAGAUUCUUAGGCCAAAUCCCCCCUCCCAUUCAUCGUGGGCGCAUAAGGCUUUUGGCCUUAGUCUUAGGUAUUAUUAUUUUGCAGGUGCAUUUUCGUCAAAGACGAAGAUGGUGGAAAUUUGGAUCCACAAAUUGGUGUUUUCAUUGAGAGUUUGAUUCACAAGCUCGAAGAAGACUCUCGCAUUCAAAGUUUCACAUUUCUCAUUCAUAAGUAAAUUUUUCAUACGUUCUUAUUCCUAGAAUUUUUUUAAAUCUUUGAAUAGACGUAGGAGAGAAAUACAAUGGCUAGAAAUUUAGAAACCACGACGAACGAAACUUCCUACGUUCAAAGAUCCAGAUCAAAUGAUGGAAAUUGCGAUGUAGCCCCACCACGACGAUCCACGAAGCUCAACGUAGUGGCAAAAUGAGUAACUUGGCCACCACGGAGUACCACCACCACCAUAGCCAAGGCAACCCAUGUUGCAGUGGGGAGUGGGACAACUCCAUGGCAGCAAGGCCACGAAGCAACAACAGAUGCCAUCUUGCAGUAAUGAGCCCAAGCCUGUGUCACAAGGUAGUCAACCCAGCGCUAGGUAACCUAGAUCUAGUAGGCCCACGACGUUGCCAUAGUAGCUGAGGCCUAAAGCAAGGCCCAAGCAGCUGCGACUGCGGCAAAUGGAGCAACACAACACUGGCGGGGCCAAUGCACCCUUGGCCUAAUGCCAAGCAGGCUAAAUCGCACCACACCCACUAUUCAAACUAACCCUAAGUUGAGUAAGUAGCAUUGAAGGUUGUCAACCGCAAGGCGUUGAAGUACGAAUAAAGUUACACACCCCGCACAUGACUUGGCCCACUUCCGCGGCCCAACUUGCUCGCAAGGUCCACCUAGUGAUCCCGACCAGUCGAAGGCCAGUUCAAUCAUCCCAUCUUCAGAUUUCUGGACUGACGAUUGAAUCGGGGGUAUUUUCACCCCGAUUUUCUACAGAUUUGACAUAUCUCAACACAAAUCUCGCACUUGGAGUCCAUUGCACUUCCAUUACUCAAGGAGACGCAUACCAUUUAAGAUCUUCCAUCCCAAAUGGCGAACAACACUUGUCUUGACAAGUCAUAGAGUUGACAUGCACUUUUGCGCAGUAGACGACCUUAGUGAAUCAGCUUUUGCAACGCACAAAGAUGCAGUAUGCCCCAGACGAUGUGUCCCGAAGCAGGACAAGUAUAGACGACGAUUCUCUCCAGCAGCGUCCCAACAAGCAGCCGCUCGACUAGCCACGAACCGAGCAUUCUGGCAGUGUACACUCCCGUCUAGGUCCUCAAGAAAGCAUAUACUCUCAUCUUAGCGCGCGGAUGAGCGUGCACUCCUGGUUAGGCCUACGGACGAGCAUACAUUCACGGUUGGGACCAUACUCUUAUAAUUAACAUGGACAACCUGCUAGACGAAGUGUUCAUUCGCGGCUAGGCUCGCAAAGAGCAUUUUCCACCUCAUAUUGGAGUAAGCAGCACAGAAGACGAAGAUAAGCAGUCAAUUAAUCUGGCUCAAAUUCAAUCGGCCACCUGUAAGUAACUAGCUCGCCUGCCAAGAACGUACCAUAUGCAAUGUAGCCACGACAUAGACUAGCUGAGCACAACGAUGAGCAACCUAGACUAACAGGUUACGACUGGGGGUAGCCAGAAGCUUCACUGCCCCAAUAUAGGUAAAUUUAGAAAGAAGUUGAGAGGCUUCUGACAGAACGAUUGUGCGAUUUCCAACGCAAUGAAGCUACUGACAAGGCGCUUAAACGAUACACGACCAACAUAAACGGGUCACCUUUUAUUGACAAGAUUGAGCAGACAGAACCAUCCUACAUACACUGGCGGAUACAAAUAUUACUUCUAUUUUAACAUACGCAUCAACUCAGCCUAAUGGCGUGUCGAGGGCAAAUGGGUUCCAGAAUGGCACACUAACCCAACCACCAAGAACCAGGGCCAAAUCUUAUUUUCAUCACUCCACACGAUUCAAUGCUUGAGCAUCACAUCACCAGUAAUAGAGCACCGCAGACCUAAUGGUCCAAUUCCUCCUGAUGCACACAAGCUCACCCCAGCUCCACGCUCAAAGCCGUGCCUACCUGCUCCACAACACUCAGCCACCCUUGAUUUGUCACCAUGGCUCACAGUUAUGCCAAUUUUGCACCACAGCUCCCAGCCGUGCUAAUCUUGCCAUGCGGCUUUUAACUACGUUAACCAAGCCCACGAUACUUCAUACUUCAAAACAUCCAAUGACGAAGUAGAACAUGAGGCUCUACUAGCAGCCCCUGCUAGUGAAAGGCUUUGCGGUGAAGAGGCUUCCAAUCCAUUCAAAUUCUCAGUUGACCACCUGUUGGGUUUUACGGCUCAAAAUUAGGAUGAUGCAAAAAAAAUUGUGUUACCUAUUUGGUUUUGGUGUCGUAUUUGGGUUUGGAUUUUGACCUCUUAGUUGGUUUCCUUGGUGGAGAGAUUUUGUUAAUUACCUAUUUGAUUAGGAUUUGGAUUUACUUCCUAUUAAGAUUCUUAUUGUAACCUAAGUCUUAUGCACUAUAAAUAGGACCUCAGGGUUAGUGUAUUUUGUGUGGCUCAUUCGUGUGGCAAUUUGGUGAGAGUCAAUUUGUGAGUUUGUGAGUUAGAGAGCAAUUUGGGAGAAUCUUCUCCGUUAGUUUUGGGUUCUCUACUCGUUUGGUUUAGGGUUUGUAAUUUGUGGGAUUUGGAUUGUGAGAGUUUAAACACUAUUUUGUAAUCUCCGUUUGUUUAGUGAAAUUUCUUGUCAUGCUUCGCUCGUGGACUUAGAUUUUACACCGAACCACAUAAAUCUCUUGUGUUAGUUUGAGAUUGUUUGUUUUAGUUUUCACCUACAACGUUGAUAUCGGUACUUUGCUAUAAUUUGCUUUCCUUUGCUCAUAAAAGUACGACAAGUGGUAUCAGAGCCCAGCUUUCGGCUUGGGCUUUUCUUGGCAAUCAAUAUGAAGCCUUCUGUGUCGUCGGUGAAAGUUGAUAUUGAAAAGUUCGAUGGCAAUGACUUUGGUAUUUGGCAAUUGAAGAUGCGUGCUUUGUUAAUUCAACAAGAGCUUUUAAAAACGCUAAAGGGUGUGAAGGCUUUCCUGAAUUCGUGGACUGAUGAAGAAAAACAAAGAAGUUAUGGAGCGGGCACUUGGAACAAUCCUGCUGACUUUAUCGAAUGAAGUCUUGCGUCAAGUUGGUAGCAUCAAAUCUGCACCGAAGUUGUGGCUAAAAUUGGAGAGUUUGUAUAUGACCAAAUCCCUUGCUAAAUGGUUGUAUUUGAAGAAAAGUUUGCGUACUCUUCGUAUGGAUGAAGGUACGUCAAUUCAUAAGACCAAAUCCUUAUUGCUGCCAAAAGUCCUCAACAGUUCCAAGGGAGAUGGGUAAGAGUUCGUAAUAGUGAGAGAUUGAAUCUUUUCACACUUGGCCAAAUUUUAAUUUUAAUUAGAUGAAACAAUGAAUCUUGAACAAAGCAAAACAAAAUUUAAUACUGAAAGAUUGAGUCAUUGAAGUGGACGUGGAUGUUGGGUACUUAACAGUCCAAGAAUGAAAACUCUCAUAUCAGUUUUUAUCCAAAAUUUUGGAAUUAUGUGAGUAUUGCAACGAUUGUCCGAAUGAUUAUUCUUCUUUUAUUAAAUUUCCAUGGAAAAUGAGCAUGGGGCACAAAAGUUGAACGAAUGAAAUUUCAAUGAUCUGCAAAGGGAUUGUGAGUUUGACAUGCCAUUUUUCUUCCUUUUAUGCAAUCAUGUUUAUUAAAAGACAAAAAUAAAUAUGACUUUACAUAAGCAGAGAGAAAGAGUAUUUUUCUUUGAAAAAAUCAACUAUUUAUUGAAGAGGAUGUGGAUGUUGAUUGAUGCGCCGUGUGAAUAGGAAAAAAAUGACCUUGAAGGGAGACAAGACAUUCAUUAGAAGCUAAAAAAAAGUUAUAGUGAUUUAGAAAAAAGAAAUUUUAACGAAAUAUUUCCGGUAUUGUUCACUCUUUACGAAAAACCACAUUUUUACAUUUCCUGGCUACUAUUCACUACACCUUUAUUUAUCAUUUUUCAUUAAAACUAAAUUUGUUUUUGAACUUUUCGUUAGUUUCCUUUAGAAAAAAGCAAGAAAGCCUCAUUUUCAAAGUGGUAGUCAUUGAAACAAUACUUGAUUAGAAGAAAAGUCAUAGUAUUGUAUUUACAAUCUCAAGUCUUGAGGGGUAACGAGAGUGCAAGUUUCUAAUUGGAAUAUAAUAUGAAAUUUCUACAUAACAAUAUAUGACAAAGAAAGAAGUCUAAGUUUCUAAGUGGAAGGGCUUCCAAUUGAUGUGAGUUUGUUGAGAAAUGAAGAUGAAGAUGAAUAUUGUUGUUGAUGUGAGUUAGUGAACAACAGAACAAGUUGCUUCUCCUUUGGCCUCUAACAUGAUAUUACCGGAAAACAAGUUGUUACUAGUAAAUGUAACUGACUGGUGAACUAAGACAUGCGGUACGAUUUUUGAUAACUAGAGAAGAUGAAUAGUGUCGUGACAAAAUUUAUCCAAGUAGACCCAAGGGAAAGACUUAGGAACUUCAUAUGCAGUGGGAUAAAAUCUUAAGCUAAUUUCCUUUUUAAUCUUAUAGUCAUUAUGUAAAAUGUAUAUGCAUAUUUCUAGAUACAUACACACCAAUGUACAUAAUAUUAACUCCUUUUAAGUAGUCAUUUGCAAAUCCCUCUUGAGUGCUCUUUGGAAUGCUCAUGCGGUGCCGUUCUAAUCUCUUAUAUAUAACUUUUUGUGAUCUGUUUUUUCAUCAAUAUGCCAAAAUCCCUUUAGAAUUUGCAACUUAUCUUUUUGGUUACGGUAAAAAAAAACUCGGAAUUUCAUUUAAACUCGAAAAUCUAGGGAUGUGAAAGCAAUUUUCUCUUGUUCGACAACAUUUAGCGAGAGCAAAGGCAAAUUGUACAGGAAAAAGUUAGAAAUUGGGGAUGAAGAUUCCCAAUUUUAAUUUCGUCUAAAUAAGUGUAAUUUCACAAUUCUAACUACGAUGAGAAUCACAAAUAUAUUGCAGGGAAAUCUUGCAACAGCCAAACUUUACGAUUAGGGUGCCAAAUUUCGUGAUAAAACCUAAUAAGGGUUUAGGGCUGCAUUGUUCACUCUGUUAACUCUCCAAAUCUUCGACGGAUUUUCGGCUCGUGCAUCAUCUUCUUGCUUUGUUCUAGGUCAACGCCUCUACUCUCUUCUUUCUUGAAUUAUUUUAGCUUUUUAGGUAGGCUCUUUAUGGCUGUUGUGAAUUUUGCUAGUUAUUUUUAUUUUCUGAUAGUCAUUUGUUUGUUGUGCGUUUUUCCUUCCAAUUGAAUUGUGUAUUGGUUGGAUCUGUAACAUUUAUUUUUUAUUUUAUUUUAUGGAUUUUGGUGUUAGUUCUUUGUCAUGGAUGUUGUCCCUUUGAAGGUUAACAAUAGCCAAGACUAAACAUGAUGAUAUUGUUAAUUACUUUCUCAUGAUACUAAUGCCAUAUUGUUCUCUCUUUUGCACUUACAAGUGAAGAGAAAUAUCCUAGACCCUAACUGGAUAUGUUAUUGUCAUGGUCAUGCAUUGGUAUGGUAACAAUAUGUUUGGAUAAGGAAAAUAAACUUAGAAUUUGACAAAAGAUAGAAUUUAUAAAUUGAUACAAUCAAUUCCUUUGUUUAGAUUCAUAAACAUAGAAAUUUAAACUUUCCGUGUGAGAAAAAACUUGGAAUUUGGGACCUUCAAUUCUCAUGUUUAAAUUUUAUGUAAAUAGGUGUCAUUUCUAAAUUUCAGCAAGUGAGAAUUUAAAAAUAACAAACAUGUAUUCAAAUUUCAUUCCUCUUUUAGGUUAACCAAACAAGAAAUUUUAUAAAUUCUAGAAAAUAAAAUUUCGUUAUUUCAAUUUCUGUUAUUUUAAAAUUAGUAAUCUUAAAUUUUCCCAUCCAAACAAAGAGUUUCCUUGUCAUAGAACUUUCAAUUGGGAUCAAGGAAGACAAUCUUUUCACAACUGAUUAUUCUCACCAAAUUUUAUUAUUAUUUUAAAGCAGAUCAAUACCAAACUUCAAAAGCAAAGUAGGAAGGCUAAAAUUAAGGUGAAGAACCUACUUCCACUAAUUACCAUGGGAGGGGGAGAGAGAGAGAGAGAGAGAGAGAGAGAGAGAGAGAGAGAGAACCAAGCGAGAGAGAAGAGAGAGAAAACACCAAGUAGUAUUAUAAUAUAGGUGGGGUUAAAUCACCUUUCGUGAAGUUGCGGUAAGAGCAGCUCCAGCGGGAGGUCCAGCUUGAUGGACCGGUGAGAUUUCCUACCCAAUAGCCCCAGCUCCUUGCUCCAGCCCAUGCGGGCGAUUGGGCUGAGGGGGUGCCCGAGUGAGAGGCCUGACUCGAAUCGGUAGCCUGAGAGCUUGAGGCCAAAUGAUGCAUGGACGUCAGCCACGUUAUAAGAAGGAAGCAUAAACUAUGAAUAAUGAUAGAGAUUUAGAUUUUGGUGUGUGAUUUCAUCGGAUGGAUGGUGGGUUAUAUGGAGGAAAAAAAAAAGAUUAGGUUGUAGAUAAUGCCACGUGGCAUGCCGUCAUUCGUUAAAAAUCUGAUCGAAAUCUAUCAUCAAAGAUUUUAAACAGAUUAUGACACGUGACGCAACGUGAUUGGUUAAAAAUCUUAUCAGAAAUCUAUCCUUAACGAUUCUGAAAAGGUAACGAGAUGGGGCACGACGGCAUUGGAUAAAAAUCUUAUCGAAAUCUAUCACCAAAAAUUAUCUUUUUGGAUAAUGACACGUGGUGCAACGAGAACGAUUAAAAAUCUUAUCCGAAAUUACAAAUAGAAUUAUUUUGUAUUAUUUUAUAAAAUAAAAAUACUAAUAUUUUAUUGCCUAUUGACAUGACUAUUCAAUUAUGGGUGUGGAGAUGCAGAAGAUAAUUAUUAUUAAUUAAAGGUAAUUAUUGUUCAUUGGAGGGGAUUGAAUAUGAAGUUGCAGUAGAAGGCCUUUGUCACAGCAAUAGGCAGUUACUGUUCUAAGGACUUCUAUCCUAGAACAGAGACAAAAACACCAAGUAGUAUUAUAAUAUAGGUGGGGUUAAAUCACCUUCCGUGAAGUUGCUGUAUGGACUUCUAUCCUAGAGAAAAGUCGGUCAAUGGUGUUUGACACAGUCAGUCAACGACAAAGACAGAAUUGUGUAACCAUAAUUCUCUCUCUAUCUCUUUUUCAUUAACGGAGGACAGUGUAUAAUUACUACGUAUAUAUCUCUGCUCAAUUAUUGAAAAGAAAAAUCCAUGUGCAUUAUUUUUAUUAUUAUUAUCUCAGAAAUGCAGAAAUUGAUUAUCUCUUCCUUCUGCAUAUUGAUACUGGUUUUCUUCAAACUAGUUGAAGCAAGCCAAUAUGUGUGCGCGAAAUCCAACUGUAGCAAUGAUCAAGGCCCGGCUAAUUUCCUUAGGAGGGAGAGAGAGAGAGGGGAGAGAGAACCAAGUGAGCGAGCAGAGAGAGAAAACACCAAGUAGUAUUCUAAUGUUGGUGGGGUUAAGUCACCUUCCAUGAAGUUGCAGUAAGGACUUCUAUCCCAGAGAAAAGUCAGUAAAUGAUGUUGACACAGUCCGUCAACGACAAAGACAGAAUUGUGUAACCAUAAUUCUCUCUCUAUCUCUUUUUCAUUAACGGAGGACAGUGUAUAAUUACUACGUAUAUAUCUCUGCUCAAUUAUUGAAAAGAAAAAUCCAUGUGCAUUAUUUUUAUUAUUAUUAUCUCAGAAAUGCAGAAAUUGAUCAUCUCUUCCUUCUGCAUAUUGAUACUGGUUUUCUUCAAACUAGUUGAAGCAAGCCAAUAUGUGUGCGCGAAAUCCAACUGUAGCAAUGAUCAAGGCCCGGCUAUCCAUUUCCCAUUGAACAUCAGGCGCACACAUCAUUGUGGAAAUUCUGGGCUUGAAUGCAAUGGGAGAUAUGAGCAGCAAAUACUAAUAAAAUUAUUUGUCAAAGACACAGAUUACAAGCGUCAGGAAAUCCAAGUCUAUUCCCCAAGUAACUGCCUGCUGCUAAAGCUUGUUGAAAUCCCAAACAUGCCACCCUCUCCCUUCGUGCCAGUAGUCGAUUACAUGAUUAAUUUCAUAAACGUUACCUUAUUCAGUUGUCCUACUUCUGUUGCAAUACGAGAUACGUAUGGUUGUCAAGUCCCCUGCCUUGGCGACCGUGGCAAGAGAACUUAUGCCAUUGAUUCUGGGGUUUAUUUUGAAACUCUCUUCCAGAAUCUAGAAUCCUGUACAAAAAUGUAUGAUGUUUUAUCAGUUCCAAUAGCCGAUGAAUAUUAUGUUUUUCGUUUCAAAUGGUCUAUACCAAAUUGCAGAAAAUGUGGAGAGGGAAAGAAGUGUGAAUGGCAGAACAAUGAAAUUAAAUGUCUUCCCUGGAGGAAACCAAGUAAGGAUAACAUAUGUAUUCAUUGCUAGUUUUAAACAUCUUUACAUUUAUGUCUUAGUAAUUAUUAUUUGAAGGAUGUUGUCCAAUCCAUUUUUACUAGGAAUAUUACCUGACAGUCUCGUUUAAAUUCGCAAUGAUCUUCUACAGGCAACACAUGGAAAAAAGUGGUUACAGGUGGAAUCCUGUGUGCUUUGCUUCUUGUUCUACUGACGAUUGCAGCAUAUCGGGUAUAUAGCGCUGAUAGAAAGGAGAAAGAGAGUCGAUUAAGAAUUGAAAGAUUCUUGGAGGACUACAAAGCACUCAAACCAAGCAGGUAUUCGUACGCAGAUAUUAAGAGGAUUACAAAUCAAUUCAAGGACAAGUUGGGCGAAGGAGCCUAUGGAACUGUCUUCAAAGGAAUGCUCUCUUCUGAAUUCUUCAUUGCUGUCAAAGUCCUCAACAGUUCCAAGGGAGAUGGGGAAGAGUUCGUAAAUGAAGUGCGAACGAUGGGUCAUAUCCACCACGUAAACGUGGCUCGCUUGGUUGGAUUUUGUGCUGAUGGAUUUGUACGAGCUCUUGUUUACGAGUUCUUCCCCAAUGGUUCCCUGCAGGAUUUCAUUUCAUCUGCAGAUAGUAAGAAUUCAUUUCUUGGUUGGGAUAAGCUACAAGAUAUUGCCCUAGGCAUAGCCAAAGGAAUUGAAUAUCUUCACCAGGGAUGCGAUCUACGAAUCCUGCAUUUCGACAUCAAACCCCAUAAUGUUUUGCUAGACCAAAACUUCACUCCAAAAAUUUCUGAUUUUGGUUUGGCCAAGUUAUGUUCCAAGGAUCAAAGCUUGGUGUCCAUGACUACAGCAAGGGGGACCAUGGGCUACAUUGCACCUGAAGUGUUCUCCAGGAAUUUCGGAAAUGUGUCGUACAAGGCAGAUGUUUAUAGCUUUGGAAUGCUACUGCUUGAGAUGGUAGGAGGAAGGAAGAAUAUUGGUUCAAUUACGGAUAACACUACAAAUGAAAUUUACUAUCCACAGUGGAUUUAUAAUCUUCUAGAGGAAGGGGAUGACCUACGAAUCCACAUUGGGGAAGAAGGAGAUGGUAAAAUUCCAAAGAAACUUGCAAUUAUAGGGCUAUGGUGUAUCCAGUGGCACCCGUCGGAUCGUCCUUCCAUGAAAAUAGUGGUUCAGAUGUUAGAAGGAGGAGGAGAAAGCUUGAGUAUGCCGCCUAAUCCCUUUGUGCCUACUGGUUCUACAACUAGGAAUGCAAGACACCUAGAGCUAGAAGCUAUUGCUGAAUUAGAGUAAAAUGUAUAUGCAGAUAUGUAGACGUAUAGAUAUAGUAAUAUUUAUAUUGAAUAAGAGGCCGUUUGAUA